rnacentral:lncRNA from 1 species
UUCUAUUAGUUUUGUUGGCUAAAGAAGAAAUAUUGUCGAUAUACAUGGCCAAUCAUGUGUAUAAAUAGCCAUCAAAUUACUAGUUAAUCCAUCACCCAUAUUAUUGAUACCAACUAGCAACAUACAUAGUGAAGUACACUAGCAACAUCUUAGCACCAAUGGGAGCCAAGAUUUUUGCCCUCCUUGCCCUCCUUGCUCUUUCAGCAAGCGCUGCUACCUCGACUUUUAUUCCACAAUGCUCACAACAAUACCUCUCUCCGGUGACAGCCGCGGGAUUUCAAUACCCAACUAUACAAUCCUACAUGGUACAAGAGGCCAUCCAAGCAAGCAUCUUACGGUCAUUAGCAUUAACCCUCCAACAACCAUAUGCUCUAUUGCAACAGCCAUCCUUAGUGCAUCUGUAUCUCCAAAGAAUCGCGGCACAACAACUACAACAACAGUUGCUACCAACAAUCAAUCAAGUAGUUGCAGCGAACCUUGCUGCUUACCUCCAGCAACAACAGUUUCUUCCAUUCAAUCAACUAGCUGGGGUGAACCCUGCUAUCUACUUGCAGGCACAACAGCUACUACCAUUUAACCAACUUGUCGGGAGCCCUUAUGCCUUCUUACUGCAACAACAGCUUCUGCCAUUCCAUCUGCAAGCUGUGGCAAACAUUGUUGCUUUCUUGAGACAACAACAUUUGUUGCCAUUUUACCCACAAGUUGUGGGAAACAUUAAUGCCUUCUUGCAACAGCAACAAUUGCUACCAUUCUACCCACAGAAUGUGGCAAACAUUGUUGCCUUCUUACAACAACAACAAUUGCUGCCAUUUAGCCAACAUGCUUUGACGAAUCCUACCACCUUAUUGCAACCGCCCACCAUUGGUGGUGCCAUCUUCUAGAUUUUUUAUGAUUUAUACUGUAAUAAUAAAGUUCUCAUGCUGAUAUGUGCGACCUCUCAGUAAUAAAGUAUUAGAGAUCUAUAUUUUAAAUUCAAAUGUAUCCAAGUGUGUUCCAUUGCUUUUUGUUUCCCUAAGACCAAAUACUAAAACCUUUGAAUCAUACCUAUUGUAUGAUACCUGAAUAAUUCUACACUACCGUGAAUAAACAUUAUGAAGGAGCUAGUGGCUAGGUGGAGGUUGCAGCCUAGAGGAUGAGAAUGAUGAUGUGUUAAGGUUGUAUAGAUGGGCUUAGGAUAAAAUUUGUUGUUGGUCUAGAAUAGUAUCUCAGUUAUCUAAGAUAUGAUGGUAAGCCUAGGCCAUUGAGAGGCUCCUUGAUGGCGGUGCGUUCACCCUCAGGUGACUGUGUGCACCAAUGAGGGGCCCCAUAGGCGGCACUAGCACUCCACCAUGCUCUCUCGAACUUAUAUGAGACAGAAAAGAAGGUGGAUGAAGAGGGAAGACUCUCAAGAGUAGAAGGUGGAGAAAGAGCAGAGUGCUACGAGGAGAUAAAAAUGAUUAGGUACAUAGCAUUUUUAUCCUAGUCAUUAGAUGAGAUCAGAUGGUGCAGAGUUGUUAAGGCUACUUCUGGCUCAGGCAAGUGUAAGAAUUUCCUACCUAGGCCAAAGUUGUGGCCUGGGAUGUGAGUCUACGUGGGGAGCAGGCUAGCAGGCCGACCACUAUUGACAGAGAUAGGCAAUGCCAUUGAUAAUCUGAAGCAUAUUGGCCCUAUGUUGGUAAUAAAAGGAACACAUGAGACAACUAAUAAUGCAGCCUUGACAAUGACAUAUGAUUUUCAACACAUUAAGUGAGAUAGAUCAAAUUAGAAGUGUAUGAUGGUUAUUAGAAGCUAUAUUAUAGAGUCUAUUAGGGGAGCAAUCUUGAAUGUCCAAGUGCCAUAGAGUAUCUUGAUAAAAUUAAGCAACAAUUCAUUGGUUCUUCUAAUACAUAUAUUGGAACCAUAAUUCUGAAUAUUAUUACUAAAAUGUAUGAUGGCUCUAUAGUAGGGGAGCACAAAAUUAAGAUGACUAAUUUUCCCAAUAAACUUAAGUCUUUUGGUAUGGAACUAAAGAACGAAUAUAUUGUCCACAUGAUAUAAUUGUCUUUAUCUAAAGAAUUUAAGAAUUUUGUUGUGAACUACAACAUGAGUCCUAAAAAGUAGGCAAUAGAGAUGUUGAUUGCCAUGUGUGUCCAAAAAUCAAAGAGGGUCCCCAAAAAUUCUAGUGGGUACCACCUGAGGGUUCCUUUAACCCUAAAACUUGUAUUUUCUAGAUUUUUUUAGGCAUAGAAAAACUCAAUGGUAAGCACCAAAAAUUUCAUUAGAGCACCAUUAAAUGCGAUACAAAAUGUGCAUCUUAUAGCUUGAGUGGCCACUAUAAAACUUUGGUGCCACUAAAAAUCUUUGGUGCCAUUGAAUAAGACAAUACUAGGCAAAAGGCCAGUUAAUGGAUAGUUUUAAAUAGACGCUGAACUAGCCAUUAAAGCCUCCCAUGUCUUUCUUUGGAGAGCCUAUUGAAAGGUUCUAAUGGUGUACUAAUAUAGAUUACUCCCCAUUGUUGAUUCAUAACUCCCAUUCACCUUUGAUUUUCAUCGACAUUUUUAGAAGUGGAUAGUGAUACAAAAGUUAUUACUAAUAGUUUGAAUGCGUUGGUGAUAAACUUCAUCACCAUCGACUUAGAAAAUAGUAUGACUUUUGAAGGUCAUUUUUUGAUAGGCUUAUCUCUAAAUGAUUAAUACAGGCUAGGUGUGGCCAUUAGGCCCCUCAAGACUUUUUCUUAAAUAUGAAUGCUCUCUUGAACCAUCUCUAGAAAUUAAAAACAUAUAAUAUCUAAAUAUAGAUACUUUUGUACUACCCUAAGCAGAUGAAGCUUAAGGCUAGUAUAAGCUAGUUAUCAUAUGAUGGCUAAGUACACCACAACCACUAUUUCUAUUUUCAGUUUUACAAAGAGGGGAGACCUAUGCAUUAUAUUACACUUAAUACCAAAACUUUCUAAGGGCAACCAUAAUAGAAGGCUUGCCCUGCUUAUGUGAAAACUUUGCAUAUGCUAAUGAGAGAUAAUAAAUAAAAAAGAGAAGGUUAAGGCUACCUAUCAUAUGCUAACCUAUACAACUAUUUAUUUUAUUUUAUUCAACAACUUGAGAGAUGUUCAUUGUAUUAGUCUUGCAGUAACAAUUGCCCAAAAUAAAGUAUAUUAGGCCUUAUAGCUAGUGGAAAUUUUCUCUAUGAAGUAGACAUAAUAAAAAUGAGAGAAGGAAUAUAUUCUCAUGCAAUAAGAGAUUGACUCAACAAAUAUCCAAGUAAACACACCAUGUCCAACUCAAUAUAUAUGAGGAAGGGACUAAUGCAUAAAACGUCUCUAGUAUUGUCCUUUGUCCAUUUUUCUUUGAUCAAUUGGAGUUAAGAUAAAUGAAACAUAUGAUAAAAUUAUGUGGUCAUUCAUGACAAAUGUUUUUUCAUUGUUGUGAGAAUUGCAACAAGGUUUCUUUAACUAUUUUUGGUAAACACUAUGUUUUAAUCACACAUAUCAACUAUUGAUCAUCAUUGAUACCCUUUUAACCAUAAUGAAACAGAACCACAUGUUUUAGAUCUAUUUUCUGACUUUGAGCCAAAAAUAAGUAGUACCCCUACCUAGUUUGAUUUCUGCCACAUCCAUAAUACCAAUAUAAUGUAUGACAUCAAUUGUACAUUCUAAGGUGUCACUCUCCAUAGCUUCCACCCAAACUCCAUUCUCUACUAGAUGCUUAGUGAUCACUAAUCCAUCAAUCUUCGUAGUAUUUCAAAGAGGACCAACCUUGCUCUUUGUGGAACUGUUGGCUAAAUCUUAUGAGGCCCCAUCCAACUAUAGUUCAUAUUUCUCGGUAGCUUAGUUGGGUGCACACUGAAAACUAAUGAUCAUUGGCACUUUCAAAAUAUGAAACUAAUACUGUCAUCAAACACCGAACACAUAGACACAAUAAAAACAUAAUGUAUGCCUGAAAAUAGUUAUAGGAACCUCAUUUCAAUUCUUAGAACAAUGAACAAAACAUUUGUCAUGAACAAUCAUGUAAUUUUAUCAUAUGAUUCCUUUAUCCAACCUCUAAGGAUCGUAGGACCUUGUCAAAAAAGAAUGGGCAUAGGACAAUCUAGAGAUGUCAGUACAUUACUUCCUCCCUCCUAUAUAGCGAGUUGGACAACUUUCGGUGUAAAAGUGCCCAGCCUAGCCACCAUUUCACCAAUACUAAAAUUUGCCCAAUAGGACAAACGGAAAACACUUUCUUCAAGACAUUCUCUAUCCUAUAUAGAACCUACAUGACUGUUUUUCUCUGUCACUGCAUAAAACUAAGUGUGACAUCUUCACCCACAUGUACAAUAGCUCAUUCCUCUCCUUCUUGUUCCCUUGUGGAUGUUGUUGACCUAAUACACCUUAGACUCAUUGAUUUUGUUCAUUUUUAUCAAUCCCAUUGUUCCAGCAUAUUUAUUCUUCUCAUGUCUCGUCCUGCAUAAUGUUUGCAUUCUCAAUGUCCUUGCUCGCACCCUUGGACAUUGUGUCAUACCACUUGCCCUUAGUUUAUGCUCUUCUAUUAGUUGAAAUUGAUUGAUAUCCAAAUUUUAUUGAAAAUGAUUGAGAUCCACAUCAUUUGGUCACAACUUCACAAACUUACCUCCAUCAAGCGGAUCAUAUAUUAUGUGGCUAAGGGUUGCACAUGUGUAAAGGUAAAUGGGUCAUGCCAUUAUCACCCGUAUAUUCAGAAAUACCAUGGGAAGAAUAGCACCUUUUGCUUGUAUUUUGUGCAAAUUGUUUUGCCAACAUAUAAAGUGUAAGAGAAGAAAGUGGCCACUAAAUAUCAAAAUAGACUAGGUACCAUGUCAUCUCUAGUUUAUCUUCUAAUAGUUUUGUUGGCUAAAGAAGAAAUAUUGUUGAUAUACAUGGCCAAUCAUGUGUAUAAAUAGCCAUCAAAUUAGUAGUUAAUCCAUCACCCAUAUUAUCGAUACCAACUAGCAACAUACAUAGUGAAGUAUACUAGAAACAACUUAGCACCAAUGGCAGCCAAGAUCUUUGCCCUCCUUGCCCUCCUUGCUCUUUCAGCAAGCGCUGCUACCUCGACUAUUAUUCCACAAUACUCACAACAAUACCUCUCUCUGGCGACAGCCGCGAGAUUUCAAUACCCAACUAUACAACCCUACAUGCUACAAGAGGCCAUUGCAGCAAGCAUCUUACAGUCAUUAGCAUUUACCCUCCAACAACCAUAUGCCCUAUUGCAGCAACCAUCCUUAGUGCAUCAGUAUCUCCAAAGAAUUGCGACACAACAACUACAACAACAAUUGCUACCAACAAUCAAUCAAGUAGUUCCAGCGAACCCUGCUGCUUACCUCCAUCAACAAUAGUUUCUUCCAUUCAAUCAACUAGCUGGGGUGAACCCUGCUGUCUACUUGCAGGCACAACAUCUACUACCAUUUAACCAACUUGUCGGGAGCCCUGAAACCUUCUUACUGCAACAACAGUUGCUGCCAUUCCAUCGGCAUGCUAUGGCAAACAUUGCUGCUUUCUUGCAACAACAAUAGUUGUUGCCAUUUUACCCACAUGUGGUGGGAAACAUUACUGCCUUCUUGCAACAGCAACAAUUGCUGCCAUUCUACCCACAGAAUGUGGCAAACAUUGUUGCCUUCUUACAACAACAACAAUUGCUUCCAUUUAGCCAACUUGCUUUGACGAAUCCUACCUCCUUAUUGCAGCAGCUGUCACACCCGGUUUUAGAAGGCAAACCGAAUGCGAACCAUGUACGUGCCAGGAUCAGUUAUUCACGUACACAGCAGUUACAUAACAUGGACAUCAUCACACAGUGCUCAAAAUAGUAUUAAGAAGGGAAAUAGUCGAUUACAUCAUACGUUUGAGACGUCCAUAUAGUUCUUACAAUAAAUCAAAGUGCGGAAAAGAAACGUAGAUAACCGCGGCCUUCACAGGCAGCCGACUGGGGGUUGCCGCUAACCCACAACUAGAACUCGUCGUAGUCUUGGAACUCCUGGAAGUCACCUUCCACAGCUUCAUCUUCGCCUGAGCAGUGGUUGCAAUGCUGACAACCUGGGGAUGGGGGGGGGGGGGGUUUGGUGUGUAGAGCAAGGGUGAGUACACAUCAACAUACUCAGCAAGUAUCCUGUCUGGCUGUAGUGGACUAGCUGUAUGUGGGGAUAAGUCAAGCAGUUGCUUUUAGUUGGUCAGAUUAUUACUUACUAGUAGAAAGCCAAGUUUUAGCAUUAACCCAAGUUAUUAACCCGAUGUACCCUUUCCAAACGGAAAGAAUACCACUUACCAGCACCAUAGUCAUAACCAAAACCAUCAAUCUCAUAACCACCUGUACCAAAGUAUCUCUGAUCAAGUACCACUAAUCACUGGAGCUCCCUUGGCCGCUCAUAACCGCGAGCACGGCUGAUAUAUCAGUUUUCAAACACUCUGCAGAGGUUGUGCACUUUACCCACAAGCCGUGAUUCCCAUUCUGCCCGGAGAGAGCUACUCCCCAUUGACCACUACCUAGGUGGCCUAGCAGGGCAUCACUAUGUAGCCUUUACAAAGAUUCCCCGGGGCUGUAGCCACCCGUUAGGUUUCCUAAAUGCACCGCACUCCUCCCCAAGGGGCGAACCCAAACUUGGCAGAGCGAGCCGCAUACACCGAGCCCCAUUGACGGCACGACGGCUAAGUGAACUACACCCCGGAUGCUCUAAUUAUUCAGCUAAGGGCAUCCCAUUCCACCCUCAUGGUUGCACUGUUUUCCCGGGCGGUCAUCCAUAGAACAGGUCCUUACGGAGAGGCACUCGAGAAACCGCUCGAGCCCCCUUGAUGACCACAAGUAUAACAUCAUCAUAAGAAAGGGGAAAACAGCGUAUCAUAGAUAAUCUCAUCAUGUUCAUUGAUUAUAGUUGAGCAAUAGCAUAAAGCUAAACAGUAAUAAUCCAACCCAAAUAGGUAAACAAGGACAUGGAUAACAAAAGCUAGUCAAUCCUUAGGCAUAAAUGUGUAAUGCAGGAGGUGAAUUAGAUAAUGAAUAGGACAUAGAUAGGUCAAGGGACACUUGCCUCCACCAACCGACUGCUGCUCAGGGGCUUCUCCUGCGGGUUCCUCGGGCUCUUAAACCGGAUCGUUCUCUAUACGAGCGCAAACAUACAUACAUCCACAUAUUUAAUACCAAAGAACAGUACACCAUACAUGUCACACCCGGUUUUAGAAGGCAAACCGAAUGCGAACCAUGUACGUGCCAGGAUCAGUUAUUCACGUACACAGCAGUUACAUAACAUGGACAUCAUCACACAGUGCUCAAAAUAGUAUUAAGAAGGGAAAUAGUCGAUUACAUCAUACGUCUGAGACGUCCAUAUAGUUCUUACAAUAAAUCAAAGUGCGGAAAAGAAACGUAGAUAACCGCGGCCUUCACAGGCAGCCGACUGGGGGUUGCCGCUAACCCACACCUAGAACUCGUCGUAGUCUUGGAACUCCUGGAAGUCUCCUUCCACAGCUUCAUCUUCGCCUGAGCAGUGGUUGCAAUGCUGACAACCUGGGGAUGGGGGGGGGUUUGGUGUGUAGAGCAAGGGUGAGUACACAUCAACAUACUCAGCAAGUAUCUUGUCUGGCUGUAGUGGACUAGCUAUAUGUGGGGAUAAGUCAAGCAGUUGCUUUUAGUUGGUCAGAUUAUUACUUACUAGUAGAAAGCCAAGUUUUAGCAUUAACCCAAGUUAUUAACCCGAUGUACCCUUUCCAAACGGAAAGAAUACCACUUACCAGCACCAUAGUCAUAACCAAAACCAUCAAUCUCAUAACCACCUGUACCAAAGUAUCUCUGAUCAAGUACCACUAAUCACUGGAGCUCCCUUGGCCGCUCAUAACCGCGAGCACGGCUGAUAUAUCAGUUUUCAAACACUCUGCAGAGGUUGUGCACUUUACCCACAAGCCGUGAUUCCCAUUCUGCCCGGAGAGAGCUACUCCCCAUUGACCACUACCUAGGUGGCCUAGCAGGGCAUCACUACGUAGCCUUUACAAAGAUUCCCCGGGGCUGUAGCCACCCGUUAGGUUUCCUAAAUGCACCGCACUCCUCCCCAAGGGGCGAACCCAAACUUGGCAGAGCGAGCCGCAUACACCGAGCCCCAUUGACGGCACGACGGCUAAGUGAACUACACCCCGGAUCCUCUAAUUAUUCAGCUAAGGGCAUCCCAUUCCACCCUCAUGGUUGCACUGUUUUCCCGGGCGGUCAUCCAUAGAACAGGUCCUUACGGAGAGGCACUCGAGAAACCGCUCGAGCCCCCUUGAUGACCACCAGUAUAACAUCAUCAUAAGAAAGGGGAAAACAGCGUAUCAUAGAUAAUCUCAUCAUGUUCAUUGAUUAUAGUUGAGCAAUAGCAUAAAGCUAAACAGUAAUAAUCCAACCCAAAUAGGUAAACAAGGACAUGGAUAACAAAAGCUAGUCAAUCCUUAGGCAUAAAUGUGUAAUGCGGGAGGUGAAUUAGAUAAUGAAUAGGACAUAGAUAGGUCAAGGGACACUUGCCUCCACCAACCGACUGCUGCUCAGGGGCUUCUCCUGCGGGUUCCUCGGGCUCUUCAACCGGAUCGUUCUCUAUACAAGCGCAAACAUACAUACAUCCACAUAUUUAAUAUCAAAGAACAGUACACCAUACAAUAGAAUGCAAUAAGUAAACAGACGUUCCACGCGGGCUCGCGAGUACGGUUAAGAGAGAAAGAGGAAAAGACAGUCGAGAAACGAUCACGUUACAUGAUUAUAAAUUAACCACUCGCUUAAUAGAAGGAAAUUUAAUGUAGACACUAUGUUUGGCGUAAAGUAAAGUCAUGUUUCAUGAAGCAGGUGGAGAUAAAUAAAAGGAUGGUCGCGCGGAGAGACGCGCGACAAAGCUCUCUAAAACAAAUUAAGAAGUUAACGACUCGUCGCACGACCGAGCACGCAACGAGACACUUCGCCUUAGUUACGAGGAGACGUUAAGCGUCACGCGACGAAGCGCACGACGGCAUACGUCGACUAAACUGAGUCCAAAGUGGAACGUCGCGUGAAUACACACGCGGUGUUACACCUUAAACAACCUGAAACAAAAUGGAUCGUCGCGCGACGAAGCGCACGACGCAACACAAGAUAGAAUCUGAAUUUUAGACAAAUCCGUCGCGCGGCGAAGCGCGCGACGCAACACGCUAAUUAACAAAUAAUCACCGCGAGCGAAGAUACGGUCGGGCGAGGCCGGGACGGGGGAACGGGCGGCCGAGCCGGGGCCGGGGCGGUUGGGCCGGCCGGGGCCGCGCCGGGGGCCGGAGGCCGCGCCGGGGGCCGCGCCGGGCGAGCAGGGGCCACCGGGGCCGCGCCGGGCCACGCCGGGGGCGCGCCGGGGCCGCGCUGCGCGCGAGCAGGGGAGGGGCGGGCGCCGCCGGGCGGGCAGGGGCGGGCGGGCGCCGCCGCGGGCGAGCAGGGGCGGGCGAGCGCCGCCGCGGGCCAGGGGAGGGCGGGCGCCGCCGCGCGGGGCCGGGCAGGGGCGGGCGGGCGAGCGCCGCCACGGGGAGGGGCAGGGGGCGGGCGCCGCCGCGCUGGGGAGGGGGCGGGGAGCGCCGCGCGGGCGGGCAGGGGGCGGGGAGCGCCGCCGCGAGGCCGGGGGAGGGGCGGGCGCCGCCGCCGCGGGCGAGCAGGGGCGGGGAGCGGGCGCCGCGGGGCCGGGGAAGGGGCGGGGACGGGGUCGCGCGCGGGCAAGGGAGAGGGAGGGCGCGCGGGGGGGGGAAGAAGAGGAGGGAGAGGGAGAGGAGAGGGGGAGGGGAGGGGAGCUCACCUCGGGGUCCAAAAUCCGGUGAUCGCCGUCUCCAAACCCUAGGGCACCACGGGGAGAGAGAGGUGGAAGAGGGAGAGGAGAGGUUGUUGCGCGGGAGAUCCAAAUGAGAGAGAGAGAGAAGAGGGGGCGCAUGGGGGGUUUGGGCGCCGGGGGCGCGCAGGCCGGGGCGGGCCGGGCCGGCUGGGCUGGGCUGGACUAGGUUGGGCUGGGCUGGGCCACUUCGCGGAUUGAAAACCCACGACGAGCGCGACCACUAAACGGAAUUAAAUCGCGAACCGAAAUCCGGAAUGGAACGAGACGAACAUUCAACAUCAGACAAAGAAAUGUGCUUCGGCAUGAUGCAACACCCAUGACACUUAGGUUUUGGUUUAUACAUGACACGGACACCUGCCGCUAUACUGGUUUGAAACUGGGAAGAAGGAGCAAACGGGGAAAGAGAAAAGAGAGUAACGCCCAAAUUUGGUGAGAGAAAAGAAGAAAAAAUUCUACCCCCAAAUUCAGGGCAUUACAAACCUAUCCCCCUUAAAAGAAUCUCGCCCUCGAGAUUCAGGGUUGGCUAGCAAAGAGCUCAGGGUAUUUAGCGAUCAGAUCGUCUUCAUGCUCCCAGGUUGCUUCUUCCUCAGAGUGAUGAUUCCAUCUGACUUUGCACAUUCUGAUGGUCUUCCUUCGGGUGACUCUGUCACAACCUCAAGGAUUUGCACUGGUUUCUCAACGUAGGUCAAGUCCUCCUGGACUUCAAGACCUUCCACUGGCAACUGCUCUUCUGGCACACGCAAGCACUUCUUCAACUGAGACACAUGAAAGACAUCAUGCACAGCAGACAAAUUCUCGGGCAAACUGAGCUGAUAGGCCACUUCUCCACGUCUUGCAAGGAUCUGAUACGGACCAAUGUAGCGGGGUGCUAGCUUGCCUUUCACUCCGAAUCUUCUGACUCCUCUGAUCGGUGACACUUUCAGAUAGACAAAGUCUCCAACUUCGAAACUCAGCUCUCUUCUUCUUGUGUCUGCAUAGCUUCGCUGUCUUGAUUGCGCUAUCUUCAGAUUCUCUCGGACCAUCUUGAUGUUUUCUUCGGCUUCAAGCAAAAUGUCUGGCCCAAACACCUGCUUUUCUCCAGGCUGAUCCCAUUGCAACGGAGUUCUACAACUCCUUCCAUAGAGCGCCUGAAAUGGUGACAUCUUCAAACUGGCCUAGUAACUGUUGUUAUAGGAAAACUCCGCAUAAGGCAAUCUCUUAUCCCAUCCGGACUGAUCUUGCAACGCACAGGCUCUCAACAUAUCUUCAAGAAUUUGAUUGGUCCUUUCGGUCUGGCCAUCUGUCUGCGGAUGAUAAGCUGAACUGAAAUUCAGAUGCGUGCCCAAAGCUUCAUGCAACUGCUGCCAGAAAUGAGAGGUGAACUGCGUUCCUCUGUCUGACACUAUCUUCUUUGGCACACCAUGAAGACAAACGAUCCAAGACAUAUACAAUUCUGCCAAUACUGCACUGCUGUAGUUGGUCUUGACAGGUAUGAAGUGGGCUGACUUGGUCAAGCGGUCCACCACUACCCAAAUGGAAUCGUAGCCGGCUCGAGUGCGAGGCAAUCCGACUAUGAAAUCCAUACCAAUUUCAUCCCAUUUCCACUGAGGGAUCUGCAACGGUUGCAACAAUCCAGCAGGUCUCUGGUGCUCUGCCUUAAUUCUUCGGCAACUAUCGCACAUAGCCACAUGCUCUGCGAUUUCCCUCUUCAUUCCGUACCACCAGAAUUUCUUCUUCAGGUCCUGAUACAUCUUCUCACUGCCAGGGUGAAUCGAAUAGGCUGUCUCAUGAGCUUCCUUAAGAAUCAACUCCCGAAUGGACUGGACAUUGGGAACACACAAGCGGUCUUUGAACUAUAUCACGCCUUCUGCAUCUUCUCGAAAAUCUUUGCCUUUGCCAUCUAGAAUCAGCCGCCGGAUCUCACUGAUUUUCUCAUCAUUCUUCUGCGCUUCUUUGAUUUCGCGCUCCAAGGUAGGUUCCAACUCAACUGUGACUCCUCGCGAAUUGUUCAGAAAACCGAGACUCAACUUGUCAAACUCUUUGGCCAACUCAUAAGGCAUCGGACGAGCGACCAUCAGAUUGACUUGACUCUUUCUGCUCAAAGCAUCUGCCACUAUGUUUGCUUUGCCUGGAUGGUAAUGAAUCUCCAACUCAUAGUCUUUAAUCAACUCUAACCAUCUUCGUUGCCUCAUGUUCAACUCUGACUGGGUGAAUAUGUACUUCAGACUCUUGUGAUCUGUGUAAACAUCGCAUUUCUGUCCAUACAGGUAGUGCCUCCAUGUCUUCAGUGCGUGAACCACUGCUGCCAACUCUAGAUCAUGGAUUGGGUAGUUCUUCUCAUGAACCUUCAACUGUCGGGACGAGUAAGCCACAACUCUUCCCUCUUGCAUCAACACACAUCCCAAACCUGUGUAGCAAGCAUCGCAAUACACCGAGAAGGGCUUGUGCACAUCAGGCAAGACUAGGACAGGCGCUGUAGUCAACUUCUCUUUCAGCGCUUCAAAGGCCUCUUGGCAUUUCUGGGUCCACUUGAACUCAACUUUGUUGCCUAGCAACGCUGUCAUUGGUUUCGCAAUCUUCGAAAACCCUUCAAUGAAUCGUCGAUAAUAUCCGGCCAUUCCAAUGAAGCUCUUGAUUCCCCUAGCAUCUGUUGGCGCUUUCCAGUUCAAAAUGUCUGCCACUUUCUUCGGAUCCAUAGCCAAUCCUUCUUUGUUGAUUAUAUGACCCAAGAACAGGACUUCACUGAUCCAGAACUCACACUUGCUCAACUUUGCAUACAACUGGUGCUCUCGCAAUCUCUGCAAUACCAUCCUCAAAUGACUUGCAUGCUCUUCUUCGCUUUGAGAAUAUAUCAGAAUGUCAUCAAUGAAUACCACCACAAACUUAUCAAGGUAAUCCAUGAAUACACUGUUCAUCAAGUUCAUGAAGAACGCUGGCGCAUUGGUCAAACCAAAAGACAUCACUGUGAACUCAUACAAACCAUACUUGGAAAUGAAUGUCGUCUUCGGAAUGUCCGAAGGUCGGAUCCUGAGCUGAUGAUAACCUGACCACAGAUCAAUCUUGGAGAACACACUGGCUCCUCUCAACUGGUCGAACAGAUCUUCUAUUCUGGGCAAAGGAUACUUGUUCUUGAUCGUGACCUCAUUCAAAGCUCGAUAGUCAAUACACAUCCUCUUGGUGCCCUCUUUCUUUUCCACGAACAAGACAGGGGCGGCCCAAGGCGAGGUGCUUGGCCGAAUGUAACCUUUCUCUGACAGCUCAUCAAUUUGCUUCUUAAGCUCAAUCAACUCUGGUCCAGAUAUUCUGUAAGCUCUCUUGAAGAUAGGGGCGGUUCCAGGAAGAAGCUCUAUAGCAAACUCAACUUUCCGCUCUGGUGGCAUACCCGGUAAGUCCUUUGGAAACACAUCUGGGAACUCGGACACAACCUUGAUCCUCUCAAUUGGGUCUGCUUCACUGCUAUCAACAGCUAUCUGAUAACAACUUCCUUUCUUUGGCUCAGGCGGGACUAACUCAGUCACCACUUCCUCUCCUAGUGGGGACACCAACUUGAUUGUCCUUUUAUCACAACCGAUAACUGCCUGAUACUUAUCUAGCCAAUUCAUCCCUAGGAUGACAUCUAUUCCCUGAGUACCCAUUACUAUAAGGUUGGCGGGAAACGCUAUCCCCCUUAUUUCCACACUUAUAUUCAAACAAAUGCUAUCGGCUCGAAUUCUACCACCGGCUGAGUCAAUUUGAAUGGGGGUUGACAUGGUAGUAAUUGGAAGAUUAUGUGCUUCUACCCAUGAUGCAGUAAUGAAAGAAUGCGUUGCUCCAGUAUCAAAUAACACUUCUGCAAUAUGGGAGUCGACUGGGAACAUACCUACUAUCAUGCCGGGGUCUCCUGAACUGCUUCAGCCUCCAAGUGGUUCAGUCUUCCAUGAUUAUAGCGCGGCUAAGAGCGAUUGCCUGCUCUAGGCUGAGGCACAUUCUGCUUUGCUGGGGCAUUGGGGCCUGACUGCUGCUGGGCUGCCUUCUUUGGACAUUGCAUCACCCAGUGGCCUUGCUCUCCACAGUGGAAACAUGCUCUGUUUCCAACCUGAGCUGGUGCUGCCUGAUUGUUCUGCUGGUUUGCUGGGGCAGGAAGACGAGGUGCCUAUUGAUUCUGCCUCUAAAACUGACCUCCUGACUGAUUGCUCUGACGGUUCUGGUACUGAUGCUGAGGAUACUGCCUUUGGAACGACUGAUGCUGCUGAGGUGGACGCUGGUUCUGCCUGAACUGCUGAGGUUGACUGCCUGAGAAACGAGGACGAUUGCUGCUUCCAGGCUGGGGUCCACUGAUCUUGCGCUUACGAUCCUCCAUCUCCUUACGCUUCCUCUCUGUCAUGAUUGCUCUGUCAAUCAGGUGCUGGAAUGUCGGGAAGGUAUGAUUCAUCAGCUGAUACUGCAGAGGGUCAACCAAGCCUCUCAGAAAACGGUACUGCCGCUUGGCGUCGGUGUUGACAUCUUCAGGAGCAUAGCGAGACAAUUGUAGAAACUUGUCCCGGUACUCACUGACAGACAAUGGCCCUUGCUUGAGAGCCAGGAACUCCUCUUUCUUCACUGUCAUCAGACCUGCAGGGACAUGGUACUGACGAAAGCUACCUCUGAACUCUUCCCAUGUGAUGGCGUCAGGGUGGGCAUGGGUGGCGAGGUAAGACUCCCACCAUGAUUGGGCUGCUCCUCUCAACAGACGGGGACCAUACAGGACUUUCUCCCUGUCAUCGCACUGAGCGGUAUGCAACUCACGCUCCACAGUGCGUAGCCAGUCUUCAGCAUCCAUGGGAUCAGAAGAGUGAGCGAACGUUGGUGGAUGACCUCUCAUGAAUUCAGCACGCUUGUCUCUGGGCAUUUGAGGCAUCUGAGGCUGAGGUGGGGCCUGCUGCUGCUGCUGCUGAAUGGCGGCCAAAGUCUGGCCGAUGGCUUGAACUGCCUGAGUCUGCAUCAGGAACAUCUGCUCGAUGGACAUCGGGGGCGGGGGCGGCAGGUGCUGCUACUGAGGCACCUCUUCCUGUUGAGUGGCUCGCUCCUGCUGAGCACGCCUUCCUCCUCUGCGCCUAUUCUCUGACAUCUGCAGAAUGCAACCACACAUCAGAACUGAUCUGGCAAAUCUUGCAGCAUAAGAAAAGAGAAUAGAAUUCUUCAACAGCACUGAACAGAUGAGCAUCUUCACUGAUCUCCAACACAGACCACACAGCUUCUCAGAUAAAGAGGAAAGUGGAAUAAAAGGUUUCCCAACUAUAUUCUAACUCCAUUAACAUAAUAGGUAAACCAAAAUGCAGGGGAUACCCACACUCUGGUGACAGUCAUUACAAAGAUCCAAACCAAACAUAGUUCAUCAUGACAAACAUAGAUGCACAGGAUAUAGCAAACUACCCUGUCUAACUAAGACUAACUAAGACUGAGACUAACGCUAAGACCGAAGCUUUUAUGUAUAUAUUUCGUAUUAAUUACAAGAUCCAACUCUAACGAUCUAUGGUUCUAGAGUUAUCUUGGUCUUGCAGGCGGGAUUGCCAUAAGACUGGUGUCCACGCUGAGGUGAGCGGUACGGGUGCUGAGUCCCAACGGGAGCGGGGGAACCACCAUCCAGGUGACGACGUUCCGCGCGCUCAGCCCGCAGCAGGGCGAUCUCAGCACGAGCCCUACUCAGCUCGUCUAGUGCAUGGUCCAGCUCCGUGUUUAGCACGGCGGCUAGGUUGACUGUGCUGCUCAACCUAGGAUUGCCCUCACCGACAGGUGAGACAAUAACGCCUCCUGUGCUGCCAGAUGGACGGCGGGGGUAAUACUUCAGGUCAAGACCGUCAGCUGCCCCACCGAAAACCGAGCAGUAGUGCGAAAGCGCACGCCGUACAGCAUCUUGCAUGGCUGCCUCAGCUGAGUCCCGCUCAGAGAUAGAAUAGUGCUCUGAGCAGGCCUCCGCACCCUGGAGACUGUUCUCCGGGCAGCGCACCAAGCAGGUUGCCUCCCAGCGGUCCGGGUAGACCCCGCGACUGUGCUGGUAGACCACACAGCGAUACUCGACGGACCAAGUAUGCCAGUUAAAUGCCCGACGUAGCAGGGUGUCGAGCGCAUCGUGGAAGUGACACCCGCGAGCAGCGUCGCGAGUGAUGGGUCGAGCAACCCAUCCUUCCGGCUCAGGGUUAGCAGAGAAGUCGGUGUCGUGGCUCGAGCUGUCGUGGCUCGAGCUGUCGUCGCCAUCUCCGUCGUCUGGGUCUCCUCCAGCAGCUACUCCAGAAGCUGGGGCGCCCAGUGGUGGUGCAGGGGGCGCCUCCAGGGGAAGCACAGGGGAGCAGCUCCUCACAGACUCUAUCUCCUGGUGGAGCGAGAAAGAAGAGCCCUGCUGCUCCUGUCGUCGACGUUCCUGCUCCUCACGCAGGCGGUGGUGCAGUCUCUCCAAGUGGCUGGACUGUCCGGCCACGGGACAGCGUAGCGGACGCUCAGCAAGGCGGGAGGGUAAGAAGGGGAUGACUGACUUUCGUGCAGUGUGUCUAAGUCGAGCCAUCUACAAAAGACAUCGCAAGCAAAAGGGUGAGAACAGAAUCAAUAUGACCAGCAAAUAAUGAACCAUAAAUGAAUGAAGGAUUAGAAUAAAACAUAAUUUUCAGCAAGGUAUAGUAUAUAGUAGAACAUAGGUGUGGUCGGUAUGACCAACUUUUGAAGGGAUAUCAAAGUCAAGGCAGAGACAGAGGUCUAUAGUCCUUAGGACGACCAUUCUACUCUAGGUUAGCGGUCCUACAGUCAGCACGGCUUUGAUACCACUUAUGUCACACCCGGUUUUAGAAGGCAAACCGAAUGCGAACCAUGUACGUGCCAGGAUCAGUUAUUCACGUACACAGCAGUUACAUAACAUGGACAUCAUCACACAGUGCUCAAAAUAGUAUUAAGAAGGGAAAUAGUCGAUUACAUCAUACGUCUGAGACGUCCAUAUAGUUCUUACAAUAAAUCAAAGUGCAGAAAAGAAACGUAGAUAACCGCGGCCUUCACAGGCAGCCGACUGGGGGUUGCCGCUAACCCACACCUAGAACUCGUCGUAGUCUUGGAACUCCUGGAAGUCUCCUUCCACAGCUUCAUCUUCGCCUGAGCAGUGGUUGCAAUGCUGACAACCUGGGGAUGGGGGGGGGGUUUGGUGUGUAGAGCAAGGGUGAGUACACAUCAACAUACUCAGCAAGUAUCCUGUUUGGCUGUAGUGGACUAGCUGUAUGUGGGGAUAAGUCAAGCAGUUGCUUUUAGUUGGUCAGAUUAUUACUUACUAGUAGAAAGCCAAGUUUUAGCAUUAACCCAAGUUAUUAACCCGAUGUACCCUUUCCAAACGGAAAGAAUACCACUUACCAGCACCAUAGUCAUAAACAGACGUUCCACGCGGGCUCGCGAGUACAGUUAAGAGAGAAAGAGGAAAAGACAGUCGAGAAACGAUCACGUUACAUGAUUAUAAGUUAACCACUCGCUUAAUAGAAGGAAAUUUAAUGUAGACACUAUGUUUAGCGUAAAGUAAAGUCAUGUUUCAUGUCUAAUUAUUAUAAGCAGGUGGAGAUAAAUAAAAAGGAUGGUCGCGCGGCGAGACGCGCGACAAAGCUCUCUAAAACAAAUUAAGAAGUUAACGACUCGUCGCACGACCGAGCACGCAACGAGACACUUCGCCUUAGUUACGAGGAGACGUUAAGCGUCGCGCGACGAAGCGCACGACGGCAUACGUCGACUAAACUGAGUCCAAAGUGGAACGUCGCGUGAAUACACACGCGGCGUUACACCUUAAACAACCUAAAACAAAAUGGAUCGUCGCGCGAUGAAGCGCACGACGCAACACAAGAUAGAAUCUGAAUUUUAGACAAAUCCGUCGCGCGGCGAAGCGCGCGACGCAACACGCUAAUUAACAAAUAAUCACCGCGAGCGAAGAUACGGUCGGGCGAGGCCGGGACGGGGGAACGGGCGGCCGAGCCGGGGCCGGGGCGGUUGAACCGGCCAGGGGCGGCCGAGUCGGUCGGGGCCGCGCCGGGGACGCGCCGGGGGCCGGAGGCCGCGCCGGGGUCGCGCCGGCGAGCAGGGGCCACCGGGGCCGCGCCGGGCGCGCGCCGGGGGAGGAGCGGGGGCGGGCGGGCGCCGCCACGGGGCCGGGACGGGCGGGCGCCGCCGCGGGGCCGGGACAGGCGGGCGCCGCCGCGGGGAGGGGCGGGGAGCGCCGCGCGAGCGGGCAGGGGGCGAGGAGCGCCGCCGCGGGGCCGGGGUGGGGGGGGGGAGCGCCGCCGACGAGGGGCGGGGACGGGGUCGGGCGCCGCCGCGCCGGGAGGAGCGAGGACGGGCGCCGCCGCGCGGGGCAGGGGCGGGGACGGGCGGGGUCGCCGCGGGCCGGGGGAGGGCGGGCGCCGCCACCGCGCGCGAGGGGGAGGGGCGGGCGAGCGCCGCCGCGGCCGGGGGAGGGCGGGCGCCACCGCGCGGGGCCGGGCAGGGGCGGGGGGCGUCACGCCGCCGGCGAGCAGGGGCGGGCAGGGGCGCGCGCGAGCAGGGGAGAGGGAGGGCGCGCGCGGGGGAAAGAAGAGGAGGGAGAGGGAGAGAGAGAGAGGAGAAGGGGAGGGGAGGGGAGCUCACCUCGGGGUCCAAAAUCCGGUGAUCGCCGUCUCCAAACCCUAGGGCACCACGGGGAGAGAGAGGUGGAAGAGGGAGAGGAGAGGUUGUUGCGCGGGAGAUCCAAAUGAGAGAGAGAGAGAGGAGAGGGGGCGCAUGGGGGGUUUGGGCGCCGGGGGCGCGCAGGAUGGGCAGGACGGGCCGGCUGGGCUGGGCUGGACUAGGUUGGGCUGGGCCGGGCCACUUCGCAGAUCAAAAACCCACGACGAGCGCGACCACUAAACGGAAUUAAAUCGUGAACCGAAAUCCGGAACGGAACGAGACGAACAUUCAACAUCAGACAAAGAAAUGUGCUUCGGCAUGAUGCAACACCCAUGACACUUAGGUUUUGGUUUAUACAUGACACAGACACCUGCCGCUAUACUGGUUUGAAACUGGGAAGAAGGAGCAAACGGGGAAAGAGAAAAGAGAGUAACGCCCGAAUUUGGUGAGAGAAAAGAAGAAAAAAUUCUACCCCCAAAUUCAGGGCGUUACAGCAGCGCACCAUUGGUGGUGCCAUCUUCUAGAUUUUUUAUGAUUUACAUUGUAAUAAUAAAGUUAUCAUGCUGAUAUGUGCAUCCUCUUAGUAAUAAAGUAUUAGAAAUCUAUAUUUUAAAUUAAAAUGUAUCCAAGUGUGUUCCAUUGCUUUUGGUUUCCCUAGGACCAAAUACUAAAUCCUUUGAAUCAUACCUAUUGUAUGAUACCUGAAUAACUCUACACUACCACGUAUAAACAUUAUGAGGGAGAUGGUGGCUAGGUGGAGGUUGCAGCCUAGAGGAUGAGUAGAAUGAUGUGUUAAGGUUGUAUAGAUGGGCUUAAGCUAAAAUUUGUUGUUGGUCUAGAAUAGUAUCUGAGUUAUCCGAGGUUAAGUGUAGUACCCAAAUUCUAGAUGAAUAAAGCAAGGAGAGAAUAUCAAUUACAUAUACUUUCAUUUUCAUUUAACACACACACACACAUAUAUAUAUAUAGGGCAGGUAUAACGGGAGCCCUGGGCUUCGGAUAUUAAAGGAAGCCCAGGUCGGUUCCGAGGUCUGGUCCGUUGAGACAGGCGCGCCUGUGUUUAACGUAGUCCAGACAGGCGGCAUGCAGGACAGACGGCGCCAUUACGCGGUUGUUUUAAUGGCAAGGCGGUAAACAUAUGGUAAAGGCGCGAAAUUAUAGGGAAUAGUUUCCACAUGCAAACAUGCUUACUAUGUUACGUGGGCGCGGAAUUUAUGGAUCUUGCAUGGGGUGUAAUGGCGGCAGGUAAAUAUAACGUAGAAUAAGAUGUUGAAAGAUAUGGCAUAAAACCGAAACGGCACAAAAGUUGCAUGAAUAGUAUAUACCAUUUGGCGUAAAACGUUAAGUCAUUGUGCGUAAAUAGUGUAUUAUGGAUAUUAGUUUGACAUUGACAUCGCCAUAAUAUCGGGACGGUUUCAGAAAUAAUGGGGAGACCCUGUAAACGUGGAUGCGGUUACUUGUAUAGUACCCGUGAUUUCCUUUCAUCCGAAAAAACACCACAAAGCCUGCAUAACUAUUUGGAGGUGGAGAUGGCCGGCUCUGGAGAGUCGCCGGCGAUGGUAGGAGAUGGCGUUCGUCUUGAUCCAGAGACGGAGGGAGUAGUUGAUGGUAACUCACUGGUCACACCACCUCCUGCUCUACUGGGUCCUGUGAUCGACGAGAUGAGCAUAGGGGAAGAAGGAGAACAAAGGGUUCAACCUCCUAUGUCCAAUAUUAGCUCCAGGGAGAUGGAUACGCCUCAAAUACUGCAUUCACAUGUAAGUCCAAUUGUUGUAUUUGAUUCUUGAUUGAUUAGAUUGUUAUGAACAUAUUCCAUGGUAGAAACAACAUUGUCAAUGAAUUUGCAGGAAAAAAACAUUGAUCCAACUAUAGUGCCAACGGUAGGGAUGACUUUCAAGGAUGUUGAUGAUGCAUAUAAAUUCUAUAAAAGGUAUGCAUAUGAAGAUGGAUUUCCACUGAAGAAAUACAGAGAGAAGACAUUCAGUAAGUGGAUAAAUUGUUCACGUGAAGGUAAAAGUGCGCCAAAAUCAAAUGAUACACCUAGGAUGAGGAAUAGGACUUCGGGGUGUACGCAAUGUAAGGCUGGAAUAAAAUUAAAAAAUAUAUAUGAUGAUGAAAAAAAUGGUUGUAGCUGCAAAAAUUGAACUGGUAAACUUGGAGCAUAACCAUGAGUUCAUAACUGACGAAGCCGAGAAACAACAUUUACGUUGCAACAAAAGUAGGGAUGCUGAGUUCAUAAAUUUUGUUGAUGCAAUGCAUGAUAGCCGAGUGCCGCAGCAUUGCAUAGUUGAUUUUAUAUCAGAAAUGCAUGAUGGGCCGGAGAACGUACCGGUAACUGCUCAAGAUCUGAAAUACAUGUAAGCAAUAUUUUUAUGUUUCAUGUGUAUAUAUUAAGUGCCAUAAAUAUUACUAUAGUAAAAGUGUGUGUAAUCAUUUUUUGUGCAAACAAAUGUAGGAGGGCAGCAAGGAGAAGAGAAAACUGCGCAAAUGAUGUAGCCAAACUUUUGGCUUUCUUUACAGAAUGCAAGAAACAGAAUCCACAAUUUUUUUGUGAUUUCUAGCUAGAGAAUGAUGGGAGAAUAGUGAGUAUUUUUUGGUCACACGCAAGUAUGCAGGGGGAAUAUGCAGAUUAUGGUGAUGCCGUGACAUUUGAUACAACACACAAGACAAAUAUAUAUGAUAAACCACUGGGCAUGUUUGUUGGAGCUAACAGCCAUCUGCAGUGUACAGUGUUUGGAUUUGUUUUGUUGGGAGAUGAAAUAGUACAGACUUUUGAAUGGGCUUUCAAUUCAUUCAAAACAUGUAUGGGAUGCGAGGGUCCAAGAGUUAUGCUUACAGGUAUGUGGUAUGUCAAUUUGUUAUGCAAAACAGUGAAUUUAUUUAUUGUGAAAGUAAAUUAAUAGUUUGUGAGCAAUUGCAGAUCAAGAUCCUGCAAUGCCAAUUGCUCUAAGAACUUUAUUUCCAAAAACAGUUCACAGACUGUGUUUAUGGCAUGUCCAGAACAUAUUUAUGCCAUUCCUAAAUGAGAUAUAUGCAAGGUUUGCUGUUAAGGAUUUUAAAACAACAUUCCAGUCUAUUAUACAUCAUCCAUUAACUCCUCAUGAGUUUGAAUGUGCCUGGGAAAUGAUGCUAGAGGAGUUCAAUCUUCAUGAAGAUAUGACUCUACGCAAAUUAUAUGAAAUAAGAAAAGAAUGGAUACCUGCAUUUUUUAAAAACGACUUCUGUGGGGUAAUGGUAUCUACACAACGAAGUGAGAGCAUGAACAGAUUAGUGAAGCAAUCACAUGUAGAUGCGAACACCCCACUGCAUGAGUUCGCUAAACAAAUGAUGAAAAUGUUGCACAGCAGGAAAAUGAAAGAAUCAAAGGAGGCAUUGGUGAGCAAGGUAUGUCGUGCUUGUUAUCAAUAAUGUAUGGCAUACAUUUUAUGUAAAUAAUUUGUUUAUUUAUUAUAAUAAUGUCUUAUAGGGACCAAGGACAACAGAUACAUUGUAUAGGUUCGAAGUGAGAGUCUCUAGAGCAUACACCAGAGCUGUUAUGAAUAGAUUUGAGGAAUCAAUGAAAUACGCCACUGCAUACAAAAUAUUAAAGGACGCAGAUGGUUGUGAUAAAGAUUGGAUCGUACAGCAUACAAAAAGGUCUAAUAAAAUUGUGUGGGGACAACAUCAAUUCAAGAUAACAGCGGACAUAGAAGAUGGGGAGUAUACAUGCGAGUGCAAACAGUGGGAACAUACAUGUUUGUACAUAUUAUGUUGAUUAAAAGAAUAAAUUUGCAUACUAAAGAAUUUGUUGAUUGUAGUACAAAUUAAUGUAUAUCGUUAAAAAAUAAUGGUUGGUUUUCAUGUUUUCAGGUCUAUUGUGUGUUCAUCUUUUAAGAGCCUUCAUGCACCUUCAAGUUGAAAAGAUACCUUCAAAGUAUAUAUUGCAAAGGUACACUGUCUCAUCAAGAAAAGAUGUACCGUUUGAAAGAAUUGAUAAGAGCUUCAGGGGAAAGGAUGGAGUUACUAAAUCAUACAGACAGAAAAUGUUGUUAACGAAAACAAUGAAAGUAGUUCGCCAGGCGUGUAUGUCAAAAGCAGGGUACGACAAGGCGAUGGAUGUGUUGGAUGAGCUCGAUGGCGUUCUAUGCCGAUUAGAGCCAGAUAUUGGAUGUAAUGAGUCAUGUGAUGUUAGUGAUGAUGAGGAAGACAAGGUAAUAAUAUUCUAGUUGUUUAAAUGUUAUACUAUUUGUAACAUAUAUUAUGCAUAGUAACAUGUUAUUUGUACCAGGAAGGAGAAUUGAACAAAAAUAAUGCUGGCGAUGAGAUGGAAGAUGACAAUACAAUUACAUGCCAUAAAAUGGUAUGUAAAAGAUAAAUAUAUAAGCUUGCAUGAAGUAUUGUAUAUAAUGAAUAUAUAAAAUCAAUGUACUAAGCAAAUUUUAUUUUGUAGGAUGAGCAUAACACCAUGACUGGAUGUGAACAUGCGUUAACAUUAAUAACAGCUGUUAACCAGGUAUCAUAUUAAAAAAAUAUUGUUCAUUUGUAUAUAAUGAAAAUAUAUAUUUAUGCUGCAUGGAAAUGUUGAUGUAUUUGGGUUGGGCUAUAUAGGAGGACAACAUGAGAAUUCCACCUGAGGUUGGUGAUACAAGUUCUCCGUGUCACGUAGCACAGGAACAAAUGGAACAUAUUGUUGCAUCCUCAGAAGCUAAAAAUGUGAGCAUUGAUAAAUGAUUUUACUGACUGGUAUAAAGAUAAUUUAUGUAAAUAUGUGUAUACUAAAUAAUAACUUCUUUUAUUAUACAGAGGUUGAAUUUUAAUGUGGAUGUUAUAAAUCUGAGUAUGCCGGAUCGUGCAAGACCAAAAGGACGGACAAUAAAAAAUUCAGAAGAUAGGAUUAUGAGACUAGGUGCGAAAGGAGAAAAAAAUAAGAAUAGGAGAUGCCAAUUGUGUGGUAUAGCAAAUGGACAUAAUAGCAGAACGUGUCUGUCUGUGGAAGAGAACAGGGCAAGACUAGCAAAACUGGCUAAUCGAAAGGGAAGACGACCAGCCGGAUCAAGACUAAACAAUAAAACAACUGCUCCACAGUGGAAUGAAACAUCGACUGCUAAAAACAUCGUAUUGAUGAAGAAGUGGAAAAUGAAGAAGCCGGUGAGCAUAUGGAAUUGGGCGAAUAAUUUGAAGUGUGGCUAAAGAGUGGUCGAUGUAGUAGAAACUUGUAAUAGCACAAUGACCUAUGUUUUAGUUUUUUGGAAAUUAAUAGUUUGCAUGACUGGGUUAUAUAAUGCGUUGAUAUAAAACUAUAAAAUGUUGCGUAAAACUAGACCAUUACACAAAUUAUGUAACUGAAUAUAUACCACAAAUUGGCAUUGAACGUUUAGCAAUCGGCAGAUCUGGACAUAAAUGGUAUAUAAACUCUAUACACUUAACAUAACUAAUCGAAUGGGAGUACAUACUUCGGUUUCGCAAUACAGCUACACUAGACAGGAUGUAGCAUAACCACUGGUUACAAUUAGCAUAAUUAGCAUGGUAAAUGUGUAAAAAAGGAACCUAAUGUAUAUAAAAUAAGGUAGUAUAUAGGUUGCAUAAAACUUGAAUAUUAAAGAUAAUAUGAUAAUAGAAAUACGCCAAACAUUGGACGCAAACGAUUAACCAUCUCACAAUCUGGAAAAUGAAAAGCAUAGAAUUUCGUAACAGAUAACAUAACUAGACAUUCUGGUAACACUUAUGUUUGACACACUUCAAAUAAAAACUGAUACGAAGUAGCAUAGACACUGGACACAUCGAACAUAAGUGGCAUAUGGAGUAUCAUACACAUGAGCAACGCCUGACAUAAGUGACUUAAUAAGUAACAUAAACAGUUUUGGGGAUCCCAUAGGAAAUCAUGUUCAGCUAUGAUAUCUAAGUCUUGGCUUUCAAACAACGUCGUCUCCUUGGAGCAUACUUGAAAGGCAGUAGUUCUGCAGGGAGGGGGACAACCCUGUUGUUGCGAUGAAAGGUCAGGUAAUGCAGAACAAAGGCACGUUGGUCCAAUGGUUCAUCCUGAAAUAGUCAAUAAUAUCGAAUUAAUGCUAAGAUUAAGUAUGAAGGAGUAAUAUAUGCAUGAUCAAAACAAUAAUUUAGUAACAUACCGGAGUAUAAAAUUCUGAUAAGUCGCCAUCAUCAAAAUCGUAGUAUCAGAGGAAGUUUGCGACAAAAAAACCACAAUCGUUUGACCCUGGUAACAUGGUUGGACAAUUGGGAAGAAGCCCAAUCUUGUAGUUGCCAAACUUUGGUAAAGUUGAAUCAGGUCGAGCUUCAUGUAACGCAAUGCUAAGUCUUCUCAUUAUUAAUCUGGACCAAGGUAUCUUCGUUCCAUUUAUCAACAAUUGAUCAUUGUGGAUUUGUUUCCAGGUAGCGCCUCCAAGCAAUGUCCCAUAAGGAUUUGAAUCUAAGAUGUCUAUUCGACGAAGUUCAAAGUUGAUUGCAUAAAGGGUCCAGUGACUACGGCGUAGCAUAGGAACCAGGAUCUGUUAAGAUAUAUGUAUAAGUUUAUGAAUAACAAUAAUAGGCGUAUAGAAAAUUAAAGAUAAGAUAACAUAUAACUAAUGACCAAAAGAACAUUAUAAUAUUAUUACAAAUAAAACUGAUUGGGGCUCACCAAUUUAAUUUGGUUCAGAACUUCAUCUGGAGGAAGCGUCGGUUCAAGUUGUUCUUUAAGAAGUGAUGUUGAGAAGGGCUGGGGAUUUGAACUGUGUUGUUCGAACUCCUCGAUAUUCAAAACGGUCUGGACAAAAAAAUCAAUUGAUUAGUAUUAUAUAUUUAUACAGUAAGGGUUGCAAUAAGAUACAAAGUUGUAGAGAGAAAAUUACCCCAACAUUGACAUUCAGUAUUAGAGUGUUGAUUACAGAAUCUGGAUUGUAUAAUACAUCAUCCUCACGAAUACAGUCGAUAAAUCCCUGCAUGAAAAUAUUCUCAAGGCAUUUAUUAGGACCAAACGACUGGACAACAUCGAGGACAGAACCUCCAAAUCCUCCAAAAUUUAUGAUAGACCUGGGAAAAAAUAAAACUUUAAUUACAAAUCAUCUAAUUAUACUUAAUUGGAAUUUGAAUAACGAAUACAUACAUGCUCGGAUCUAGUUGUCCUGACAAAAUGAACUUAAGUAGGUUGAGAGCACAGUCUUCGCGUGACACGUGGGGAGGUUCAACAACUGCAGAUUUAGAGGAACUAUCCCUUGCAACAAGUUCAUUAGUUGCCUAAUAUAUGUAUAUAUGUUAGUAAACAAUUGCAUAAAUAAUUAUGUAUUUUAGUGUAUAUAUAUGAAAAAUAUGAGAAGAUAAAACGACAUGACUUACAUCUGUCAGUGGGGUUUUAUCAAACUGUGGUGCACCAGAUACGGGAGUAUCAUGUGUAACAAAUUUUUGUCCUUCCUGGAAACAAUAAAAUUAUUAAUAUAAACGUAAUGAAACAUAGGUUAUAAUUAAUAUUAACAUAAUAUGAUGAAGGUAUAAAUACUGACAGUAUUUAUAUCUGGUGUUAAUUCAGGAGGAGCAGACUUGUCGGUUGUGGGAGCCUAGUGAAUAAAGUAAAUAAAGCAUGCAUAUAUAUUACUGUUACUUGCAUACAUUGUAAAUGAAAAUAUAAUAACUGUGAUUAAAGGAAAGCAAACAUUUGAUUUUGGAGUCUUGUCAAAUAUAGGGGCAUCCAUAACUGAAUUUUUUUACAGACGUUCCCACUGGCAUUCUGUAAUGGAAACAUAGGAAAUUUGAGUAAACAGUAACUUGUAUGCUAUAUUUAAUACAUGAUUUAUAUAUAAAGUUUGUAUGAAAAAACUUACCUGUUCUGAUACUUUGAUAUCAUCAGAAGGAACAUGUACUUCCUGAUCAUGUUGCUUAUUAUCAGGGGAUGGAACAGGUGGAGAGGAUACUGGAGCAUUUGUUGGAGACAUUGAGGUAGUGGGGGUAUAUCUACAUUUGGAAAAUAUAAUAAUAAAGUAGUUGUUACUGAAAUGAACCAGAAAUAUAAAUGUAUCGUUAAAAAAAGGUUAAACAUACACAUCAUCGCAAACUACAUCAAUAUACUAUCAGGAUGCAUAAAUAAAUGAGAUCUAUCAAAAUAAAAUCAAAUGUAAUGUGUUGGUGACUGUAUGAGUAUAAAUUAAUGCAUAAGUUAUAUAUACAAUGCUGCAUAAACUAAAUUAUCUGAGAUCAUAUAACUAAAUAUAAUUUUCCCCGCAAUAAUUCAUGAGCUUGAUUAAUAUAAAAAAAUAAACAUAAAUAACAAAACCUUCUUGCUGUGAAUCGCGCUGCGUUGCAACUGUCAGGACUUCAUCGAUCAUUUCACCAAAUGUUUCAGCUAGUUCAAUCUGCUUCGAAACAAUCAUCUGAUGGCUCAGCUGAAGAGAAUCACAGUACUUAUCCACCUAUUUGUCAUGAGCGUCAAACAUUGAUUCAAACAUUGGUCCAUGCUGGUAGGGCAAACAUUUCAACUUGUUGCCAAUCAAAUGCUUGAUACGUGGCACAUAUAUAUUGAAAACGGCAGAAACGGGCCAUUCUGGUGCAAUGACGUAACACGUUUCUGAAUGGCUACGAAACUGUAUAAAGCCCAGUUACAACUGUUAGCAGUAAUUAAAAUUGAAACUUCUGCAAAACAGGACAAAAAAUGGAUAUGUCUAACCUCUGCAUAGCCAAAUGGUUCACCAGUUUUAUGGGGUGGACGUCUGUCACCCCGUGCCAAAUCUCUUAUGGUCUCAUUAUCAAAAAACUUAAUGUGGGGAGUACCAUAUUUGUUAUCAGGAGAUGCAGGGUGAUGUAAGUGAUCAAGAUAGUAAAUCUGAAAAAUGAAUGAAAAAAUAUAAACUUAGUACAAAACAAAUAUUUGCAUAUCAUAUAUAUGCACAGUGAACAAAAUAAUUACUUACUAGAACUAUGAGUGAACAUCCAUAUAUUGUUGUUGUAAUGUUUGUUUUGUUCCUUUUGUGCCAACGUGUGGCAGCAUCACACAAAUCCAUGUAAACUAGUUGACACCAGUCAAUAUCAGCCAUUCGGGCCAUGUUUGAAGUCAUUAGUACCUCAUUGUUUGUAAUGCCCCAUGAAGCAGAUGGAAAAAGAAGUCGAUUGAAUAGAAUCAGAAAAAAACAUCUGAUUGAUAACUCAUCAUCAGUGCCAAGCACUAUCUUGUCCUGAAGCUUGACAACAUCAAAUUUUUCUUUACCAACUUUGAGAUCACGUCUAAGUUUUGCAGCAGCAUCCACUUCACCAUACCAAUUAGUAAACUCCCUGCCCCCUCCAGCAAAUGGCAAACCCAAAAUAAGACGAUCAGUCUCUUUUGUUAUCUUCAGUUCCUUGCCAGCCCCUGGGCAUAUGGUCAUGUCAUGUGGAUCCAAUUUAUCCAUCAACCACCUAAUGAGAGAUCUGCUCUCUAAGGCAUCAGUUCGCAAAUCAAAUAUGCUGGAAAAUCCCAACCUAGCGACUGCAUCGCGCUGCCGAUCGCUCAUUAUCCAAGUUGAGACAAUAACAUCAUAAGGAAUGCAGCGGAUAUUCAAUUUAUGAAAGCAUAAAUAAAUAUGCAUUAAUACACAAGGCAUAUAUAUUGUUAUAACUAAGGAUACUAUAUAUACAUACAAUUGAUAUUUAUUAGAGCCUUGUGAAUAACUAUUCUACAACACUAAAAAAAUAAACAGCGUACUUUGAGAUAAUAAUAUACAUAAAUGUAACUUGGGGGGGGGGAAUACAAAAUUGAUUGGGCACCAAAAUUAACACAUAAAAAACAGAAAUAUAUAUAUAGUACCUGGGAUUUUCUAGGAGUCUUCUGUUUAGGAGAACUUUUUUUGUAAUGAUAUUAGACUUGGCAUCUAUAUCAAACUUUGGACUGCUUUUCACACUCGGAACUUGUGGAGAAGGAACCUCUAUCUUCUUUGCACUGUUUUUCUAUAGGGGAAGGUGAUGUUGAUCUGAAUUGGCGCUUCAACGCAGGAGCAUCCAUGAAAUCGUCGUCGGACAGUGUGGAUGGAGCAGGAGGUUUUGUUUUUACACGACAAGCUAAAGCCUUUCUGCGAAAACGAUGGACUGGUGUUGGUUGUGGCUCAUUCUACUUCUGAUUAUGUGGGUUGUCAUCUUGGUGAGCUGAGCUGCUAGAUCUUGUACGUCUGGAAAUGUCAAUAGAAAAACCCUCCUGAGUGGAUUCAAUGGUUAAACUUUUUGGAUUACUUGGAGGGCGAUCAACAGUUCUCAUGAUUAAACACUGAAUAAAUCUGUUGAAAAAAAAGUUGUUUUUAAAUACAAUGAUUUAUGCAUGAAUAUAUGCCAAAAGACUCUAAUUUUGACUAUAACUAUCUACAAUGCAUACUACAUAAUGGUAAAUGGAAUUACAUAACUUAAACUACCUUUUACAUUUAUGAGACAGUAUUUAAUGAACAAUGGUCAUAUACAAACAUAAAGAUUGAUUUAAUAUUUCAUAUAAUUGGAACUGGAGCAUGUUAAAAUAAGUGCCUUUUUGCAUCAACUAACUAUACAACAUGUUUUAAUAACUGGUUCAUAGUAAUAUACACAUUUAGCUCAUAUUCAAAAAUGAAUAUUUAAAUAACUUUUGCAUAAAUAACAGUUUCUGUAUGUAUUUAUAUAUAAUAAACAGUAGUGUAUACUACUGAUUCAAUUAAAUAGAAUAAUACAAUUAUGCCUAUUACCUUACAUAAACAUCUAUACAAAUGAGCAUAGACAGUACUGCCGAUAUGCAUAAAUAUCAAAUCCAAUAAGUAUAUUUUAUAUAUAAUACAACAGGUGUGUAAACUAAUGAUUGAAGUAAAUAGAACAAUACAAUUAUGCGUAUUAUUUCGACCAAUAUUCAAAACAUUUGUACAAAUGUGCAUAAACAGUCAUGACGAUAUGCAUAUAUAUCAAAUACAAUAAGCAUAUAUGUGUUACUAAUGUUGUAUAAAAGGUACUCUCUGUAAACUCAUGAAUAAAUACCUGAUCCACUGCCUUCGUCUAGGUCUAUGAAUGUCGAGAGAUACACUGGAUCUAGAAGAAAUGCAGAUGACCUAAUAUCGGGGCUCCUGAACAAAGGAUAGAUGAAAUGAGCGACGCAAUAGGCAGAUUAGAGAGAUGUAUAAUCGGAUACAAAUCACACAUUUAGAUGAAGAAUAAGGGUUACAAUCAAAUCCACUUCAAUCAACGAAAAAUGCUUCAAGAAUCGACGGAAAACACGAUGUAUUUCAAGUUGGAUUACCUGGAACUUCUGGGAAAGCAUUGGACGCUCUUGAAUCGGGCUCCAAUGCUCGGAGAUUGAAGGAGCUCAGCUGGAUUCGAGCGGCGCUGGAUUGGAGCGGCGAAAAUCGCCUGGCGAGUCGCCUCAGACGAAAGGAAAGACUGCGCGGCCACUGGGGUUUUCUUCCUAUCGACGCGGGUUUGCCUAAGUUGAUUGCGCGAAGACGAUUUUAGAAACCGGAAACGUGGGAGACGUGGCUGGGCUGACGGGGGAAACGGUGUAACGACGCCGUGAGUGGGAACUGUUGACCCGGUGUGGUUCAACCCAAAUGAGCAUAUUGACUAGCCUGGGCUUCCUCUAUUAUUGGAAGCCCAGAGCUCUUAAUAUAUAAACUAUAUAUAUAUAUAUUCUUGUCGGCGUUUCGAGACCGGGGGGUCCCUGGACCGACGAGUAAACUGUCGCCGCGUGCCCCAGCCCAGAUGGGUCGGCGCGAUACGGAGCGCGAAGGGGUAAGGCAGCCGGAGAGGAGACGGGCGUGAGAGGUGGAAAUCCUGCGGCCUUCGUGUUUGUCCCACGCCCAGGUCGGGUGCGCUUGCAGUAGGGGGUUACAAGCGUCCACGCGGGAGGGAGCGAGCGGCCUCACGCGAGCGCCUGUCCCGUCCUUUCCCCGCGCGGCCAACCCUCUGUAAGAGGGCCCUGGUCCUUCCCUUUAUAGGCGCAAGGAGAGGAUCCAGGUGUACAAUGGGGGUGUAGCAGUGUGCUAACGUGUCUAGCGGAGGAGAGCUAGCGUCCUAAGUACAUGCCAUCGUGGCAGCCGGAGAGGUUUUGGCACCCGGUUCGUGUGGUGUCGUGGCCGUCGGAGGAGCGCUGGAGCCUGGCGGAAGGACAGCUGUCGGGGCUGUUGAGUCCUUGCUGACGUCCUCUUGCUUCCGUAAGGGGGCUGAGAGCCGCCGUCGUCAUAGAGCGUGCAGGGCGCCAUCAUUACUUGUCUGUUGGAGCGAGCCAGAUGGGACGCCGGUCUUGUUCCCCGUAGCCUGAGUCAGCUUGGGGUAGGGUAAUGAUGGCGCCUCCUGUUGACGUGGUCGGUCCGCGGUGCCCUAGGUUGAGCGAUGUGGAGGCUCCUCCGAGGUCGAGGUCGAGUCUGUCUUCCGUGGCCGAGGUCGAGUCUGAGCCCCUGGGUCGGGCGAGGCGGAGACCGUCGGCUGAGGCCAGGGCUGAGUCCGAGCCCCUGGGUCGGGCGAGGCGGAGUUCGUCGUCUUCCGGGGCUGAGCCCGAGUCCGAGCCCUGGGGUCGGGAGAAGCGGAGUUCGCCGUCUUCUGGGGCUGAGCCCGAGUCCGAGCCCUGGGGUCGGGCGAAGCGGAGUUCGUCGUCUUCUGGGGCUGAGCCCGAGUCCGAGCCCUAGGGUCGGGCGAAGCGGAGUUCGUCGUCUUCCGGGGCUGAGCCCGAGUCCGAGCCCUGGGGUCGGGCGAAGCGGAGUUCGUCGUCUUCCGGGGCUGAGCCCGAGUCCGAGCCCUGGGGUCGGGCGAAGCGGAGUUCAUCGUCUUCCGGGGCUGAGCCCGAGUCCGAGCCAUGGGGUCGGGUGAAGCGGAGUUUCCUAUGGCGCCUGAGGCCGGGCCUGGCUGCUGUCAGCCUCACUCUUUCGAGUGGCACAGCAGUCGGUGUGGCGCAGGCGGCGCUGUCCUCUUGUCAGACCGGUCAGUGGAGCGCCGAAGUGACCGUGGUCACUUCGGCUUCUAUCGUCUGGAGGGCGCGCGUCAGGAUAAAGGUGUCAGGCCACCUUUGUAUUAAAUGCCCCUGCGAUUUGGUCGGUUGGCGUGGUGAUUUGGCCAAGGUUGCUUCUUGGUGAAGACUGGGCCUCGGGCGAGCCGAAAGUAUGUUCGUUGCUGGAGGGGGCCUCGGGCGAGACGUAGAUCCUCCGGGGUCGGCUACCCUUGCCCGAGGCUGGGCUCGGGCGAGGCAUGAUCGAGUCCCUCGAAUGGACCGAUCCUUGACUUAGUCGUACCCAUCAGGCCUUUGCAGCUUUGUGCUGAUGGGGAUUACCAGCUGAGAAUUAGGAGUCUUGAGGGUACCCCUAAUUAUGGUCCCCGACAGUAGCCCCCGAGCCUCGAAGGGAGUGUUAACACUCGCUUGGAGGCUUUUGUCACACUUUUUUGCAUGGGGACCAGCCUUUCUCGGUUGCGUUUUGUUCCGGUAGGUGCACGCGAGCGCACCCGCCGUGUGUAGCCCCCGAGGCCUCGGAGGGGUGGUUUGACUCCUCCGAGGUCUUAAUGCCUCGUGCAAUGCUUCGGCUGGUCUGGUCGUUCCCUCAUGCGAGCUGGCCGUAGCCCGGGUGCACGGUCGGGUCCCAAGUUCUCGGGCUGGUAUGUUGACGCUGUCAACGGUUUGGCUGGAGCCGGGUUUGCGAGAGCAGCCCCCGAGCCUCUGCACAGGGCGAGAGGACGGUCAAGGACAGACUCGACUUUUUUACAUACGCUCCUGCGUCGCCUUUCCGCAAGGAGGAGGGGGGAAAGCGCCAUGUUGCCCUCGGAGGGCGCCGAACAUGGUGUCUCCGGUGAGCUGCUGGCGGGUAAUCCGAGUGGACGCUCGUGCCCCAUUUGUUAGGGGUCGGCUAGAGGCCCGGAGGCGCGCUCAAAAGUACCUGCGGGUGAUCUGCCGGACCCGGUCCCCUGUCGACGGGGUCCGAGGGCUCGAUGCCUCCCUCUGAUGGGAUUCCGUUACAAGAUCGUUCCCGCUGGUCUCGGAAAUGUCCUAGGGUACCUCGGGAGCGUAGCCCGAGCCUUGGUUAUGUAUCGAACGUACCCAGGGUCAUCCCUCGCUCUGUGUCUGAGGCGGCUGUGAACCCUUCGAGGGCCAGCCUACCAACCCCUGAUUAGUAGUGGGCGCGGAGCCCGAGUGGCCUGAGGCGGCCGUUGAACCCUUUCGAGGGGCCGGCCUUCGAACCUCUGACCAGUAGUGGGCGCAGAACCCAAGCGCUCUGAGGCGGCUGUUGAACCCCUCCGAGGGGCCAGCCUUCGAACCUCUAAUCAGUAGGGAGGCUCGGAGCCCGUUUCCUUUACGGAGAAGGAUCCUUUUUGGGGUAUCCCCCUUUCCCGGUCCCUGUUGUAAGAGAGAGAAAGAGGAAAAGGAAAAGGAUACAAAAUCGAAUGACGUGGUGUACCUUUUUCGACGCGGUCAUUAUGGCGAAGGUGAAGCGUCGCUCUCUUCUUCUGCCAGAGGCGCCGCCUGUCCCGCCGCGGAGUUAAUGCGACGGGGCGAGCGGUUCGCGGGGCGGCCGUUGCGCGUGCGCGAGCCGUUCGAGGAACGGAACACGGGCGCGCCUUCUUCACGCCGUGAGAGAGGUUUCUCUCGCUGUCCCUGGAUGGGACGUGAGCUUGGCUGACGACGUGAACGCUGCUCCUGCCCUCCUGCCACCGCCAUUACUGCCGGCCCAUUUUUGGCCGUAUUGACCGUCGCGCCUGGCUGGCACUGCUGGGUCGUACGCAGGGCUGCCUCGAGUUGCGGUACUGGUUCCGCAGUCGAGGAGGCGUGGUAGUGGCGCGAGUGGCGGUGCAGUGGCUCGCACGUAGCAACCGGCGCGCCGGUUGCAUGACGCGUGGGCCUGGGCCUCCAUGCUGGGUGCGUUGGAAGUCGAAGGGGCGCGCCCACUUGGUGUGGUUGCAUGCCGCCUGCACGGCUGUCCACCCUUUCACCCGCUGGUCUGGGCGAAAGUGGAGGGACGCUUGUAACCGCUGGGCGGUUGCAUGCACCGCGCGUGGCGGUUUGGCUUCUUCUGCCCUGGGCCAGCUUGCAUGACGCGUGGGACCCAGCCCCCGCGCCAUAGGGGGAGGACCUUGGAGCGUGUUGGAGAAGACUCAGCCCACGACGGCUGGGGACACAAGUAGGGAGAGUCGCCUUUAAAAUGAGGGCGGCCCCCUUGAAAGGCGACCAUGUCUUCGCGCUCCCUUAUGCAUCGUGUCUUUCCACCUUCCGAGCCCCCGGACGGGGAACACCCGCAAUCCUUCCGCCUUGUCAUUGGAGGAACGCAACUUCGUGGAAGUUGGUACCUUUCAGCCAUUGUUCGGCUUCAAGGAUUUUCAUCAUGCAGCCCGGCUGCACCCCCUCGCCGGCGGUCACCCAAGACGGUGACCUCCAGUUCGAUGGCGGGGAGAAGCGAGCCGGGCUGCAGCCUCUACCCCUCCCUCAGCUUCAAGGAUUUUCAUCAUCAGUGCUGGGGAGGGGAGUGUGCCGAGUUGGGGUUGGUCCCUGCGCGGGCGGCGGCCCGCUCCUUCCCUCAGUGAUCGGGGGGAAGGGCUUUCGCCGUCCGUGGUGCUGGCAGCUGCCGCGUGCCUGGCUCUCUGGCCCGAGUGGCUUUGGAGCCGCUCCCGGCGCCGCCUCCCGCCAUGGCAGCUGGAAGAGGUUCUUCUGCCGACGAGAUAGCCGGUGCCGCCCACGGACUGACCUCCAACUCUACGGCCUUCUGCCCGUCCUUGCCUCUCGAGUGAGGGCAUGGGCGAGGGCCUCACGGCAGCAGCAUCCGCUCUAAGGUCAUCGUUGCUGCUGUUCGGCCCCCCAGAGCAGAAGUCGUCGUCGUCGCCGCUGCUGGAGCGGGCGACGACAAGCCGUUCGUCGGUCUUCUGUUGCUCCAUGGGCCCCCCAAUCGUGUGGGGUUGUUCGUACCCGCGGAGGUGGAACCGGGGUUCCGUUUGUAAUGGCAUCUUGAAUGCCGGUGUUUUGUUCAUCGUGGCUGUCGGGGCCUGAACAUGUAUGUAUUUUUGGCGCUGAGCCGUGUUUUUUCCUCAUUUUCGAGCACUAAGACUCGCUUGUUGGUUAUCUGAACCGCUUCACCAAGCGUGAGUCGCCCCGUGCAAAGGUGAUGAGUGAGGUAUCCGUAUCCUGGAGGCGUAGGAGUCCCUCGACUCGGUCGGCCUUGCUGUCCGAGGCUUCUCUUGCUUAGUUAAAGGGACCCCUCGGCCGCUCUUUGAUGAGCCGAAGCCCGGGGUAGCGGUGUCAGCACGGACAGAGGUAGAGUUGGCUCGAAAAGAAGACUUGGUCGGCCAGAGCCUGGCCGGGUCGUCCACUGGCGGGACCGACGCCGGAAUUGAUUUGUCGAGGCCUCGGGUCGGGCUGAUGUCUUCGGGGGACAGCUGGCCGAGGCCUCGGGGUGACCGGCCGAGCCGUCUGCUCGAGCCGGAUUCCUGGAGAAGACCCUGGCGGUGAUGGCCCGGGCGUGGUGCUGAUGUCGUCCUUCAGAGUGGAGAUCCUCGGACCGCGUCGCCGUCCGAGGCUAGGUUGGACCUCGCCGAAGGUGUAGUUGGCGCCGAGGGUGCUGCUGCUCCCUUCAACUGUCAAGAUCCGAGCCUGCAGGAUCGGAUUAUCUUGUAGCGUGUGUUUUCUGCGGUCGCCGAGGCCCAAACACACCAUCGUCAUGUUGUAAAGCUGCGCUUCUUUUCCUCUCGUUUCGAGUAUCUGGACUUUUUCGUCGGUAACAGAAUUGUCUGUGCGAGCGAGAGUUGCUUUUCACGGAAGGUGAUGAGUGAGGUAUCCGUAUCCCGGAGGCGUAGGAAUCCCUCGGCUCGGUCGGCCUUGCCGCUUACGCGCACUCUUGCCCGUCCAUAGGGUUCUAUCAUCGACGCAGUCGAGAAGGCCCGAAGAAUCGCUUCGGCAGAGGAGCUUUCGAGCGUGAAGACUUGUUCGGUCCGCGGAGUCACUUAUCCGAACGCGAGUUACUUAUCGCAGAAGGCGAUGAGUGAGAUAUCCGUAUCCCGGAGGCGUAGGAGUCCCUCGGCUCGGUCAGCCUUGGCUGCUUACGUGUACUCCGUCAUUUUCAGGAUCCACUUUCGAAGUAGUCGAAAAGCACGAAAGACAUUCUGGCAGAAAGGAUCUUUUUUCGAGGAAAAUUUCGACGCAGAGGGGGUUCCCCCCUUUUAGCCCCCGAGGGAGGGUCGGGCUUUGCCGAGGCAAGGCUGACCCUUCCUUGAUGACUAAACUUUGCGUGGGAACGAGGUAUACGAACAACUUGAAAGCAUCUUAAGGGUAAAAGCGACGUAGCUGUUGGAUGUUCCAAGCGUUGCUGUAGACCUUGCCUUGGCUGUUGGCUAGCUUGUACGUUCCGGGCUUCAGAACUUUGGCGAUGACGAACGGCCCUUCCCAGGGAGGCGUGAGCUUGUGCCGCCCUCGGGCGUCUUGUCGCAGCCGAAGCACCAGGUCGCCCACCUGGAGGUCUCGGGACCGAACCCCUCGAGCGUGGUAGCGUCGCAGGGACUGUUGGUACCGCGCCGAGUGUUGUAAGGCCAUGUCCCGAGCCUCUUCCAGCUGGUCCAAUGAGUCUUCUCGACUAGCUUGGUUGCUUCGGUCGGCGUAGGCCCUCGUCCUCGGGGAACCGUAUUCUAAGUCUGUGGGCAAGAUGGCCUCGGCCCCAUAGACUAGAAAGAACGGCGUGAAGCCCGUGGCUCGGCUCGGCGUUGUCCUCAGACUCCAGACCACCGAGGGGAGUUCCUUCAUCCAUCGUUUGUCGUACUUGUUGAGGUCGUUGUAGAUCCGAGGCUUGGGUCCUGGUAGAAUCAUGCCGUUGGCACGCUCUACUUGCCCAUUCGUCAUGGGGUGAGCCACGGCGGCCCAGUCCACCCGGAUGUGGUGACCCUCGCAGAAGUCCAGGAACUUUCUCCCGGUGAACUGGGUGCCGUUGUCGGUGAUGAUGGAGUUCGGGACCCCAAAGCGAUGGAUGAUGUUGGUGAAGAACGCCACCGCCUUUCGGACCUGAUGCUGUUUAGGGGUCGGACCUCGAUCCACUUGGAGAAUUUGUCGAUGGCGACCAACAGGUGCGUGUAGCCCCCGGGUGCCUUCUGCAAGGGGCCAACGAGGUCCAGACCCCACACAGCGAAAGGCCAGGUGAUGGGUAUCAUCUGCAGGGCCUGAGCGAGCAGGUGGGUCUGCCUUGCGUAGAACUGACACCCUUCGCAGGUGCGGACAAUUCUAGUGGCGUCGGCCACCGCCGUCGGCCAGUAGAAACCUUGUCGGAAGGCGUUUCCAACAAGGGCUCGAGGUGCUGCAUGAUGGCUGCAAGCCCCCAAGUGUAUCUCUUGUAGGAGCUCCUGGCCUUCGACGAUGGAAAUGCAUCGCUGGAGGAUGCCUGAGGGGCUGCGGUGGUAGAGUUCCUUCCCGUCCCCCCAGCAAGACAAACGACUUGGCGCGCCGUGCCAACCGCCGAGCUUCGGCUCGGUCGAGGGGUAGCUCUCCUCGGUGGAGAUAUUGCAGGUACGGGGUCUGCCAGUUUCGAUUAGGCGUGACCCCGCUUCGCUCCUCCUCGAUGCGUAGUGCCUCACCCUCGGGGGCCGAGGGUACCUUGGGCCGAACCGAGGGUGCCUUGGACCGAGCCGAGGGUACCUCGAACUGAGCCGAGGGUGCCUCAGGUUGGGCCAAGGGUGCCUCGGGCAGAGCCGAGGGUACCUCGGACUGAGCCGAGGGUGCCUCAGGCUCGACCGAGGCCUUCUCGGGCUCGGGCGUGUCGUCGGUCUUGACGGAAGGUUGAUGCAGGUCUUGGGAGAAGACGUCCGGGGGAACCGUUGUUCGCCCCGAGGCUAUUUUAGCCAGCUCGUCCGCAGUCUCGUUGUAGUGUCGGGCGAUGUGGUUGAGCUCGAGCCCGUAGAACUUGUCUUCCAGGCGCCGAACCUCAUCGCAGUAGGAUUCCAUCUUCGGGUCGCGGCAGUGGGAGUUCUUCAUGACUUGGUCGAUGACGAGCUGCGAGUCACCGUGAGCGUCGAGGCGUCGGACCCCUAGCUCGAUGGCGAUGCGCAAACCGUUGACCAGAGCCUCAUACUCAGCCACAUUGUUGGACGUCGAGAAGUGGAGGCGUAGCACGUAGCGCAGGUGCUUUCUGAGGGGCGAGAUGAAGAGCAGGCCCACGCCUGCUCCUGUCUUCAUCAGCGACCCAUCGAAGAACAUGGUCCAGAGUUCCAGUUGGAUUGGAACUGUUGGGAGCUGGGUGUCGACCCAUUCACCCACGAAGUUCGCCAAGACCUGGGACUUGAUGGCCUUCCGGGGGGCGAACGAGAUCGUUUCGCCCAUGAUUUCCACCGCCCACUUUGCAAUUCUACCCGAGGCCUCUCGGCACUGGAUGAUCUCCCCCAGGGGGAAGGAUGACACCAGAGUUACCGGAUGAGACUCGAAGUAGUGUCGCAACUUCUGUCGUGUCAGAAUCACUGCGUAUAGCAGCUUCUGAACUUGUGGGUAGUGGAUCUUGGUUUCGGACAGUACCUCGCUGAUGAAGUAGACUGGCCUCUGGACGGGCAAUGCAUGCCCCUCUUCUCGUCUCUCAACCACAAUCGCGACGCUAACCACCUGAGUGGUCGCGGCGACGUAGAUCAAGAGGGCUUCUCCGGCAGCGGGAGGCACCAAGAUGGGCACGUUUGUAAGGAGCGCCUUCAGGUUCCCGAGGGCUUCCUCGGCCUCAGGGGUCCAAGUGAAGCACUCGGCCUUCCUUAAGAGGCGGUACAGAGGCAGGCCUCUUUCGCCGAGGUGCGAGAUGAAGUGGCUCAGAGCCGCAAGGCAUCCCGUGACUCUCUGUACGCCUUUCAAGUCCUUGAUGGGCCCCAUGCUGGUGAUGGCCGCGAUCUUCUCCGGGUUGGCUUCGAUGCCCCGCUCGGAGACGAUGAACCCCAAGAGCAUGCCUCGGGGAACCCCAAAGACACACUUUUCGGGAUUGAGCUUCACGCCUUUCGCCUUGAGACAUCGGAAUGUCACUUCAAGGUCGGAAAGGAGGUCGGAGGCUUUCCUCGUCUUGACUACGAUGUCAUCGACGUAGGCCUCGACCGUCCGGCCGAUGUGUUCGCCGAACACAUGGUUCAUGCACCGUUGGUACGUCGCACCCGCAUUCCUCAAGCCGAACGGCAUGGUGACAUAGCAGUACAUGCCGAAGGGUGUGAUGAAAGAAGUCGCGAGCUGGUCGGACUAUUUCAUCCUGAUUUGGUGAUACCCUGAGUAGGCAUCGAGGAAAGACAGGGUUUCGCACCCAGCAGUGGAGUCCACAAUUUGGUCAAUGCGAGGCAGAGGGUAGGGAACCUUCAGACAUGCUUUGUUUAGACCAGUGUAGUCUACACACAUCCGCCAUUUCCCUCCUUUCUUUCUCACAAGCACAGGGUUGGCAAGCCAUUCGGGAUGGAAUACCUCUUUGAUGAACCCUGCCGCCAUUAGCUUGUGGAUCUCCUCGCCUAUGGCUCUGCGCUUUUCUUCGUCGAAUCGGCGCAGAGGCUGCUUCAUAGGUCGGGCUCCAGCUUGGAUAUCCAGUGAGUGCUCGGCGACAUCCCUCGGUAUGCCGGGCAUGUCCGAGGGACUCCACGCGAAAACAUCGGCGUUCGCGCGGAGAAAGUCGAUGAGCACUGCUUCCUAUUUGGGAUCGAGCUCGGAGCCGAUCCAGAUCUGCUUGGAGGCGUCGCUGCUGGGGUCGAGGGGGGCGGACUUAACCGUCUCCGCUGGCUCGAAGUUGCCGGCAUGGCGCUUCACGUCUGGCACCUCCUUAGAGAGGCUCUCCAGGUCGGCGAUGAGGGCCUCGGACUCGGUGAGGGCCUCGGCGUACUCCACGCACUCCACGUCGCAUUCGAACGCGUGUCGGUACGUGGGGCCGACGGUGAUGACCCCGUUGGGGCCCGGCAUCUUGAGCUUGAGGUAGGUGUAGUUGGGGACGGCCAUGAACUUCGCGUAGCAUGGCCUCCCCAGCACCGCGUGGUAGGUUCCUCGGAACCUGACCACCUCGAACGUAUGGGUCUCCCUUCGGAAGUUGGAGGGUGUCCCAAAGUAGACGGGAAGAUCGAGUUGUCCGAGGGGCUGGACGCAUUUCCCGGGGAUGAUCCAGUGGAAAGGCGUAGCGCCUGCUCGGACCGAGGACAGAUCAACACGCAGAAGCCCGAGGGUCUCGGCGUAGAUGAUGUUGAGGCUGCUGCCUCCGUCCAUGAGGACCUUGGUGAGCCUGACGUCGCCGAUGACGGGGUCGACGACGAGCGGGUAUUUCCCCGGGCUCGGCACGCGGUCGGGGUGGCCGGCUUGGUCGAAGGUGAUGGGCUUGUCGGACCAGUUUAGGUAGACUGGCGCCGCCACCUUCGCCGAACAGACCUCCCGACGCUCUUGCUUGCGGUGCCGAGCCGAGGCAUUCGCCGCCUGCCCACCGUAGAUCAUGAAGCAGUCGCGGACCUCGGGGAACUCUCCUGCCUGGUGAUCUUCCUUCUUGUCGUCGUCGCGAGCCCUGCCACCCUCCACGGGUGGCCCGGCCCUGUGGAAGUGACGCCGAAGCAUGGCGCACUCCUCAAGGGUGUGCUUAACGGGCCCCUGAUGAUAGGGGCACGGCUCCUUGAGCAUCUUGUCGAAGAGGUUGGCACCUCCGGGGGGGUUUCCGAGGGUUCUUAUACUCGGCGACGGCGACAAGGUCCGCGUCGGCGGCGUCGCGUUUCGCUUGCGACUUCUUCUUGCAUUUAUUCUUGGCGCCGCGCUGAGUUGACGCCUCGGGGGCAUCUUCCGGUGGGCGGCCCUGGGGCUGCUUGUCCUUCCGGAAGAUAGCCUCAACCGCCUCCUAGCCAGAGGCGAACUUGGUGGCGAUGUCCAUCAGCUCGCUCGCCCUGGUGGGGGUCUUUCGACCCAGCUUGCUCACCAGGUCGCGGCAGGUGGUGCCGGCGAGGAACGCGCCGAUGACAUCUAAAUCGGUGAUGUUGGGCAGCUCGGUGCGCUACUUCGAGAAUCACCGGAUGUAGUCCCGGAGAGACUGUCCCGGCUGCUGUCGGCAGCUUCGGAGGUCCUAGGAAUUUCCAGGGCGCACGUAUGUGCCCUGGAAAUUACCAGCGAAGGCUUGGACCAGGUCGUCCCAGUUGGAGAUCUGCCCCGGAGGCAGGUACUCCAACCAGGCGCGAGCGGUGUCGGAGAGGAACAGGGGGAGGUUGCGGAUGAUGAGGUUGUCAUCGUCCGUUCCACCCAGUUGGCAGGCCAGCCGGUAGUCCGCGAGCCACAGUUCCGGUCUCGUCUCCCCCGAGUACUUUGUGAUAGUAGUCGGGGUUCGGAACCGGGUCGGGAACGGCGCUCGUCGUAUGGCGCGGCUGAAAGCCUGCGGACCGGGUGGUUCGGGCGAGGGACUCUGAUCCUCCCCGCUGUCGUAGCGUCCCCCACGCCUGGGGUGGUAGCCUCGGCGCACCCUCUCGUCGAGGUGGGCCCGACGGUUGCGGUGAUGGUGCUCGUUGCCGAGGCGACCCGGGGCCGUAGGCGCUGUGUUGCGCGUGCGCCCGGUGUGGACCGAGGCUUCCCGCAUGAAUCGGGAAGUCGCGGCGCGAUGUUCCGAGGGGUACCCCUGCCUUCGGGAGGCGGAGCUUUCGGCCCGUCGGACCGCGGCGCCCUCCAGGAGAUUCUUGAGCUCUCCCUGGAUUCGCCUCCCCUCGGUGGUUGAUGGCUCUGACAUCACGCGGAGGAGCAUUGCCGCCACAGCCAGGUUCUGGCCGACUCCACUGGAAGUCGGUGGUGGCCUUACCCUGACAUCGUCGGCGAUGCGGUGCUGGAUACCCUGGGGUAGAUGACGCACUUCUCCGGCCGGAGGUUGGCCCGCCCAUUCCUGCCCGACGUCCCGGCGGAUUGGCUCAAGUGUUCCUGCUCCCUCGUCGAGCCUGGUCUGCACCCCGCGGAUUUGCUCGAGCUGUGGGUCAUGACCCCCCGCCGGAACGGGGACCACAGCUAGCUCCCGUAGGAUGUCAACGCGAGGCACAGGCCUAGGGAGAUCACCAUUCUCCGGCAUACCAAGAUGGUUGCCUUCGGAGGGACCCCCCUAGAUCGACGUGGAAACAUUCACGACUUGGGCCGCAGUCCUCGUCGCCGAGGCUGCGGCUACCGUCAGAACAGUCAGAAAGGCAGUAGUCGCAUGCGGUCAUGAAGUCCUGCAUGGCACUGGGGUUACCAAGUCUAGAGAAAUCCCAACACAAGUCGGGUUUGUCAUCUUCCUCGGACCCCGAGGGCCCGUAGGUCGAGACGUCCGUCAGCCAGUCCCAGGGUGACCGCAUAUGAUACCCCAGAGGGUUUGGACUCGCCUCUACGAGAGCGUCCGCCAAAGCGAAGUUGCUUGGCGGGUCGAGGCUGAAUCCAAAAGGCGUGAGAUGGGAAUCGAUGGGUACCUCUUGGUCGACGGGCGGUGACGAAGUCACGUCAGGGACUGACUGCACCUUCGUCUCUGGUACAAGGGUGACGCCCAGCAAGCCUUUCGCGAGCGUGCUGGCGUCGUCCGUUUGCUUGGCAUUGGCGCGUUGCGGGGAGACGGCGCUCGUCUUCAUCUCAGACGCGAGGUCGAUGCUCGACGUGCCCCCCGUUGGGGCGCCGGCGCCGUCGACUCGCUCGACAGCCGACGAGGUGCCGCCUCCUACUUGGCCUUGGUUGCCCCGCCUCCUCCUCCGUCGGCGGGGGAGGGGACGGGGUGAGCUCGAAUGUUGUUCUUCCACCACGCGGGGAAGACGUCGUCGAUUCCGCCGCCGGCGGGCGGGCUGUCGGCCGCCAUUGUCGUUGUCGCACGGCGGGGGAAGGAGUAUCAUGUCGUAUCUACCGUCGAGGGACAUGAACUCAAGACUCCUGAAACGGAGCACCGUCCUGGGCUGGAAAGGUUGCUGGAGACUGCCCAUCUGGAGCUUGACGGGAAGCUGUUCGUCAACACGCAGCAGGCCCCUACCUGGCGCGCCAACUGUCGGCGUUUCGAGACCGGGGGGUCCCUGGACCGACGAGUAAACUGUCGCCGCGUGCCCCAGCCCAGAUGGGUCGGCGCGAGACGGAGCGCGAAGGGGGGAAGGCAGCCGGAGAGGAGACGGGGCGUGAGAGGUGGAAAUCCCGCGGCCUUCGUGUUUGUCUCGCGCCCAGGUCGGGUGCGCUUGCAGUAGGGGGUUACAAGCGUCCACGCGGGAGGGAGCGAGCGGCCUCACGCGAGCGCCUGUCCCGUCCUUUCCCCGCGCGGCCAACCCUCUGUAAGAGGACCCUGGUCCUUCCCUUUAUAGGCGCAAGGAGAGGAUCCAGGUGUACAAUGGGGGUGUAGCAGUGUGCUAACGUGUCUAGCGGAGGAGAGCUAGCGCCCUAAGUACAUGCCAUCGUGGCAGCCGGAGAGGUUUUGGCACCCGGUUCGUGUGGUGUCGUGGCCGUCGGAGGAGCGCUGGAGCCUGGCGGAAGGACAGCUGUCGGGGCUGUCGAGUCCUUGCUGACGUCCUCUUGCUUCCGUAAGGGGGCUGAGAGCCGUUGUCGUCAUAGAGCGUGCGGGGCGCCAUCAUUACUUGUCUGUCGGAGCGAGCCAGAUGGGACGCCGGUCUUGUUCCCCGUAGCCUGAGUUAGCUUGGGGUAGGGUAAUGAUGGCGCCUCCUGUUGACGUGGUCGGUCCGUGGUGCCCUAGGUUGAUCGAUGUGGAGGCUCCUCCGAGGCCGAGGUCGAGUCUAUCUUCCGUGGCCGAGGUCGAGUCCGAGCCCCUGGGUCGGGCGAGGCGGAGACCGUCGGCUGAGGCCAGGGCUGAGUCCGAGCCCCUGGGUCGGGCGAGGCGGAGUUCGUCGUCUUCCGGGGCUGAGCCCGAUUCCGAGCCCUGGGUCGGGCGAAGCGGAGUUCGACGUCUUCCGGGGCUGAGCCCGAGUCCGAGCCCUGGGGUCGGGCGAAGCGGAGUUCGUCGUCUUCCGGGGCUGAGCCCGAGUCCGAGCCCUGGGGUCGGGCGAAGCGAAGUUCGUCGUCUUCCGGGGCUGAGCCCGAGUCCGAGCCCUGGGGUCGGGCGAAGCGGAGUUUCCUAUGGCGCCUGAGGCCGGGCCUAGCUGCUGUCAGCCUCACUCUGUCGAGUGGCACCACAGUAGGUGCGGCGCAGGCGGCGCUAUCCUCUUGUCAGACCGGUCAGUGGAGCGGCAAAGUGACCGCGGUCACAUCGGCUUCUGUCGUCUGGAGGGCGCGCGUCAGGAUAAAGAUGUCAGGCCACCUUUGCAUUAAAUGCCCCUGCGAUUUGGUCGGUUUGCAUGGCGAUUUGGAUAAGGUUGCUUCUUGGUGAAGACUGGGCCUCGGGCGAGCCGAAAGUAUGUUCGUUGCUGGAGGGGGCCUCGGGCGAGACGUAGAUCCUCCGGGGUCGGCUACCCUUGCCCGAGGCUGGGCUCGAGCGAGGUGUGAUCGAGUCCCUCGAAUGGACCGAUCCUUGACUUAGUCGUACCCAUCAGGCCUUUGCAGCUUUGUGCUGAUUGGGGUUACCAGCUAAGAAUUAUGAGUCUUGAGGGUACUCCUAAUUAUGGUCACCGACAGUUCUCAUGUUCAAGGAAUUAGACAAAAUAAUAAUCAAUGGAAUAAAUGUGCGUCAUGUUGGAUCUUUGAAUUGUGCAUAUAAAUUUGAUUUGAAAACAUCAAUCAGAUUUAAAUUUGUGACAUUUAGAACUAAAAAGGAAAUAGAAAAUUGGAAAUAGAAAAGAAAAGGCGACCCAACCUGACUUUCUUAUUACUCGUCCCAACAGACCAACACCGGCGUAGUACUUCAGGCCAGCCAGCCUACACCUCGUGCGCACGCGUAGCCAUUUCCACGCGCGUUCACCUCCAUCCACUGACACGUGGGUCCUGCCUGUCGACUUCACAAGGAAAUAAGCGCAUGGUAUCUGCCCGAUCGCCCUCAGACGCCGACUCCUGUGCGCACUCGCGAGAUUCCUUCGCUGACGGGUGGACCUACUCUGCCAGUCACCACUGCUCCUACUUCCUCGCUUGGUCUCCGGUGUGUGGGCCUCGUCGCUCAAUGCCUCCCUCUCUUGCGUGUGUAUCUAAUCCAUGUCAGGUUGUUGGGAUUUCCUUGCGUGACCUCCGGCCCUAUGCCACCAACAAACUUCUGUUCGGUCGGGCACCCCUGCUUCACUUAAAUAGGUUGUGACUUCCCCUCCUUUGCCUCCCAGAACAACUAACGUCGUCAAACAAAGCGGAAACCAGAGAAAGCACAGAGAGCACGGCGAGGGAAAGAGAAAUCAUGCCACUGUCGUCGCCCGUCAUGUACAUCAUCGCCAAGAUUUCGAGGGCAGACUUGUUGGGGACCUUCCUCAUCCGAAGGUCCUCAAAAACGUGACUGUAUGUUUUCAGUACGGCAUGGAUCACUACAGGGGGCUUUGACUUUGAGAUGAAGGUCUUAUCUCAUAACAGGGUGAAGAUGUAGCCCGAAGGUGAUAAGAAUGGACGACGAAGCUGUAGCCGAAGAGCUUCGGCUUGAUGUGAUGAUGAAGACCAAGUAUGGUGAUGACCGAAAAGGGACAAAGACUACUCAGUCCUUAAUGUUUCAUGUCAUGAUAAUAGAUGAAUGUCAAGGACAUAAAUGUACUUUUACUCGGGCUGCAUCCCAUACCUAUAAAUAGAUGAAUAGUAACACCGUACUGUUCAGGGCUGGAUUGUAAUCACUCUCUCGCAUCACACCUUCGAGGAAGCUGAAGGUACCAAUGUAAUAUUAAUAUUGUUAAUAUUCAUACGUGUUUUAUGGAAUACAAAUAUGAAUGAAUCAAUAAGAUGCAGUUAUUGUUUUCAUCCUUCUGCAUUCUUAUUCACAUGUUAAAUGAUGAAGGUAUGUCCUUCCUGACCUUUGUCUGAUAAGCGUUAUGCCCUUGCAGAAAUAAUGCUUCGAAAGACGAAGGUCUAUAACAAUUAACAAUUGUGGUUCCUUGUUCUUAAUAUACAACAUUUGAGAACAAGUGACCAACAUUGGCGCCCACCUCCGGUCAACUCAAACGACCACCUUCGGCAAGCAUUCAGCUUCACCAUGCCGCCGAAGAAGACAACAGUGCCAGGGGCUGCUCUCCAACCACUAGACACAAACCAAGAGACACUCUCCCUGCGAGAAGCUAGGAGCCAGAAGAGAAAGGCUACUAGCCCAACACCUCAGGAGGAGGAGUUGGAUCGAGAGAUCAGGGAUUUAGAAGCCAUUCAUCAGCAAGUACAAAGGAAGAAGGAAAAGAUGCUUUGGCUAGCCGAUCUUGAGAAGAAGAUCGACGAAACAGCCGAGGAAAUGCGUCAUCUCACUCAGGAUGACCAAGACCGAAGGCCCCAACACAGUGAGCUUCGUGAAGAGAGCCCAAUCAAUGAUGAUGAAUGGUACGACUUUGCUUUCGAUGAUGCUUCUCCUUUGGCAGCAGAGUUGUAGGCUACCCCGUGGCCACCAUCUUACAAGCCACCUCAACUUCCCAUGUAUGAUGGGCACUCAGAUCCGAUGCAGUUCCCGAUGAGCUAUGGGGCAACCAUAUCCUCGUAUGGGGGCAAUACUGCUGUCAUGGCGAAGUCCUUCGUCAUGGCAGUCAGAAAUGUGGCUAAGACAUGGUAUUCUUCUGUUUGGCCGGGGACAAUUACGUCGUGGCAGAAGCUAAAGGAUAUGCUAGUCACCAGCUUCCAGGGCUUUCAGACGAAGCCAGUCAGUGCCCAAGCUCUGUUCCAAUGCACGCAGGACCAUGAGGAGUAUCUGCAGGCGUACGUCCGAAGGUUCCUGCGACUGAGAGCUCAAGCGCCUACAGUGCCCAAUGAGAUUGUCAUUGAGGGCAUGAUCAAGGGGCUCUGACCAGGACCCACAACAUAAUAUUUUGCAAGGAAGCCACCACAGAACUUGGAGAAGCUUCUCUAGAAGAUGGAUGAAUACAUCCGAGCUGAUAACGAUUUCCGCCAAAGAAGGGAGGAAGCAUAUAUGUAUUCUGAGACGACUAAGGGCUUCAGAGGAAGACUCCACACCCCAGGCACGUUAGAACAAUCCACAAUCCCAACACAAAUGAUGACAGGGCAAAUCAUACUCACAGCAGCCAGCAUAUCUCACAGUCUUCGGAAAUGCAACAAACUUCUUACAGGCCACCAGCCCCGAGAGGCAGAGGGGGGAGAAGCUUCGGAGGAAGGUAUGGUAAUCAACCCAGGAAACUCUGCCUAUUCUAUGGUGAAGACAAGGGACACACCACAAGGACGUGCCAAGUCACGAUUCAGAAGCAGAAGGAAAUCGCUGAAGCCAAUGCACGGCAGAACCAGCCGAAGCAAGUCUUGCAUACUUCUUCGUGCUACUCUUUGUAUAUCCUGGAGUAUGUGGGCAAUCAACAGCCUUCGACUUCUAUUGCUUCGACAAGUCAUUUCCAAGCUUCCUGGGCUCAGUUGCCACCACCACCACCACUGGCGCCUGCCCCGAUUCAUAAUCAACCGCCAGAAGGGCAUCGUCAGGUUCAGCAACAGUGUGACCUUCGGGAAGAGUCCGAAGCCCGCACAAUCAACAACACUGUGCCCGAGUCGAGGCAUAUCUACUGAAGGUGGCACAAUGUGAAAUGACCUAAUGUAUUCUUACUCAUUUCUAUCUUUACAUUUUCCUCUGAAAAGACAAUUCAAGGAGGUUUAACCUUCAGUUUGAUGUAAUAAGACUGUGGUUACACCAUCGAGUGUAACAAAAAUGGCUCACAAACCUCCAAAGUCGUUCAUAAAGGAAUGCAGAGUAAGUCACGAAGCUCCAAAGUCAUUCCUAAGGGAAUGCAGAGCUUAAAUGCCACCUGAGUCAAAGGUGAAGAAGCUCCAAAGUCGUUCAUAAGGGGAUGCAGAGCUUAAAUACCACCUAAGUAAAAGGUGAAGAAACUCCAAAGUCAUUACUAAGGGGAUGUAGAGCUUAGCUCCAAACGUUUCUAAGGGAAUGCAGAGCUGCAAUACCACCUAAGUAAAAGGUGAAGAGACUCCAAAGUCGUUCCCAAGGGGAUGAAGAGUCUGGGUGUGUAUUCGUGUGAGUUUUUACCUUCGGCACAAACAUCAUUUUGCAUCAUACCAUCAUAUCAUAUCGCAUAGCAUCGCAUCAUACAUCAUUUUGCAUCAGCAAAAAGCCGUGGAGAAACAAGGAAAAGUUGCAUCUUCGAAAAUAUUUGUCGGAUCAUGAAAGAACAUGUUGUAGCACAAGAUAUGCCUUCGGCAGAUAUAUUUUUACACAGGAAGAGAAUCUUCAUCAGUAGUAUUACUACACAACAACCGUGGCAUAAUACCCAGUAUUGAAUCGACAGAAGGGGAAUCUUUUUCUUCGUGAAGCAGGAAAAGAAGGGAAGAUGUUUUUUCGCCAGCGGCUCAAAAAUGGUAUGUACGAAGGUUUCAUGCAUCACAAAGAAAUAUAUUACAUUAACACACAUACAAAAAACUUGAUGUUUGGUUCUUACAAAAGACAAAAGCCACGUGCAAACAUUAAACUCUCAAAUAUACAAAGUUUUAAUCUUCUUUCAAUACUUUCUCAGCGGCUUCAUUCAGCAGUUUGUUGACAGCUUCGUCAACAGCUUCAUUAGCAAUUUUAAUCAUAUCUAGAGCUUCCUUCAAGGUCAGGUCAGCUUUGGGGUUGUAUGGCUCCAGUGGGGGUGAAAGUUUAGCUACAUCAUAAAAAAUGUUUGUUAAUUCUGAAGCUAAAAACGAAUUCCGAAGCUAAACCUUAGAAAGGGUACCUAUAAGCCUUGCACGCUUGGCAGCUUCUUCAGCUCGUUUGGCUUCUUCUUGAGCAUCGUGAGAUUCUUUUUCACUCUUUCUAAUAGCUUCAUCAGCUAUCGCAUGGCUGCCCUUCAUCCACACCUCGGAGUAAAAUUUCCCGCCUAGCGCAGAAGCUUCGGCCGACGGUUUUUAAUGUCAUCCACUGAAAAAACAAAUUCUGGCUGAACUACAGCCUUGGCAUGUUCGCAGCCAGCUUUCUCUAAGAUCGACGUGGCCCCCCGUGCACCAGCAAAGGCGCAGAAAUCUCCUCGAUCACUUAAAGUUUCGUCAAAAGCUUUGGCUUCGCCGCUGAUCCACUGGACAACUCCAUCAGGAUCGCCGCAGAUGAACUUUUGCUCAGAGGAAUAUGCCCCAACCCUAGCAAAGUUGUCCUUUAAUUUCUUGGCGCACUCCAAAGAUAUUUUAUAACAUUUUUCUUUCGAAGCACGAAGCUCAUUGGCGUUCUUUUGUGAUCUUUACCUUUCGAUCUCAGAAAUUUCAUGUUUCACCGCCUCAACUUGAAAAUUUUCGGUUGCUUCGACAACCUUCUUUUUUAGUUCUUCCACUUUGACUUUAUGAGCUUCGUCUUGUGCAGCAAGUUUGGCUUCGUUAGAUCUCAGCCUGUCCACUAAGAAAAGUAAUAUUUUAUCCUUUUAGAGAGUUUCGUUCCUUAGUGUGAUGACUUCUGAGCGAAAAUUCUCAAGAGCUAUUCGAAAGCUCUCAUCUUCUGCUUCCUUCUGGGCCUUUAGAGCCUUGCUUAGAAUUACACCCUAAAAAACGAAGAAUGAGAAUAUAAUGAUAGCAAGAAAAGCUAUAAAAAUAAUUUAUUUUACAAGUAAAAUAAUACACACCUUCAGACUAUUGUAAGCAAGACUAUCUGCAAGCUCAUCCUUCGACAUUGCAGAUAAGCCAAGUUCAAGCUUCGGAUAUCCUAUAUUGUCCAUAAUUUCCCGGUAGACAUGUUUCUCUUUGCUGUCUGGCAGCUAGUAAAGGAAGUCAUCUUCGCCGCUGCCACCAUACACGAAGGACCCUCGAGGGUACUUCAGAUCCCUGGCAUAGUGUUGCACUUCGGCAACCUGCUCUUUUGAUAGCUGCUUUCCUAAAGCAUGCAGAAUAAUGAAUUCUAACUCUUUAACGGAUGCUUCAGGAACAGGAGAUUUAGAUUUCUCAGAAACACUCUCUUUCUCUAGGGUUACCAGUGCAGUUUCCAAAGGUCUAGCUUUGGCAGGAGUUUCUAAAGGUCCAGCUUCAGAAGGAGUGUCGGGGACCAUAAUUAGGGGUACCCUCAAGACUCCUAAAUCUCAGCUGGUAACCCCCAUCAGCACAAAGCUGCAAAGGCCUGAUGGGUGCGAUUAAGUCAAGGAUCGGUCCAUUCGAGGGACGCGAUCACGCCUCGCCCGAGCCCAGCCUCGGGCAAGGGCAGCCGACCCCGGAGGAUUUACGUCUCGCCCAAGGACCCCCUCCAGCAACGGACACACCUUCGGCUCGCCCGAGGCCCAGUCUUCACCAAGAAGCAACCUUGGCCAAAUCAACACGCCAACCGACCGAAUCGCAGGGGCAUUUAAUGCAAAGGUGGCCUGACACCUUUAUCCUGACGCGCGCCCUCCAGUCGACAGAGCCGAAGUGACCGUAGUCACUUUGCCGCUCCACUGACCGGCCUGACAAGAGGACAGCGCCGCCUCCGCCGCUCUGACUGAUGUGCCACUCGACAGAGUAAGGCUGACAGCAGCCAAGUCCGGCCUCAGGCGCCAUAGGAAACUCCGCUUCGCCUGACCCUAGGGCUCGCACUCGGGCUCAGCCCCGAAAGACGACAAACUCCGCUUCGCCCAACCCCAGGGCUCGGACUCGGGCUCAGCCCCGGAAGACGACGAACUCCGCUUCGCCCGACCCCAGGGCUCGGACUCGGGCUCAGCCCCAGAAGACGACGAACUCCGCUUCGCCCGACCCCAGAGUUCGGACUCGGGCUCAGCCCCGGAAGACGACGAACUCCGCAUCGCCCGACCCUAGGGCUCGGACUCGGGCUCAGCCCCGGAAGACGACGAACUCCGCUUCGCCCGACCCAGGGGCUCGGACUCGGGCUCAGCCCCGGAAGACGACGAACUCCGCUUCGCCCGACCCCAGGACUCGGACUCGGGCUCAGCCCCGGAAGACGACGAACUCCGCUUCGCCCGACCCCAGGGCUCGGACUCGGGCUCAGCCCCGGAAGACGACGAACUCCGCUUCGCCCGACCCCAGGGCUCGGACUCAGCCCUGGCCUCAGCCGACGGUUUCCGCCUCGCCCGACCCAGGGGCUCGGACUCAACCUCGGACCUUGGAAGACAGACUCGACCUCGACCUCGGAGGAGCCUCCACCUCGCCCAACCCAGGGCUCGGACCGACCACGUCACAGGAGGCGCCAUCAUUACCCUACCCCAAGCUGACUCAGGCUAUGGGGAACAAGACCGGCGUCCCAUCUGGCUCGCUCCGCCAAACAAGUAAUGAUGGCGCCCCGCAUGCUCCAUGACGACGGCGGCUCUCAGCCCCCUUACGGAAGCAACAGGACGUCAGCAAGGACCCGACAGCCCCGACAGCUGUCCUUCCGUCAGGCUCCGGCGCUCCUCCGACGGCCACGACACCACACAAACCGGGUGCCAAAACCUCUCCAGCUGCCACGAUGGCAUGUACUUAGGGCACUAGCUCUCCUCCGCUAGACACGUUAGCACACUGCUACACCCCCCAUUGUACACCUGGAUCCUUUCCUUACGCCUAUAAAAGGAAGGUCCAGGGCCCUCUUAUAGAGGGUUGGCCGCGCGGGGAAGGACAGGACGGCGCUCGCGUAAGGCCGCUCGCUCCCUCCCGCGUGGACGCUUGUAACCCCCUACUGCAAGCGCACCCGACCUGGGCGCGGGGCAAACACGAAGGCCCUGUGUUUCACCUCUCACGCCUGUCUCCCUCCGGCUUCUUCCCCCCUUCGUGCUCCGUCUCGCGCCGACCCAUCUGGGCUGGGGCACGCGGCGACAAUUUACUCGUCGGUCCAGGGACCCCCCGGGUUCGAAACGCCGACAGUUGGUGCGCUAGGUAGGGGCCUGCUGCGUGUUGACGAACAGCUUCCCGUCAAGCUCCAGAUGGGCAGUCUCCAGCAAUCUUUCCAGCCUGGGACGGUGCUCUGUUUCGGGAGUCUUGAGUUCAUGUCCCUCAACGGCAGCUACGACAUGAUACUCCUGCCCCCGCCGCGCGACAGCGAUAAUGGCGGCCGACAACCCGCCCGCCGGCGGCGGAAUCGACGACGUCUUCCCCACGUGGUGGAAGAACAACAUUCAGGCUUGUCCCGUCCCCUCCCCCGCCGACGGAGGAGGAGGCGGGGCAACCAAGGCCAAGCAGGAGGCGGCACCUCGUCGGCUGUCGAGCGAGUCGACAGCGCCGGCGCCCCAACGGGGGGUACGUCGGGCAUCGACCUCGCGUCUGAGACGAAGACGAGCGCCGUCUCCCCGCAACACGCCAACCCCAAGCAAACGGACGACGCCAGCACGCUCGCAAAUGACUUGCUGGGCGUCACCCUCGUACCUGAGACGACGGUGCAGUCUGCUCCGGACGUGACUUCCUCACCGCCCGUCGACCAAGAGGUACCGACCGAUUCCCAUCUCGUGCCUUUUGGAUUCGGCCUCGACCCACCAAGCGACUUCGCUUCGGUGGACGCCCUCAUAGAGGCGAGUCCAAACCCUCUGGGGUAUCGUAUGCGGUCACCCUGGGACCGACUGACGGCCGUCUCGACCUACGGGCCCUCGGGGUCCGAGGAAGAUGACGAGCCCGACUUCUGUUGGGAUUUCUCCGGACUUGGUAACCCCAAUGCCAUGCGGGACUUCAUGACCGCACGCGACUAUUGCCUUUCCGACUGUUCCGACGGUAGCCUCAGCCUCGGCGACGAGGGCUGUGGCCCAAGUCGUGAAUGUUUCCACGUCGAUCUAGGGGGUCCUGGCGAAGGCAACCAUCUUGGUAUGCCGGAGAACGGCGAUCCCCCUAGGCCUGUGCCUCGCGUUGACAUCCUUCGAGAGCUAGCUGUGGUCCCCGUCCCGGCGGGGGGUCAUGACCCACAACUCGAGCAAAUCAGCGAGAUGCAGGCCAGGCUCGACGAGGGAGCAGGAACACUUGAGCCAAUCCGCUGGGACAUCGGGCAGGAAUGGGCGGGCCAACCUCCGGCCGGAGAAGUACGUCAUCUCCCCCAGGGCUUCCAGCACCGCAUCGCCGACGAUGUCAGGGUAAGGCCACCACCGACUUCCAGUGGAGUCGGCCAGAACCUAGCUGCAGCGACAAUACUUCUCCGCGCAAUGCCGGAGCCAUCAACCACCGAGGGGCGGCGUAUCCAGGGAGAGCUCAAGAAUCUCCUGGAGGAUGCCGCGGUCCGACGGGCCGAAAGCUCCGCCUCCCAAAGGAAGGGGUGCCCCUCGGAACAUCGCGCCGCGACUUCCCGAUUCAUGCGGGAGCCUCGGUACACACAGGGCGCACACGCAACACAGCGCCUGCGGCCCCGGGUCGCCUCGGCAACGAGCACCAUCACCGCAACCGUCGGGCGCACCUCGACGAGAGGGUGCGCCGAGGCUACCACCCCAGGCGUGGGGGACGCUACGACAGCGGGGAAUAUCGGAGUCCCUCGCCCGAACCACCCGGUUCGCAGGCUUUCAGCCGCGCCAUACGACGGGCGCCGUUCCCGACCCGGUUCCGAACCCUGACUACUAUCACAAAGUACUCGGGGGAGACGAGACCGGAACUGUGGCUCGCGAACUAUCGGCUGGCCUGCCACCUGGGUGGAACGGACGAUGAUAACCUCAUCAUCCGCAACCUCCCCCUGUUCCUCUCUGAUACCGCUCGAGCCUGGCUGGAGCACCUGCCUCCGGGGCAGAUCUCCAAUUGGGACGACCUGGUCCAAACCUUCACCGGCAAUUUCCAGGGCACAUACGUGUGCCCUGGAAACUCCUGGGAUCUCCGAAGCUGCCGACAGCAGCCGGGAGAGUCUCUCCGGGACUACAUCCGGCGAUUCUCGAAGCAGCGCACCGAGCUGCCCAACAUCACCGAUUCGGAUGUCAUCGGCGCGUUCCUCGCCGGCACCACCUGCCGCGACCUGGUGAGCAAGCUGGGUCGCAAGACCCCCACCAGGGCGAGCAAGCUGAUGGACAUUGCCACCAAGUUCGCCUCUGGCCAGGAGGCAGUUGAGGCCAUCUUCCAGAAGGACAAGCAGCCCCAGGGCCGCCCACCGGAAGAUGUCCCCGAGGCGUCAACUCAGUACGGCGCCAAGAAGAAAGGCAAGAAGAAGUCGCAAGCAAAACGCGACGCCGCCGACGCGGACCUUGUCGCCGCAGCCGAGUACAAGAACCCUCGGAAACCUCCCGGAGGUGUCAACCUCUUUGACAAGAUGCUCAAGGAGUCGUGCCCCUAUCAUCAGGGGCCCGUCAAACACACCCUUGAGGAGUGCGCCAUGCUUCGGCGCCACUUUCACAAGGCCGGGCCACCCGCGGAGGGUGACAGGGCUCGCGACGAUGAUAAGAAGGAAGAUCACAAGGCAGGAGAGUUCCCCGAGGUCCACGACUGCUACAUGAUCUAUGGUGGGCGAGUGGCGAACGCCUCGGCUCGGCACCGCAAGCAAGAACGUCGGGAGGUCUGCUCGGUAAAGGUGGCGGCGCCAGUCUACCUAGACUGAUCCGACAAGCCCAUCACCUUCGACCAGGGCGACCAUCCCGACCGCGUGCCGAGCCCGGGGAAAUACUCGCUCGUUGUCGACCCCGUCAUCAGCAACGUCAGGCUCACCAAGGUCCUCAUGGACGGAGGCAGCGGCCUCAACAUCAUCUACGCCGAGACCCUCGGGCUCCUGCGUAUCGAUCUGUCCUCGGUCCGGACGGGCGCUGCGCCUUUUCACGGGAUCAUCCCCGGGAAGCGCGUCCAACCCCUCGGACAACUUGAUCUACCCGUCUGCUUCGGGACACCCUCCAACUUCCGAAGGGAGACCCUCACGGUCGAAGUGGUCAGGUUUCGAGGAACCUACCACGCAGUGCUGGGGAGGCCAUGCUACGCCAAGUUCAUGGCCGUCCCCAACUACACCUACCUCAAGCUCAAGAUGCCGGGCCCCAACGGGGUCAUCACCGUCGGCCCCACAUACCGACACGCGUACGAAUGCGACGUGGAGUGCGUGGAGUACGCUGAGGCCCUCGCCGAAUCCGAGGCCCUCAUCGCCGACCUGGAGAGCCUCUCUAAGGAGGCGCCAGACGUGAAGUGCCACGCUGGCAACUUCGAGCCAGCGGAGACGGUUAAAUCCGUCCCUCUCGACCCCAGCAACGACGCCUCCAAGCAGAUCCGGAUCGGCUCCGAGCUCGAUCCCAAAUAGGAAGCAGUGCUCGUCGACUUUCUCCACGCAAACGCCGAUGUUUUCGCGUGGAGUCCCUCGGACAUGCCCGGCAUACCGAGGGAUGUCGCCGAGCACUCGCUGGAUAUCCGAGCUGGAGCCCGACCCGUGAAGCAGCCUCUGUGCCGAUUCGACGAAGAAAAGCACAGAGCUAUAGGCGAGGAGAUCCACAAGCUAAUGGCGGCAGGGUUCAUCAAAGAGGUAUUCCAUCCCGAAUGGCUUGCCAACCCUGUGCUUGUGAGAAAGAAAGGAGGGAAAUGGCGGAUGUGUGUAGACUACACUGGUCUAAACAAAGCAUGUCCGAAAGUUCCCUACCCUCUGCCUCGCAUCGAUCAAAUUGUGGAUUCCACUGCUGGGUGCGAAACCCUGUCUUUCCUUGAUGCCUACUCGGGGGAUCACCAGAUCAGGAUGAAAGAGUCCGACCAGCUCGCGACUUCUUUCAUCACACCCUUCGGCAUGUACUGCUAUGUUACCAUGCCGUUUGGUUUAAGGAAUGCGGGUGCAACGUACCAACGGUGCAUGAACCACGUGUUCGGCGAACACAUUGGCCGAACGGUCGAGGCCUACGUCGAUGACAUCGUAGUCAAGACGAGGAAAGCCUCCGACCUCCUUUCCGACCUUGAAGCGACAUUCCGAUGUCUCAAGGCGAAAGGCGUGAAGCUCAAUCCCGAGAAGUGUGUCUUUGGGGUUCCCCGAGGCAUGCUCUUGGGGUUCAUCGUCUCCGAGCGGAGCAUCGAGGCCAACCCGGAGAAGAUCACGGCCAUCACCAGCAUGGGGCCCAUCAAGGACUUGAAAGGCGUACAAAGAGUCACAGGAUGCCUUGCGGCUCUGAGCCGUUUCAUCUCGCGCCUCGGCGAAAGAGGCCUGCCUCUGUACCGCCCCUUAAGGAAGGCCGAGUGCUUCACUUGGACCCCUGAGGCCGAGGAAGCCCUUGGGAACCUGAAGGCGCUCCUCACGAACGUGCCCAUCUUGGUGCCCCCCGCUGCCGGAGAAGCCCUCUUGAUCUACGUUGCCGCGACCACUCAGGUGGUUAGCGCCGCGAUCGUGGUUGAGAGACGAGAAGAGGGGCAUGCAUUGCCUGUCCAGAGGCCAGUCUACUUCAUCAGCGAAGUACUGUCCGAGACCAAGAUCCGCUACCCACAAAUUCAGAAGCUGUUGUACGCGGUGAUCCUAACGCGGCGGAAGUUGCGACACUACUUCGAGUCUCAUCCGGUAACUGUGGUGUCAUCCUUCCCCCUGGGGGAGAUCAUCCAGUGCCGAGAGGCCUCGGGUAGAAUUGCAAAGUGGGCGGUGGAAAUCAUGGGCGAGACGAUCUCGUUCGCCCCUCGGAAGGCCAUCAAGUCCCAGGUCUUGGCUGACUUUGUGGCUGAAUGGGUCGACACCCAGCUCCCAAUAGCUCUGAUCCAACCGGAACUCUGGACCAUGUUCUUCGACGGGUCGCUGAUGAAGACAGGAGCAGGCGCAGGCCUGCUCUUCAUCUCGCCCGUCGGGAAGCACCUACGCUACAUACUACGCCUCCAUUUCCCGGCAUCCAACAAUGUGGCCGAGUACGAGGCUCUGGUCAACGGGUUGCGCAUCGCCAUCGAGCUAGGAGUCCGACGCCUCGACGCUCGCGGUGACUCGCAGCUCGUCAUCGACCAAGUCAUGAAGAACUCCCACUGCCGCGACCCGAAGAUGGAAGCCUACUGCGAUGAGGUUCGGUGCCUGGAAGACAAGUUCUACGGGCUCAAGCUCAACCACGUCGCCCGGCGCUACAACGAGACUGCGGACGAGCUGGCUAAAAUAGCCUCGGGGCGAACAACGGUUCCCCCGGACGUCUUCUCCUGAGACUUGCAACAACCCUCCGUCAAGACCGACGACACGCCCGAGCCCAAGAAGGCCUCGGCCCAGCCCAAGGCACCCUCGGCUCAGUCCGAGGCACCCUCGGCUCGGCCCGAGGCACCCUCGGCUCAGUCCGAGGCACCCUCGGCUCGGCCCGAGGCACCCUCGGCUCGGCCUGAGGUACCCUCGGCCCCCGAGGGUGAGGCACUGCGCAUCGAGGAGGAGUGGAGCGGGGUCACGCCUAAUCGAAACUGGCAGACCUCGUACCUGCAAUAUCUCCACCGAGGAGAGCUACCCCUCGACCGAGCCGAAGCUCGGCGGUUGGCGCGGCGCACCAAGUCGUUCGUCUUGCUGGGAGACGGGAAGGAGCUCUACCACCGCAGCCCCUCGGGCAUCCUCCAGCGAUGCAUUUCCAUCACCGAAGGCUAGGAGCUCCUACAAGAGAUACACUCGGGGGCUUGCGGCCAUCACGCAGCACCUCGAGCCCUUGUUGGAAACGCCUUCCGACAAGGUUUCUACUGGCCGACGGCGGUGGCCGACGCCACUAGAAUUGUCCGCACCUGCGAAGGGUGUCAGUUCUACGCAAGGCAGACCCACCUGCCCGCUCAGGCCCUGCAGACCAUACCCAUCACCUGGCUGUUUGCUAUGUGGGGUCUGGACCUAGUCGGCCCCUUGCAGAAGGCACCCGGGGGCUACACGCACCUGUUGGUCGCCAUCGACAAAUUCUCCAAGUCGAUCGAGGUCCGACCCCUAAACAACAUCAUGUCUGAACAGGCGGUGGCGUUCUUCACCAACAUCAUCCAUCGCUUUGGGGUCCCGAACUCCAUCAUCACCGACAACGGCACCCAGUUCACCGGCAGAAAGUUCCUGGACUUCAGCGAGGAUCACCACAUCCGGGUGGACUGGGCCGCCGUGGCUCACCCCAUGACGAAUGGGCAAGUAGAGCGUGCCAACAGCAUGAUCCUGCAAGGGCUCAAGCCGCGGAUCUACAUCGACCUCAACAAGUUCGGCAAGCGAUGGAUGAAGGAGCUCCCCUCUGUGGUCUGGAGUCUAAGGACAACGCCGAGCCGAGCCACGGGCUUCACACCGUUCUUUCUAGUCUAUGGGGCCGAGGCCAUCUUGCCCAUAGACUUAGAAUACGGUUCCCCGAGGAUGAGGGCCUACGCCGACCAAAGCAAUCGAGCUAAUCGAGAAGACUCACUGGACCAGCUGGAAGAGGCUCGGGACAUGGCCUUACUACACUCGACGCGGUAUUAGCAGUCCCUACGACGCUACCACACCCGAGGGGUUCGGUCCCGAGACCUCCAGGUGGGCGACCUGGUGCUUCGGCUGCGACAAGACGCCCGAGGGCGGCACAAGCUCACGCCUCCCUGGGAAGGGCCGUUCGUCGUCGCCAAGGUUCUGAAGCCCGGAACGUACAAGCUGGCCAACAGUCAAGGCGAGGUCUACAGCAACGCUUGGAACAUCCGACAGCUACGUCGCUUCUACCCUUAAGACGCUUUCAAGUCGUUCAUACACCUCGUUCACACACAAAGUCUAGUCAUCAAGGAAGGGUCAGCCUUGCCUCGGCAAAGCCCAACCCUCCCUCGGGGGCUAAAAGGGGGGAACCCCCCUGCGCCGAAAUUUUUCUCAAAAAAAGGAAGUCUUCCAUCAAAAAGGCUUCUGCGUUCCCCGGCUAUAUCAGUAGCAGGACCCCAAGAAGCGAACGAGGGCGCAUGUAAGUGGCAAGGCUGACUGAGCCGAGGGACUCCUACACCUCUAGGAUGCGGAUACCUCACUCGUCACCUACCAUGAAAAAUGACUCCUACUUGGGCAAGCCAACCUGCUACUAACGAACGGGGCCGGAUAUGCAAAAUGGAAGGAAAAGGAGCACGACUUUAUACUACGAUAAUAAAGUGUUCGGGCCUCAGCGGCCGCAAAAGACACAUGUGCAUUCAAGGAAAACUGCUCCGGCAGAGUUAGGCGUCGCCUGGAGGAGCCGCGCCCUCGGCUUCGUCCCUGCCUUCGGCAAAGUCCACCCCGGCCUCGGACGACGACGCAGGCGGGAGGAUCUCUGCCUCGAAGGUGGUUGCCAGACCGCGCUCGGGCCCGCGGCGGCCGCGUCGAGCCUCUGGACUUCAGCCAGGGCGGCUUCAUCUUCGUAAGGGAGGCAAUACCCCUCGCUGACCCGCUCCAGAUCCACGACGUAGUGAGAAGCAAGCACGGCGAAGCCCCGCCUGACGCCGUGAUGUAGCGCCUCGCGGAGUCUGCCACGCACAUGGUCACCCAAGGCCUGUAGGCGACUUUGAGGGGAGCUUCCCGAGGGGACGUCGCUGAAGCCAAAGACCCGGCAGAAGUCCGAGAUGGCCUCGGACAUAGCCGCGUGGUCGGCCUCCCUCUGCUGGGCCGCCUGAGCAAGUGCCCUGGUGGACUCAUCAAGGGCAGACUCGAGCUCUGCGAACAGCCAAAGCGCAAGGCCUCAAACACAAGUGGAGGAAACAAGCUGAAACGAAAACCGAAAAUAGCCAGGACAUACCUCCGGCUCGGGCACGCAGCUCCGAGGAUGCGGCUUGGGCUACGGCUAGGUCUGCUGCAAGGGCUCCGGCCCGGCUUUCGGCCUCGGUGGCCCGGCCUCGAGAUUGAUCCCUGUCACACCCGGAUUUUAGGGGUCCAAAACCCGGGCGCGAACAUAAUCACCAGGUGUGCUGGGACCAAGUCUCACACAUAUGAUGAUUCAUGGCACAGGAUCGAAUGUCACAUCUUUACUACAUAACAGGAGUUCUGUACAAAAUAAAUAAAUAAUUACAUUAUAAGGAGACAACGGUCCAGCAACCCAAAGUUGACUGGGAGACGACAACCUAGACCUCUCACGAACACAUCGCAGCAUCCUCCAUGCGCCUCAUCCUGGGGUACCUGUUCUUGACCUGUGGGGGGUGUGAGACAGCAAGAGUGAGCUCACGUACGUUCAUCGCUCAACAAGUUGUGGGGAAUAAUGUGAAUGAACUCGCCAAAGGUGGGAGUUCAUGUGAAGUGUAAGGCUUACCAAAGAGGAUGGUUAGAGCUGAGCAUUGCUUUUAAAGUUGGUCAAAAUUUUAUUAGCAAUUACUAAGUAUAAGUAAAUACCAACCCAAUUAAGUAGUAGAACAGAAGUAACAACAUCACCUGCGAUGCAAUGCAUAUGAUAAAUUGAGUUUAAGUUCCAUAAAUUAAUCAUGUGAGUGUCCGAGCUGCUCAUGACCGUGAGCACGGCUAGUAUACCAGUUUUACACUCUGCAGAGGUUGCGCAUCUUUACCCACAAGUCAUGUUACCCAUCUGCCAAGGGAUCGCGACUUCCCAUACACCUCUACCGAGGAGGCGAGGCAGGGUAACACUACGAGGCCUUUACAAAGUUCCACUAGCUUCAGAAAACCCGCUACAGUUUAUGGGAAGCUCCAAUGCAGGGUUCUUGCCUGACCGCCAUCACAGCAAAAUCAACCAAGGACCUCCCUACACUGACCAAUACCCUACUGCCCUUGCCCCUUUCGGGUAAGGUAGUCCUCCACUAGCUUUCCUAAUUAGUCAGCCAAGGGCAUCCAUAAACCCUUGUGGUAGCACUGUUUUCCCGGGUGGUUCUCCAUGUUCCAAUUAACAUAAUGAUCUUAUCAUGAACAGUAAAUAACAACGGAUAACAAAAGUAUAAUCAUGAAUAAUGUAUCUUCAUACCCAAAACCACAUAAAGCACUAGCAAGUACUACCCAAAAAGUUCAGUGGUAAACAAGGUAUAAAGAUAAUCAAACUAGGGUAACCUAUUGGGUCCCAUCAAAAUUAACCUAUGCAGAUCAUUAUGAUUAAUUAGAACAUGAGUGGGUAAAAAGAAGUGAUCAAGGGCACAACUUGCCUGGGACUUGAGAUUCCAGGUACCAACUUGCUCUUCAGAUGACACGUGUCCUCACUGCUAAACGUAUCAAUACAGACAAACAUGGUAUAUGCAAAAAUUAACAUUACACCAAACAUAAGAAUAAACUAUGUGAUAAUAAUCUACGCGCCAUAACGAGAUCGUAGAAACAAGAACCACUAAAUUCGGAGCUACGGUUAUUAAGUUAUGAAUUUUCGAAAUUAUUUAGCACCUAGAAUAGAUUAAUUCAAUUGAGCAAAUUUUAAUUCAAGUUUCAUGGUUAAACAAAGGUACGAGGUGAUAAACAACAUUAAUACAAAAUUAUUGCAACUGAAAUGACUCAAUUUGGAGUUAAAAUGAAUUAACUAUGAAUUAUGCAAGUUUAUGGAAUUAUUUUCAUACUAAAAACCUAUUUCUUUAUUAAUUCCUGAAUAUCCUAAGUGUUCUGGACUGGGCACCAAAUAAAACAAAACUUAGGGUCCAAUCUGUAACAAUUCCCUAGACUCAAUGAUCAUCGCCCACGGACGGCGGGUUGAUUUGUGAGAAGGACAGGGGCUCUUUUACAAAGAGGCUGCGGCGAAAGGGUAUCGGAUAGUACUGGCCGUCCGAUCAGAGAUCUAGGGCUCAAAUUAGAUCACGUGUUAUAUGAACCGGUAUUGAAUAACGGCCACUGGAUCAAGAUCCGAGGGCCCGAGUUCAAUGAAGCCGAAAUCAAUCUCCUCCCAUCGAUGAGCGAUCAACGGUCCACGAUGCUCGAUGCCAAGAAGCCGCCCAGAUCUAAUCAUGUGCGUACACUGUGGAUCCAAUGGCCCAGGCCUAUCACUAAUCUCAUGUCGUCCCGACCUAAUCCAAGCCCUUGAACUGAGAUGAACGGCUAAGGGAGCAUCUUCCACCUUCCGCAUGCUAGGGCACGGCGGCCAUACUGGUCUUGACGGCAGUCCGUCGCCGUGAUGACAACCCGGCGCAUGGAUUCCCUAAUACGCAAGCUAACCGAUGCAAAAGGAAGCGCGAGCCAUGGCGAAGCUACCCAGGGGCUUACCAAAGACCAAGGCGAAGGUUGGAGAGCCGGCCACGACGAACAGCGGCACGCGGCGGAGCACAAUCUCCGGUGAGCGAAUCGAGCGCUCCGCACGUGGUGGGCAGGGACGGAGCAGACGCGGAGGAGAAGGUUUCUUCCAGAAGAGGUCUGUGGGCUGGGGCUAGUUGCUGCGCUGCCCCAUGAAGGCCAUCUGCAUCAACCCCACGGCGGCCCGCACCGUUCUUCGGUUCUGGUGACUUUUCUCUCACGGCUAGCUACCCCAACUCACUCCAAUGGCUAGAGGAGGCUGCGGACGGGUCUAUAUAUACAUCCAGGCAGCCAGUUUAUAAGGGGGUCCACGGACGAUCGCGUGGCCGAGGACUUCGGCAUCCGUUUCGCUGGAAGGGAUAAGGAGGGAGGCGAUUCUGUCAUUCCGGCCCCACACACCAGACACCGAUUAUCCCAAGUGCGUGCGACAGAGAUAGUGGCGGACGGCGCGGUGGGUUUGUUACGCGAGAGAGAGGAGUCCGACUGGGUCCACAAGAUAUGGGUGAGGUUUGUUACGCCCGAAAGGUUAGGAAACGACGAUGGAAAGAGUCUGGGCGGUCAUUACGUGAUUUCCUGGGUAAGUUUGUUUCGGCCGCCGUUCUGUUUGAUUCUUCCUUUUUUUUGGAGGCUUGCUACGUGAGUUUUCCCUUCUCACGUAGGCAUGCAUGCAUCUCCUGCCAUUAGCUUCAAGAACAACACAGAUCGUACUUGCUUUGAAGGAGCAGUUUGUUUGGCCAGAGUACUACGAUGGAAGAAUAAUACUGGAAUGCCUACUUGCUAGGUGGUUCACUUUAUCAAGGGGAAAAAAAUACACACACGUACAUUAAAGCAAACAACAACUUGAUUUAAAGAUGACACAGAACAGAUGCAUGCAAUUAGAGACAAACUAAAAGGGUUUGGCGUUUAAUUAUGCGUCACUGCCGAGGUUUUUUUUUAACACUGAUGCCAAGCAUGCGAGGUCCUCAAGAUACUACUACUAUACAGGUCGCACGGAAUGAAUUCAGCCCAUGUGAGUAUUUCUUCUUUUUUUUCUUUUCUUAAUUCUAGUUUAUUUCCAAAUUCAAGAUUCAAACUAAGCUUAAAUUUCUGGUUUAAACUUUUCAAAUUCCUAAAUAUCAAAUAUGAUCCAAUUAUGAAUAUAAACGCUACUAUUCUCGGUAUUAGUAUUUUUCCUUCAAAUAAAUGCUUCUAGAGGUAAUAUUGGUGAAAGAAACAUUUGUUAAAUUAAAAUAGGAAACUCCCUAUUAUUUAUUUUUCUGAGAUUUGAGAUUAUAAUCUAAAUGUUAUAAGUCCAAUUUAAAUCUGAGUCAUUAACCCUAAUAUUAUUUUUAUUUGUUUAAUCAUUUGGAAGGAUAAAUCGUACAUUUAGAGUCAGUCCCAUUAUAAUUCCUCAAAGAGAGCAAAGUUUCUUCAAACUUUCUCAAAAUGUAUUUUUAGGGUUUACAAGUUCUACCCCCUUAACAGAAAUCUCGUCCUCGAGAUUUGUAAGAAAAGGGAUAUAGAAAGUCAAAUGUUUGGUUGCAGUUUAGCUUCAAGUUUUUUUCCAAAUGGUUUUAAGCACAAAUGUUUUCUAUAUAUAUAUAUAUUUAAGUCAUUUUAAGUAAGGAAAUGAUUAGGAACACAUGGGUAUACUAUGUUUAGCUAUUAGGCAGAAGUAGAGAAGGUUUCGGUAAUAAGGAUUAGGGCAAAGAAAGUUUCUAUUAUGGAUGGUGGAUCUUGACUCAUCUGAUGAUUCCGUUUUGCCCUUUGAAGACUUGAGUUGGUGCUUAUCCUCCCUUGACGUGGUUGGUCUUCUUUGGCCCUCAGUCCUGGAGUUGCCAUCCGAGUUGAGGACAUAUGGCUAAGGACAUAUAGCUAGGAUAGCUAGGGUACAUGAGGUAAUUAGAUUUAAACAGAGUUUUACUUUGCUUUUGGGAUAUCUGGAUUAGGCAACCUAUGAUGUAGGUUAGGUUGUUUUUUUUACGGACGAGUUAGUCCAAGGUAUUAAUUUAGGGUAAGAUAUGUUUAUAGAAUCAGGGCCUAAUUUAUGUCUAACUUACUUAAGUAACUCAAUUUGGAUUAGCUCAUGUUAGAUUAGGUGGGAUCUAGAUCAAAUUGGUAUAACUAGAUAAGAUUUAUUUAUUUUAGGCUAGAUCAUGGUUGUUACUAUAGAGUGGGAUAGGUAUGCCUAUUAGAAUAAGAUAAAUCCAUAAGGAUAAGGUAGAAUCUUUUGAGGUCAGUUAGAUCUAUUAGGAUGAGAUAAAAUCUGUUCAAGAUAAGAUGAGUAUCUUUUUAAGAUAAGAUGAGUCUAUUAAGAUAAGAGAGAAUCUUUUAAGAUAAGAUGGAUCCAUUAGGCUUAAUAUAUUUUUAAUAGGGAAUAUUCUGUGUUGUCUAUUUUAUAAAUAUUUUUCCUUAUGCCUAGGUGUAUAUACAGAUGCAAUUGUGGACAUUACUCCACAACUCAUCACACUCAAUCAAAGAUCCAACUCAGACAAGUAUCAUAAGAACAAACAUUGAAGCACAUAGAUACCUACAAAAAUAGUUUUGUUUUUGUUCCUAAGGGUAGGUCUCCUAUUCCUAAAGGUCACUUUAGGCACAGGAUUUCAAAGUGUGAAAUCCACAUUUUUUUUCUUUAGAAAGAAAAGGUAAGAAUAAUCAGAGUAAAGCGGAAAUAGAUGAGAAAAGAUUAAGAAAAGUUUAGAAAAGAAUCAGAGUAGCAAAGAAAAGUAGACAAUGGUUGUCCAGUUCUAUCUAGGUUUCGUCCUACAGUCAACAUUCCUCUUAUACCACUUCUGUCACACCCGGAUUUUAGGGGUCCAAAACCCGGGCGCGAACAUAAUCACCAGGUGUGCUGGGACCAAGUCUCACACAUAUGAUGAUUCAUGGCACAAGAUCGAAUGUCACAUCUUUACUACAUAACAGGAGUUCUGUACAAAAUAAAUAAAUAAUUACAUUAUAAGGAGACAACGGUCCAGCAACCCAAAGUUGACUGGGAGACGACAACCUAGACCUCUCACGAACACAUCGCAACAUCCUCCAUGCGCCUCAUCCUGGGGUACCUGUUCUUGACCUGUGGGGGGUGUGAGACAACAAGAGUGAGCUCACAUACGUUCAUCGCUCAACAAGUUGUGGGGAAUAAUGUGAAUGAACUCGCCAAAGGUGGGAGUUCAUGUGAAGUGUAAGGCUUACCAAAGAGGAUGGUUAGAGCUGAGCAUUGCUUUUAAAGUUGGUCAAAAUUUUAUUAGCAAUUACUAAGUAUAAGUAAAUACCAACCCAAUUAAGUAGUAGAACAUAAGUAACAACAUCACCUGCGAUGCAAUGCAUAUGACAAAUUGAGUUUAAGUUCCAUAAAUUAAUCAUGUGAGUGUCCGAGCUGCUCAUGACCGUGAGCACGGCUAGUAUACCAGUUUUACACUCUGCAGAGGUUGCGCAUCUUUACCCACAAGUCAUGUUACCCAUCUGCCAAGGGAUCGCGACUUCCCAUACACCUCUACCGAGGAGGCGAGGCAGGGUAACACUACGAGGCCUUUACAAAGUUCCACUAGCUUCAGAAAACCCGCUACAGUUUAUGGGAAGCUCCAAUGCAGGGUUCUUGCCUGACCGCCAUCGCAGCAAAAUCAACCAAGGACCUCCCUACACUGACCACUCCCCUACUGCCCUUGCCCCUUUCGGGUAAGGUAGUCCUCCACUAGCUUUCCUAAUUAGUCAGCCAAGGGCGUCCAUAAACCCUUGUGGUAGCACUGUUUUCCCGGGUGGUUCUCCAUGUUCCAAUUAACAUAAUGAUCUUAUCAUGAACAGUAAAUAACAACGGAUAACAAAAGUAUAAUCAUGAAUAAUGUAUCUUCAUACCCAAAACCACAUAAAGCACUAGCAAGUACUACCCAAAAAGUUCAGUGGUAAACAAGGUAUAAAGAUAAUCAAACUAGGGUAACCUAUUGGGUCCCAUCAAAAUUAACCUAUGCAGAUCAUUAUGAUUAAUUAGAACAUGAGUGGGUAAAAAGAAGUGAUCAAGGGCACAACUUGCCUGGGACUUGAGAUUCCAGGUACCAACUUGCUCUUCAGAUGACACGUGUCCUCACUGCUAAACGUAUCAAUACAGACAAACAUGGUAUAUGCAAAAAUUAACAUUACACCAAACAUAAGAAUAAACUAUGUGAUAAUAAUCUACGCGCCAUAACGAGAUCGUAGAAACAAGAACCACUAAAUUCGGAGCUACGGUUAUUAAGUUAUGAAUUUUCGAAAUUAUUUAGCACCUAGAAUAGAUUAAUUCAAUUGAGCAAAUUUUAAUUCAAGUUUCAUGGUUAAACAAAGGUACGAGGUGAUAAACAACAUUAAUACAAAAUUAUUGCAACUGAAAUGACUCAAUUUUGAGUUAAAAUGAAUUAACUAUGAAUUAUGCAAGUUUAUGGAAUUAUUUUCAUACUAAAAACCUAUUUCUUUAUUAAUUCCUGAAUAUCCUAAGUGUUCUGGACUGGGCACCAAAUAAAACAAAACUCAGGGUCCAAUCUGUAACAAUUCCCUAGACUCAAUGAUCAUCGCCCACGGACGGCGGGUUGAUUUGUGAGAAGGACAGGGGCUCUUUUACAAAGAGGCUGCGGCGAAAGGGUAUCGGAUAGUACUGGCCGUCCGAUCAGAGAUCUAGGGCUCAAAUUAGAUCACGCGUUAUAUGAACCGGUAUUGAAUAACGGCCACUAGAUCAAGAUCCGAGGGCCCGAGUUCAAUGAAGCCGAAAUCAAUCUCCUCCCAUCGAUGAGCGAUCAACGGUCCACGAUGCUCGAUGCCAAGAAGCCGCCCAGAUCUAAUCAUGUGCGUACACUGUGGAUCCAAUGGCCCAGGCCUAUCACUAAUCUCAUGUCGUCCCGACCUAAUCCAAGCCCUUGAACUGAGAUGAAUGGCUAAGGGAGCAUCUUCCACCUUCCGCCUGCCAGGGCACGGCGGCCAUACUGGUCUUGACGGCAGUCCGUCGCUGUGAUGACAACCCGGCGCAUGGAUUCCCUAAUACGCAAGCUAACCGGUGCAAAAGGAAGCGCGAGCCAUGGCGAAGCUACCCAGGGGCUUACCAAAGACCAAGGCGAAGGUUGGAGAGCCGGCCACGACGAACAGCGGCACGCGGCGGAGCACUAUCUCUGGUGAGCGAAUCGAGCGCUCCGCACGUGGUGGGCAGGGACGGAGCAGACGCGGAGGAGAAGGUUUCUUCCAGAAGAGGUCUGUGGGCUGGGGCUAGUUGCUGCGCUGCCCCAUGAAGGCCAUCUGCAUCAACCCCACGGCGGCCCGCACCGUUCUUCGGUUCUGGUGACUUUUCUCUCACGGCUAGCUACCCCAACUCACUCCAAUGGCUAGAGGAGGCUGCGGACGGGUCUAUAUAUACAUCCAGGCAGCCAAUUUAUAAGGGGGUCCACGGACGAUCGUGUGGCCGAGGACUUCGGCAUCCGUUUCGCUGGAAGGGAUAAGGAGGGAGGCGAUUCUGUCAUUCCGGCCCCACACACCAGACACCGAUUAUCCCAAGUGCGUGCGACAGAGAUAGUGGCGGACGGCGCGGUGGGUUUGUUACGCGAGAGAGAGGAGUCCGACUGGGUCCACAAGAUAUGGGUGAGGUUUGUUACGCCCGAAAGGUUAGGAAACGACGAUGGAAAGAGUCUGGGCGGUCAUUACGUGAUUUCCUGGGUAAGUUUGUUUCGGCCGCCGUUUCUGUUUGAUUCUUCCUUUUUUUGGAGGCUUGCUACGUGAGUUUUCCCUUCUCACGUAGGCAUGCAUGCAUCUCCUGCCAUUAACUUCAAGAACAACACAGAUCGUACUUGCUUUGAAGGAGCAGUUUGUUUGGCCAGAGUACUACGAUGGAAGAAUAAUACUGGAAUGCCUACUUGCUAGGUGGCUCACUUUAUCAAGGGGAAAAAAAUACACACACGUACAUUAAAGCAAACAACAACUUGAUUUAAAGAUGACACAGAACAGAUGCAUGCAAUUAGAGACAAACUAAAAGGGUUUGGCGUUUAAUUAUGCGUCACCGCCGAGGUUUUUUUUAACACUGAUGCCAAGCAUGCGAGGUCCUCAAGAUACUACUACUAUACAGGUCGCACGGAAUGAAUUCAGCCCAUGUGAGUAUUUCUUCUUUUUUUUUCUUUUCUUAAUUCUAGUUUAUUUCCAAAUUCAAGAUUCAAACUAAGCUUAAAUUUCUGGUUUAAACUUUUCAAAUUCCUAAAUAUCAAAUAUGAUCCAAUUAUGAAUAUAAACGCUACUAUUCUCGGUAUUAGUAUUUUUCCUUCAAAUAAAUGCUUCUAGAGGUAAUAUUGGUGAAAGAAACAUUUGUUAAAUUAAAAUAGGAAACUCCCUAUUAUUUAUUUUUCUGAGAUUUGAGAUUAUAAUCUAAAUGUUAUAAGUCCAAUUUAAAUCUGAGUCAUUAACCCUAAUAUUAUUUUUAUUUGUUUAAUCAUUUGGAAGGAUAAAUCGUACAUUUAGAGUCAGUCCCAUUAUAAUUCCUCAAAGAGAGCAAAGUUUCUUCAAACUUUCUCAAAAUGUAUUUUUAGGGUUUACAAUCCCGCUCAUCGGCGACCUGGUCAAACUCCGACUGCCGUCGCUGCACCUCUGCGCGUGCCGCUGCCGCCUCUGCUCCCAGAUCGGCACAGAGCAACCGAAGGUCCGCCACCUCGGCGCCCUGCUAGGAGAGGCGCGCGGUAGCCCUGGCAAGCGAGGUCCUCAGGGAUCACAGCGAACCCCAGACAUCGACCUCGCGGCGGAUGAACGACGACUUGGCGGCUCUCAGAUCCGUUAGAUCCUGAGGGAAGGAAGCGGGGCGUCACAAAGGACGCCUUGAUCAUGAAAAAAGGUAUGCCUGAAGUCAUUACCUAGAGGAUCUUGGGGACGUCCCUGCAAAAGACCUCCAAGGAUGACCGGAGCGACCCCACUGUUGCCUCGGCACACUCGCGGAGCUCGUCCCAAGACUGCUCCUCCCGCUCAUCGUCAAGAACGAAGAAGGGAUCCGAAGCCUCACGGGUCCGGAACCGGAGCAACUGGCGCCGCCCCUUGGAGCUCCGCCGCGUAGGGAAAAGGUUGCCGCUCGGCGGGACGGGUCGCAGUUCCACGCCCCCCUCCUCUGAGGCACCGAGUAGUGACGCCUCGGCCAUCUCAGCGUCGGCGGCGACGGGUUGCUCCAUGGCCAGGACGGCAACGGCUUCGGCAGCAGCCGGCGCCAGCGCCGGCGGCAUGUUUGGUGGGCCCGAGGCCACGUCCGCGCCAGCCACCUCCCCCAGCGCGACGGCCGCCUCAACAGAAGAGCCGGCCUCGGGAACUCGCUCCACGGCAACUGGUGCCGCCUGAGCCCCCCCGCUGUGGGGCGUCUUGCGAGAAGGUCAGCUGAACGGCGAGGCCCGACGCGGCACCGGCUGCGGAAGCCGACGCCGUCUUAAGGACCUUCCGGGGAGCCAGAUCGGUCAGGCCAUGACUCUGCUUGCUGAGGAGGAAAGGAAAGUCAGGGUCGGGACAUACAAAGGAGGAGCUGAGACGAAGACAUUUUAAGGUACUUACCCACUCCGGGCCGUGAUCAACCGUGUAUGUGGGGAGGUCUCUUGAAUCUCGACCCCCGAAGGUACCGCCGAGGUCCGCCUCGCCGCCAGCUUUGGUACCAUCCUCGCCUUGGGCACCCUAGAAGCCCGGGAGACGGACUGCCCAGGCGUCGCCACGGCGACCUGAGGGUCGCCCUCCUGCGCUGCCGGCAGGAGCGACGGUUUUCGGGGAACAGGCACCUCGGCCUGACCCCCGGGGUCACCUCUACUUCCCCAACCGAGGGGUCGAGUACCCCCUCGGUCUGCCCUUGCUCUUCGGGCCGGGACCUCGGCGUCCCGACCCCGGGAACCGACGGCGCCAGCCCGCUCAGGGGCUGGCUUGACGACUCCUGGCCUAGCCUCAAACCCGGGCUGAGGCCAAGGCGGGCAGCCAUGUCGUCAUCUUCGUCAUCGUCUUCAUCGUCGUCGUCGUCGUCAGGCGUUUCCGGCGACGGCUCCCUCGGGAGCCCAUCCCUCUCCUGCCGACGACAGAGCUUUUCCAAGGCGUCUCGGGCCCGCGUCCGCUCACGGGCCCGAGCCUUCUUCGCGUCCUUUUUCUUCUUCUUCUCCUCCGCGGCAACCCGCCGCGCUGCUCGGUCCACCGCAUCCUCCGGGACCCGUGGCCGGGAAGGCUUGUGACACCCUACCUCCUGGAGACAGAUGAAAAGUCUCGGUCGUAAGGACCAAGGGCAAUCCAACGCAAGGAGAAAGAAGGAGCGGACACUCACCAGGGACACACACCCACGGUCGGGACACAUCAAGGGCUGAGAAAGGGCUGGCGUCCGGUUUACCCAACGCGACGGACACCCGCCCGUGGAGGACGUCGACGGGAAGGGGAUCCGAGGACAUCCGCGAGCCCUCCAAGUCAGCCUCUGGCGUCAUCUCCCAAAGCGGCAACCGCCACUCCGCCAAGGGAAGCACCCUCCAACGAUGAAUGGCGGCAAUCACUCCCGCAGCGGUGAGCCCUCCUUUCCGCAACACCUCCAGGGCCUUGAGAAGGGACUCGAGGUUCUUCUGUCUAUCGUGCGGGGUCUCGUAGCGCCAAGCAUCGGCGGCGACGGUCACCACUCGCUGAGAAAACGACAGGAGCCUCCCGUCGUCAUUUCGGAGAUAGAACCACCGGCGCUGCCACCCUUUGUUCGAGGACGCAAGGACGACGGGAAUAUACUGUGACGCCCGCGCCUGCCUCAGCUGGAGGAUGCAGCCGCCGGCCCGCACUGCCGCGCGGACCCUUCUCUCCCCCAUCGGCGAAGCAAAAAGCUCCGCGGAGAAGAAAUGAGUCCACAGGUCCCAGUGAGGGUCGAUCCCCAAGUAUCCUUCGCAAACCGCUGCGAAGAUGGCGGCUUGCGAGAUGGAGUUAGGGCUGAGGUUGUGCAGCUCCACCCCGUAGACAUGCAGAAUCGCCCGCAUAAAGCGGCUUGCUGGCACUCCGAACCCCCGCUCGUGGAAGGAGACGAAGCUCACGACAUACCCCGGUGGCGGGGACGGGGCGGCUCCGCUCGGGGGGGCAUCCACUCCGGCUGCCUCUCAUUAGAGAGAGGGCGAAGUAAACCCUCAGCAACGAGAGCCUCCAGGUCAUCCGCCGUGACUGUGGAGAAAGGCCAUGGGGCGCGCGGCGGAAUAAUGGUCACCCGGUCGGCCAUCACCAAGCAGAGGAGGUGGCGGCGGAAAGGACUGGGUGGGCGGUUUCCUUUUCUCUGGCUAAUCCCUCAGGUUGCAAAAACCUAAGAAGGAGGCAAGCAACAGAGCAAAGAAUCGUCACCGGACCCUCCCCCGAGUAUAUAAAGACCCAGGCGAGACCCGUUCAACACGUCGCCUGAACCCGCCGCGGGAUUCAAAACUCAAAGCGAAACGACCGUUCCUCGAACGGCUCGCACACGCGCAACGGCUGCCCCGCGAACCACUCGCCCCGUCGCAUUAACUCCGCGGCGGGACAGGCGACACCUUUGGCAGGAGGAGCGAGCGACGCUUCACCUUCGCCAUAAUGACCGCGUCAAAAAAGGUGCGCCACGUCAUCUCGAUUUCGUAUUCUUUCCUCUUUCUCUCUCUUACAACAGGGACCGGGAAAGGGGGAUACCCCGAAAGGGAUCCUUCUCCGCGAAGGAAACGGGCCCCGAGCCCCCCUACUGAACAGAGGUUCGAAGGCUGGCCCCUCGAAGGGGUUCAACAGCCGCCUCAGAGCGCUCGGGCUCCACGCCCACUACUGGUCAGAGGUUCGAGGGUCGGCCCCUCGGAAGGGUUCAACGGCCGUCUCAGGCCACUCGGGCUCCGCGCCCACUACUGAUCAGGGGUUCGUAGGCUGGCCCACGAAGGGUUCACAGCCGCCUCAGACACAGAGCGAGGGAUGACCCUGGGUACGUUCGAUACAUAACCAAGGCUCAGGCUACGCUCCCGAGGUACCCUAGGACAUUUCCGAGACCAGCGGGAACGAUCUUGUAACGGAAUCCCAUCAGAGGGAGGCAUCGAGCCCUCGGACCCCGUCAAAAGGGGACCGGGUCCGGCAGAUCACCCGCAGGUACUGUUGGAGCGCGCCUCCGGGCCUCUAGCCGACCCCUAACAAAUGGGGCACGGGCGUCCACUCGGAUUACCCAUCAGCAGCUCACUGGAUACACCAUGUUCGGCGCCCUCCAAGGGCAACAUGGCGCUUUUCCCCCCUCCUCCUUGCGGAAAGGCGACGCAGGGGCGUAUGUAAAAAAGUCGAGUCUGUCCUUGACCGUCCUUUCGCCCUGUGCGGAGGCUCGGGGGCUGCUCUCGCAAACCCGGCUCCUGCCAAACCGUUGACAGCGUCAACAUACCAGCCCGAGAACUUGGGACUCGACCGUGCACCCGGGCUACGACCAGCUCGCAUGAGGGAACAACCAGACCAGCCGAAGCAUUGCGAAAUGCAUUAAGACCUCGAAGGAGUCAAACCACUCCUCCGAGGCCUCGGGGGCUACACCCGGCGGGUGCGCUCGCGCGCACCCACCGGCACAAAACGCAACCGAGAAAGGCUGGUCCCCUUGCAAAAAAGUGCGACAAAAGCCUCCAAGCGAGUAUUAACACUCCCUUCGAGGCUCGGGGGCUACUGUCGGGGACCAUAAUUAGGGGUACCCUCAAGACUCCUAAAUCUCAGCUGGUAACCCCCAUCAGCACAAAGCUGCAAAGGCCUGAUGGGUGCGAUUAAGUCAAGGAUCGGUCCAUUCGAGGGACGCGAUCACGCCUCGCCCGAGCCCAGCCUCGGGCAAGGGCAGCCGACCCCGGAGGAUUUACGUCUCGCCCAAGGACCCCCUCCAGCAACGGACACAGCUUCGGCUCGCCCGAGGCCCAGUCUUCACCAAGAAGCAACCUUGGCCAAAUCGCCACGCCAACCGACCGAAUCGCAGGGGCAUUUAAUGCAAAGGUGGCCUGACACCUUUAUCCUGACGCGCGCCCUCCUGUCGACAGAGCCGAAGUGACCGUAGUCACUUCGCCGCUCCACUGACCGGCCUAACAAGAGGACAGUGCCGCCUGCGCCGCUCUGACUGCUGUGCCACUCGACAGAGUAAGGCUGACAGCAGCCAAGUCCGGCCUCAGGCACCAUAGGAAACUCCGCUUCGCCCCGACCCAGGGCUCGGACUCGGGCUCAGCCUCGGAAGACGACGAACUCCGCUUUGCCCGACCCCAGGGCUCGGAUUCGGGCUCAGCCCCGGAAGACGACGAACUCCGCUUCGCCCGACCCCAGGGCUCGGACUCGGGCUCAGCCCCGGAAGACGACGAACUCCGCUUCGCCCGACCCCAGGGCUCGAACUCGGGCUCAGCCCCGGAAGACGAUGAACUCCGCAUCGCCCGACCCCACGGCUCGGACUCGGGCUCAGCCCCGGAAGACGACGAACUCCGCUUCGCCCGACCCCAGGGCUCGGACUCGGGCUCAGCCCCAGAAGACGACGAACUCCGCUUCGCCCGACCCCAGGGCUCGGACUCGGGCUCAGCCCCAGAAGACGACGAACGCCGCUUCGCCCGACCCCAGGGCUCGGACUCAGCUUUGGCCUCAGCCGACGGUCUCCGCCUCGCCCGACCUAGGGGCUCAGACUCGACCUCGGACCUUGGAAGACAGACUCGACCUCGACCUCGGAGGAGCCUCCACCUCGCCCAACCUAGGGCUCGGACCAACCACGUCGCAGGAGGCGCCAUCAUUACCCUACCCCAAGCUGACUCAGGCUACGGGGAACAAGACUGGCGUCCCAUCUGGCUUGCUCCGCCAAACAAGUAAUGAUGGCGCCCCGCAUGCUCCAUGACGACGGCGGCUCUCAGCCCCCUUACGGAAGCAAGAGGACGUCAGCAAGGACCCGACAACCCCGACAGCUGUCCUUCCGCCAGGCUCCGGCGCUCCUCCGACGGCCACGACACCACACGAACCGGGUGCCAAAACCUCUCCGGCUGCCACGAUGGCAUGUACUUAGGGCACUAGCUCUCCUCCGCUAGACACGUUAGCACACUGCUACACCCCCCCAUUGUACACUUGGAUCCUUUCCUUACGCCUAUAAAAGGAAGGUCCAGGGCCCUCUUACAGAGGGUUGGCCGCGCGGGGAAGGAUGGGACGGCGCUCGCGUAAGGCCGCUCGCUCCCUCCCGCAUGGACGCUUGUAACCCCUUACUGCAAGCGCACCCGACCUGGGCAUGGGGCAAACACGAAGGCCGCAGGUUUCACCUCUCACGCCUGUCUCCCUCCGGCUUCUUCCACCCUUCGUGCUCCGUCUCGCGCCGACCCAUCUGGGCUGGGGCACGCGGCGACAAUUUACUCGUCGGUCCAGGGACCCCCCGGGUUCGAAACGCCGACAAGGAGUGUGGGCUAUGUUGGCAUCAACAGUUUCCCUUAAAUUUUUUUGCAAGUGUGCCAAGAGCUUCGGCAGAGGCAGGAGUUGAUGUCUUCACGGACUCCAAAACAACAUCUAGCACACUAGCCAUUCUCCUUUUCCUUGGAGUCUCUGCGAGGAUGCUUGAUGGCUUCAGCAGUUUCGUUCCGGAUGGUGAACAAAUAAAUAAAUAAAAUAAUAUGGAUACUACAUCACAUAUUGGAUUUUAAUUGUGGUUUGUAUUUUGAAGAUUAAAUGUCAAACCAGAGUCAAAUUUGAAUUUGAAACACAAAAUUGAUUUGGGAAUAUGAAAUUAGAAGAUAGAAAUAGAAAAAGAAAAAAAAAGAAAACUCGCCCCGGGCCGAAACCCUGCCUCAGUCCACUAAAUCCUACCACGGCGGGCCACUCCAGCUAAGGAAAGCGCCGACCGGGGAACCCUGGUUGGCGGCCUCAUCCGCGCGCCAUGUGCUGCUGCGGUGUGGGUCCCGCUCGCCAGCCCUCGAUUCUGUGCGUGCCGCAAGGAGGGUUCGUAGUUUGGUCACUGGUACGUGGUCCCCGCUGGUCAGACUUAUCUCCUAGCUCGCGCGCGUGUCGUUCUCGCCAACUAACUCGUGUGAUCCGCCAGUUGCUGUGGGUUCGGUUGGAGCCCUGGACACCGGGUUGAUCCUCUAUAAAAUCGGACACCGAGCCCUUUCAGAAACCCCCUUCGCAUCUAGCUCAGACUAUUUUCGCCACCAGGAGCCAUGGGGCAGGGAGAUCUACCGUCCACCGCCAUGACUAGGCACGCACACGCCAUCGUGCAGACCUGGCAAGGGCAGUAGGGUAUUCACUGGUAGUCGGGGAUGGUGCACGUUGCAUCAUUAGGCAAAGCACGACGACCUCGAUUGAUGAAUUCCUCACCGGGAUGGAGCUCCACCGUAGGUCUGUCGCAUGUCAUGGCCAUGGCAUUAGCGCUGCUAGAAUCACGAUGAGCAAGCCUUCAAUAGUAUCAUAUCGUUACCCUCUAUGUGAUUACUGCCUUUUAUUGGAGUUCGAACAUGGAAGUCAAACUUGGUUAGAGGUCAGCCAUGGCACCACCAUGGGCACUUUGUGCCGCCAUGUCCGGAGUUGGGGAAGGGAGAGUUGAGGGUGAUGUGGAAGAGGAGCGCUGGCCGCAGGAUCUUGAUCCUUUGAUCGGGACUGGGUACCAGUUCGUGGGGGGAUCCUGGGCAUUGAAGUUUAAUCGAGCAGACAGGAUGGCUGAGGGAGCUAUUUGGAUCGUGGUCGUUGGAUCGUGGAUGAAGAGUGCAAUUAGAUCCCAGGUUAACCAUUCGACUUUUUAAUCUAGGCGGUCGGGUUUAGAUCCGACGGUUGAGAUGUGCCCAUACCCCUUUGUUGGGGACUUGUUCUCAAAUACUAUGAAUGAAGAACAAGGCAACACAAAAUGUUAAAUAUCAAAAAGCCCUUCGUCCUACAAAUCAUUAUUUCCUUUCGGACAUAGUGAAUUUAGGACGAAGGUUAUGAAGGUCAUACCUUCAUAAUCGUAAUAAAAAAUGGAGAACAUUUAAACAAGAUAUAGAAAGUGACACAAUUAUUGUAAAUAUUAUUAUUAAUAUAUUUCUUCUUUUUAUUACUUAUUUGAACAAGAAUAAAUUACAAGUGUACCUUCGAUUUGAAGGAGAAGAGUACAGGCGUGACGCAAAAGUGAAUGCCCAGUCAGCGUGAACAGUACGGGGAUACUGUUCACCUAUUUAUAGGCACGGGUCGCAGCCCAUGCAAAAUUACAUUAAUACCCUUUACAUUUAUCAACAACUCUAUGAUAAUUUUUCGAGGUCUAAUCUGGUUUUUCAUCUUUAAGUCGGUUUCCUUUUCCGCCGCUAUCCCGAAGCUCUUCUACACACAUCUUCGACUUUGUGCCAACCUUCGUGUUCUUUGUGCUUCUUCAUACCGUGGCUCUGAUCCGAGUCCGAAGAUACCUGUUAAUGUACUUUACUCCAGAAACAUUGUUAAAUCAUGUUUUUGAGGUCCUUCGGAAGCCGAAGGCCCCCAACAGUAGCCCCUCGCAAUAUUAAUUUGUUAGAAUGAUAAAUUCAGAUUGCGAAAUGGACGAAGGCUAUGAGCCGAAGGUCCGAAAAACAUCUUCCUCUUGCUAGAAUAGCAACAGUCAUUGGCAAAUGGGACCCUCCAGUCUCCGACAUAAUGGGUUUAUAAAUAGGGGCUCGCCACAAUUUAUUUGGCACGCUCUCUUGCCAUCUGUUUUACCUGCUCAAAUAGCUUUGUGCCUACAAAUAUUUGGUUGCCUCCCUAGUUUUAAGCUUCGGAAGCGAGAGGCAAGAACUCCGAAGGAAUGUCUGAGAAGAAGAAGGUUGCUGCCGAAAUGAAGCUGAGCCUUUCUGAAGAGAUGCAUCUGAGUUUUCUUGAGUCAAUGGCAAAGACGAAUACGGAGAAGAUUACAAGGGAGAUUUUAGAAGGUUUAUCUGAAGAUACUGGUGAUAGUGACAGCUUUGAUGCAGACAGUGGGGGUGAAGAUUCCGAAGAUCGGCCAUGGUGACCAAGCCAUUCAGUCUUCGGAAAAUCAACUAUUGGGCAAAGUCAUCUUGAAAACAUGAAGGGGAGAUACUUUCGAGAUAUGUCCAUUGUGAGAGUAGAUGCCGGAGAAAGAACUGUGCCAACUCCCGAAGAUGAUGAAGUCGUUAUCUUCCGAAGCUUUUUAAAAGCUGGGCUACGAUUCCCUCUAAGCAGAUUCGUGGUAGAAGUUCUGAAAAUAUAUCAGGUUUACCUUCAUCAACUUACCCCUGAAGCAAUAAUAAGAAUGGGAAUCUUCGUCUGGGCUGUGAAGAGUCAGGGUCUAGAGCCAAGUGCGAAAAGCUUUUGCAAUAUACAUGAAUUGUUAUAUGAAACGAAGCCCUGGGGUAAAGAGCAAUAUCAUAACAACUUUGGUUGCUACAACUUCGGCGCUCGCUCUGGAUCAAGCUGUCCCGUGCCCACCUUUCGUAAGAGAUGGCCCGGAGAAUGGAUGAAAGAAUGGUUCUAUGUAAAAAAUGAUUUGAAGGUUCGAGAGGAUAUUAAGGAUGUCAUCAUGUGCCCCAUCUGGCAGCGCUUCGGACUCCGGAAACCGAAGGUAUAAAUGGAUGAAGCAGCCGAAGAAUGCCAACGGGCCUUCGGCGCAGUCUGCUCUUUUAUUGGGACAAGGGAUUUAAUACAAGAACACAUUGCCUUCAGAGUAUGGCCUCUUGCAGAUAAUUGGGAAAUGCCGAAAGAAACUGUUAAAGAAACUUACGAAGGUGGGCUAGUCAGACUGAAGUAUACAUUCAAGUAUGGAGACAAGUUCGUUGAACCAGAUGAUGAUUGGUUAAAGAGCAUUGAGACUAUAAGUGAUGAAUUGCUUGGGAUAUAUUCGAAAGCCGAAGAUACUGCAUUAUCAGCAGCCUUCGGAGGCCGAAAAAAGAAAAGACUGAACCGAGUUUUUGAUGCAAUUGGGUUCGUGUACCCCGACUACCAUUAUCCAGUGCGGGGGCAGAAAAGGAAAGGUACGGCUUUUGCGAAAGAAACUGCUUCAGCUGCUCCUAGCGAGCCAGCGCCGAAGAGAAAAAGGGUGAAAGUUCUCACACACCGGCCACGUUACAUUGAACUAGCCACAGUACCUGAACUCGGCAGUGAAACGUCUUCGGCCCCCAAAGCUAAGGAAUCAACUCCGCUGCCAGGAGCCAAAGAGCUGGCCGAAGAACCAACAACAAAAGAAUUGGAUGAACCAAAGAUUUUGUUACCAGAAACCAAAGAGCUGGCCGAAGUGCCAUCGACAGAAAAGAUGGAAGAAGCAAAAGCAUCAACUAAGGGAGCGAAAAUAUCAGAAAUUUUAAGUCCUUCAGAAGGAAUUGAAGCAGCGAAAAUUAAAAAGGGGCCAACAGUGACCCCAAAAAGAAAAAGAAUGGUUAAUGUAUUAGAUGUUUUGGAAACAAUUAAACUUCCAAGCACAACCCCAGAGAAGACUGCUGAAACUUCUGAGGCGCUUGCUGAAGUAUCCGUUGCUAAGGCUCCGAAGCAACAGACUGAAGUUGAAGUCGGGCCUUCAGAACCAACCAAGGUAAUACCUUUGGUAGCAGAAGAAGCAAAAAUUGCAAAGGCAACUGAAGAAAUGAAAAUGUCAAAGCCUACUUUGGUCGAAGAAAUUGAUACUGCUGUCCCCGAAGCAUCUUCCAAAAUAUAUGAUUAUAUUGUGCAUCAUGCUUCGGGGAAAAAGUUAUCGGAAGAAGUAGUUUUUGAAGCUAAUCACUAUGCCAAAGAAUUGAAAUAUCCGAAGGGGGCACUAGUGUUUAAUGGGACGAACGAAGAAGAUUUCCUAUACUGCCUUCCAGACAAUAAAGAAUUAUCUGUCUGUCGGGAGAUGUCUAGAAGUAUGGGAUUUCCGAAACUCGAAGCUGGAUUAUGUGCUAUGACGAAGGAGGAUCUUGCGGAUAGUCUUGCGUACAAUAGCCUGAAGGUAUGGGAAUUGGAUGCUUACAAAUUUUAUAAUUCGUAACUCAUUUUUUUAUUCUUAUACCAACCUCUUUUUUUUACAUAUAGGGUUUAAUUCUAAGCAACGCAUUGAGAGCACAAAAGAAUGCCGAAGACGAGAGCUAUGAAAUUGCAUUCAACAACCUACGAUCAGAAGUUAUUAAACUGAGAAAUGAAGCUCUGGAAAAGGAUAAAAUUCUGCUUACAUUGGUGGACAAGGUAAAAAAGGACGAAGCUGCCUCAAAGGCCCAGGCCGAAGCCCAAAGACGUGAAAUUAAAGAUCUUCAGAAACAGCUAGCUAGAGCUAAAGAAGAGCGUAUACUUGAAGAAACAAAACGAGAGCUUACUGAUCAAUUGGCCAAUCAUUUAGAGAUAAGUGUUAAAGAGCUUCGUGCAUCCCAGAGAAAAUGCUAUGUUAAAUCCAUAGAGUGCGUCAAAAACAUAAAAUCUAGCUUCGCCAGCGUUGGCGCAUUCUCUAGUGAAGAGAAUUUUUCAAGAGGCAAUCCUGAAGGUCCAAUGGAAUGGAUCAGCCACGAAGCAGAGGCCUUCGAGGAAAUCCUGAAUAGUCGUGGUGACAUCUGCGCUUUUUCGGGUGCUAGGGGGAUUGCUGCUGUUUUGGAGAGGAAAGGCUGCGAGCAUGUAAAAUCCUUAGCGCAGUCCGAAGCUACCUUGUCCUCUGAAGACAUUAAAAACCCCUCACCCGAAGCAAGCAUGGUCGGUGGGAAAUUCUUCACCGAUAUCUGGGAUAACGGCGGUCGAGAAUUGGCGCAAGAAAUUAUUCAAAGGAGUGAAAAAGGCAUCCAUGAUGCUAGAAAAGUAACGGAAGCUGCCGAGAAAAGUACAGAGCCCGAAGGGCAAAUAGGUAUUAAUUAGUGGUUUUUAUCAUGCUGUAAUUUUAAUUCCAGACUCUGUUCUCGGUUUGUAAUAGUAAUAUAGCCGUAUCUUUUCUUCCCUCAGAACCUGCUGAGGCAUCUCCGGGCCCCCACCCGAAGGGGGACGAUGAAAUUAGAAAAAUAGCCGAAGCCAUUAUGGACAAGGUUGUCAACCAACUACUGAAUGAAGCUGCAGAGAUAGUGCUUAAAGAGGAUUGAAUGCCAUUGUAGAAACAUUUGAAACAUAAAAAUGUGUAAUAUAUUGUAACUUUAAAUGUAAUAUAUAAUCUAUUUAUAGUUUAAUUCUUUACGAUGCAUGAAACUUUGCAUACAUACCAUUUUUUGAGCCUUCGGCGAAAAAACACCUUCCCUUCUUUUCAUGCUUCGUGAAGAAAAUCCUUUCUAAAUCACAAGAAUUCGCUUACUUCUCUGAUGAAAAAUGUCCAAGCUUCGUGAAAUAUUUUCCGAAGCUAUAAAAAAGUUUUGUGUUGCAUUUCCGAUGAGGCUACACUUCAUCUCGAUUUGUCUUGUGCCUUAGCACGAUUUUCUCUUUUCCAAAAUAUGUUCCGAAGGUCAACACUGUAUCCCCUUCUUGUUCCAGAUGCAUUAUGCUGUAUGAUGCUUAUGUUAUGCGAAAAUGAUGUGAUGAUGUUAUGUUAUGCAAAAUGAUAUUUGUGCCGCAGAUACAUAUCCCUGUAAUAAAGCACACACACUUUUUAUAUCAGCGCUGACUUUUCGCUGUAAGCCUCCCUUAGGAGCUUCUUCGCCUUUUACUUUCAGCGGAAUCAGCGUUUAUUUUUCGCUGUAAGCCUCCCUUAGGAGCUUCUUCGUCUUUUACUUUCAGCGGAAUCAGCGUUUAUUUUUUGCUGUAAGCCUCCCUUAGGAGCUUCUUCGCCUUUUACUUUCAGCGGAAUCAGCGUUUAUUUUUCGCUGUAGGUUUAGAAAACUUACACUGCGCUCCCUUAGGAACGACUUUUUACUGCUUCGAACAAUUUGUACUGUGUCCGUUAGAUCAAAUUUUUGAUAAUACAAAGGUCCUUCAAAUCAGUAUAAGUUCGUAUGCUUCGGCAACUCAAGCCUAUGGAAAAAACAUAUUUUUAUUAUGGUAAAAGACGAAAGUAUUACAAGGAAUUGAAAUUCAAUAAAAGACAUUAAAACUCUUCAUAAUUGUUCCUUAUUAACAAAAGGGUAAUAAUGAAUGUAGAAAAUGCAAAAGAACUGCUGUUGAGGUAGGAUAUUUGUCAAUAAAUGUGCUUCGACUCUGGCACAGUGCUGUUGACUGUGCGAGCUUCGGACUCCUCUCUGAAAUCCCUCUGAAGAUGAUUGUGCUGACUCCCUUCUGGCUGUUAUCCUCGCUGGGUCGGCGGUGGCGGUGGAGGUUGCUGCCAAGAUGCUUGGGGUUGGCUCGCCGAAGCAACAGAAGCUGCAGGGUGGUUGCCUACAUAUUCUGGAAUAUAAGGUGAGUGAUACGAAGCAGUAUGCAUGACCUGCUUCGGCUGACUCUGUUGCGCUGCUGCUUCCGCUAUUUCCUUCUGCUUCUGGAUGGUAACAUGGCACAUCCUGGUAGUAUGGCCCUUGUCUUCACCACAGAAUAGGCAAUAUAUUUUUCUUGGCUGGUCUCCAAACCUUCCCCCGAAGCCCCUGGCGCCUCUGCCCCUUGGCGCUGGCGGCCGAAAAGAACUUUGCUGUUGGGCCGAAGCUUGUGAAGAGUGUUGUGGCCUUUGCUGCUGGCUCCCUCGAUCAUCAGUUUGAGCAGAGUUAUGGAUUGACCUAAUGUCACACCCGGUUUUAGAAGGCAAACCGAAUGCGAACCAUGUACGUGCCAGGAUCAGUUAUUCACGUACACAGCAGUUACAUAAUAUGGACAUCAUCACAUAGUGCUCAAAAUAGUAUUAAAAAGGGAAAUAGUCGAUUACAUCAUACGUCUGAGACGUCCAUAUAGGUCUUACAAUAAAUCAAAGUGCGGAAAAGAAACGUAGAUAACCGCGGCCUUCACAGGCAGCCGACUGGGGGUUGCCGCUAACCCACACCUAGAACUCGUCGUAAUCUUGGAACUCCUGGAAGUCUCCUUCCACAGCUUCGUCUUCGCCUGAGCAGUGGUUGCAAUGAUGACAACCUGGGGGGGGUUUGGUGUGUAGAGCAAGGGUGAGUACACAUCAACAUACUCAGCAAGUAUCCUGUUUGGCUGUAGUGGACUAGCUUUAUGUGGGGAUAAGUCAAGCAGUUGCUUUUAGUUGGUCAGGUUAUUACUUACUAGUAGAAAGCCAAGUUUUAGCAUUAACCCAAGUUAUUAACCCAAACGUACUCCUUUCCAAACGGAAAGAGUACCACUUACCAGCACCAUAAUCAUAAUCAAAACCAUCAAUCUCAUAUCCACCUGUACCGAGGUAUCUCUGAUCAAGUAUCACUAAUCACUGGAGCUCCCUUGGCCGCUCAUAACCGUGAGCACGGCUGAUAUAUCAGUUUUCAAACACUCUGCAGAGGUUGUGCACUUUACCCACAAGCCGUGAUUCCCUCUCUGGCCCGGGCUUGCAAGACCCUUAUUCACUCCCGAGGUGAAUGGCCAGGGAUUCACUACGAAGCCUUUACAAAGAUUCCCCGGGGCUGUAGCCACCCGUUAGGUUUCCUAAAUGCACCGCACUCCUCCCCAAGGGGCGAACCCAAACUUGGCAGAGCGAGCCGCAUACACCGAGCCCCAUUGACGGCACGACGGCUAAGUGAACUACAUCCCGGAUCCUCUAAUUAUUCAGCUAAGGGCACCCCAUUCCACCCUUAUGGUUGCACUGUUUUCCCGGGCGGUCAUCCAUAGAACAGGUCCUUACGGAGAGGCACUCGAGAAACCGCUCGAGCCCCCUUGAAUACCACAGAUACAACAUCAUCAUAAGAGAAGGGAAAACAGCGUAUCAUAGAUAAUCUCAUCAUGUUCAUUGAUUAGAGGUUGAGCAAUAGCAUAAAGCUAAACAGUAAUAACCCAACCCAGAUAGGUAAACAAGGACAUGGAUAACGAAAGCUAGUCAAUCCUUAGGCAUAAAUGUGUAAAGCGGGAGGUGAAUUAAAUAAUGAAUAGGACAUAGAUAGGUCAAAGGACACUUGCCUCCACCAAACGACUGCUGCUCAGGGGCUUCUCCUGCGAAUUCCUCAGGCUCUUCAACCGGAUCGUUCUCUAUGCGAGCGCAAACAUACAUACAUCCACAUAUUUAAUACAAAAGAACAGUACACCAUACAAGGGAACAUACAAGGGAACAAGUAAAGCGAAUAUGCAUCAAGUAUGACAUUUGACAUUGCAUUUGCUAUGGUUAGAAAGAAACGGGAAAGGGUCUCGCAGGGGGUUAAAUCUUAUGCACUAACGAUCAAUUACAAUUGGUUCUUAACAAAAGAAUUCUGUUACAUAUAACUAAUGGAAACCUAAUCACUUUAAGUUGAUCAACAUUGCACGAGAUAAACAAUUAACUACAUGAAUCAAUUAGCAUAACGGAAUUUUAAAUUAAACUUCCUAUUUCAAUGGCAUGAACAAUGAUUAGCCUACCUAAAAUAAAAUAGUUAUGAUCACAGAAAGUAAAUAAAAUAAAAUAAAAAAAAUAAAAAAAACAGAGGGGGGGGCGGUUGAACCGGCCCUAGGGGCGGUUGAACCGGCCCUGCGCAGGGGGCCCGGCCAAGGGCCAGGCGGGCGGCCGGGGCGCGGCCAGGGGCGCGCGGCCAGGCGGGCACGCGGCCAGGGGCGCGCGGCCAGGCGGGCACGCGGCCAGGCGGCCAAGCGGGCGGCCGAUCCAGGCGGCCGGGCGGCGCGCGGCCAGGGGGCCAGGUGGGCGGCCGAGCCAGGCGGCCGGGCGGGCGGGGCGGUGGCCGAGGAGAGAGGAGGGGAGAGGGGAGAGGGAGGGAGGAGGGAGAGAGGGAGGAGGGGGGGCUCACCGGCGACGGGGACGGGGCGGGGCGGCCGAGCGGGGCGGCCGAUCGGCGACGGGGAGGGGCGGCGCUAGGGCAGGGGGUAGGGGCGGCGGCGGCUUAGGGAGAGGGAGAGAAAAUGAGAGAAAAUGAGAGGGAGGGAGAGAGAAUUGGGGAAAAAGGGAGGUGGGGGGCGGCAUGGGCCAAUUGGGCCCAAGGGGGGGCGCCAGGGGCGGCUGGGCCGGCCGGGGUCGGCCCACGGCGCGGGAGAGAGAGAGAAAAAGAGGAGAGAGAAAGAAAGAGAAAAGAAGAAAGAAAAGAUCUUCUCCUCAUUUUCGAAAUCCGAUCUUUCUACAUGAAUGCAUUUGCACUUUCAAAGCAAUCAAAAGAAAUGCAAGGUUCGGCAUGGUGCAUCAAACAACAUAAAGUAUUUAGGGUUUUUUUCAUCACACGGGAAAUCCAAACCGAUUCCCGCUAGAACUUUGGAAAAGGUCAAGGUUUAGCGAGGGAAAAAGAAAAAGAAAAGGUAACGCCCGAAUUUUGGCGAGUAAAGAAAAGAAAAAAUUCAACUGCAAAAAUUCGGGGCGUUACAAACCUAUCCCCCUUAAAAGAAUCUCGCCCUCGAGAUUCAGGGCUGGCUAGCAAAGAGCUCUGGGUACUUGGCCAUCAAAUCAUCUUCACGCUCCCAGGUUGCUUCUUCCUCAGAGUGGUGAUUCCAUCUGACUUUGCACAUUCUGAUGGUCUUCCUUCGGGUGACUCUAUCUGCAAUCUCAAGGAUUUGCACUGGCUUCUCAACGUAGGUCAAGUCCUCCUGGACUUCCAGACCUUCCACUGGCAACUGCUCUUCUGGCACACGCAAGCACUUCUUCAACUGAGACACAUGAAAGACAUUAUGCACAGCAGACAAAUUCUCGGGCAAACUGAGCUGAUAAGCCACUUCUCCUCGUCUUGCAAGAAUCUGAUACGGACCAAUGUAGCGGGGUGCUAGCUUGCCUUUCACUCCGAAUCUUCUGACUCCUCUGAUCGGUGACACUUUCAGAUAGACAAAGUCUCCGACUUCAAAACUCAGCUCUCUUCUUCUUGUGUCUGCAUAGCUUCGCUGCCUCGAUUGCGCUAUCUUCAGAUUCUCUCGGACCAUCUUGAUGUUCUCUUCGGCUUCAAGCAGAAUGUCUGGCCCAAACACUUGCUUCUCUCCAGGCUGAUCCCAUUGCAACGGAGUUCUACAACUCCUUCCAUAGAGCGCCUGAAAUGGUGACAUCUUCAAACUGGCCUGGUAACUGUUGUUAUAGGAAAACUCUGCAUAAGGCAAUCUCUUAUCCCAUCCGGACUGAUCUUGCAACGCACAGGCUCUCAACAUAUCUUCACGAAUUUGAUUGGUCCUUUCGGUCUGGCCAUCUGUCUGCGGAUGAUAAGCUGAACUAAAAUUCAGAUGUGUGCCCAAAGCUUCAUGCAACUGCUGCCAGAAAUGAGAGGUGAACUGCGUUCCUCUGUCUGACACUAUCUUCUUUGGCACACCAUGAAGACAAACGAUCCGAGACAUAUACAAUUCUGCCAAUACUGCACUGUUGUAGUUGGUCUUGACAGGUAUGAAGUGGGCUGACUUGGUCAAACGGUCCACCACUACCCAAAUGGAAUCGUAGCCGGCUCGAGUGCGAGGCAAUCCGACUAUGAAAUCCAUACCGAUUUCAUCCCAUUUCCACUAAGGGAUCUGCAACGGUUGCAACAAUCCAGCUGGUCUCUGGUGUUCUGCCUUAAUUCUUCGACAACUAUCGCACCUAGCCACAUGCUCUGCGAUUUCCCUCUUCAUUCCGUACCACCAGAAUUUCUUCUUCAGAUCCUGAUACAUCUUCUCACUGCCAGGGUGAAUCGAAUAAGCUAUCUCAUGAGCUUCCUUAAGAAUCAACUCCCGAAUGGGCUGGACAUUGGGAACACACAAGCGGUCUUUGAACCAUAUCACGCCUUCUGCAUCUUCUCGAAAAUCUUUGCCUUUGCCUUCUAGAAUCAAUCGCCGGAUCUCACUGAUUUUCUCAUCAUUCUUCUGCGCUUCUUUGAUUUCGCGCUCCAAGGUAGGUUCCAACUCAACUGUGACUCCUCGCGAAUUGUUCAGAAAUCCGAGACUCAACCUGUCAAACUCUUUGGCCAACUCAUAAGGCAUCGGACGAGCGACCAUCAGAUUGACUUGACUCUUUCUGCUCAAAGCAUCUGCCACUACGUUUGCUUUGCCUGGAUGGUAAUGAAUCUCCAACUCAUAGUCUUUGAUCAACUCUAACCAUCUUCGCUGCCUCAUGUUCAACUCUGACUGAGUGAAUAUGUACUUCAGACUCUUGUGGUCUGUGUAAACAUCGCAUUUCUGCCCAUACAAAUAGUGCCUCCAUGACUUCAGUGCGUGAACCACUGCUGCCAACUCUAGAUCAUGGAUUGGGUAGUUCUUCUCAUGAACCUUCAACUGUCGGGACGAGUAAGCCACAACUCUUCCCUCUUGCAUCAACACACAUCCCAAACCUGUGUAACAAGCAUCGCAAUACACCGAGAAGGGCUUGUGCACAUCAGGCAAGACUAGGACAGGCGUUGUAGUCAACUUCUCUUUCAGCGCUUCGAAGGCCUCUUGACAUCUCUGGGUCCACUUGAACUCAACCUUGUUGCCUAGCAACGCUGUCAUUGGUUUCGCAAUCUUCGAAAACCCUUCAAUGAAUCGCCGAUAAUAUCCGGCCAUUCCAAUGAAACUCUUGAUUCCUCUAGCAUCUGUUGGCGCUUUCCAGUUCAAAAUGUCUGCCACUUUCUUCGGAUCCACAGACAAUCCUUCUUUGUUGAUUAUGUGACCCAAGAACAGGACUUCACUGAUCCAGAACUCACACUUGCUCAACUUUGCAUACAACCGGUGCUCUCGCAAUCUCUGCAACACCAUCCUCAAAUGAUCUGCGUGCUCUUCUUCGCUUUGAGAAUAAAUCAGAAUGUCAUCAAUGAAUACCACCACAAACUUAUCAAGAUAAUCCAUGAAUACACUGUUCAUCAAGUUCAUGAAGAACGCUGGCGCAUUGGUCAAACCAAAAGACAUCACUGUGAACUCGUACAAACCAUACUUGGAAAUGAAUGCUGUCUUCGGAAUGUCCGAAGGUCGGAUUCUGAGCUGAUGAUAACCUGACCUCAGAUCAAUCUUGGAGAACACACUGGCUCCUCUCAACUGGUCGAACAGAUCUUCUAUUCUGGGCAAGGGAUACUUGUUCUUGAUCGUGACCUCAUUCAAAGCUCGGUAAUCAAUGCACAUCCUCUUGGUGCCAUCUUUCUUCUCCACAAACAGGACAGGGGCGGCCCAAGGCGAGGUGCUUGGCCGAAUGUAACCUUUCUCUGACAGCUCAUCAAUUUGCUUCUUAAGUUCAUCCAACUCUGGUCCAGAUAUUCUGUAAGCUCUCUUAAAGAUAGGGGCGGUUCCAGGAAGAAGCUCUAUGGCAAACUCAACUUUCCGCUCUGGUGGCAUACCCGGUAAAUCCUUUGGAAACACAUCUGGGAACUCGGACACAACCUUGAUACUCUCAAUUGGGUCUGCUUCACUGCUAUCGACAGCCAUCUGAUAACAACUUCCUUUCUUUGGCUCGGGCGGGACUAACUCGGUCACCACUUCCUCUCCUAGUGGGGACACCAACUCGAUUGUCCUUUUAUCACAACUGAUAACUGCCUGAUACUUAUCUAGCCAAUUCAUCCCUAGGAUGACAUCUAUUCCCUGAGUACCCAUUACUAUAAGGUUGGCGGGAAAUGCUAUCCCCCUUAUUUUCACACUUAUAUUCAAACAAAUGCUAUCGGCUCGAAUUCUACCACCGGAUGAGUCAAUUUGAAUGGGGGUUGACAUGGUAGUAAUUGGAAGAUUAUGUGCUUCUACCCAUGAUGCAGUAAUGAAAGAAUGCGUUGCUCCAGUAUCAAAUAACACUUCUGCAAUAUGGGAGUCGACUGGGAACAUACCUACUAUCAUGCCGGGGGUCUCCUGAACUGCUUCAGCCUCCAAGUGGUUCAAUCUUCCAUGAUUAUAGCGCGGCUGAGAGCGAUUGCCUGCUCCAGGCUGAGGCACAUUCUGCUUGGCUGGGGCAUUGGGGCCUGACUGCUGCUGGGCUGCCUUCUUCGGACAUUGCAUCACCCAGUGGCCUUGUUCUCCACAGUGGAAACAUGCUCUGUUUCCAACCUGAGCUGGUGCUGCCUGACUGUUCUGCUGAUUUGCUGGGGCAGGAAGGCGAGGUGGCUGCUGAUUCUGCCUUUGAAACUGACCUCCUGACUGAUUGCUCUGACGGUUCUGGUACUGAUUCUGAGGGUACUGCCUUUGAAACUGCUGAUGCUGCUGAGGUGGACGCUGGUUCUGCCUGAACUGCUGAGGUUGAUUGCCUGAGAAACGAGGACGGCUGCUGCUUCCAGGCUGGGGUCCACUGAUCUUGCGCUUACGAUCUUCCAUCUCCUUGCGCUUUCUCUCCGUCAUGAUUGCUCUGUCAAUCAGGUGCUGGAAUGUCGGGAAGGUAUGAUUCAUCAGUUGGUACUGCAGGGGGUCAACCAAGCCUCUCAGAAAACGGUACUGUCGCUUGGCGUCGGUGUUGACAUCUUCAGGAGCAUAGCGAGACAAUUGCAGAAACUUGUCCCGGUACUCACUGACAGACAAGGGCCCUUGCUUGAGGGCCAGGAAUUCCUCCUUCUUCACUGUCAUCAGACCUGCAGGGACAUGGUACUGACGAAAGCUACCUCUGAACUCUUCCCAAGUGAUGGCGUCAGGGUGGGCAUGGGUGGCGAGGUAAGACUCCCACCAUGACUGGGCUGCUCCUCUCAACAGACGGGGACCAUACAGAACUUUCUCCCUGUCAUCGCACUGAGCGGUAUGCAACUCCCGCUCCACAGUGCGCAGCCAAUCUUCGGCAUCCAUAGGGUCAGAAGAAUGAGCGAACGUUGGUGGAUGACCUCUCAUGAAUUCAGCACGCUUGUCUCUUGGCAUCUGAGGCAUCUGAGGCUGAGGUGGAGCCUGCUGUUGUUGCUGCUGCUGAAUGGCGGCCAAAGUCUGACCGAUGGCUUGAACUGCCUGAGUCUGCAUCAGAAACAUCUGUUCGAUGGACAUCGGGGGCGGGGGUGGCAGGUGCUGCUGCUGAGGCACCUCCUCCUGUUGAGCGGCUCGCUCCUGCUGAGCACGCCUUCCUCCUCUGCGCCUGUUCUCUGACAUCUGCAGAAUGCAACCACACAUCAGAACUGAUCUGGCAAAUCUUGCAGCAUAAGGAAAGAGAAUAGAAUUCUUCAACAGCACUGAACAGAUGAGCAUCUUCACUGAUCUCCAACACAGACCACACAGCUUCUCAGAUAGAAAGGAAAGUGGAAUAAAAGGGGUUUCCCAACUAUAUAACUAACUCCAUUAACAUAAUAGGUAAACCAAAAUGCAGGGGAUACCCACACUCUGGUAACAGUCAUUACAAAGAUCCAAACCAAACAUGGUUCAUCAUGACAAACAUAGAUGCACAGGAUAUAACAAACUACCCUGUCUAACUAAGACUAGCUAGGACUGAGACUAACGCUAAGACUGAAGCUUCUACGUAUAUAUUUCGUAUUAAUUACAAGAUCCAACUCUAACGAUCUAUGGUUCUAGAGUUAUCUUGGUCUUGCAGGCGGGAUUGCCAUAAGACUGGUGUCCACGCUGAGGUGAGCGGUACGGGUGCUGAGUCCCAACGGGAGCGGGGGAACCACCAUCCAAGUGACGACGUUCCGCGCGCUCAGCCCGCAGCAGGGCGAUCUCAGCACGAGCCCUACUCAGCUCAUCUAAUGCAUGGUCCAGCUCCGUGUUUAGCACGGCGGCUAGGUUGACUGUGCUGCUCAACCUAGGAUUGCCCUCACCGACAGGUGAGACAAUCACGCCUCCUGUGCUGCCAGAUGGACGGCGGGGGUAAUACUUCAGGUCAAGACCGUCAGCUGCCCCACCGAAAACCGAGCAGUAGUGCGAAAGCGCACGCCGUGCAGCAUCCUGCAUGGCUGCCUCAGCUGAGUCCCGUUCAGAGAUAGAAUAGUGCUCUGAACAGGCCUCCGCACCCUGGAGACUGUUCUCCGGGCAGCGCACCAAGCAAGUUGCCUCCCAGCGGUCCGGGUAGACCCCGCGACUAUGCUGGUAGACCACACAGCGAUACUCGACGGACCAAGUAUGCCGGUCAAAUGCCCGACGUAGCAGGGUGUCGAGCGCAUCGUGGAAGUGACACCCGCGAGCAGCGUCGCGAGUGAUGGGUCGAGCAACCCAUCCUUCCGGCUCAGGAUUAGCAGAGAAGACGGUGUCGUGGCUCGAGCUGUCGUCGCCAUCUCCGUCGUCUGGGUCUCCUCCAGCAGCUACUCCAGAAGCUGGGGCGCCCAGUGGUGGUGCAGGGGGCGGCUCCAGAGGAAGCACAGGGGAGCAGCUCCUCACAGACUCUAUCUCCUGGUGGAGCGAGAAGGAAGAGCUCUGCUGCUCCUGUCGUCGACGCUCCUGCUCCUCACGCAGGCGGUGGUGUAGUCUCUCCAAGUGGCUGGACUGUCCGGCCACGGGACGGCGAAGCGGACGCUCAGCAAGGCGGGAGGGUAAGAAGGGGAUGACUGACUUUCGUGCAGUGUGUCUAAGUCGAGCCAUCUACAAAAGACAUCGCAAGCAAAAGGGUGAGAACAGAAUUAAUAUGACCAGCAAAUAAUGAAUCAUAAGUAAAUGAAGGAUUAGAAUAAAACAUGAUUUUCAGCAAGGUAUGAUAUAUAGUAGAACAUAGGUUUGGUCGGUAUGACCAACUUUUGAAGGGAUAUCAAAGUCAAGGCAGAGACAGAGGUCUAUAGUCCUUAGAACGACCAUUCUACUCUAGGUUAGCGGUCCUACAGUCAGCACGGCUUUGAUACCACUUAUGUCACACCCGGUUUUAGAAGGCAAACCGAAUGCGAACCAUGUACGUGCCAGGAUCAGUUAUUCACGUACACAGCAGUUACAUAAUAUGGACAUCAUCACACAGUGCUCAAAAUAGUAUUAAAAAGGGAAAUAGUCGAUUACAUCAUACGUCUGAGACGUCCAUAUAGGUCUUACAAUAAAUCAAAGUGCGGAAAAGAAACGUAGAUAACCGCGGCCUUCACAGGCAGCCGACUGGGGGUUGCCGCUAACCCACACCUAGAACUCGUCGUAAUCUUGGAACUCCUGGAAGUCUCCUUCCACAGCUUCGUCUUCGCCUGAGCAGUGGUUGCAAUGCUGACAACCUGGGGGGGGGUUUGGUGUGUAGAGCAAGGGUGAGUACACAUCAACAUACUCAGCAAGUAUCCUGUUUGUCUGUAGUGGACUAGCUUUAUGUGGGGAUAAGUCAAGCAGUUGCUUUUAGUUGGUCAGGUUAUUACUUACUAGUAGAAAGCCAAGUUUUAGCAUUAACCCAAGUUAUUAACCCAAACGUACUCCUUUCCAAACGGAAAGAGUACCACUUACCAGCACCAUAAUCAUAAUCAAAACCAUCAAUCUCAUAUCCACCUGUACCGAGGUAUCUCUGAUCAAGUAUCACUAAUCACUGGAGCUCCCUUGGCCGCUCAUAACCGUGAGCACGGCUGAUAUAUCAGUUUUCAAACACUCUGCAGAGGUUGUGCACUUUACCCACAAGCCGUGAUUCCCUCUCUGGCCCGGGCUUGCAAGACCCUUAUUCACUCCCGAGGUGAAUGGCCAGGGAUUCACUACGAAGCCUUUACAAAGAUUCCCCGGGGCUGUAGCCACCCGUUAGGUUUCCUAAAUGCACCGCACUCCUCCCCAAGGGGCGAACCCAAACUUGGCAGAGCGAGCCGCAUACACCGAGCCCCAUUGACGGCACGACGGCUAAGUGAACUACAUCCCGGAUCCUCUAAUUAUUCAGCUAAGGGCACCCCAUUCCACCCUUAUGGUUGCACUGUUUUCCCGGGCGGUCAUCCAUAGAACAGGUCCUUACGGAGAGGCACUCGAGAAACCGCUCGAGCCCCCUUGAAUACCACAGAUACAACAUCAUCAUAAGAGAAGGGAAAACAGCGUAUCAUAGAUAAUCUCAUCAUGUUCAUUGAUUAGAGGUUGAGCAAUAGCAUAAAGCUAAACAGUAAUAACCCAACCCAGAUAGGUAAACAAGGACAUGGAUAACGAAAGCUAGUCAAUCCUUAGGCAUAAAUGUGUAAAGCGGGAGGUGAAUUAAAUAAUGAAUAGGACAUAGAUAGGUCAAAGGACACUUGCCUCCACCAAACGACUGCUGCUCAGGGGCUUCUCCUGCGAAUUCCUCGGGCUCUUCAACCGGAUCGUUCUCUAUGCGAGCGCAAACAUACAUACAUCCACAUAUUUAAUACAAAAGAACAGUACACCAUACAAGGGAACAUACAAGGGAACAAGUAAAGCGAAUAUGCAUCAAGUAUGACAUUUGACAUUGCAUUUGCUAUGGUUAGAAAGAAACGGGAAAGGGUCUCGCAGGGGGUUAAAUCUUAUGCACUAACGAUCAAUUACAAUUGGUUCUUAACAAAAGAAUUCUGUUACAUAUAACUAAUGGAAACCUAAUCACUUUAAGUUGAUCAACAUUGCACGAGAUAAACAAUUAACUACAUGAAUCAAUUAGCAUAACGGAAUUUUAAAUUAAACUUCCUAUUUCAAUGGCAUGAACAAUGAUUAGCCUACCUAAAAUAAAAUAGUUAUGAUCACAGAAAGUAAAUAAAAUAAAAUAAAAAAAAUAAAAAAAACAGAGGGGGGGCGGUUGAACCGGCCCUAGGGGCGGUUGAACCGGCCCUGCGCAGGGGGCGCGGCCAAGGGCCAGGCGGGCGGCCGGGGCGCGGCCAGGGGCGCGCGGCCAGGCGGGCACGCGGCCAGGCGGCCAAGCGGGCGGCCGAUCCAGGCGGCCGGGCGGCGCGCGGCCAGGGGGCCAGGCGGGCGGCCGAGCCAGGCGGUCGGGCGGCGCGCGGCCAGGGGGCCAGGCGGGCGGGGCGGUGGCCGAGGAGAGAGGAGGGGAGAGGGGAGAGGGAGGGAGGAGGGAGAGAGGGAGGAGGGGGGCUCACCGGCGACGGGGACGGGGCGGGGCGGCCGAGCGGGGCGGCCGAUCGGCGACGAGGAGGGGCGGCGCUAGGGCAGGGGGUAGGGGCGGCGGCGGCUUAGGGAGAGGGAGAGAAAAUGAGAGAAAAUGAGAGGGAGGGAGAGAGAAUUGGGGAAAAAGGGAGGUGGGGGGGGCGGCAUGGGCCAAUUGGGCCCAAGGGGGGGGCGCCAAGGGCGGCUGGGCCGGCCGGGGUCGGCCCACAGCGCGGGAGAGAGAGAGAAAAAGAGGAGAGAGAAAGAAAGAGAAAAGAAGAAAGAAAAGAUCUUCUCCUCAUUUUCGAAAUCCGAUCUUUCUACAUGAAUGCAUUUGCACUUUCAAAGCAAUCAAAAGAAAUGCAAGGUUCGGCAUGGUGCAUCAAACAACAUAAAGUAUUUAGGGUUUUUUUCAUCACACGGGAAAUCCAAACCGAUUCCCGCUAGAACUUUGGAAAAGGUCAAGGUUUAGCGAGGGAAAAAGAAAAAGAAAAGGUAACGCCCGAAUUUUGGCAAGUAAAGAAAAGAAAAAAUUCAACUGCAAAAAUUCGGGGCGUUACACCUAACAUGCCUCGGGUGAAAUCUUCCUCCGAAGCCCCUGGUCAUUUCAGAGAACCUGAAUGCUUCCUCCCUCCUUUGGCGGAAGUCAUUGUCAGCUCGAAUAUAUUCGUCCAUCUUUUGGAGCAGCUUCUCCAACGUUUGUGGUGGCUUCCUGGCAAAGUACUACGCUGAUGGUCCCGGCCGAAGCCCCUUAAUCAUGGCCUCAAUGACAAUUUCAUUGGGCACUGUUGGCGCUUGUGCCCUCAGGCGUAGAAACCUCCGGACAUAAGCCUGAAGGUACUCUUCAUGGUCCUGGGUACACUGGAAGAGAGCCUGAGCGGUGACUGGCUUCGUUUGAAACCCUUGGAAGCUAGUUAUCAGCAUAUCCUUCAAUUUCUGCCAAGAAGUGAUUGUCCCUGGCCGAAGAGAAGAGUACCAAGUCUGAGCAACGCUCCUGACGACCAUGACAAAAGAUUUUGCCAUGACUGCCGUAUUGCCACCAUACGAAGAUAUUGUUGCUUCAUAGCUCACUAGGAAUUGCUUCGGGUCUGUGUGACCGUCAUACAUGGGGAGCUGGGGUGGCUUGUAAGACUGUGGCCAUGGUGUAGCCUGCAAUUCUGUUGAGAGAGGAGAAGCAUCAUCAAAAGCAAAGUUUCCAUGAUGGAAAUCUUCAUACCAGUCAUCCUCAUUGUGGAAGCCCUCCUGAUGAAGCUCUCUGCGUGGAGGCCUUCGGCUCUGAUCAUCUUGAACAAGAUGACGAACCUCUUCAGAAGCUUCGUCUAUCUGUCUGUGAAGAUCAGCUAGACGAGCCAUCUUCUCCUUCUUGCGUUGCACCUGUUGCUGAAGGAUCUCCAGGUUUUGGAUCUCCUGAUCCAGGUCAUCCUCUGGAGGUGUUGGACUAACAACCUUCCUCUUCUGGCUUCGGGCCUCUCUAAGAGAAAGAACAUCCUGAUUGGGAUCCAGUGGCUGUAAAGUACCAGCCCCUGUCGCUGAAGCUUUUUUCGGCGGCAUGACGAAGGUGAUGCUUGCCGAAAGUGUUCAAGACUCAAAAAAUGGAAGUGAGUUCACCGGAGGUGGGCGCCAAUGUUGGGGACUUGUUCUCAAAUACUAUGAAUGAAGAACAAGGCAACACAAAAUGUUAAAUAUCAAAAAGCCCUUCGUCCUACAAAUCAUUAUUUCCUUUCGGACAUAGUGAAUUUAGGACGAAGGUUAUGAAGGUCAUACCUUCAUAAUCGUAAUAAAAAAUGGAGAACAUUUAAACAAGAUAUAGAAAGUGACACAAUUAUUGUAAAUAUUAUUAUUAAUAUAUUUCUUCUUUUUAUUACUGUUGGGGACUUGUUCUCAAAUGCUAUGAGUUAAGAACAAGGCAACACAGAAAAUGUUAAACAUUAAGAUCCUUCGUCCUUCGAAGCAUUAUUUCCCUUAGGAUAUAACGAUCUUCGGACGAAGGUCAUGAAGGAUCAACCUUCAUCACUACAAUAUACAUUAAUAAAAGACGAAGCAUAUGAAACAUAAAAGAUAGCGUGAAUAAUCAUAUAACAUUAUUCAUUUAACUUUAUUAACUCAUCAUAAAGAAAUAGAAACAAUAUUGAAUUAUAAAUGUACCUUCGGCUUGGAAGGAGAUGAAAAUACAAGUGUGACGCAAAAGCAAAUGCCAAGUCAGCGUGAACAGUACGGGGGUACUGUUCACCUAUUUAUAGGCACGGGGUACAACCCAUACAAAAUUACAUACAUGCCCUUUACAUUUGGUGAUAAUUCUAUAGCAUUCUAUCGAGGUCUAAAUGGCCUUUUCAUCUUUAAGUCGGUUUCCCUUUUCUGCGAACAUGCCGAAGCUUUCCUGCUUCACAGCUUCGGCACUGUGUCAACCUUCGUAUCUUUUGAGCUUCUCCCUUUCUGAUUCAAGUCCGAAGAUACCUGUUCACACAUUAUACUCCAGAAACAUUGUUAAAUCAUGUUUUUGAGGACCUUCGGAAGCCGAAGGCCCCCAACAGUAGCCCCUCGCAAUAUUAAUUUGUUUGAAAUAAUAAAUUCAGAUUGCGAUAUGAACGAAGGCUUUAUGCCGAAGGUCCGAAAAAACACCUUCCCUUUGCUAGAAUAGCAACAUUCAAUGACAAGUGGGGUCUUUCAACUUUCAACGCAUCAAGCGUAUAAAUACGGCCAUACCGCAAACUUAUUUUGCACGCUUUCUGGCCAACCACUCCUGCUCACUCAUUUUUUAGCUCUUGUGCACUGUGAUCUGCUAAGUUUUUAGCUUUGAAGCUUCGGCUUUUUUAAAAACAGUUUUUUAGCGCUUCCGAAGAUGUCUGAAGCUGCUAAGAAGGCUGCUGCUGAGAUGAAGCUGAGUCUUGAUGAAGAGAAGAACCUAGGGUUUCUUAUAGCGAUGUCGAAGUCCAACACAGAAAAGAUUACCAAGGAAAUUCUGGAGGGGCUGUCUGAAGAUACUGGUGACAGUGAAAGUUAUGAUAUGGACAGCGGUGGCGAAGACUCCGAAGAUCGCCCCUGGCGACCAAGCCAUUCAGUUUAUGGUAAAUCAACUAUCAAAGAGAAUCAUCUUGUUAAUAUGAGAGGAAGGUAUUUUCGGGAUCUGUCCAUUGUGAGGGCGGACGAAGGGGAAAAAACUUGUCCACACCCUGAAGAAAAUGAAGUUGUGGUGUACCGAAGCUUUUUGAAAGCUGGAUUGCGAUUCCCCUUGAGCAGCUUCGUCGUGGAGGUGUUGAAAAUCUUCGAAGUCUAUCUUCAUCAACUUACUCCCGAGGCAAUUAUAAGGCUAAAUAUCUUCGUGUGGGCCGCGAGGAGUCAAGGUCUGAAGCCUGACGCAAGAAGCUUUUGUAAUGUUCAUGAAUUAUUAUAUGAAACAAAGCCUUGGGGCAAAGAACAGUACCAUAACAACUUUGGCUGCUACAGCUUCGUUUCUCGGUCCGGGGCAAGCUGUCCCGUACCAACCUUUCGGAAGAGAUGGCCCGGGGAUUGGAUGACAGAAUGGUUUUAUGUGAAGAAUGACUUAUCAGCACGAGAAGACAUCAAAGGUAUAAUUAUGCGUCCUAUUUGGCAAAGCUUCGGCCUUCGGAGGCCGAAGGUUGAAAUGAACGAAGCCGCCGAAGAGUGCCAAAGAGCCUUCGGCGUUGUCUGCUCUUUUAUAGGAACAAGGGACUUAGUACAAGAACAUAUCGCCUUUAGGGUGUGGCCGCUUGCUGAGAAAUGGGAAAUGCCACAAGAAACCAUAAAAGAGGCCGACGAAGGUGAGCUUGUGAGACUGAAGUACACCUUCAAAUUUGGAGAUAAAUUUAUUGAGCCAGAUGAUGAGUGGUUGAAAAGCAUUGACAAUUUAAGUGAUGAGCUACUCGGGACCUACUCGAAGGCUGAAGAUAAUGCAAUGUCAGCAGCCUUCGGAGGCCGAAAAAAGAAGAGACUGAAUCGGGUAUUUGAUGCCAUUGGGUUUGUCUACCCUGAUUACUGCUAUCCCAUUCGAAGGCAGAAGAGAAAAAACACAAUCUCUGCAAAAGAAGAAGCUGCAGCUGCUCUUAGCGAGCCAGAACCGAAAAGGAAAAAGAUAAAGGUUCUUACGCAACGGCCGCGUUAUAUUGAACCAGCUUCGGUGUCGGAGUUUAUCGGGAAAACUUCUUCAGCCACCGAAGCUGAAAAACUAAUCGAGCCAGCCUUGUUGCCAGAGAUCGCAGAAACGGCCGAAGUGCCACCAAAGAUAGAAUCAGAACAAUCAAACAUUUUGUUGUCAGAAACAAAAGAGAAAACCGAAGCGCCGCUCACAGAAAAAAUUGAAGAGGUAAGAGAAGCAACUGAGGGCUCCAAAACAUCAGAAGUUUUGAGUCCUACAGCAAUCAUUGGGACAGCAAAAAACCAAAAGGGGCCAUCAGUGACCCCAAAAAGGAAAAGAAUGGUAAAUGUACUAGACGUCUUGGAGACAAUUAAGUCUUCAAGCACAAUUCCAAAAAAGAGUGUUGAAGUUGCUGAAGCUUCUACUGAAGCUUCGGCUCAACAAGUUGAAGCUGAAGCUGGGCCUUCAGAGCCCUUCAAAGAACAACCUUUUGAAGCCGAAGCAGUAAAAAUUCCGGAACCAAUAUUAGUUGAAGAAACGGACACCGUCAUCCCCGAAGCACCUGCCGGCAUGCAUGAUUACAUCAUACGACAUGCUUCGGGGAAAAAGCUAUCUGAGGAAGAAACUCAUGAGGCCAACCAUUAUGCGAAGGAGCUGAAAUAUCCGAAGGGGGCAGUAAUAUUCAAUGGAACAAAUGAAGAUGACUUCUUAUACUGCCUGCCUGAUAACAAAGAGCUAUCCGUCUGCCGAGAGAUGGCGAGAAGCAUAGGCUUUCCGAAGCUUGAAGCUGGGUUAAGUGCCAUGACGAAAGAGGAUCUCGCAGACAGCCUCGCGUACAACAGCCUGAAGGUACGGGAAUUAAACACUUGAGAAAAAACCCCCUAUUUUUUUUUACGCAACUCAUUCCUUUUUUCUUAUAUGAAUUCUUUUUUCAUAUAGGGCCUGAUCCUAAGCAACGCAUUAAGAGCGCAAAAGAGCGCCGAAGAUGAAAGUUAUGAAAUUGCGUUUAAUAAUUUACGCUCCGAAGUUAUCAAACUGAGAAACGAAGCUUUGGAAAAAGAUAAGAUUCUGCUUACACUGGUAGAUAAAGUGAGAAAAGACGAAGCUGCUUCAAAGGCCCAGGCCGAAGCUCAAAAACUCGAAAUUAAAGAUCUUCAGAAACAGCUGGCCAGAGCCGAAGAGGAUCGCGCUCUUGAGGAAACGAAACGAGAACUUAGUGAUUUUAUGGUCAGCAAAUUGGAAUCAAGAGUUAAGGAGCUUCGCACAUCUCAGGGGAAAUAUUAUGUGAAAUCUGUAGAAUGUGUUAAUAAAAUUAAAUCCAGCUUCGCCAGCGUAGGCGCUUUUUCCAGCGAAGAGAAUUUCUCUCGAGGCAAUCCCGAAGGUCCGCUGGAAUGGAUUAGCCACGAAGCAGAGGCCUUCGAAGAGAUUCUGAACAGUCGUGGCGACAUAUGUGCUUUUUCGGGCGCCAGAGGAAUUGCUUCCGUCUUAGAGAAGAAAGGUUGCGAACAUGUAAAAUUUUUAGCUCAAUCCGAAGCUACCUUAUCUACCGAAGACAUCAAGGACCCCUCGGCCGAAGCGAGCGCAGUUGGAGGCAAAUUUUUUACUGAUAUCUGGAACGACGGCGGCCGAGGAAUGGCGCGAGAGAUCAUUGAAAGAAGCGAAAAAGGCAUUCACGAUGCUAGAAGAGUAGCAGACGCUGCCGAAAGGAGUAGGGAGCCCGAAAGACAGUUAGGUACCAACUAGUCGUUCUUGUUGCGUUGUAAUUUUCAUUUUAAACUUUGCUCGCGAUUUGUAAAAGUACUGAAGAAGUGUUCUCUUCGCUCAGAAACUGUUGGACGAUCUGCCGACCCCCACACAAAAGGGGAUGAAGAAAUUAAUCAAAUGGCCGAAACUAUCAUGGACAAGGUUGUUGACCAACUUCUGAAUAAAGCCGCCGAAGCAGUAUUGAGGGAAGAUUAGGUGCUAUUUGGAAAAAACAUUUAAAGUGUAAUCUAUGCAACACUUUGUACAUUUGAAUGUAAUAUACAAGUCUCUUUUCAUUAUUGAAUUCUUUACGAUGCAUGAAACUUUAAAUACAUACCACUUUUGAGCCUUCGGCGAAAAAACACCUUCCCUUCUUUUCAUGCGUCGUGAAGAAGAUAGCCUUCGUCAAAAUUAUUCUGAUGAAUGACAUCGAUGCCUCGUGAAAACAUUUUCCGAAGCUAUUUUCCGAAGCUAUGCAACUUUGAUAUUGAUCUGAUAAAGUUCGCCCAUGUUUCGUGAAAAUAUUCCCCGAAACUGUAUUCCGAAGCUAUACAAUUUCAAUGUCACUUUUUCAAAGCAUCCCUUCGAAGGUUGAGAGUGUCCCCUUCUCUUGCCAAAUGCGAUAUGAUGUAUGAUGCUUAUGCUAUGCAAAAUGAUGUGAUGAUGUUAUGUUAUGCAUGUGACAUUUGUUCCGAAGAUACACAUAAAAUAUAUUCGUAAGCUCUGCAUUCCCUUAGGAACGUCUUUGGAGCUUCUUCGUCUUUUACUUAGACGGCAUCAGCGUUGACUUUUCGCUGUAAGCCUCCCUUAGGAGCUUCUUCGUCUUUUACUUAGACGGUAUCAGCGUUGACUUUUCGCUGUAAGCCUCCCUUAGGAGCUUCUUCGUCUUUUACUUAGACGGUAUCAGCGUUGAUUUUUCGCUGUAGGCUCUGCAUUCCUUUAGGAACGACUUCUGAGCAGAAAACUUACGCUGCGCUCCCUUUGGAACGACUUUUUGUGACUUUAUAAACUUACUCUGCGUUCCUUAGAACGACUUUUUGUUACUCCGAAGGAUUUUUAGUCCGAAGGUCCUUCUUGGUAACGGAAGAAAUUUUAGGCUUCGGCAACUUAGGCCUGUGAAUCAAAUAAAUUUUUCUCGUGGAAACAACGAAAUUAUUACAUGGAAACUAUCAAUGUUCUUUGCUUCACAGAAAAUAAAACUGAAUAGAAAAGACUGCUAUCAAAGGUAGGAUAUGUCAAUAAAUGUGCUUCGACUCUGGCACAGUGCUGUUGACUGUGCGAGCUUCGGACUGUUCUCUGAAGUCCCUCUGCUGUGGAGCGUAUUGACUCCCUUCUGGCUGUUGACCUUGCUGCAAUGGAGGUGGAGGCGGAAGCUGCUGCCAGGAAGCUUGAGGUUGACUUGCCGAAGCUACAGAAGCCGCAGGGUGGUUGUCUAUGUAUUGUGGGACAUAAGGCGGAUGAAACGAAGCAGUAUGCAUAACCUGCUUCGACUGAGCUUGUUGAGAUGCAGCUUCGGCUAGUUCCUUUUGCUUCUGGAUUGUAACAUGGCACGUCCUAGUGGUGUGGCCCUUGCCCUCUCCACAGAAUAGGCAAAACAGUCUCCUUGGCUGAUCUCCGAAUCUUCCGCCGAAGCCCCUGGCGCCUCUGCCUCUUGGAGCUGGUGGCCGAAAGGAAGUUUGUUGUUGCCCCGAAGCCUGUGAGGAGCACUGCGGCCUGUUUUGCUGACUCCCCUUAUCAUCAUUCUGAGUGCUGUGAAUGGAACGGACAUGCCUCGGGUAGUAUCUUCCUCCGAAGCCCCUGGUCAUCUCAGAAAAUCUGAAGGUCUCCUCCCUUCUUUGGCGAAAGUCAUUGUCAGCACGAAUGUACUCAUCCAUCUUUUGGAGCAAUUUCUCCAAGGUCUGAGGAGGCUUCCGAGCAAAGUAUUGAGCUGCAGGUCCAGGACGAAGCCCCUUGAUCAUGGCUUCGAUAACGAUUUCAUUGGGCACCGUUGGUGCCUGCGCCCUCAAUCGUAAGAACCUUCGGACAUACGCCUGAAGGUAUUCUUCGUGAUCCUGAAUACACUGGAAGAGAGCUUGAGCUGUAACCGGCUUCGUUUGAAAUCCUUGAAAGCUGGUCAGUAACAUAUCCUUCAACUUCUGCCAUGAAGUGAUUGUUCCUGGCCGAAGGGAGGAAUACCAGGUCUGAGCAACAUUCCUGACGGCCAUGACAAAAGACUUCGCCAUGAUUGCAGCGUUGCCCCCGUACGAAGACACUGUUGCUUCGUAGCUCAUCAAGAAUUGCUUCGGGUCGGAGUGGCCGUCAAACAUGGGGAGCUGGGGUGGCUUAUAGGAUGGAGGCCAAGGAGUAGCCUGCAGCUCAGCAGACAGAGGAGAAGCAUCAUCAAAAACAAAAUUUCCCUGAUGGAAAUUAUCAUACCAGUCGUCUUCGUUGACGAAGCCCUCCUGAUGAAGGUCUUUCUGAUGAGGCCUUCUGUUCUGCUCAUCGUGAGUGAGAUGGCGAACUUCCUCAGAAGCUUCGUCAAUUUGCCUUUGCAACUCAGCUAGGCGGGCCAUCUUCUCCUUCUUCCUCUGCACUUGUUGAUGUAGCAUCUCCAUCUCUCUGAUUUCUUGGUCUAGCUCUUCUUCCUCAAGCGUCGGGCUGACGGCUUUUCUCUUCUGGCUUCUGGCCUCCCGAAGAGAGACGGUCUCCUGGUUGUGGUCCAGCGGUUGUAGUGCUGCAGCCCCAGCCGCUGAAGCUUUCUUCGGCGCCAUAGCGAAGGUCUAUAGCUUCCGAAGGUGUUCACGAAGACUCGAAGUGGAAGUGAGUUCACCGGAGGUGGGCGCCAAUGUUGGGGACUUGUUCUCAAAUGCUAUGAGUUAAGAACAAGGCAACACAGAAAAUGUUAAACAUUAAGAUCCUUCGUCCUUCGAAGCAUUAUUUCCCUUAGGAUAUAACGAUCUCCGGACGAAGGUCAUGAAGGAUCAACCUUCAUCACUACAAUAUACAUUAAUAAAAGACGAAGCAUAUGAAACAUAAAAGAUAGCGUGAAUAAUCAUAUAACAUUAUUCAUUUAACUUUAUUAACUCAUCAUAAAGAAAUAGAAACAAUAUUGAAUUAUAAAUGUACCUUCGGCUUGGAAGGAGAUGAAAAUACAAGUGUGACGCAAAAGCAAAUGCCAAGUCAGCGUGAACAGUACGGGGGUACUGUUCACCUAUUUAUAGGCACGGGGUACAACCCAUACAAAAUUACAUACAUGCCCUUUACAUUUGGUGAUAAUUCUAUAGCAUUCUAUCGAGGUCUAAAUGGCCUUUUCAUCUUUAAGUCGGUUUCCCUUUUCUGCGAACAUGCCGAAGCUUUCCUGCUUCACAGCUUCGGCACUGUGUCAACCUUCGUAUCUUUUGAGCUUCUCCCUUUCUGAUUCAAGUCCGAAGAUACCUGUUCACACAUUAUACUCCAGAAACAUUGUUAAAUCAUGUUUUUGAGGACCUUCGGAAGCCGAAGGCCCCCAACAAUUACUUAUUUGAACAAGAAUAAAUUACAAGUGUACCUUCGAUUUGAAGGAGAAGAGUACAGGCGUGACGCAAAAGUGAAUGCCCAGUCAGCGUGAACAGUACGGGGAUACUGUUCACCUAUUUAUAGGCACGGGUCGCAGCCCAUGCAAAAUUACAUUAAUACCCUUUACAUUUAUCAACAACUCUAUGAUAAUUCUUCGAGGUCUAAUCUGGUUUUUCAUCUUUAAGUCGGUUUCCUUUUCCGCCGCUAUCCCGAAGCUCUUCUACACACAGCUUCGGCUUUGUGCCAACCUUCGUGUUCUUUGUGCUUCUUCAUACCGUGGCUCUGAUCCGAGUCCGAAGAUACCUGUUAAUGUACUUUACUCCAGAAACAUUGUUAACUCAUGUUUUUGAGGUCCUUCGGAAGCCGAAGGCCCCCAACACCCUUCGACCUGGCAAAAUCACUAAAGAGACCCUGGACUUUAUAAUAACUAACCCACCAUCCAGUCCAAGUGGGAAGUAAUUACAGAUAGAUACGAUUUUAUUCAAAAUAGACCCUGACUUUCUAGAAAGUAGAACCCAUAGUACAUAUAAGCUCUGCAAUUUAUAAAAUAAAUCUGAAAAUUGAUUUUUAAUACAAAAAUAAUUCCAGAAACUUGUAUAAUUCAUAUUUAAUUAAUUUUAACUCCAAAUUGAUCCAGUCCAGUGGCAUUAAUUUUGUUUCAAUGUUGUUUAUCACCUAGUAACUCUAUUUAGCCAUGAAACUUGGAUUAAAAGUAAGCAAUAGAAACUUCAGAAAAUCAUAACUCGAUAACCGUAACUCCGAAUUUAGUGAUUCUUGUUCCUAUGAUCUCGUUACAACAUGUAGAAUAUUCUUACGCAUUUUGUUCUUAUGCUUGGUGUAUUGUUAAUUUUUCCUAUGCCAUAUUUGUUUGUAUUGCUACGAUUAGCGCGAGGUUACGAGCCACCUGAAGAGCAAGUUGCUACCUGGAAUCUCAAGUCCUAGGCAAGUUGUGCCUUUGAUAACUUCUUUUUACCUAAUCAUGUUCUUAUUAAUCAUAAUGAUCUAUAUAGGUUAAUUUUGAUGGGAUCCAAUAGGUUACCCUAGUUUGGCUAUCUUUAUACCUUAUUUACCACUAAAUUUUUGGGUAGUACCUGCUAUUGCUUUAUGUGGUUUUGGGUAUAGAGAUAUACAUUAUUCAUGGUCACACUUUUAUUAUCAGUUGCUAUUUACUGUUCAUGAUAAGAUCAUUAUGUUAAUUGGAACAUGGAGAACCACCCGGGAAAACAGUGCUACCACAAGGGUGGUAUGGGACGCCCUUGGCUGACUAAUUAGGAAAGCUAGUGGAGGACUACCUUACCCAAAAAGGGCAAGGGCAGUAGGGAGUGAUCAGUGUAGGGAGGCCCUUAGGUUGAUUUUGCUGCGAUGGCGGUCAAGCGAGGGGUCCCUGCAUUCGAGCUUCCUAGAAACUGUAGCGGGUUUUCUGAAUCUAGUGGAACUUUGUAAAGGCCUCGUAGUGUUACCCCGCCUCGCCUCCUCGGUAGAGGUGUAUGGGAAGUCGCGAUCCCUUGGCAGAUGGGUAACAUGACUUGUGGGUAAAGAUGUGCAACCUCUGCAGAGCGUAAAACUGGUAUAAUAGUCGUGCUCACAGUCAUGAGCAGCUCAGACACUCACAUGUUUAAUUUAUGGAAUUAAAUUCAAUUUGUCAUUUGCAUCACAUUAGGAUUAUUUAUUAUUUUGUUCUACUACUUAAUUGGGUUGGUAUUUACUUAUACUUAGUAAUUGCUAAUAAAAUUUUGACCAACUUUAAAAGCAAUGCUCAGCUCUAACCAUCCUCUUUGGUAAGCCUUACACUUCACAUGAGCUCCCACCUUUGGCGAGUUCAUGCACAUUAUUCCCACAACUUGUUGAGCGAUGAACGUAUGUGAGCUCACUCUUGCUAUCUCACACCCCCACAGGUCAAGAACAGGUACCGCAGGAUGAGGCGCAUGGAGGAUGCUGUGACGAGUUCGUGAGAGGUCUAGGCCGUCGUCUCCCAGUCAACUUUGGGUUGCUGAAUUAUUGUCUCCUUAUGAUGUAAUUAUUUAUUUAUUUUGUACAGAACUCCUAUUAUUUAGUAAUGGUGUGACAUUCGUUUCUGUACAAUGAUUCAUCAUAUGUGUGAGACUUGGUCCCAGCACCCUAGUGAUUAUGUUCACGCCCGGGUUUUGGACCCCUAAAAUACAGGUGUGACAGAAGUGGUAUCAGAGGAAUGUUGACUGUUGUACGAAACCUAGAUAGAACUGGAUAACCCAUAUCUACUUACCUUUUCUACUCUGAUCCUUUCUAAACUUUUCUUAAUCUCUUCUCAUCCACUGCUGCUUUACUCUGAUUACUCUUAUCUUAUCUUUUCUAAAGACAAAGGUGGAUUUCACACUUUGAAAUCCUGCACCUAAAGUGACUUCUAGGAAUAGGAGACCUACUCUUAGGAACAAAAACAAAAUUAUUUUUUAUAUAUAGUUAUCUAUGAACUUGAAUGUUUAUUCUUAUGAUACUUGUCUGAUUUGGAUCUUUGAUUGAGUGUGAUGAGUUGUGGAGUAAUGUCCACAAUUACAUCUGCAUAUACAUAUAGGAAAAAAAUUGUUUAUAAGAUAAACUAGACCAAUUAAGAAUACCACCACUGGAAUAUAUCAAGCCUAAUGGAUCCAUCUUAUCUUAAAAGACUCUCUCUUAUCUUAAUAGAUCCAUCUUAUCUUAAAAGAUUCUCUCUUAUCUUAAUAGAUUCAUCUUAUCUUGAAAGAUUCGUCUUAUCCUAACAACUUUACUUAUCUCAUCCUAAAGUAACAAUUAGGAUCUAAUCCAAAAUAAUGAGAUCUUAGCUAGUCUAAUCUAGUAACACAAAUAUAACUUAGAUCUGAUCUAAUGUGAUAGAUUAAUCUAACCUAACGAAGGAUAAAAUGGAGCUAAUCUAAUGCAAGUUGCUUAACAAGAAGGAUAAUACUAAUGAAAUAAAUGAGACUCUACUCCUAUAAAAUAUGUGUUAACUUAAUUUACUCUGCAGUAAGUUAAGAAUGACAGACCAACUCGGCCUUAUGUAACUACCUCAACCAUUCGAUGGUUGCAUAGCCCCUCUGUUUCAAUCUAACAGAAAUGUUGAUCUACCUACACCAUAUAAUCCAUCCUAUCUCAAAAGAUUCUAACAUAUUCUAAUAAUAUAUAUUCUACCCAAGUAGAUCUAUCUAACCCAAACUAGUCUAUUCUAGUCGUACCCAAUCCUAUCUAAUCUAUCAUCAAACCUAAUGUGAAUCCCUCAAACAUGAUUAGCUAAUCCUGAGGAAAUACAUUAGACCCUUCUCCUAUAAACAAGUUUGAGAUCUUAUAUCAACCUGACCCUGCCCAAUAACUUGACCUACAAAAGCAGGUCACAUAACUAAUCCCAUCUAGCAUAUAGCUACCUACUAAACCCUCUACCCAUCUGUUACCUACAGAUCUAUCUUGACCUCUUGUCCCAAACCCGAGGGGUGACACCCAAGCUCAAGAAGGAAAAGAUCAAUCUCAUUAAAGAAGAAUAGGAAUCAAGCUAGACCCCCCAAAGGAAGCUCGAUUAUGCCAUAGUACACUCAUUUUAUGUCAACACUCACCUAAUAGUUAAAACCUGAUGUACCCUUGUUUUCUAUGCCACACCUGCUAAUGGCAUGAAAAUUUUAGGUGUAUAAAAAUACUAAUUGGAAGUUCCACUUAGAAAAAAAGAGAUACUAGAAUUUCAUAGAGGUAAAGUCAGCUUGAUAUGCUUAACUAAAUGAUAUUCUUAAAUAAGAUUAUAUAAUCUAAUGUGAUCUAAUCUAGUGUGAUCUGAUCUAAUGUGGUCUACUUAAAUAGAUUAAUGAUUCUGGUAGAAGAGAUUGAACCCUACUAGCCAGGUGUUAACUUAACUCAGUACAUUAGACCAACUCAGUCACAUGCAUGAGAUCUGACCCAAUGUCACACCCGGUUUUAGAAGGCAAACCGAAUGCGAACCAUGUACGUGCCAGGAUCAGUUAUUCACGUACACAGCAGUUGCAUAAUAUGGACAUCAUCACACAGUGCUCAAAAUAGUAUUAAAAAGGGAAAUAGUCGAUUACAUCAUACGUCUGAGACGUCCAUAUAGGUCUUACAAUAAAUCAAAGUGCGGAAAAGAAACGUAGAUAACCGCGGCCUUCACAGGCAGCCGACUGGGGGUUGCCGCUAACCCACACCUAGAACUCGUCGUAAUCUUGGAACUCCUGGAAGUCUCCUUCCACAGCUUCAUCUUCGCCUGAGCAGUGGUUGCAAUGCUGACAACCUGGGGGGGUUUGGUGUGUAGAGCAAGGGUGAGUACACAUCAACAUACUCAGCAAGUAUCCUGUUUGGCUGUAGUGGACUAGCUUUAUGUGGGGAUAAGUCAAGCAGUUGCUUUUAGUUGGUCAGAUUAUUACUUACUAGUAGAAAGCCAAGUUUUAGCAUUAACCCAAGUUAUUAACCCAAACGUACUCCUUUCCAAACGGAAAGAGUACCACUUACCAGCACCAUAAUCAUAAUCAAAACCAUCAAUCUCAUAUCCACCUGUACCGAAGUAUCUCUGAUCAAGUACCACUAAUCACUGGAGCUCCCUUGGCCGCUCAUAACCGCGAGCACGGCUGAUAUAUCAGUUUCAUAACACUCUGCAGAGGUUGUGCACUUUACCCACAAGCCGUGAUUCCCUCUCUGGCCCGGGCUUGCAAGACCCUUAUUCACUCCCGAGGUGAAUGGCCAGGGAUUCACUAUGAAGCCUUUACAAAGAUUCCCCGGGGCUGUAGCCACCCGUUAGGUUUCCUAAAUGCACCGCACUCCUCCCCAAGGGGCGAACCCAAACUUGGCAGAGCGAGCCGCAUACACCGAGCCCCAUUGACGGCACGACGGCUAAGUGAACUACACCCCGGAUCCUCUAAUUAUUCAGCUAAGGGCACCCCAUUCCACCCUCAUGGUUGCACUGUUUUCCCGGGCGGUCAUCCAUAGAACAGGUCCUUACGGAGAGGCACUCGAGAAACCGCUCGAGCCCCCUUGAUAACCACAAGCAUACAUCAUCAUAAGAUAAGGGAAAACAGCGUAUCAUAGAUAAUCUCAUCAUGUUCAUUGAUUAUAGUUGAGCGAUAGCAUAAAGCUAAACAGUAAUAAUCCAACCCAGAUAGGUAAACAAGGACAUGGAUAACAAAAGCUAGUCAAUCCUUAGGCAUAAAUGUGUAAAGCGGGAGGUGAAUUAAAUAAUGAAUAGGACAUAGAUAGGUCAAAGGACACUUGCCUCCACCAAACGACUGCUGCUCAGGGGCUUCUCCUGCGAAUUCCUCGGGCUCUUCAACCGGAUCGUUCUCUAUGCGAGCGCAAACAUACAUACAUCCACAUAUUUAAUACAAAAGAACAGUACACCAUACAAGGGAACAUACAAGGGAACAAGUAAAGCGAAUAUGCAUCAAGUAUGACAUUUGACAUUGCAUUUGCUAUGGUUAGAAAGAAACGGGAAAGGGUCUCACAGGGGGUUAAAUCUUAUGCACUAACGAUCAAUUACAAUUGGUUCUUAACAAAAGAAUUCUGUUACAUAUACACUAAUGGAAACCUAAUCACUUUAAGUUGAUCAACAUUGCACGAGAUAAACAAUUAACUACAUGAAUCAAUUAGCAUAACGGAAUUUUAAAUUAAACUUCCUAUUUCAAUGGCAUGAACAAUGAUUAGCCUACCUAAAAUAAAAUAGUUAUGAUCACAGAAAGUAAAUAAAAUAAAAUAAAAAAAAUAAAAAAAACAGAGGGGGGGCGGUUGAACCGGCCCUAGGGGCGGUUGAACCGGCCCUGCGCAGGGGGCGCGGCCAAGGGCCAGGCGGGCGGCCGGGGCGCGGCCAGGGGCGCGCGGCCAGGCGGGCACGCGGCCAGGGGCGCGCGGCCAGGCGGGCACGCGGCCAGGCGGCCAAGCGGGCGGCCGAUCCAGGCGGCCGGGCGGCGCGCGGCCAGGGGCCAGGCGGGCGGCCGAGCCAGGCGGCCGGGCGGCGCGCGGCCAGGGGGCCAGGCGGGCGGGGCGGUGGCCGAGGAGAGAGGAGGGGAGAGGGGAGAGGGAGGGAGGAGGGAGAGAGGGAGGAGGGGGGGCUCACCGGCGACGGGGACGGGGCGGGGCGGCCGAGCGGGGCGGCCGAUCGGCGACGGGGAGGGGCGGCGCUAGGGCAGGGGGUAGGGGCGGCGGCGGCUUAGGGAGAGGGAGAGAAAAUGAGAGAAAAUGAGAGGGAGGGAGAGAGAAUUGGGGAAAAAGGGAGGUGGGGGGCGGCAUGGGCCAAUUGGGCCCAAGGGGGGGGCGCCAGGGGCGGCUGGGCCGGCCGGGGUCGGCCCACGGCGCGGGAGAGAGAGAGAAAAAGAGGAGAGAGAAAGAAAGAGAAAAGAAGAAAGAAAAGAUCUUCUCCUCAUUUUCGAAAUUCGAUCUUUCUACAUGAAUGCAUUUGCACUUUCAAAGCAAUCAAAAGAAAUGCAAGGUUCGGCAUGGUGCAUCAAACAACAUAAAGUAUUUAGGGUUUUUUUCAUCACACGGGAAAUCCAAACCGAUUCCCGCUAGAACUUUGGAAAAGGUCAAGGUUUAGCGAGGGAAAAAGAAAAAGAAAAGGUAACGCCCGAAUUUUGGCGAGUAAAGAAAAGAAAAAAUUCAACUGCAAAAAUUCGGGGCGUUACAAACCUAUCCCCCUUAAAAGAAUCUCGCCCUCGAGAUUCAGGGCUGGCUAGCAAAGAGCUCUGGGUACUUGGCCAUCAAAUCAUCUUCACGCUCCCAGGUUGCUUCUUCCUCAGAGUGGUGAUUCCAUCUGACUUUGCACAUUCUGAUGGUCUUCCUUCGGGUGACUCUAUCUGCAAUCUCAAGGAUUUGCACUGGCUUCUCAACGUAGGUCAAGUCCUCCUGGACUGCCAGACCUUCCACUGGCAACUGCUCUUCUGGCACACGCAAGCACUUCUUCAACUGAGACACAUGAAAGACAUUAUGCACAGCAGACAAAUUCUCUGGCAAACUGAGCUGAUAGGCCACUUCUCCUCGUCUUGCAAGAAUCUGAUACGGACCAAUGUAGCGGGGUGCUAGCUUGCCUUUCACUCCGAAUCUUCUGACUCCUCUGAUCGGUGACACUUUCAGAUAAACAAAGUCUCCGACUUCGAAACUCAGCUCUCUUCUUCUUGUGUCUGCGUAGCUUCGCUGCCUCGAUUGCGCUAUCUUCAGAUUCUCUCGGACCAUCUUGAUGUUCUCUUCGGCUUCAAGCAAAAUGUCUGGCCCAAACACUUGCUUCUCUCCAGGCUGAUCCCAUUGCAACGGAGUUCUGCAACUCCUUCCAUAAAGCGCUUGAAAUGGUGACAUCUUCAAACUAGCCUGAUAACUGUUGUUAUAGGAAAACUCUGCAUAAGGCAAUCUCUUAUCCCAUCCGGACUGAUCUUGCAACGCACAGGCUCUCAACAUGUCUUCAAGAAUUUGGUUGGUCCUUUCAGUCUGACCAUCUGUCUGCGGGUGAUAAGCUGAACUGAAAUUCAGAUGUGUGCCCAAAGCUUCAUGCAACUGCUGCCAGAAAUGAGAGGUGAACUGCGUUCCUCUGUCUGACACUAUCUUCUUUGGCACACCAUGAAGACAAACGAUCCGAGACAUAUACAAUUCUGCCAAUACUGCACUGUUGUAGUUGGUCUUGACAGGUAUGAAGUGGGCUGACUUGGUCAAACGGUCCACCACUACCCAAAUGGAAUCGUAGCCGGCUCGAGUGCGAGGCAAUCCGACUAUGAAAUCCAUACCGAUUUCAUCCCAUUUCCACUGAGGGAUCUGCAACGGUUGCAACAAUCCAGCUGGUCUCUGGUGUUCUGCCUUAAUUCUUCGGCAACUAUCGCACAUAGCCACAUGCUCUGCGAUUUCCCUCUUCAUUCCGUACCACCAGAAUUUCUUCUUCAGAUCCUGAUACAUCUUCUCACUGCCAGGGUGAAUCGAAUAAGCUGUCUCAUGAGCUUCCUUAAGAAUCAACUCCCGAAUGGACUGGACAUUGGGAACACACAAGCGGUCUUUGAACCAUAUCACGCCUUCUGCAUCUUCCCGAAAAUCUUUGCCUUUGCCUUCUAGAAUCAGUCGCCGGAUCUCACUGAUUUUCUCAUCAUUCUUCUGCGCUUCUUUGAUUUCGCGCUCCAAGGUAGGUUCCAACUCAACUGUGACUCCUCGCGAAUUGUUCAGAAAUCCGAGACUCAACCUGUCAAACUCUUUGGCCAACUCAUAAGGCAUCGGACGAGCGACCAUCAGAUUGACUUGACUCUUUCUGCUCAAAGCAUCUGCCACUACGUUUGCUUUGCCUGGAUGGUAAUGAAUCUCCAACUCAUAGUCUUUGAUCAACUCUAACCAUCUUCGCUGCCUCAUGUUCAACUCUGACUGAGUGAAUAUGUACUUCAGACUCUUGUGGUCUGUGUAAACAUCGCAUUUCUGCCCAUACAAAUAGUGCCUCCAUGACUUCAGUGCGUGAACCACUGCUGCCAACUCUAGAUCAUGGAUUGGGUAGUUCUUCUCAUGAACCUUCAACUGUCGGGACGAGUAAGCCACAACUCUUCCCUCUUGCAUCAACACACAUCCCAAACCUGUGUAACAAGCAUCACAAUACACCGAGAAGGGCUUGUGCACAUCAGGCAAGACUAAGACAGGCGCUGUAGUCAACUUCUCUUUCAGCGCUUCAAAGGCCUCUUGACAUCUCUGGGUCCACUUGAACUCAACCUUGUUGCCUAGCAACGCUGUCAUUGGUUUCGCAAUCUUCGAAAACCCUUCAAUGAAUCGCCGAUAAUAUCCGGCCAUUCCAAUGAAACUCUUGAUUCCUCUAGCAUCUGUUGGCGCUUUCCAGUUCAAAAUGUCUGCCACUUUCUUCGGAUCUACAGCCAAUCCUUCCUUGUUGAUUACGUGACCCAAGAACAGGACUUCACUGAUCCAGAACUCACACUUGCUCAACUUUGCAUACAACUGGUGCUCUCGCAAUCUCUGCAACACCAUCCUCAAAUGAUCUGCGUGCUCUUCUUCGCUUUGAGAAUAAACCAGAAUAUCAUCAAUGAAUACCACCACAAACUUAUCAAGGUAAUCCAUGAAUACACUGUUCAUCAAGUUCAUGAAGAACGCUGGCGCAUUGGUCAAACUAAAAGACAUCACUGUGAACUCGUACAAACCAUACUUGGAAAUGAAUGCCGUCUUCGGAAUGUCCGAAGGUCGGAUUCUGAGCUGAUGAUAACCUGACCUCAGAUCAAUUUUGGAGAACACACUGGCUCCUCUCAACUGGUCGAACAGAUCUUCUAUUCUGGGCAAGGGAUACUUGUUCUUGAUCGUGACCUCAUUCAAAGCUCGAUAAUCAAUACACAUCCUUUUGGUGCCAUCUUUCUUCUCCACAAAUAGGACAGGGGCGGCCCAAGGCGAGGUGCUUGGCCGGAUGUAACCUUUCUCUGACAGCUCAUCAAUUUGCUUCUUAAGUUCAUCCAACUCUGGUCCAGAUAUUCUGUAAGCUCUCUUAAAGAUGGGGGCGGUUCCAGGAAGAAGCUCUAUAGCAAACUCAACUUUCCGCUCUGGUGGCAUACCCGGUAGGUCCUUUGGAAACACAUCUUGGAACUCGGACACAACCUUAAUCCUCUCAAUUGGGUCUGCUUCACUGCUAUCGACAGCCAUCUGAUAACAACUUCCUUUCUUUGGCUCGGGCGGGACUAACUCGGUCACCACUUCCUCUCCUAGUGGGGACACCAACUCGAUUGUCCUUUUAUCACAACUGAUAACUACCUGAUACUUAUCUAGCCAAUUCAUCCCUAGGAUGACAUCUAUUCCCUGAGUACCCAUUACUAUAAGGUUGGCGGGAAAUGCUAUCCCCCUUAUUUUCACACUUAUAUUCAAACAAAUGCUAUCGGCUCGAAUUCUACCACCGGCUGAGUCAAUUUGAAUGGGGGUUGACAUGGUAGUAAUUGGAAGAUUAUGUGCUUCUACCCAUGAUGCAGUAAUGAAAGAAUGCAUUGCUCCAGUAUCAAAUAACACUUCUGCAAUAUGGGAGUCGACUGGGAACAUACCUACUAUCAUGCCGGGGGUCUCCUGAACUGCUUCAGCCUCCAAGUGGUUCAAUCUUCCAUGAUUAUAGCGCGGCUGAGAGCGAUUGCCUGCUCCAGGCUGAGGCACAUUCUGCUUGGCUGGGGCAUUGGGGCCUGACUGCUGCUGGGCUGCCUUCUUCGGACAUUGCAUCACCCAGUGGCCUUGUUCUCCACAGUGGAAACAUGCUCUGUUUCCAACCUGAGCUGGUGCUGCCUGACUGUUCUGCUGAUUUGCUGGGGCAGGAAGGCGAGGUGGCUGCUGAUUCUGCCUUUGAAACUGACCUCCUGACUGAUUGCUCUGACGGUUCUGGUACUGAUUCUGAGGGUACUGCCUUUGAAACUGCUGAUGCUGCUGAGGUGGACGCUGGUUCUGCCUGAACUGCUGAGGUUGAUUGCCUGAGAAACGAGGACGGCUGCUGCUUCCAGGCUGGGGUCCACUGAUCUUGCGCUUACGAUCUUCCAUCUCCUUGCGCUUUCUCUCUGUCAUGAUUGCUCUGUCAAUCAGGUGCUGGAAUGUCGGGAAGGUGUGAUUCAUCAGUUGGUACUGCAGAGGGUCAACCAAGCCUCUCAGGAAACGGUAUUGUCGCUUGGCGUCAGUGUUGACAUCUUCAGGAGCAUAGCGAGACAAUUGCAGAAACUUGUCCCGGUACUCACUGACAGACAAUGGCCCUUGCUUGAGAGCCAGGAAUUCCUCCUUCUUCACUGUCAUCAGACCUGCAGGAACAUGGUACUGACGAAAGCUACCUCUGAACUCUUCCCAGGUGAUGGUGUCAGGGUGGGCAUGGGUGGCGAGGUAAGACUCCCACCAUGACUGGGCUGCUCCUCUCAACAGACGGGGACCAUACAGAACCUUCUCCCUGUCAUCGCACUGAGCGGUAUGCAACUCCCGCUCCACAGUGCGCAGCCAAUCUUCAGCAUCCAUGGGGUCAGAAGAGUGAGCGAACGUUGGUGGAUGACCUCUCAUGAAUUCAGCACGCUUGUCUCUGGGCAUCUGAGGCAUCUGAGGCUGGGGUGGUGCUUGCUGCUGUUGCUGCUGCUGCUGCUGAAUGGCGGCCAAAGUCUGACCGAUGGCUUGAACUGCCUGAGUCUGCAUCAGAAACAUCUGCUCGAUGGACAUCGGGGGCGGGGGCGGCAGGUGCUGCUGCUGGGGCACCUCUUCCUGUUGAGCGGCUCGCUCCUGCUGAGCACGCCUUCCUCCUCUGCGCCUGUUUUCUGACAUCUGCAGAAUGCAACCACACAUCAGAACUGAUCUGGCAAAUCUUGCAGCAUAAGGAAAGAGAAUAGAAUUCUUCAACAGCACUGAACAGAUGAGCAUCUUCACUGAUCUCCAACACAGACCACACAGCUUCUCAGAUAAAGAGGAAAGUGGAAUAAAAGGGGUUUCCCAACUAUAUAACUAACUCCAUUAACAUAAUAGAUAAACCAAAAUGCAGGGGAUACCCACACUCUGGUGACAGUCAUUACAAAGAUCCAAACCAAACAUAGUUCAUCAUGACAAACAUAGAUGCACAGGAUAUAGCAAACUACCCUGUCUAACUAAGACUAACUAAGACCGAGACUAACGCUAAGACUGAAGCUUCUAUGCAUAUAUUUCGUAUUAAUUACAAGAUCCAACUCUAACGAUCUAUGGUUCUAGAGUUAUCUUGGUCUUGCAGUCGGGAUUGCCAUACGACUGGUGUCCACGCUGAGGUGAGCGGUACGGGUGCUGAGUCCCAACGGGAGCGGGGGAACCACCAUCCAAGUGACGACGUUCCGCGCGCUCAGCCCGCAGCAGGGCGAUCUCAGCACGAGCCCUACUCAGCUCAUCUAAUGCAUGGUCCAGCUCCGUGUUUAGCACGGCGGCUAGGUUGACUGUGCUGCUCAACCUAGGAUUGCCCUCACCGACGGGUGAGACGAUCACGCCUCCUGUGCUGCCAGAUGGACGGCGGGGGUAAUACUUCAGGUCAAGACCAUCAGCUGCCCCACCGAAAACCGAGCAGUAGUGCGAAAGCGCACGCCGUGCAGCAUCUUGCAUGGCUGCCUCAGCUGAGUCCCGUUCAGAGAUAGAAUAGUGCUCUGAACAGGCCUCCGCACCCUGGAGACUGUUCUCCGGGCAGCGCACCAAGCAAGUUGCCUCCCAGCGGUCCGGGUAGACCCCGCGACUGUGCUGGUAGACCACACAGCGAUACUCGACGGACCAAGUAUGCCGGUCGAAUGCCCGACGUAGCAGGGUGUCGAGCGCAUCGUGGAAGUGACACCCGCGAGCAGCGUCGCGAGUGAUGGGUCGAGCAACCCAUCCUUCCGGCUCAGGGUUAGCAGAGAAGUCGGUGUCGUGGCUCGAGCUGUCGUCGCCACCUCCGUCGUCUGGGUCUCCUCCAACAGCUACUCCAGAAGCUGGGGCGCCCAGUGGUGGUGCAGGGGGCGGCUCCAGAGGAAGCACAGGGGAGCAGCUCCUCACAGACUCUAUCUCCUGGUGGAGCGAGAAGGAAGAGCUCUGCUGCUCCUGUCGUCGACGCUCCUGCUCCUCACGCAGGCGGUGGUGUAGUCUCUCCAAGUGGCUGGACUGUCCGGCCACGGGACGGCGAAGCGGACGCUCAGCAAGGCGGGAGGGUAAGAAGGGGAUGACUGACUUUCGUGCAGUGUGUCUAAGUCGAGCCAUCUACAAAAGACAUCGCAAGCAAAAGGGUGAGAACAGAAUUAAUAUGACCAGCAAAUAAUGAAUCAUAAGUAAAUGAAGGAUUAGAAUAAAACAUGAUUUUCAGCAAGGUAUUAUAUAUAGUAGAACAUAGGUUUGGUCGGUAUGACCAACUUUUGAAGGGAUAUCAAAGUCAAGGCAGAGACAGAGGUCUAUAGUCCUUAGAACGACCAUUCUACUCUAGGUUAGCGGUCCUACAGUCAGCACGGCUUUGAUACCACUUAUGUCACACCCGGUUUUAGAAGGCAAACCGAAUGCGAACCAUGUACGUGCCAGGAUCAGUUAUUCACGUACACAGCAGUUACAUAAUAUGGACAUCAUCACACAGUGCUCAAAAUAGUAUUAAAAAGGGAAAUAGUCGAUUACAUCAUACGUCUGAGACGUCCAUAUAGGUCUUACAAUAAAUCAAAGUGCGGAAAAGAAACGUAGAUAACCGCGGCCUUCACAGGCAGCCGACUGGGGGUUGCCGCUAACCCACACCUAGAACUCGUCGUAAUCUUGGAACUCCUGGAAGUCUCCUUCCACAGCUUCAUCUUCGCCUGAGCAGUGGUUGCAAUGCUGACAACUUGGGGGGGGGGGGUUUGGUGUGUAGAGCAAGGGUGAGUACACAUCAACAUACUCAGCAAGUAUCCUGUUUGGCUGUAGUGGACUAGCUUUAUGUGGGGAUAAGUCAAGCAGUUGCUUUUAGUUGGUCAGAUUAUUACUUACUAGUAGAAAGCCAAGUUUUAGCAUUAACCCAAGUUAUUAACCCAAACGUACUCCUUUCCAAACGGAAAGAGUACCACUUACCAGCACCAUAAUCAUAAUCAAAACCAUCAAUCUCAUAUCCACCUGUAGCGAAGUAUCUCUGAUCAAGUACCACUAAUCACUGGAGCUCCCUUGGCCGCUCAUAACCGCGAGCACGGCUGAUAUAUCAGUUUCAUAACACUCUGCAGAGGUUGUGCACUUUACCCACAAGCCGUGAUUCCCUCUCUGGCCCGGGCUUGCAAGACCCUUAUUCACUCCCGAGGUGAAUGGCCAGGGAUUCACUACGAAGCCUUUACAAAGAUUCCCCGGGGCUGUAGCCACCCGUUAGGUUUCCUAAAUGCACCGCACUCCUCCCCAAGGGGCGAACCCAAACUUGGCAGAGCGAGCCGCAUACACCGAGCCCCAUUGACGGCACGACGGCUAAGUGAACUACACCCCGGAUCCUCUAAUUAUUCAGCUAAGGGCACCCCAUUCCACCCUCAUGGUUGCACUGUUUUCCCGGGCGGUCAUCCAUAGAACAGGUCCUUACGGAGAGGCACUCGAGAAACCGCUCGAGCCCCCUUGAUAACCACAAGCAUACAUCAUCAUAAGAUAAGGGAAAACAGCGUAUCAUAGAUAAUCUCAUCAUGUUCAUUGAUUAUAGUUGAGCGAUAGCAUAAAGCUAAACAGUAAUAAUCCAACCCAGAUAGGUAAACAAGGACAUGGAUAACAAAAGCUAGUCAAUCCUUAGGCAUAAAUGUGUAAAGCGGGAGGUGAAUUAAAUAAUGAAUAGGACAUAGAUAGGUCAAAGGACACUUGCCUCCACCAAACGACUGCUGCUCAGGGGCUUCUCCUGCGAAUUCCUCGGGCUCUUCAACCGGAUCGUUCUCUAUGCGAGCGCAAACAUACAUACAUCCACAUAUUUAAUACAAAAGAACAGUACACCAUACAAGGGAACAUACAAGGGAACAAGUAAAGCGAAUAUGCAUCAAGUAUGACAUUUGACAUUGCAUUUGCUAUGGUUAGAAAGAAACGGGAAAGGGUCUCGCAGGGGGUUAAAUCUUAUGCACUAACGAUCAAUUACAAUUGGUUCUUAACAAAAGAAUUCUGUUACAUAUACACUAAUGGAAACCUAAUCACUUUAAGUUGAUCAACAUUGCACGAGAUAAACAAUUAACUACAUGAAUCAAUUAGCAUAACGGAAUUUUAAAUUAAACUUCCUAUUUCAAUGGCAUGAACAAUGAUUAGCCUACCUAAAAUAAAAUAGUUAUGAUCACAGAAAGUAAAUAAAAUAAAAUAAAAAAAAUAAAAAAAACAGAGGGGGGGGCGGUUGAACCGGCCCUAGGGGCGGUUGAACCGGCCCUGCGCAGGGGGCGCGGCCAAGGGCCAGGCGGGCGGCCGGGGCGCGGCCAGGGGCGCGCGGCCAGGCGGGCACGCGGCCAGGGGCGCGCGGCCAGGCGGGCACGCGGCCAGGCGGCCAAGCGGGCGGCCGAUCCAGGCGGCCGGGCGGCGCGCGGCCAGGGGCCAGGCGGGCGGCCGAGCCAGGCGGCCGGGCGGCGCGCGGCCAGGGGGCCAGGCGGGCGGGGCGGUGGCCGAGGAGAGAGGAGGGGAGAGGGGAGAGGGAGGGAGGAGGGAGAGAGGGAGGAGGGGGGCUCACCGGCGACGGGGACGGGGCGGGGCGGCCGAGCGGGGCGGCCGAUCGGCGACGGGGAGGGGCGGCGCUAGGGCAGGGGGUAGGGGCGGCGGCGGCUUAGGGAGAGGGAGAGAAAAUGAGAGAAAAUGAGAGGGAGGGAGAGAGAAUUGGGGAAAAAGGGAGGUGGGGGGGCGGCAUGGGCCAAUUGGGCCCAAGGGGGGGGGCGCCAGGGGCGGCUGGGCCGGCCGGGGUCGGCCCACGGCGCGGGAGAGAGAGAGAAAAAGAGGAGAGAGAAAGAAAGAGAAAAGAAGAAAGAAAAGAUCUUCUCCUCAUUUUCGAAAUCCGAUCUUUCUACAUGAAUGCAUUUGCACUUUCAAAGCAAUCAAAAGAAAUGCAAGGUUCGGCAUGGUGCAUCAAACAACAUAAAGUAUUUAGGGUUUUUUUCAUCACACGGGAAAUCCAAACCGAUUCCCGCUAGAACUUUGGAAAAGGUCAAGGUUUAGCGAGGGAAAAAGAAAAAGAAAAGGUAACGCCCGAAUUUUGGCGAGUAAAGAAAAGAAAAAAUUCAACUGCAAAAAUUCGGGGCGUUACACCCAACCAAUAGAAUCUUGAUGGAUUGUAUAAUCUAUCUAUCCCCACCUAACAUCAAACAAGAUUUUGACCUACAUCAUAUAGUCUAUCUCAUCCAUAUCUAUCUUAACCAUAUUCCCCAACCCCGAUGAUAUACACUAACCUCGAAUCAACAAGACCAAGACCGGAGAAGAAAAGAUCAACAUCGACAUGGAAUGAUAUAAUAGUCAAAGCGAAUCUCGAGAUGAAUCAAGACUUAAACAUUUCAGAUGAAGCCUUUUCCUUGGCAUAAUCUUUCUUACCUCAACUUGUCCAGCUCAUAUCAUGCAUAAUAAAUAGCUAGAUACCUAAGCUCUCCUAAUCACCCACUAUUGACUAUAAAAAACUGAGACUCUGGAUUUUUGAACCAAUUAUAGACUAAAAGCUGAAUUACAAACCAAUCCUUCUGUGUCCCUUUUAUUACAAAUCUCGAGGACGAGAUUUCUGUUAAGGGGGUAGGAUUUGUAACACCUCAAAAUCUCAUUUUGAGAAUUAUGUAACAUUUUCUAAAGAUUUUGAGUUAGAAUAUUUUUUAAAAAAAACUUUUGAAGUCACACCUCCUAAAAUAAAUGUUUUAUAAUAAACAUUCAAUAAGAAGGAUUGUUAUAUAAAUUAUCCCUUAUUGAAGUUGAUAAGUAUUAUAUAAGGAUAAAUAGUAGAGCAUCGUUCAAUCGAGAUUAUACAAUCAAAAAUAUUUUUCUCAAAAUAAUUAUGUGGAGCAACAUAUCCAGAAGAAUUUACUUAUUUAGGAUAAUGAACAAAUAAAUAAAUAAAAUAAUAUGGAUACUGCAUCACAUAUUGUAUUUUAAUUGUGCUUUGUAUUUUAAAGAUUAAAUGUGAAACCAGAGUCAAAUUUGAAUUUGAAACACAAAAUUGAUUUGGGAAUAUGAAAUUAGAAGAUAGAAAUAGAAAAGGAAGAAAAAGAAAACUCGGCCCCGGCCGAAACCCUGCCUCAGCCGACUAAAUCCUACCACGACGGUGCACUCCAGCUAAGGAAAGCGCCGACCGGGGAACCCUGGCUGGCGGCCUCACCCGCGUGCCAUGUGCCGCUGCAGUGUGGGUCCCGCUCGCCAACCCUCGAUUUCGCGCGGGCCACCAGGAGGAUUCAUGGUUUGGUCACUGGUAUGUGGUCCCCGCUGGUCAGACUUAUCUCCUAGCUCACGCGCGCGUCGUUCUCGCCAACUAACUCGUGUGAUCCGCCGGUUGUUGCGGGUCCGGUUGGAGCCCUGGACACCAGGUUGCUCCUCUAUAAAAUCGGACACCGAGCCCUUUCGGAAACACCCUUCGCAUCUAGCUCAGACUAUUUUCGCCACAAGGAGUCAUGGUGCAGGGAGAUCUGCUGUCCGCCGCCAUGACUAGGCAUGCACACGCUGUCGUACGGACCUGGCAAGGGCAGUAGGGUAUUCGCUGGUAGUCGGGGAUGGUGCGCGUUGCAUCAUCAGGCAAAGCGCGACGAUCUCGGUUGAUGAAUUCCUCACCGGGAUGGAGCUCCACCGCAGGUCUGUCGCGUGUCGUGGCCAUGGCAUUAGCGCUGCUAGAAUCACAGUGAGCAACCCUUCAACAGUAUGGUAUCGUUACCCUCUAUGUGAUUACUUUCUUUGAUUGGAGUUCGAACAUGGAAGUCAAGCUUGUUUAGAGGUCAGCCAUGGCGCCUCCAUGGGCACUCUGUGCCGCCGUGUGCGGAGUUGGGGAAGAGAGAGUUGAGGGUGAUGUGGUAGAGGAGCGUUGACCAUGGGAUCUUGAUCCUGUGAUCAGGACUGGGUACCAGUUCGUGGGGGGAUCCUGGGCAUUGAAGUUUAAUCUAGCGGACAGGAUGGGUGAGGGAGCUAUACGGAUCGUGGUCAUUGGAUCCUGGAUGAAGAGUGCAGAUGAGAUCCCAGGUUAACCGUUCGACUUUUUAAUCUGGGCGGUCGGGUUUAGAUCCGACGGUUGAGAUGUGCCCAUACCUCUUCGACCUGGCAAAAUCACUAAAGAUACCCUGGACUUUAUAAUAACUAACCCGCCAUCCAGUCCAAUUGGGAAGUAAUUACAGAUAGAUACGAUUUUAUUCAAAAUAGACCCUGCCCAAUAGAACCCACAGUACAUAUAAGCUUUGAAAUUUAUAAAAUAAAUCUGAAAUUGAUUUUUAAUAAAAAAAUAAUUCCAGAACCUUGUAUAAUUCAUAUUUAAUUAAUUUUAACUCCAAAUUGAUUCAUUCCAGUGGCAUUAAUUUUGUUUUAAUGUUGUUUAUCACCAAGUGACUCUGUUUAGCCAUGAAAUUUGGAUUAAAAUUAUUCACUUGAAUUUAGUCUAUACUAAGCACUAGAAACUUAAAAAAUCAUAACUCGAUAACCGUAACUCCGAAUUUAGCGAUUCUUGUUCCUUUGAUCUUGUUACAACAUGUAGAAUAUUCUUACGAAUUUUGUUCUUAUGCUUGGUGUAAUGUUAAUUUUGCCUAUGCCAUGUUUGUUUGUAUUUCUACGACUAGCGCGAGGUUACGAGCCACCUGAAGAGCAAGUUGGUACCUGGAAUCUCAAUUCCCAGGCAAGUUGUGCCCUUGAUCACUUCUUUUUACCCAAUCAUGUUCUUAUUAAUCAUAAUGAUCUGCAUAGGUUAAUUUUGAUGGGACCCAAUAGGUUACCCUAGUUUGGCUAUCUUUAUACCUUGUUUACCACUGAAUUUUUGGGUAGUACCUGCUAUUGCUUUAUAUGGUUUUGGGUAUAGAGAUAUACAUUAUUCAUGAUCACACUUUUAUUAUCAGUUGUUAUUUACUGUUCAUGAUAAGAUCAUUAUGUUAACUAGAAAAUGGAGAACCACCCGAGAAAACAGUGCUACCACAAGGGUGGCAUGGGACGCCCUUGGCUGACUAAUUAGGAAAGCUAGUGGAGGUCUACCUUACCCGAAAGGGGCAAGGGCAGUAGGGGAGUGGUCAGUGUAAGGAGGCCCUUGGGUUGAUUUUGUUGCGAUGGCGGUUAGGCGAGGGGUCCCUGCAUUGGAGCUUCAUAGAAACUGUAGCGGGUUUUCUGAUGCUAGUGGAACUUUGUAAAGGCCUUGUAGUGUUACCCUGCCUCGCCUCCUCGGUAGAGGUUUAUGGGAAGUCGCAAUCCCUUGGCAUAUGGGUAACAUGACUUGUGGGUAAAGAUGUGCAACCUCUGUAGAGUGUAAAACUGGUAUACUAGCUGUGCUUACGGUCAUGAGCAGCUCAGACACUCACAUGAUUAAUUUAUGAAAUUAAAUUCAAUUUGUCAUUUGCAUCACAUUGGGAUUAUUUAUUAUUUUGUUCUACUACUUAAUUGGGUUGGUAUAUACUUAUACUUAGUAAUUGCUAAUAAAAUUUUGACCAACUUUAAAAGCAAUGCUCAGCUCUAACCAUCCUCUUUGGUGAGCCUUACACUUCACAUGAGCUCCCACCUUUGGCGAGUUCAUGCACAUUAUUCCCCACAACUUAUUGAGCGAUGAACGUAUAUGAGCUCACUCUUGCUGUCUCACACCCCCCACAGGUCAAGAACAGGUAUCGCAGGAUGAGGCGCAUGAAGGAUGCUGUGACGAGUUCGUGAGAGGUCUAGGCGGUCGUCUCCCAGUCAACUUUGGGUUGCUGGAUUGUUGUCUCCUUAUGAUGUAAUUAUUUAUUUAUUUUGUACAGAACUCCUAUUAUUUAGUAAUGAUGUGAUAUUCAUUUCUGUACCAUGAUUCAUUAUAUGUGUGAGACUUGGUCCCAGCACACCUGGUGAUUAUGUUCGCGCCCGGGUUUUGGACCCCUAAAAUCUGGGUGUGACAUUUAGUUUCGGCUCUUCAGUCGGAUUUGUCCUAGCUUCGAUUGGCAUAGAGCGACCUGGUCCUGUGACAGGAGCAACCCUUCAUUUAGCUUCGGCACGUCGACCUUCUCAAUGCGCCUGGGACGACGCGUCAAAACUUUGACAUUCUUCGACCUCGGCACACUGGAAGAUGCCGAGGCAGCAGCUUUCCUCUUUUUCCCUUGCUUCUGCGAGGGAUAGUAGUAGUUUGGGUAUACAAACCCGAUAACAUCGAACACCCUAUUCAAUCUCUUUUUGCCCCGAGCACCGAAAAAAGUUGUCAUAGCUUCAUCAUCGGCCUUCGAGUAUGCUCCAAGUGGCUCAUCGCUAGUUGCCUCUAUAGCAUCUAGCCAGUCAUCAUUCAGUUCAUCAAACUGGCUCUUGUAUCGAAAGGUAUACUUCAGAUAGACCAAACCAUUUUGGCUGGAGCCAGCGGCAGGCCGGCAGCCUCCUUCGGCAUUUCCCAUCUAUUUGCAAGUGGCUACACUCUGUAAGCAAUAUGCUCUUGGGCCAAAUCUCUUGUGCUAAUGUAAGUACACACUGUAUUGAAGGCUGCCUGGCAGGCUUGCACGUCGUUUCCUAGUGCAAUGACCGGUCUCCUAAUGCCGAAGUGAGACCAUAUAGGGUGCUGAAUAACCCCUUUUAUAUCUUCUCUCUGACUCAGGUUAACCUUCACAUAAAGCCAUUCUUGCAUCCAAGAACAUGGCCGCUUUUUUCCGAAAUGUUGGCACAGGAUAACUGGCCUGAGCGUGGGGUACGAAGUUGUAGCAGCCAAAAUUUUUGUGGUACUGCUCUUUCCCAGUCACCUUAGUCUAAUAUAAUAACUCAUGGAUAUUGCAGAAACACCUAGCAUCUGGCUCUAACCCUUGGCUUCUCAUGGCCCAUAUAAAACCCCCAACUUUGAUAAUAGCUUCGGGGGUAAGUUGAUGAAGAUAAAUUUCAACAAUUUUUAGAACUUCGACCAACAUCUUAUCUAGGGGAACCGAAGUCCAGCUUUCAUGAAGCUUCUGAAAAUUACCAUUUCGUUAGCUUCGAGAAGAGGAACAUUAUUCUCCCUUCCGGCCCUCACGACUGAAAUGUCACGAAAGUACCUGCCUCUCAUUGCUUCGAUUUUCCCUUGUUUAAUAGUCGACUUUCCGAAAACAACAUGGCUCGGUCUCCAUGGCCGAUCUUCGGCAUCUUCAUUUACACUUUCUACGUCGAAACUCUCACUAUCGCUGGAGUUUUCAAAUAAUCCAGCCAACAUCUCAUUGGUGAUUUUCUCCAUGUUGGUUUUUUCCAUAGCUUCAUAAAAUCCGACCAGCGCGAAGUCAAUGAUCUUCUUCUCCUCAGCCAUUUAGACAAUGGUUGCUAAAAUGCCGAAGCUCAAAAUUCAAUUAAACUCGACGAAGCAAGGAAGGUUGAAAUGGCAAAGACAAUGCAAGCAGCUAAAAUAGCACGAAAAAUACUCAUGACACAGGCCUCUAUAUAUAUACUCAGAGACCCACAGAUCGGUGGGUCCCGCAAUUCAGUGUGAUUCGCCAUUCUAGCGAAGGGAAGGUGUUUUUGGUACCUUCGGCUAAAGGCCUUCAUUCACGUCGUAGUCUAAAUUUGUUACAAAGAAACAAAUCAAUACUGCGAGGGGCUACUGUUGGGGGCCUUCCUCCUCCGAAGGUUCUAAAAAACGUGACUGACCAUAUGUUUUCAAUACGACAUGGAUUACUACAGGGGGCUUUGACUUCGGGAUGAAGGUAUUCUUUCAUAACAGGGUGAAGACGUAGCCCGAAGGUGAUAAGAAUGUACGACGAAGUUGUAGCCAAAGAGCUUCGGCUUGAUGUGAUGACGAAGACCAAGUAUGGUGAUGACCGAAAAGGGACAAAGACUACCCAGUCCUUAAUGUUUUGUGUCAUGAUAAUAGAUGAAUGUUAGGGACAUAAAUCUACUUUUACUUGGGUUGCGUCCCGUACCUAUAAAUAAAUGAACAGUAACACCAUACUGUUCAGGGCUGGAUUGUAAUCACUCUCUCGCAUCCACACCAUCGAGCAAGCCGAAGAUACCAAUGUAAUAUUAAUUCUGUUAAUAUUCAUACGUGUUUUAUGGAAUACAAAUAUGAAUGAAUCAAUAAGAUGCAGUUAUUGUUUUCAUCCUUCUGCAUUCAUAUUCACAUGUUAAAUGAUGAAGGUAUGUCCUUCAUGACCUUCGUCUGAUAAGCAUUAUGCUCUUGCGGAAAUAAUGCUUCGGAAGACGAAGGUCUAUAACAAUUAACAAUUGUGUUGCCUUAUUCUUGACAUACAACAUCUGAGAACAAGUGACCAAUAAGACCCUAGGAGUUCAUAGGUGUGCGUGAUCCAUGUGUGGGCAAGCUUCCGGGCGCAUUGUCCAUUGUGGGGCGAGGAAUUCCUCACCAGAGUAGGAGAUUUACGCCGAUUGAGCCUAUGACGUGGUCGGGAGUCGUCACGACACGAUUAAACGGUGAGAUAACCUUUGCGAGUUUGCUCCUCCUAAUUCGUCUCCGUCAUGUUGCGCUUAGGAUUUGGUCGCUGCUCCGCCGGGAUGCUAGUCUCAGGCGAUCCUCCACCGCAGAGUGCCUAGCCGCCGUCCUUGACUGCCGUGGGGGAGGGGAGGCACACAUCCUUUGAUUCGUGUAGCGGACGACGAAGAUUAUAAGUGGAGCAAACCAGUUCAUUUAUUGUGCGGGAGUCGUAGAUCUACAAUCGAUUGGAUAGGAAGAGAUCGAUCCUUAAUAAAAAUCUUAACCAUUGAUCCUCGAUCCAUGGGCGGUUUUCGCAUAGAGUCCGUGAUCUAAUCAGCGCUGUUGAGAUUAAUCAGACAGCCCAGGUUAAAUUUUUAAAAGAGACCAUGCAUUUUAAACAAAUCAACCCGCCGUCCAUUGAAAGUUCAAAAUAAUUGCAUCCUGAAUUUACAUUUUGGUCCUCUAGAGCAUUAUUUUUAAUAUAACAGGAACCCCGAAACUAGUUUAAUCUAUAAUUUUCUCGUUUUAGCUCCGUUCAAGUUGCGUUAGCUUCGUAAUAAAAUUGCCUACGCCGUAACAACAUUAUUUGCAUCAUAUCACAUACUUUUAUAAUUAGAUAUUUGUUUAACCUAUGUUUAGUAGAUUAACCAUUCUAAUCAAAGUCAAUAUGUCUAUAGUUAUAAUUUGUAAUCAAAGAUAUAACUUAGAUUAAAGUUAAGUUAGUUAUUUCUUUAGAGUAUCUUGAUCACAUGAAUUAUAAGCAAUAUAGAAUAUUGUUUUAAAUUUAAUCACAUAGAACUUCUGAAAACCAUAUCUUUUAAACCGUAACUCUGAUUUUAGUGGUUCUCGAAUCUACGAUCUCGUAGGAAUGCAUAUAAUAUUAUUGUGUGGUUUGUUUCUGUGGCAGAACGUCCCAAGUUAUUGGGCCAACAUGCAUCUGCCCUUGUCUCAAAGACCUCAGACGGCUAUGCAUGUGCACCAGAUAACUUAACAGGAUCCGUCCGAGUGCCCCAAGGACCCCAGAUAAACCACUUAUAACCAGGAUCACAAGAUUAAGUAAACACAAAUCACACACCAACAUUUUGCAGCAGAAUUUCUUUAUUGCAAAAAGUUACAAGUUACAACAAAUUUACGUUAUAUUUAUCAGAGUGAUUACAAAAGUGAUUCAAAGAAAUAAACUUUGAAAUGUUAUAAAUUAUUUAUAAGUUUGAAAUAUAUGCUAGCUCAAUGACAAUCCUCAAUAAGCAUAGAAGAGCUACUUUAAUCUAUAAGAAGGUCGUGCCCACCGGCGCUUAGGACCAUCCACAUCAGCACAAAUCUAGUACCUGCAACAACAUGGGUUCGAAAACCCUGAGUACGAAGUGUACUUUCGCAAGUCUUACCCGACUAAGGAAAAAGACUCUCCAGGAUAUGCUGGAUUUGGGAAUCAAGGAAAGGCUUUUUAGCAAGAAUCAACAUUAAUAGUUUGCAGAAAGCUUACUAAACUGAGUCCUUACUUUCAACAUUUUAAUGCUAGAUUAAGUAUUAAUAUACCUUGUUUGCAUCUAGUCUAAUUUCAUCAUCACAUUAAUCAAUACAACCUCAUUUUUUCUCAUUAUGAUUCCAUCCAUGACUUAGAUUGCAAGUUAGUGACCAAGUCUUCAUAUCCGAGAAGUAAUGCCGAUCUGAAUCGAUUAAUACCUAGUUGGGGAUCUCCAACCACACGACAUAUGUAGCACUUAACCCUUGCGUAUGUCAACUUGACAGCGGGUUUCUCAACAACAGAACGGGUUCACGCCAACCGAGAGCAUAGAUACACCACCGUCCAGCCUCUUGCCACGGAGGGUACACGCUACUCUCGCCAUCUCUCCACUCCCACUGCGUGGUGGCCUUUCUGGUAUUGGUCCGACUGAGGCGAAGCUUACCCGUGACGAGGCAUAUGGCCAGUUAAAAGGUCCUCGGUCAGCAGGCUUACAUUCCCUAUAAUCCUUAAUCAACCUGGGUACAACAUCACCUAUUCCUAACCCAAGUCUCGAUUUAAGUACUUCCAUCCUUAGGAUCGUUUGUGUUCCUUAGGAUGAUUAAAUCAUCAUAGGGAACCUUGCAUCAGAUCUCCCAAUGAUCCUGGUGAAAAUAUUCUUGUAGGUAGAGCCAUCCUUCCUCAGGAUAAACUUGAGCUAGGCAUUAGUGCAAAUGACAAACUCUAUCUGCAAGGUUUACCUCUAGGUAGGGCUAAGCAAUUUUGUAAAUCAUAUUUGAUACUUCACCAGAAGUAUCUAUAAAAGGAAUGGAUUUCAAGGUAGCCAAUGCAUCAAAGGGUUUCCAAGCAACUCCUAUAAACCUAAUGUACAUUUCACUAGACUUAAAGUGUGUAAAAAUCAUUUAAAACACAAGGAAGGGGUUGCAUACACCGGGGCUUGCCUCGAAUAACACUAGGUUAGUGUUUGUUAGAUGAUGUCCACUUGGCGAUCAGCCUUUAUUCUGAUACUUGCUCCGUCUGCCCAUCCUCAAGUUCGUCCACCAGCAUCACCAUGCGGAGUAGCCCAUGUUUAACAGCAUCUUGUGGUCUACUCAGCUCUAGUCCUCCGCCUUACGUGAUUAAUUAACGUACCUAUAAGAAAUGCAUAAUGUGUAUGAAAGCAAAUUAAACACUUAGUGACGAUGCAUCACAGCUACUAUGAGCGCACACUAGAUAACUAUGACUUUACAAUAAUCAUAAUCAUCGAGAUAAUCAGACUUAACUCAAACAACAAGCAACAAUAAUUAAACACAUGUCUUAAGUUUUAGAGCAUAACAUUGAUAGAUCAUACAUUUAGAUUUGCCAUCCUAGGAUACUCGAACUUGGAAUAAGGAUAUGAAUUAUUUAAUUAACCGUAUUGGGUUUCCAUAAAAAUUACCUAUGCAAGCAAAUUACUACUGCUAUACAAUACAUACAAUCAGAUAACCGACCAAAAUUUGAAACACAUUAUUACUACCCCACAUGAAGAUAAAUUAUUCUGCACUAAUAAAUAUUUAUCUAAGGUAUUUAAUCGGUCAUUAACAAAGAAUAUCAUACUACUAAAGCAUAGCACGGAUUACUAUAACCACUAUAUUCAACCAGUCUUCAAUAAUAAAAAAUUAACUAAUUCUGUCGAGCCAAACAAGAAUAACACCAAACAAUCAAUUUACCACAUGCAGAUUUUUCUGGACAGCAGCACAGCAGUCAACGGUUUUGCUCAUAACUCACAAAAUAUUCAUCCAAAAGGGGUGAACAAGGCCUUUAUAGAAAGCUUAGAAAGUACUCUACAACUUUGAUAUUAUCAUCACAACAAGAUUCGACUUUAGAAAGGUCAAACAGUGCUAAACGUAAAUUCUGUCCAGAUUUGGAUAGAAUUCGACUACUCACUUCAAAAAUCCAUAACUGGAGUCUCAGGCAUCCAAAUCAGGCGAUCCUAGACUUUUUAGAAAGAUAAUAGAAUUGUCUACAAUUCAUUUAUAAACAUCUCAAGUUAAUUUAAUGCGUAGCAAGGUCAGUUAACACAAACAGUCUCUUCUAUCCAGAUUUAGACAGAUUCAGACUUCAUAUUUCAAACAGCUAUAACCUGGUCUCUAGACCACCAAAAAGGGUGAUCCAAGACUUUUUAUAAAGCUUAAGAAAAGUACUAUAAUUCUUAUAUAAUUACUAAGAGCUUAUUCUCAAUUUAACUUAGCCAAACAAUCCAAUUUCCGAAACCUGUACAGAAUUUGGACAGAUUCUGAAACUGGACUUGGAAAAAUCAUAACUUCCAAACUACUAUACCCAUGGUAAUGAAAUUUUAACACAACCAAGAUAAAGAGGUUAUCUACAACUUUUAUAUAUAACAUCUCUUCAGAAAACAAGGUUUACUUCACUCAACUAACUGCAUACUAAAACUGGACACAGUCCAAACAGCAAGUCCAAACAGCCAACAUUCAAUUUACUCCUAUAUACUUUCUACACAUAUCAUGUGUUUGACAUUUUCUAAUCGCAUAUAUAGAUUUCUGAUAUUUUAUAGACAUGAAUCCAUUUACUUCACAUAAUCUAGUAUUUUGAACCUACUUUAACAUUAUGCAAACAAAGAAUCAAUUUAAACACAUUAUGCAUACACAUAUAUUCAUCCGAACACAUCGACAAAAGUAAUUGGCUAAGUUCUUAAAACACUAAACACCACCUAAUGUAAGCACAAUUACUACAAUAAAAUAGAGGAAUAUACAAUAUAUCUAAACUAGAGAAAAGAAAAUCAUCGUAACUAUUUUAUCCAUCUAACCCAUACAUCGGCUAAAUAGCAGAAAUAAUGAGGUAGCUCACCACGAUUAAAGUUGACUCGAUCGACACUAAACGACCACGACAGCCGAUUCAAUCCUUUCACCCAGCAGCUAGUAAGCGACAGACGUGCUUUGUUUUUUUCACCCAGAUUCCACGGAUUUCGUUCCUCAACACACUUAGACACAUAUACACACUUCACAUUAGCAAAUAGACGUCGAUCGAUGAAACAACGAAGCAAGAACGAAAUCUCACCGAGGGUUGACGGUGUCUUGGAUGGGCUACGCAAAAUAUCAAACAUCCGACGACGCUAAUAGGGUUGUCCAUGACACGACACUCCACUUGGGCAUUUUGUCAAACACCAUAUGGGUGCGGAUGGUGUAGGGAUACAGGAGGAUGUUCGGCAGCGAGGAGCUGCUACAGAUAGGUGUGCAGCCAUGGCGAAAAAGGAGCAGAGGGGCACUGGCCUGCUGCAGGAAAGGGAGCGACGUCCAUGGGAGAGGGCUGGUGACUUUGGCGCCAUGGGGAAGCAAGAGUGGCAUGCUUGCUGCAGGAAAAGUAGGGCAACAUGAUAGGGAGAUGGAGCACGCCAUCUGCAGAGAGGGCGGCAGGGCGAGCUGGAGGUCGACGGCCAUGGCUGGUGAAGGUUGUGCGCGGCUGACAGCGUUGGGGAGAACUCGCGAGCAACCACCAGGGAGCGACUCGACGAGCAUCAGAGGGCAGCACCGACAUGGAAAGGGAUGAGGGAGAGAGGAGCAGGGAGGACGCUCGGCCAUGGGAGACAGAGAAGGAGCACGCGCUGGAAGAUGAGGAGCUGCGGCCGGGCGCUGGGAGGAGUAGAGGGAAGGGCGGCCGGCGCCAUGGGAAAGGGCAGAAGGAGGGGCGCGCGUGGGAGCACCAGGGCGCGCGGAUGCCAGAGCGCGCGACUGGGGGAGAAGAUGAAGACGGCGACCAGAUUUUUCCUUGCUAUGUGAGCGGAUGAGGAUGACGGCCGGAUAUUUUCCUUUUUUUCAUUUCUUCUUUUUUUACACACUAAUCCAUAUAUAUUCUUGCUCUCAGAUUUGAAUCUAGUAUAAAGAUAUAAAUGAGGUUUAAUUUGGUCGGACCAAAAUGAUAUUGCCAACUACAUAGGAGAUUUCUUUUGAUAUAACUGAGACCCGAUAAAUUCAUCUGCUACCCGAAUGCUCAGAGUAGAGCAAGAAAUAAAGGACCACACCAUGUCAUUAUCUUCGAACACGAUUUCUCAGAUAACACACGGGGUCGAGAUUAUUUUGAACUGAAAACUUUAUUUGUUGAAUUCUAAAUGAAUUUGUUUGAGGAAAAAUUUACAAGGCUGAGUUUUAGCCAGAUUUCGAUGGAUCAAACCAAACGAUAUCAGAUUCGAUAUUUUAAUAGACAUUCGAUUUAGUUGAACCAAAACGAAUUUUGCCGCUAUUAUGUGUUAAAGUCAGCACUCGUGGGCGAGCAGACGAUAAACACCUGAGGUGUUAAAGCCCUCCCCCCUUAAAAGAAUCUCGUCCCAAGAUUCGGAGCAAAAGACUUUUAAGAGUAGUGAAGCAUGUAACUCCUGUCCAUAUCAGCGAUAAUGUAAGGCAGUUCCAAACAAAGGCGAGUGUCUCUGGAGGUUGUUUCUCUAGUGGACAUAACAUGUAUCGCCUUAAGCUAAUUUAGAGAUGUCCAUCAAUAGAGAUGACAUCUGCCAGAAGAACACAUAAGAUUCCAUGUGUGCAGUUUGCUUUUUCUGAUGACACUGUACUAUCUGAGUCCGUUGGGCGAGCGGUAGAUAUGCGACUUUACCCAAAUAGAAUUAGUUGCAACCUCUUGGGUAAAACACACAGAAGGAGGUUUACCAACAAGUGGUCACGAUAAGUUCAUAGCACAUAAGACGGGUGUGGAUGCCGAAUACUGUUGCGGUUAACAUGUGGCUAACCAGAGAAUUCAAGUCCACAAAAGAUGAUAGAGAUUCGAGAAAAUAUCAAUGAAGAGAUGCAUUGAUGUUGACUUUGCGACCAACCCACUUUUUUAAGCACUAAACAUGGGUCGACUUAAUCACACAUGCUGGAAAAGCACACGUGAGGCGAUCGAGGCAUGACUAGAGCGAUUAUUAGGUGGUUACCAGUAGACUUAAUUUGAUGUUUGUAAGUACUUUCUUAGGAUCGGUUGAACCAAAGUGAGUUUAGAAAACUCGACAAAACGAUCUCUAAACUCAACCUUUGAUCACAAUGCAGUUACAAGUUAGUAAAACCAACUUGUUGAACUACCUUUGACAUUGAGUAAUUUCUCUUAUUACCCAUCGACAAACCAAGGUUGAGAGCUCAUAUUUGUUAACAAGAGAUCAUGUAUUCGGGUAGAAAUCCAUUUGGUCAGGAUGUUUAUCCGUUUCUUCAUGCGAGAUGAACUGACUUGGUUCGAAAAUACAUGGAUUAAAUAAGAGAGCGAAUGAACAACUCCUGCAUCUCAGCAGCAGGGAAAGUCAAUCUCCAUUUUGAGAACUAAUUAGCUGUCUCUCAACACUAAAAAGCUUCAAGGCUUCACCUUUACACAAAGGACGUAAAAGGAACUUGUAUGUGUGAAGUCACCAUCAAAGUCAAGAGGAAAGAGAGCACACAAGAAAGAGGUGAUUCUUAUCCCACGAUUUGACACGGAUGGGUUCUGAUUGAUUUUUUUGAAGGAGACUUAUGAAUUGGUAGCGAAUUUAUUAAAGAACACAUCAAAGUGCUAUGCUCUUUUGAUCCAACAGUCAUGAUAGAUGUUGCUUGGUCACUUCGACAAACAACACCGAAAUCGUUUCAAGGAAGAGAUCUACGGAAGAUAACAUAUUAGUGUAGUCCCCUAAUAGAUCAUGACUAGAGACCUCGAUACCGGCAUGUGCCAAGCAGCAAAACCAUGUGUGCGCAUUUACAGGAGGCUCUCAGUUUCGCCGCGGCACCAUAAGUCCUUAAUCAUGACACCAUUACUAGACUGACACCAAUAAUGAAUCUCACGUGGCAAAACUAGACAUUGUGCCAAGAUAACACAUUGAUAUAGUCUCAUAAUGGAUUACAACUACUAAUUGUGAUACCAGCGCGUGCCGAGCAGCGCAUCCAUGUGUCGAUCGUCCACAUGAGGCCCUCGGUUUCGUCGCAGCACCAUUGGUUUUAGUUAUAACGCCAUUACCAGACGUAACCAAUAAGAAAAUCUCACACGACACAAAUAGAUUGAGCCAUGAUGACAAUAUACAAAGAGACUCUACAUGUCAAAAUGGUUACAAGUAGAGAGCCAAAUAGAUCAUGGCCCGAUGAAAUGAACAAGACAUGGCCAUAACCUAAACUUGUUAAUGAAGGGAGUACGAUGGGAAACUAUUAAUUCAUCCCCAAGCAUAUUUCUAUGCCCAUCAUAGAGAUUAUAAGGUCAAGAAUUAAUAUCUGAUUAGAUACAGAGGGAAAACAAUCAUAAGAUUAAGUUGGUAUGCCUUCGAUAGAUAUGAGGAAACCAAAGACAUCAAACUCAAGAGAAUGAUCGGACACAUCUUUCCUGGGUUAGGUUGAUAAAAUAACGACAUGGUUUCCAAGAAGAUACAAAGUAGAAUAGAAACAUUAGCUUGCACCAAUCGAGCAAAGGCAUAAUUUAGGAUGGAAAGAUGACUACCGAAGAGUCACGGAUUAUUGUCUAGAACACGGACUCAAGAUCCUUGCUUUAAGUCUGUGUGUACUUUAUGUCCAACAAAGAAAUUAUCUAAGCAUUCAUUUACAUGAGUUUGGUCAUAGAGUGAUAACGGAAAAUUCGAAUUUGGGUCAUGGUACACUAAAUAAGAACAUGGCCUAGUUUCGGGUAUAAGCAAACAAGUCACCAACCUUCUAUCGGCACAUCAAGUACAAGAGCAAACACAAUUUGCACUAAAAAUCAAAUCAAGAAAAGCUGGAAGCCAUCUAAACAUGUACCUCUAAGACACCACAUUAUUUACAAUCACUGGUUACUGGAAUAAAGGCGAGAGAAGCAUUUUGGAUGUAUAGGUGACAAACACAAUGCAACAAUCAGGAUGCAUGCUCGUCCUAAGCGUCCUCACAAUUUUUUGCCAAUCUAUUGUGGCAUUAGCAUUCUAUAUCGGUGGCAUACAUACGACUCUCUCGAUAUAUUACUAGUCGUCAUCUACACAUACGUUUUCAAGGUUAGUGUACUUGCAGAAAAUUUUAUCACAGCCUAAUUCCCAUGAUGCAAGAUCCACACAUGACAGUUUAUCACAGUUUAUACUCCAUAUAUUGCUAUAUAGAGGCCAACUCUUCAUUAAGCGCCGAGCCACACAUAGGCGCCACUGCCACACUUUAACCAUAGGGCAGCUCAUUAUGGUAACUCACCUUCUUACCUGAGCAUAGGUGCAUCGUUACAAGUAUAUUACACUUCUCAGUAUUCCCAUGUCUGUAUACUCGUAUACAUCCAUGGGAUACUGAAUUCUCAGGAAAGUAAAUACUCCACAUCACAACCUUCAUAUAUACAUAUGUGGAACAUGUAUAUAAUCAGGCGCCACAAUUAAGGACUCCCCUAGACUGACAGUUGUUCGGUCAUGCUCUCACAUCUCACCUUACCUGAGCGUCGAUCCAUUCAAAAUUGAAUGGCCUUAAAAAUAACAUUACACAUGUAUGCAAUCCCCUCAGUUGUGGGUUAGUGUUUUUAAAUAAGCCACAUGAUAGUCCUUAGUUUUAGGGCUUAACAGAGGAUGCCGCUAGCAUUAUAGUUUUUCAAAUCUACUUUUCAAAACCAAACAAUACGUUUAGUUGAAAAUAGGUUUUCCAAAACCAAAACUUUUGUUUUGAAAAUACGUAUGUGACCGUAUAUACUUAAUCCUGCUCCGAUACCAGCUGUGGAAGAACCUCCCAAGUUAUUGGGCCCACAUGCACCUGCCCUUGUCUCAAAGACCUCAGAUGGCUAUGCAUGUGCACCAGAUAACUUAACAGGAUCCGUCCGAGUGUCCCAAGGACCCCGGAUAAACCACUUACAACCAGGAUCGCAAGAUUAAGUAAACACAAAUCACACACCAACAUUUUGCAGCGGAAUUUCUUUAUUACAAAAAGUUACAAGUUACAACAAUUUACAUUAUAUUUAUCGGAGUGAUUACAAAAGUGAUUCAAAGAAAUAAACUUUGAAAUGUUAUAAAUUAUUUAUAAGUUUGAAACAUAUGCUAGGUCAAUGACAAUCCUCAAUAAGAAGCAUAGAAGAGCUACUUUAACCUAUAAGAAGGCUGUGCCCACCGGCGCUUAGCACCAUCCACGACAGCACAAAUCUAGUACCUGCGACAACAUGGGUUCGAAAAACCCUGAGUACGAAGUGUACUUUCGCAAGUCUUACCUGACUAAGAGAAAAGACUCUCAAGGAUAUGCUGGAUUUGGGAAUCAUGGGCUUUUAGCAAGAAUCAACAUUAAUAGUUUGCAGAAAGCUUACUAAAAUGAGUCCUUACUUUCAACAUUUUAAUGCUAGAUUAAGUAUUAAUAGACCUUAUUUGCAUCUAGUCUAAUUUCAUCAUCACAUUAAUCAAUACAACCUGAUUUUUGCUCAUUAUGAUUAUAUCCAUGACUUAGAUUGCAAGUCAGUGACCAAGUCUUCAUAUCCGAGAAGUAACGGCGAUCCGAAUCGAUUAUUACCCAGUUGGGGAUCUCCAACCACACAACAUAUGUAGCACUUAACCCUUGCAUAUGUCAACUCGCCAUUGGGUUUCUCAAGACCAGAACGGGUUCACGCCAACCGAGAGCACAGAUACACCACCAUCCAGCCUCUUGCCACGGAGGGUACACACUACUCUCGCGAUCUCUCCACUCCCAUUGUGUGGUGGUCUUUCUGGUAUUGGUCCGACCAAGACAAAGCUUACCCAUGACGAGGCAUAUGGCCAGUUAAAAGGUCCUCGGUCAGCAGGCCUACAUUUCCUAUAAUCCUUAAUCAACCUGAGUAGAACAUCACCUAUUCCUAACCCAAGUCUCGAUUUAAGUACUUCCAUCCUUAGGAUCGUUUGUGUUCCUUAGGAUGAUUAAAUCAUCAUAGGGAACCUUGCAUCAGAUCUCCCAAUGACCCUGGUGAAAAUAUUCUUGUCGGUAGAGCCAUCCUUCAUUAGGAUAAACCAGAGCUAGGCAUUAGUGCAAAGGACAAACUCUAUCUGCAAGAUUUACCUCUAGGUAGGGCUAAGCAAUUUUGUAAAUCAUAUUUGAUACUUCACCAGAAGUAUCUAUAAAAGAAAUGGAUUUCAAGGUAGCCAAUGCAUCAAAGGGUUUCCAAGCAACUCCUAUAAACCUAAUGCACAUUUCACUAGACUUAAAGUGUGUAAAAAUCAUUUAAAAACACAAGGAAGGGGUUGCAUGCACUGGGGCUUGCUUCGAAUAACACUAGGUUAGUGUUUGUUAGAUGAUGUCCACUUGGCGAUUAGCCUUUAUUCUGAUACUUGCUCUGUCUGCCCAUUCUCAAGUUCGUCCACCAGAAUCACCAUGCGGAGUAGCCCAUGCUUAACAACAUCUUGUGGUCGACUCAGCUCUGGUCCUCCGCCUUACGUGAUUAAUUAACUCAAAUAGCAAGCAACAAUAAUUAAACACAUGUCCUAAGUUUUAGAGCAUAACAUUGAUAGAUCAUACAUUUAGACUUGUUAUCCUAGGAUACUCGAACUUGGAAUAAGGAUAUGAGUUAUUUAAUUAACCGUAUUGGGUUUCCAUAAAAAUUACCUGUGCGAGCAUAUUACUACUGUUGUACAAUACAUACAAUCAGAUAACCGACCAAAAUUUGAAACACAUUAUUACUACCCCAUAUGAAGAUGAAUUAUACUGCACUAAUAAAUAUUUAUCUAAGGUAUUUAACCGGUCAUUAACAAAGAAUAUCAUACUACUAAAGCAUAGCAUGGACUACUAUAACCACUAUAUUCAACCAGUAUUCAUAAUAAAAAAUUAACUAAUUCUAUCAAGCCAAACAAGAAUAACGCCAAACAAUCAAUUUACCACAUGCAGAUUUUUCUAGACAGCAGCACAACAGUCAAUGGUUUUGCUCAUAACUCACAAAAUAUUCAUCCAAAAGGGGUGAACAAGGACUUUCUACAAAGCCUUGAAAGUUCUCUAUAACUUUGAUAUUAUCAUCAUAACAAGAUUCGACCUUUAGAAAGGUCAAACAGUGCUAAACGUAAAUUCUAUCCAGAUUUGGACAUAAUUGGACUACUCACUUAAAAAAUCCAUAACUGGAGUCUCAAGCAUCCAAAUCAGGCGACCCUAGACUUUUUAGAAAGCUAAUAGAAUUGUCUACAAUUCAUUUAUAAACAUCUCAAGUUAAUUUAAUGCGUAGCAAGGUCAGUUAACACAAACAGUCUCUUAUGUCCAGAUUUGGAUAGAUUUAGACUUCAUAUUUCAAAUAGCUAUAACCUGGUCUCUAGACCACCAAAAAGGGUGAUCCAAGACUUUUUAGAAAGCUUAAGAAAAGUACUAUAAUUCUUCUAUAAUUACUAAGGGCUGAUUCUCAAUUUAACUUAGCCAAACAAUCCAAUUUCGGAAACCUGUACAGAAUUUGGACAGAUUCUGAAACUGGACUUGGAAAAUCAUAACUCCCAAACUACGAUACCUAUGGUCAUGAAAUUUACCACAACCAAGAUAAAUAGGUUAUCUACAACUUUUCUAUAUAACAUCUCUUCAGAAAACAAGGUUUACUUCACUCAACUACCUGCAUACUAAAACUAGACACAGUCUAAACAGCAAGUCCAAACAACCUACAUUCAAUUUACUCCUAUAUACUUUCUAAACUUAUUAUGUGUUUGACAUUUUCUAAUCGCAUAUAUGGAUUUCUGGUAUCUUAUAGUCAUGAAUCCAACUUCACAUAAUCUAGUAUUAUGAACCUACUUUGACAUUAUGCAAACAAAGAAUCAAUUUAAAGACAUUAUGCAUACACAUAUAUUCAUCCGAGCACAUCGACAGAAGUAACUGGCUAAUUUCUUAAAACACUAAACUACCAUUCGCAUCGCUUCAACACCACCUAAUGUAAGCACAAUUACUACAAUAAAAUAGAGGAAUAUACAAUAUAUCUAAACUAGAGAUAAGAAAAUCAUCGUAACUAUUUUAUCCAUCUAACCCAUACAUCGGCUAAAUUGCAGAAAUAAUGAGGUAGCUCACCACAACUAAAGUUGACUCGAUCGGCACUAAACGACCACGACAGCCGAUUCAAUCCUUUCACCCAGCAGCUAGUAAGCAACAGACGUGCUAUGUUUCUUUUUCACCUAGAUUCCACGGAUUUCGCUCCUCAACACACAUAGGCACAUAUACACACUUCACAUUAGCAAAUAGACGGCGAUCGAUGAAACGACGAAGCAAGAACGAAAUCUCACCGAGGGUUGGCGGUUUCGUGGAUGGGCUACGCAAAACAUCAAACAUCCGACGACGCUAAUAGGGUUGUCCAUGACACGACACUCCACUUGGGCAUUUUGUCAAACACCAUAUGGGUGCGGAUGGUGCAGGGCUACAGGAGGAUGUCCGACAAUGAGGAGCUGCUACAGAUAGGUGCGUAGCCAUGGGGAAAAAAGGACCAGAGGGGCGCUGGCCUGCUGCAGGAAAGGGAGGGGCAUCCAUGGGAGAGGGCUGGUGACUUUGGCGCCAUGGGGAAGCAAGAGCGGCAUGCUUGCUGCAGGAAAAGUAGGGCGACAUGAUAGGGAGAUGGAGCACGCCAUCUGCGGAGAGGGCGGCAGGGCGAGCUGGAGGUCGGCGACCAUGGCUGGUGAAGGCUCUGCGUGACUAACAACGUUGGGGAGAACUCGCGAGCAACCACCAGGGAGCGACUCGGCGAGCAUCAGAGGGCAGCGCCGACAUGGAAAGGGAUGAGGGAGAGAGGAGCAGGGAGGACGCUCGGUCAUGGGAGACAGAGAAGGAGCACGCGCAGGAAGAUGAGGAGCUGCGGCUGGGCGCUAGAAGGAGCAGAGGGAAGGGUGGCCAGCGCCAUGGGAGAUGGCAGAAGGAGGGGCGCGCGUGGGAGCACCAGGGCGCGCGGAUGCCAGAGCGCGCGGCUGGGAGAGAAGAUGAAGACAGCGGCCAGAUUUUUCCUUGCUACGCGAGCGGAUGAGGAUGACGGCUGAAUAUUUUCCUUUUUCAUUUCUUCUUUUUUUACACACUAAUCUAUAUAUAUUCGUGCUCUCAGAUUUGAAUCUAGUAUCAAGAUAUAAAUGAGGUUUAAUUGGGUUAGACCAAAAUGAUAUUGCCAACUAUAUAGGAGAUUACUUUUGAUAUAAUUGAGACCCGAUAAAUUUAUCUGCUACCCGAAUGCUCAGAGUAGAGCAAGAAAUAACGGACCACACCACGUCACUAUCUUCGAACACGAUUUCUCAGAUAGCACACGAGGUCGAGAUUAUUUUGAACAGAAACUUUAUUUAUUGAAUUCUAAAUGAAUUUGUUUAAGGAAAAAUUUACAAGAUUGAGUUUUAGCCAGAUGUCGACGGAUCAAACCAAGCGAUAUCGGAUUCGAUAUUUUAAUAGACAUUCGAUUUAGUUGAACCAAAACGAAUUUCGCCGCUAUUAUGUGUUAAAGUCCGCACUCGUGGGCGACACUAUACCACAACACCAAAUUAGCGUCAGACGACUGUCGCUAUAAAUAGAGAAUUCUCGUCGAACUGUUAGUCGGUACAUAUUGCCACAGAUUUUGAGUCGGCAUAUAUCUAUAUUUCAAAUAAGUAUCGGUCAUUAUAUUUAUAUGUGAAUAGCGACGCUUCGUCGGUCGGCAAUUCUCGCUAAUAGCAUCUCAUCGUUAGUCGGAAUAAAGACCAAAGAGUAAUUGCCUCUCGCGCGCGGCACCCAAUUUUUGCUGGCACCCAAAAUUGGCCAUAGAGGCCCACCUCCAGUUGAACUAUGGACCAAACCGUGUUUCCUCUUUUCAGCCACAGCUGCCACGCACCCACAGACCAAACCCUAUUUCCUCUUUUCAGCCACAGUCGCCGCGCACCCACGCUCGUACACUCAGCUGCCGCUGCGCCAAGGAGAAGCUGUGCGCGGUCCAGGCACAGGUGCAGGGUGAACAGGAGGCGGCGACAACACUCCAGAGGAGGGUGGAUGAGCUAGAGAGCGGCGGAUAGGAGAGGGCCGGUGUGUUGGCGGUGGAGGGCGUGGAGCUGCGCAGGGCAAACACUGUGCUAGAGGAGAACAACAGGGAGCUUGCCUUGAGGCUGCAGGACGCGAUCGAGCAGGCUACUGCAUCUGCCUCCGCUAAUCUAGCUCCUAAGGUAAUUGUUAUCUUAAUUCCUAUCUUCAGUAUAAUCUAGCUUUACAAAUCAGCUUGUAUAGUUACCAAAUGUUAGUUUUGGUAAAUUAUUUUAUUUGAUGAGCUAAUCUGCCUCCGCGGUUCGUAUUGAUGGUUCAAAAUUCUUGUUCUUUUUUGCACUGCAUAUUAUGCUAGGAAUAAAUAAAGUUCCUAUAAAACGGAGGCUGGAACAAGGUUCCAACCAUAGUCUGAAAUUUGUAACAAGGUUCCAGUCAUUGAUUUGAGAAAUUGAUCUUGUAUAUUCUAUUGCAAGUAGUAGCUCAAUCACUUUCUUGUGCAUCAUACACCGAAUGAAAAUGAAAUAUUAGGCAAUUAUUGUUUCCACAUUCAAUAAAUUGGUAGUAUAUGUAUUUUGUAUUUCUAAAUAAGGUGAGACCCCAUGGGAUGUGAAGCGUAUUGGUAAGCAAUUGAACUACCAAGAAGUUAUUAUAGGAUGUGGAUAAUUAGUGGAUAUUUAGUGCAUGACUGUAUAUUUGACAAUAUGCGUUUCUUUUCAUUUUUCUCUUGUAGAUUCACUAAGUUAUACACCCAUAAUAUAUGUUGGUUUGAUAGUUUUAUUCAUUAUUAUUACGGUAGAAAUUGCUAUCAUCAAGUUGAUAGGUGGACAAAUUUCAAUGCCAAAGUUGUUUCCCACCGUUAAUGAUGUGAAUGUCAUAGGUGUAUAAAUGAGAAAAAAUGAAUAAUUGGUUAGGAAGAACGUCAGGGAAACCAGUGACAACGGCUGGUCAGUUCCCCUUGGAAUUUACGCUUCUAUUUUUUUAUUGCUUGAUUGUGAUCACAUGGUAGGCCUCAUGUGCACUUUGCUGCUGAGGGUUAGUCAGUUUUCCUUGGAAUUUACCAUUGUUCUUUUGUCUUAUUGCUUGAUUGUGGCCUGAUGGGCGCUUUGUUGCUGCAUUUCUCAGGUUCGACAUGCCCCGUGCCUACCAUCACUCUCGAUUUGAAGAAGAGUCUCAAGAUUUUGCAGGUGUUGUGUUACUCCUGAUUCAGUUACCUUACUGGCAGUAGGAUGCCAUUGCAACAAUCUAAAAGUGCAAUCAUCUAAUUGAAGCUCUUUUACUUAUACAAGAUAGAUCUAGAAUUGUUUUACUUGAGAUUCAAGCAAUGUUGGAUGUGUCUGUCUCAGAUCAAUUGGUAUUGUGUGUUUGGUGAUCCUGGUUUAUCCUUUGGGAUGGUUAUGUGAUAGUAUAUUUGACAUCUUAUUUUGCUGGUGAGCUAUGUAAUUGACCCAAAAGGCACUUCAAGCGGGCAGGAAAGUCUAAGGCCCUUACUAAUUACUUCCAAGUAAGUAGAGCAAUCACCAUCACACAGAUUUAUUCAAGGUUUUUUUGUGUUAAGCCAAUUGUUCGUUUUCAUGUAAUUUUUGUCCACUAAUAUUUUAUUGAAUAAUUUGUGUGUCGUCGCAACGCACGAUCAUUGUACUAGUAGUAUUGAAUGCUCCAUUUGUAGUUCUUGUGAUAUUACAGUACUGCAGUCUAAAAUACUGAAACAUUGUACACUGUAAUACCCUGAAAGACUGGGCCAAUCAAUUUUGACUCUUCUUUACUUGGGCAUGUGUUUAUUCAAAAAAUUCUUGGUAGCUACGGUCUGAUUUGGACUCUAUAUUCUAUAGUUUAUAUUGGGAAGGAUUUCUUAAAUAGUCUACUAAUGAUUUGGUUUUUAAUUUGGUCAGGAGGGAGGUCCUAGAGGUAGCAAGCAGAUCGUGGUGGUACCUAUGGAUGAGCGCUAUAGCAAGAUCAAAAGUUCUUGUGGAUGGAUGUUAUUUUGUUUUGUAUUUCUCGAAAAGAGAAAUUUGCAAGUGAACUUAAAAUUGUGAAGCCACAUGUUCUCAUAUGUGGUUGUACUAGCUAGUAUCUCUGAGGUUUAACAAGUCAAACUUAGGGUUGUUGUCUGCUUAUUUUGAUCUUUAUUACGACAAGAGCAAACUUGUGACCUUUAUGUAUGAAUGCAGUACAAUUGUUAUUGCCAUGAAUGAAAAUAUGAGCUAUGUUUGACCAAAUCUGUAUCUAAUGUGGAACGUGAGAUUGUAUGACUAGUGUUUGAACUGUUGAUGAUAAUUAGAAGUUGCUAGUUAUAUAUUUUUCUAGACUCAUAUAGCCAUAGCGUUGGAUUGUUAGUCGGUAAAAAUACAUAUAUCUCAUCAAACAGUGCGUCGGUAUAAGUUCUAACAGAUUGUUAGUUAGAAAAAAUAUGUUAGUCGAUAUAUCUUUUUAGCGUCUAACCGUCUAUCGAUAUAAAUAUGUCUGUCGCUAUAAGUUUAUGCCGACGCCACUUACAGCGUCAGAAAGUGUUAGUCGGUAUAACUCUAUAGCGACUGAUAGUACGUUGCUAUAACGAUUUAUACCGACUGUAAGUAUGUUGUUGUAGCCAGGUUGUGGUAUAGUGCGAGCAGACGAUAAACACCUGGGGUGUUAUAGUUUCCAUCUUUGGUGUAAUGUUAUUUGUAUUCAUUAUUUGCUUAUUUGUAUGUAUUGCUUCAAAUAGAAGCAAGGUUGCAAGAAAUCUGAAGCCUAUCUUUUAAGGAAGCAUCUGAACAACAGGUUAUCGCAAAUAAAAGUAAAGUUGUGUCAUUGAUCACAUUUUCUAACCUAAGAAUGUUUAUGUUUAUGAUAAUCACCAUGGCAUGGUUAGGUUCAAUUGAAGGGACAUAAUAGGUUACGAUGUUUUGUUUACCCUAUACCUUGCAUACAAAUGAAUUAUUGAGUAGUCUUGCUAUUACUCUACCUGUUUUUGAGAUUAAUGCUAUAUAUGAAUUAUGAUCAUGCUUUAUUAUUAUUGCCAACAAAUUAUUUAUUGUGCAUGAUAAAAUCAUUUUGUUAAUUGGAACAUGAAGAGACCACCCGAGAAAACAGUGAUACCACAAGGGUGGAAUGGGAUGACCUUGGCCAAUUAAUUAGGAAAGCUACUGAGGGAUUACCUUACCUGAAAGGGGCAAGUGGGCAAGCGUCACUGCAUAGCAUAUUGCUGGCUGUAAUUACUGUGAUGGGGUUACAGACCGUGGAACAAGGCAUAUGCUUCUUUCGUCCUAAAAUUGUAGCGGGUCUUCUAAAACUAGUGGAACUUUGGAAAGACCUCGUAGUGGUACACUGCCUCGUCUCCUCGGUAGAGAUGAAUAGGAAGUCGCGAUCCCUUGGCAAAUGGGUGACACAUUUUGUGGGUAAAGAUGUGCAACCUCUAUAGAGUGUAAAACUGGUAUAUUAGCCGUGCUCACGGUCAUGAGCGACUUUGACCCUCACAUGAGUAAAUUAUGUAAUUAAAUUUAACAUGUCAUGUGUUGCAUUGCAUUGUUGGAUUUUGAUAUUGAUCAAUUAUUUAUUUGGGAUGCUAUUUAUUAUACUUAGUAAUUAAUAAUAAUUUUUUGACCAUCAAAGUUGCAAUGCUCAGCCUUAACCAAAUUCCUUGGUAAGCCUUACACUACACUUUUACCCACACUUGCUGAGCGAUGACCGUAUGUGAGCUCACCCUUGCUAUAAUCACACCAGGUCAAGAAACAGGUACCGUAGGAAGAAGAUUGCUAUGAAGAUGUGUUUGGAGAGGUCUAGGUCGUCGUCUUACAGUCAAUUAUGGUUGCAACUAAUCGUUGACGUCAUAUAGUGUAAUUUGUUUAGCUAUUUUGUACAUAAAUUGUUUUAAGUAAUAAAGAUGUGACAUUGGUUUAUGUAUCAUGAGUCUUCAUAUAUGUGAGACUUGAUCCUAUCACACAUUUGAGAUGUAUCUAUAUUUGUCCUUAAAUCCGGGUGUGACAAAAGUGGUACCAGAGCAAUGUUGACUAUAGGAUGUAACCUAGAUAGACGUAGACAAACACUUACCUACUUAUCUAUGCUACUCUAAUUCUUUAUACACUUUCCUUAAGCUUUUCUCAUCUAUUGCUGCUUUACUCUGAUUACACUUACCUUUUCACUUUUAAAGACAAAAGAGGAUUUCACACCUUGGAAUCCUAUACUCGAAUUGUCUCAAGGGAUAGACGUCCUAAGCAAGAAAAACUAUUUUUGUAGGUAUCUAUGUGCAUGAAUGCUUGUUCCUAUGAUACCUGUUUAAUUUGGUUCUUUGAUUGAGUGCGAUGAGUUGUGGAAUAAUGUUCGUAAUUGCAUCUGUUGGGGACUUGUUCUCAAAUGAUUCUAAUUAAGAACAAGGCAACACAAAAUGUUAAAGGUUAAUACCCUUCGUCCUUCGAAGCAUUAUUUCCCUUAGGAUAUAAUGAUCUUUAGACGAAGGUCUUGAAGGACAUACCUUCAUCAUCGCAGUAUAUGUUAAUAAAAGAAGAAGCAUAUGAAAUAUAAGAAACAACAUGAACUAUCACAUAACAUUAUUAACUCAUCCUAAUUAUAUUAUCAUGGAAAAACAGAAACAAUAUUGAAUUACAUUUGUACCUUCGGUUUGACAGAAGGUGAAAGUACAAGUGUGAUGCACAAGCAAGUACAAAUCAGCGUGAAUAGUACGGGGGUACUGUUCAUCUAUUUAUAGGCACAGGACGCAGCCUGUGUGAAAUUACAUUCAUGCCCUUCAUAUUUACUAUUGACUUAUAGACAACCCAAUGGGGACUAGAUAACCUUUUUCCCUUUUAAGUCGGUUCCUUUUUCCGCCAUUGAGCCGAAGCUCCCUUGCGCGUAGCUUUGGAGCAACACCAGCCUUCGUCACGACCAUGCUCUUCACAUUGUACAUGCUUUUGACCCGAGUUCGAAGGUACCUGUUCAUACUUGGAAGACAUUGUUAAAUCAUGUUUUUGAGGACCUUCGGAAGACGAAGGCCCCCAACAGUAGCCCCUCACAGUAUUAAUUUGUUAGGAUAACAAAUUCAGACUGCGACAUGGACGAAGGCCUUAAGCCGAAGGUCCGAAAAAACAUCUUCCCUUUGCUAGAAUAGCAACAGUCAAUGACAGACGGGGCCAUCCAAUUUGGAGCGCACUGGGCGUAUAAAUAGGAACUUACACCGACUGCACUUGAUACACUUCUUGUGCCAUUUGCUUUAUUUUCUCAAUUUUAUAGCUCUUGCUCACUAGCACUUGCUAGUUUUUCAAGCUCUCUGAGCUUCGGUUCAAAAGACGCGUUUUCACCAUUUCUGAAGAAAAAAUGUCUCAAGACAAGAAGGUUGCUGCUGAGACGAAGCUGACUGAAGAGGAGAAGCUUUUUGAGGAGAAGAAGAUUGUGGAUUCUUAUAUUGCUGGAUUUGUCGAGUCGAUGGCAAAAACAAAUACAGAGAAGAUUACUAAAGAGAUACUGGAGGGCUUGUCUGAAGAUACUGGUGACAGCGAUAGCUAUGAUGUGGAAAGUGGGGACGAAGAUUUUGAGGAUCGGUCCUAGAGGCCAAGUCAUUCAAUCUUCGGGAAGUCGACCAUCAAACAGAGUCAUCUUGAAAAUAUGAGAGGAAGGUACUUUCGGGAUUUGUCUAUUGUGAGGGCUGGCGGCGACAACAACGUCCCUGCCCCUGAGGAGAACGAAGUUGUAAUUUUCUGAAGCUUCUUCAAGGCUGGGCUUCGGUUCCCCUUGAGUAAGUUUGUAGUUGAAGUGCUGAAGACCUACCAAAUCUUCCUCCAUCAGAUCACCCCCGAAGCCAUAAUAAGGAUGGAGAUUUUUUUCUAGGCAGUAAGGAGCCAAGGGCUAGAGCCAAGCGCGAAGUGCUUCUGCAGUAUGCACGAACUUCUAUAUGAGACGAAGACCAUGGGUAAAGAACAGUACCACAACAACUUCGGUUGUUUUGGAUUUAUCGCUCGCCCCAAUGCAAGCCACCCGGUGCCGACAUUCCAGAAAAGGUGGCCCGGGGCUUGGAUGGAAGAAUGGUUUUAUGUAAAGAAUGAUUUGAAAGCGAGGGAAGACAUUAAGGAAGUCAUUAUGCGCCCCAUCUGGUCCCGCUUUGGCGUGCCAGAAGGCCUUCAGUACUGUUUGCUCCUUCAUUGGCACAAGAGAUUUAAUUCAAGAACAUAUAGCCUUCAGAGUAUGACCACUUGUAGAAAGCUGGGAAAUGCCGAUGGAGACCAUCACUAACUCUAGCGAAGGUGAUUUGGUCCGGCUGAAGUAUACAUUCAGGUUUGGGGAUAAGUUCGAUGAACCAAACGAGGACUGGCUGAAGUGUAUCGAAGCUACAAGUGAUGAACUGCUUGGAGCAUAUUCCAAGGCAGAAGAUAAUGCAUUGUCCGUAGCCUUCGGAGGUCGGGGAAAAAAGAGACUGAACAAAGUUUUUGACGCCAUUGGCUUCGUUUACUCCGACUACCGCUAUCCGCUGCGGGGACAGGGGAAAAAGAGGAAUGUUGCUACUUCGGACACCCCAGUUCGGCCUACGCCGAAGGGAAAAAAGUUGAAGGUUCUGACUCACUGGCCGCGUUACAUCGAACCGGUCGUGAUUCCUGAAUUUGGCGAAGGGGCCUCUUCGGCUGCCGAAACAAAAGAAACUGUUCUGCCUGCGCAGGACACUAGAGAGCUGGCCAUAAUGCCGAAGUUACUUUCAGUUAAACUUGUUGAGGCGACGACUGAUAAAGCUGAGGGGUAAAAAAUUGGAGAAAUAACAAAAAUGCCAGAGAUUUUGAGCCCUUCAACAAAGGCAACAGUGCCGAAGACACAAAAGAGUUCUGCCACAACUCCUAAGAGGAGAAGGAUGGCAAAUGUGCUAGAUGUUGUGUUAGAAACAGCAAAAACCUUGAGUUCUACUCCUUCAAGAAAGAUUGCCGAAGCUUCGAAAGCGCAACCCGAAGCUGAAACAAAGCAGGCAGAAGUCGAGGCUGCAACAAUUCAGGCUGAAACCGAAGCUGGGCCUUCAGAGCCCACCGAGACAGAACCUGUUGUAGUUGAAGAAAAGGCGGCAGAGCAAAUUACAUCUGAAAAGGUUGAAGCUGCUGCUACCGAAGCUUCAAAAGAAAGCACUGAUUACAUUAUUCAUCAUGCUUUGGGGAAGAGACUUUCUCAAGAAGAAAAGUUAGAAGCACUACACUAUGCCCAAAAAUUAAAAUACCCGAAGGGGGCAUUAGUGUUUAAUGGCAGUGGGGAAGAAGAUUUUUUGUACUGUCUCCCGGAUAAUAAAGAGAUAUCUAUUUGCCGAGAAAUAGGUAGAAGCAUCGAAUUCCCGAAGCUGGAAGAUGGCCUUUCAAUAUUAUCAAAGGAUGAGCUUGCUGACAACUUGGCGUAUAAUAGCAUAAAGGUAUAAAAGCUAAUUUUGUAUUUUGAAAACAAAAUAUUUUAUUUGCUUAUACUUAAUUCAGUCCUCCUCUUGCAGGGCUUAAUUCUUAGCAAUGCGCUUAGGGCUUAGAAAAACAUUGAAGAUAAAGGAUAUAUGAUGGCUCUGAACAACCUUCGUUCAGAGGUAAUUGAAUUAAGAAACGAAGGUCUUGAAAAAGACAAAAUCUUGAUUUCAUUGGUAAACAAAGUGAAAGAAGAUGAAGCUAGUUUCAAGGCUCAAGUCGAAAUCCAAAAGAAUGAAAUCGAAGACCUUCGGAAGCAGUUGGCAGAAGCCAAAGAAAAAAUGCGCUCUCGCAGAAGCUAACCGAGAUAUCAGUGAAUAUUGGAAAAACCAUUUAGAUAAAACAGUUGAAGAACUUCGCGCAUCCAAGGAAAGAUGCUUUGAAAAAUCCUUGGGCUGCGUGGAGAAAAUAAAGGCUAGCUUCGCCAACGUGGGCGCUUAUUCUAACGAAGAUAAUUUCAUACGAGGCGACCCUGAAGGUGUUAUCGAAUGGAUAAGUGGAGAGGCCGAAGCUUACGAAGAAAUAUUAAGUGAUCGCGGGGAUGUCUGCGCGUUCUCCGGUGCAAGGGGAAUUUCAGCCAUCCUGGAGAAGGCGGGAUGCGACCAUGUCAAGACCCUGGCCCAGGCCAAAGCUGCCUUCUCCGUGGAUGAUACAAAGGAUCCCUCAGCUGAAGCAAGUUUAAUGGGCGGGAAAUUUUACAAUGAUAUCUGGGUAAAUGGUGGCCAAGAUAUGGCUCACGAAAUUAUGAAGAAAAGUGAAAAAGACAUUCAUGACGCCCGAGUAGAAGCAAAACAAGCUGAGGAAGCUGCAGAGCGUGAAAGACGUAUAGGUAUUGUUUUGUGGUCUUUAGCUUCGGCAUUUGUUUUUACAGCUUCGGACUAAUUAACUUUUUCCUUCUUCAGCUGAAUUAUCUCCGUUGCCGGAACCGUUCGAUCCCCUGGCCGAUCCAGAAACAAAGGAAGCACUGGAGAUCAUUAAUAUGGCCGAAUUUAUCGUUGAUGAAGUCGUCAAUAAAUUGCUAAAUGAAGUUGCAGAGAAGAUCCUAAAAGAAGACUAGCACUUUUUGUAAAAACAUUUUGAAAUGGUCAAUGUAACUUUAUUGUAACAAGACUGUAAUGUUUGAUGUGUAUAUCUUUGAAUCUAAUAUGUAAAUUAUUUGUAAUUCACUUCUUUGCGAUGCAUGAAACUUUAUAUACAUACCGUUUUUGAGCCUUCAGCGAAAAAACACCUUCCCUUCUUUUCAUGCUUCGUAAAGAAAAAGAUCCAUGCUUUGUGAAAAUAUCCAAGCUUCGUAAAAACAUCCAUGCUUCGUAAAAAAUAUCCAUACUUCAUAAAAAAUAUCCAUACUUUGUAAAAACAUCCAUGCUUCGUAAAAAAUAUCCAUACUUCGUAAAAAUAUCCAUACUUCGUAAAAACAUCAAUGCUUUGUAAAAACAUCCAUGCUUCGUAAACGAAGGAUUCCUUCUUUUGCAACAGAGCUGACGAAACUGUAUUUCUCAGCUUACUUUGUGCCUUAGCAUAUUUUCAUUUUUAUAGAGCAUUCUCUGAAGCUCGACUUCGUAUUCGAUUCGUGUCAUUGGUGCGAUAUGAUGUAUGAUGUGAUGUUAUGCGGGAUGGUGUGAUGAUAUGAUGCAAAGAAUGAUGCUAAUGCCGAAGACACACACCCACACUGAAACACAAAAUCUCUGCGUCCCCUUAUGAACAAUCGGAAUCUCUUUGCCAUUUAUUUUUCGGCUUCACCGCUUAUUUUUUGGUGUAAGUUCUGCAUCCCCUUAGGAACGUCUUUUGAACUUAUUCGCCUUCUAUUUCGGUGGUAUAAGUUCUGCAUCCCCUUAGGAACGUCUUUUGAACUUCUUUGCCUUAUAUUUCGGCGAUAUUUGGCUCUGCAUUCCCUUUCGAACGACUUUUGAGCAGAAAACUUACACUGUGUUCCCUUAGGAACGACUUUUUGUAGCUUCAGUGAAACUUACGCUGCACUCCCUUAGGAACGACUUUUUGAGCUUCGGCAGUUUUUGAGCUUCGUAAGUUUGUGAAGAAGAUACAUUUCAUUUUGAUAGAAGCGAAACUAUUACAAGGAAUUAAAACUAGAUUUACAUUGCUUGUUCCUUAUUGAAAAACAAAAUGACAUAGAACAUAAAAGCAUUUUGGGGGUAGGAUAUCGCUCAAUAAAUGUGCUUUGAUUCUGGCACAAUACUGUUGACUGUGCGAGCUUUGGAUUCCUCCGUGAACUCCCGUUGUUGUUGGGUGUGCUGGCGCCCUUCUGGCUGCUGGCUUCGGGAAUAGGUUGGUUGCAGUGGUGGUGGGGGUGGGAGUUGUGGCCAAGAAACCUAUGAAUGGCUAGCCGAAGCAACAGAAGCUGCAGGAUGAUUGCCCACAUAUUCUGGUAUGUAGGGAGAGUGGCACGAAGCAGUGUGCAAGACCUGCUUUGGCUGAUUCUGCCAAGCUUCGGCUUCUGCGAUCUCCUUCUGCUUCUGAAUGGUGAUUUGGCACAUUCUUGUAGUAUGGCCCUUGUCUUCACCACAGAAUAAGCAAUAAAUCUUCCUGGGCUGAUCCUCAUAUCUUCCUCCGAAGCCCCUGGCGCCUCUGCCCCUUGGAGCUGGCGGCCUAAAAGAGCUUUGCUGUUGCCCCGAAGAUUGUGAGGUGUACUAUGGCCUCUGAAGCUGGCUUCCUUUGUCGUCAUUCUGACUGGAAUUAUGGAUUGACCUGACAUGCCUCGGGUGGAUUCUUCCUCCGAAGCCCCUGGUCAUCUUCGAGAAUCUGUAAGCUUCCUCCCUUCUUUGGCGGAAGUCGUUGUCAGCCCGAAUGUAUUCAUCCAUCUUCUGAAGCAGCUUCUCUGGAGUUUGUGGGGGCUUCCUAGCAAAGUACUGAGCCAUGGGUCCUGGCCGAAGACCCUUAAUCAUGGCCUCAAUGACAAUUUCAUUGGGCAUUAUGGGCGCUUGUGCCCUCAGUCGCAAGAACCUUCGGACAUACGCCUAGAGGUAUUCCUCAUGGUCUUGCGUGCACUAGAACAAGGCCUGAGCUGUGACUGAUUUCGUCUGAAAGCCUUGGAAACUGGUCACCAGCAUGUCUUGAGCUUCUGCCACGACGUGAUUGUCUCUGGUCGAAGGGAAGAAUACCAUGUCUGGGCCACGUUCCGGACCGCCAUGACGAAGGACUUAGCCAUGACAGCUGCAUUGCCUUCGUAUGAGGAUAUCAUUGCCUCAUAGCUCAUCACAAAUUGUUUUGGGUCCGAGUGCCCAUCGUACAUUGGUAGCUGAGGUGGCUUGUAAGAUUGUGGCCAUGGGAUAGCCUGCAGUUCUGCUCCCAAGGGAAAAGCAUCAUCAAAAGUAAAGGUAUCAUAAUUAAAAUCAUCUUACCAUCCAUCCUCGUUGAAUAAGCCUUCCUGACGAAGCUCCCUGUGCUGGGGCCUUCGGUCUUGUUCGUCUUGAGCAAGAUGACACACUUCUUCAGUAGCUUCGUCGAUCUUCGUUUGAAGAUCGGCCAACUGAGCCAUCUUCUCCUUCUUCCUUUGCACUUGUUGAUGGAUGAUUUCCAUGUCCCUGAUCUCUUGGUCCAACUCCUCCUCCUGGAGUGUUAGACUGGUGGUCUUUCUCUUCUGGCUUUGAGCCUCUCAGAGAGAGAGAAUCUCCUGAUUUGUGUCCAGUGGCUGCAGUGCAGCAGCCCCUGGCGCGGUUAUCUUCUUCGGCGGCAUGACGAAGGUCAGUGCUUGUCGAAGGUGGUCGAAUGAGUUCACCGAAGGUGGGCGCCAAUGUUGGGGACUUGUUCUCAAAUGCUUCGAAUUAAGAACAAGGCAACACAAAAUGUUAAAGGUUAAUACCCUUCGUCCUUCGAAGCAUUAUUUCCCUUAGGAUAUAAUGAUCUUUAGACGAAGGUCAUGAAGGACAUACCUUCAUCAUCGCAGUAUAUGUUAAUAAAAGAAGAAGCAUAUGAAAUAUAAGAAACAACAUGAACUAUCACAUAACAUUAUUAACUCAUCCUCAUUAUAUUAUCAUGGAAAAACAGAAACAAUAUUGAAUUACAUUUGUACCUUCGGUUUGACAGAAGAUAAAAGUACAAGUGUGACGCACAAGCAAGUACAAAUCAGCGUGAACAGUACGAGGGUACUGUUCAUCUAUUUAUAGGCACAGGACGCAACCUGUGUGAAAUUACAUUCAAGCCCUUUAUAUUUACUAUUGACAUAUAGACAACCCAAUGGGGACUAGAUAGCCUUUUCCCUUUUAAGUUGGUUCUUUUUUCCGCCAUUGAGCCGAAGCUUCCUUGCGCGUAGCUUCGGAGCAACACCAGCCUUCGUCACGACCAUGCUCUUCACAUUGUAUAUGCUUUUGACCCGAGUUCGAAGGUACAUGUUCAUACUUGGAAGACAUUGUUAAAUCAUGUUUUUGAGGACCUUCGGAAGACGAAGGCCCCCAACAACAUCAAUAUAUAAAUAAACCAACUUAAAUAAAAAACUAUUCAACUUAAAUUAUUCUUCAUUAGGAAAAGAUAGAUAACUCAAACAAGGAUAUGCCCUAUCCAAAUAGAUUACCUAAUCCUAAUAGAUCUAUCUCAUCUUGACAGAUCCAUCUUGUCUUAAAAGAUUCUAUCAUAUCCUAAUAGAUUCAUCUGAUCCUAAUCUACUUACCCCACCUUAGAGCAGUAGCCAAGAUCUAUUCUAGUUAAAACUAAUCUAAUCUAACCGGAUCUAAUCUGAUUCACUUACUUCACCUGAUGCAUCUUCUUGUACAUAUAUAAAGGUUAGAAGUAUUUAAAUUAGGAUAGUUAAUACUAAUAAAAUAAAUUUAGGAAAUUUUGACCCUACUACCAGAAAUUCUAUAACAUAAAUUCACUUUACCCUAGAUAGUACCUAGCCUAACUCGGUCAUAUACAAACAACCUAACCUACAUUGAUAUGUUACAUAAUCUACCUAUUUCAAAACAAGAUUCUAACCUACCUACCAAAACUAAAAAUUCCAACCUGACCUACAUUUUCCUGAUGAUCUACAUAAUUUAUCUAUUCCAACCAAAACAUCGAACAAGAUUUCCCCCUACCCUAUAAAGUCUAUCGAGCUCACAGCUGCCUUAAUAUAUUUGAGAUAGAUUCUUUCUUUGCCAUAAUCUUUCUUACACCAACCUACCCUUGCCCUAACCAUGAAUCAUCCUGCCUAAUAGACGACCAAACACAAAGGAUACUCAUGCUUUCCUAAACUCUACUAAUUAAUUAGGGUUAAGGAUUAAAAAAACUUUCUAUUUUGAACCAAUUACAAAUAGACCAUCAUCAUCUCUUUUCUUAGAAUCUCGAGGACGAGAUUCUUUGUAAGGGGUAGCAUUUGUAGUACCCAAAUUCUAGAUGAAUAAAGAAAGGAGAGAAUAUUAAUUACAUAUACUUUCUUGUUCAUUUAGCAUAUAUAUAAAAAUUCUCAUGUUCAAGUAAUUAGAGAAAUUAAUAAUCAAUAGAAUAACAGUGCAUCAUGUUGGAUCUUUGAAUUGUGCAUAUAAAUUUGAUUUGAAAACAUCAAUCAGAUUAAAUUUAGGACAUCUAGAACUAGAAAGGAAAACUGAAAUUAUAAAUAGAAAAGAAAAAGGGACCCAACCUGGCUUCCUUACUGCUUGGCCCAACAGAGUUUAUUGUGCGAGAGUCGUAGAUCUACAAUCGGGUGGAUAAGAAGAGAGCCUUACUAAUAAUCUAAACCAUUGAUCGGUUCAAAAUCAGAGUCCACGAUCAAAUCAGAGUCCACGAUCAAAUCAGAGUCGUUGAGAUUAAUCAGACGGCCUAGGUAGCAGCGUACCUCUUCGGCCGUUGAAAUUUGUUAAAGAGCCCCUGCGUUUUAAACAAAUCAACCUGUCAUCCACUGACAAUUCAAAAUAAUUGCAUAAAGGUUCCUUAAUUUACAUUUUGGUCCUUUGGAGCAUUAUUUUAAUAUAGCAGUAACCCGAAAACUGGUUUAAUCUAUAAGUUUCUCGUUUUAUUCUGUUCAGGUUACGUUAGCUUUGUAAUAAAUUGCCUACACAGUAACAACAUUAUUUGUACCAUAUCACAUACUUUUAUAAUUAAAUAUUUGUUUAACCUAUGUUUAGUAGAUUAACCUUUCUAAUCAAAGUUAAUCUAUCGAUAAUUAUAAUUUGACUAAAAAGGUGGUCUCUAAUCAAAGUUAUAACUUAGACUAAAGUUAAAUUAGUUAUUUCUUUAGAGUAUCUUUAUCACAUGAAUUAUAAUAAAUAUGGAAUAUAGUUUAAUACUUAAUCACAUAGAACUUCUGAAAACCAUAUCUUCUAAAUAGUAACUUCGAUUUUAGUGGUUCUUCAACCUACGAUCUCGUAGCGACACAUAGAAUAUUAUUGUGUGGUUUGUUUCUAUCUUUGGUGUAAUGUAUUGCCACGAAUACAAGCAAGGUUGUGAGGAAUCUGAAGCCCAACUUUUGAGAAAACAUCUGAACAACAUGUUGUCGGUACCCUAAAACUAGGGUACCCCUUACUAUUGUAUGAAGACGCAGUACCCACACGGCUAUCUUCAGUCACGUGGUAAAGGAGCUGUACGUGGGACCAGACCAUGACUCGCCCCAGCCUCGAGCGACUACUCUGGGCCAGCAACAGCGCCUGACCCCACCACGUGGGCGGCUCCAGGGCCGCCACGUGGCUAGAGAAAGUGAUAUACUCUAAGGCAUCAACAGUGAGUCCGGACCCUCAUGGGGAAGUGCUGGACCCCUGGAUAUACAGUCCGAAUCUCCAAGUUGGUCCAGAACCCCCACAUGUACGGACCGGACCCCUAGAAUGGGAUCCGGACCCCCCGUAUGGGUCCAGACCACCCACAGUGGGGUCUUAGGACCUUACUUAAGGCCCAGGCGGGGGUCCAGAGCUAACACGUGUCCAGACCUGUUCUGGUGCGCUACGGACCUAUCCGCAUACACUGCUGCUCCCCACUCAGGCGGAGCCCCGAUGCUGCCACGUGGCACACUGCGCGCGGCAUAAGCCAACGGGCGGAACCCGGCGUGACGCCUCUGGGCUACACGCGCCUUCAUGACGGAUAAGACGUGCGCCUGUCCAUUCCACUGACAGGCGGCGUGCUCAGUCCACGAUACGUGGGCCGUACAUUUACUCACCAUUACUCCCGCAUUACUCGUACGGUAACUGCCCAUCAAUGCAGCAUGGAUUGCGGACAUCAAGACUCCUGGUGAUUACUCAGGCGUUACUAGCAUUAGUUACUCACAUAAUAUAUUCUUUCCAUUAUGUUCCUGGGCCCACAUGUCGGGGCUCAGCAUCCUUGUAUGUGCCUUCCUUAAACUAUAAAAGAGAAGGCACACAACGUUACAAGGGAUGAGCUCUCUCACACGCCCAAGCUCACAGACUCAAUUCACUCUCAAUACAGCUUACACACAGUGGAGGUAGGGUAUUACGCUCCGGCGGCCUGAACCACUCUAAACACUCGUGUCCUCGUGUGUUCAUCCACCUUCCAACAGAUAGGCAAACCUCUUAGGCCCCUCCUCAUCUUAGGAUUAGGGCGGGUGCGUUCCACCACCCGGCCGGUGGAAUUCUCCCACCGACACAGGUUAUCACAAGUAAAAGGUAAAUUGUGUCCUUGAUCACAUUUUCUAACAUAAGAAUGUUUAUGUUUUUUAUAAUCACCACGGCAUGGUUAGGUUAAAUUGUUGGGACCUAAUAGAUUACCUAGUUUUGUUUACCCUACACCUUGCAUACAAAUGAAUUAUUGAGUAGUCUUGUUAUUGCUCUACCUGGUUUUUGGGAUUAAUAUUAUAUGUGAAUUAUGAUCAUGCUUUAUUAUUAUUACCAAUAGAUUCUUUAUUGUUCAUGAUAAGAUCACUUUAUUAAUUGGAACAUGGAGCGAUCACCCAAAAAAACAGUGCGACCAUAAGGGUGCAAUGGAAUGCCCUUGGCCAAUUAAUUAGGAAAGAUGGUGAGGGAUUAUCUUACCCGAAAGGGAAAGGGGCAAGCAAGGAGGUGUCGCUGCAGAGUAUAGUGAUGGUUGUAUUACCGCGAUGGGGUUACAGACCGUGGAACAAAGCCUAUGCUUCCUUCGUCACCAUAGCAGGUCUUCUCAAAUUAGUGCAACUUUGGAAGGGCCUCGUAGUGGUACCCUGCCUCUUCUCCUCAGUAGAGAUGAAUGGGAAGUCGCGAUCCCUUGGCAAAUGGUUAACACGUCUUGUGGUUUAAGAUGUGCAACCUCUGCAAGUGUAAAACUGGUAUAUCAGCCGUGCUCGUAGUCAUGAGCGGCUCAGACCUUCACAUGAGUAAAUUAUGGAAUUAAAUUUAACAUGUUAUCUGUUGCAUUGCAUUGUGGGAUUUUGAUAUUGAUCAAUUAUUUAAUUGGGAUGGUAUUUUCUUUACUUAGUAAUUGCUAAUAAAAUUUUGACUAACAAAGUUAAAAGUAAUGCCCAGCCUUAACCAAAUUCCUUGGUAAGCCUUACAUUACACUUUUACCCACACUUGCUGAGCGAUGACAAUAUGGGAGUUCACCCUUGAUAUAAUCACAACAGGUCAAGAACAGGUAUCGCCAGAAGAAGAUUGCUAUGAAUAUGAGUUCGGAGAGGUCUAGUCCAUCAUCACCCAGUCAACUAUGGUUGCGGAGGAUCGCUAUCGUCAUAUGGUAUAAUUUAUUUCGCUAUUUUAUAUAGAAAUUGUAUUAAGUAAUAAAGAUGUGACAUUGAUUUAUGUACCAUGAGUUACCAUAUGUGUGAGAGUUGAUCCUAUCACACAUUUGAGAUGCAUCUAGAUUUGUCUUUAAAAACGGGUGUGGCAUUAGAAUAUCAUAAGUCCUUGAUAUCGAACCAGUGUUCAUUUUGUUUUGUUAGUUUAAUUUUUGGUAUCAGGUAUAUUGGUUUGGUUUUUGGUUAAUUAUGUUCUCCUCGAAGCACAAUAUAUGUCUCUAUUUAGAUUUUCUAGUGUAAUAUUUUGUUGAUUAAAUUUAGGGUUAUACUUUAGACAACUAAAACUUUAGUCACUAAACUUUAGACUAUGGGGCCAUUUGGAUUACGACUAAAGUUUAGUUCUAACUCAAUAUAACGACUUACCUUGGGCCACUUUUGUUACUAUUCUCACUCCACAUGGUUGUGUGCCACAUUUCUGCUGCUCUAUAUGUUUGUGUUCAUUUAUUUUUGUCCUUUUCUGGGUUGUUUAAAAAAUAAUCACUAAUGAAUAUUGAUAGAUUAAUAUUUAGAAUUCGGUACAUAAGAUUGUUCAACAAAAUGAAGUGCGUCCACAUGCAAACCAAAUGUACUGAACAUAGUAGUUCGAAUAAUACAUUUAAUUUUGGAGACAGGAUCCCAUACUAGCCUGUGAUUUACAUUACUCUCGUCUAGCAAACAAUGCGUUAACAAUGUUGUCAUGAGACGAUCAUGUGUUCAGGUUAUGAUCCUCGAUGCCUCCAUACCAAUUGCCACUACUUGUGAUAGGAACGGGCGUACCCGAUCUUCCGUCAGAUGAAGAUAACUAUCGAUUUGGUGGAGAUGUCACACAGACGAUCCGGCUUCCAAUCAACACGACUAGAACCCUGCAAUCGCAGCACCACUUCUCCUCUAGUUAUCAAUCGUGCACUGCGCGAUUGACCUCGCCACGAGGGCUAAUUCCUGUCUGAGAAUCGAAGACACAAGCAAGAACAAGAAAGAACACAAUCUAGAAUAUUACGGAUGAAUGAUUAAGCUCACAAGUUGGGGUCUCACAAACCGAUCUACGGCGACUGUUCUUGACAGAUCUAAACUUAAGCAAAACCCAACCCUAAUGUGGUGGCGGCUGCUGAAUAAAUAGAGUAUUAGGGCGUGCGUGACCCCUGGACUCGCCCCUAGUGGGCUCCGACGCGAUACACGGCCCAACAGACGGUGUCGCAGCACCAAAACAGAAUCUGAACGCUGACUUGUUUCAACGAUUCCCGUUGACUUUGGACGAAUUUUAUGGUGGAACCAAUUGGGUUGGUUAGAUAAUCUCCUUAUCUUUCCAACCAUAUCAAGUUCGUCGCAAUCGGAGUCCGGAUGCAUCUUGGGCGUCCAUUUUAGUGCAGACUGGUCCUGGAACCCGAGAUGGAGUCGCAGCCGAGUCGGACUUGAUCUCCUUCCUGUUGUGGGCGCCCUUACUGCUCCUCCUCAACACCUAGGUCUUUCCUAAGUCCUUGCUGGUCCUCACCAAGGUUCCUAAUCAUCAAAACAUCCAUGGUCCCAAGUGUAAGCUCUGAAACACAAUUGACUAGGGCAGAACGUACCAUGAGAAUUAGCUGUCGUGCACGCAAUCGUGUUAUCGGUCCAUUUAUUGUAUGUAUAGAAGUGAUGUCCUCAUCAACUUGUCUCUGGAGAAGAUUCAUCAGGGAUUUUUAAGGGAAUAGAAGGGGCCUUAGCCCUUACCGAAUGUAAUACCCAAAUUAUAAGGAAGAAUAAAAGUAGAAUUUGCUCUCCUCUAUAUAUGUGUAUGUAUCUUUAUUUGUCAUCACAUGUGAACACCGUCUUUAAAAACAAUUAAUAAAAAUAUAUACCACUAAAAUAUUGCAUCAUGUUGAGUCUUAUGUUUGUGCAUCUAAUACUGGCUGGAUUAAUAAAAAUGUGCUAAUGUCUAAAUUAGAAUUUAAUCAAAGAAUUAUAAUUUAGAGCAUUGGAAUAAUAAAACUAGAAAUGGGAAGGAAAUAAGAAACAUGUUAAAUAAAAUAAAAAUAAAAAUAAGAAUAAAAUUCUUACCUAACUGGUGCAUUCAAUUGUACAUUAAAAAGAAUACAAAUUCACCAAAGAUUUAGGAUUCAGAUUUGGAUUCAAAAAUAUAAGAAAGAAAAGAGAAUAACAGCAAAAGAAAAGAAAAAGAAAUAAGAAAAACUCGCUUGGGCCAAAGUCAGUCCGUUCGGCCCACUAACCUGCGCGCGUACGGCCCAGCUGCCAAUGUCUACCCGCGUGCACCCUGUGCCACUACGAGUGGGACCCACUCGUCAGCUAACGAUUCCGCGCGUGUCGUCCGGUGGAAAAGGUGGGGCCGCCCGGUCAGCUGGCCAUUUACUCUUUCCUGCGCACGCCGCGUCUGUGAACAUCUCUGAGUGGUGGGCCCGCAUCGUCAGCCCGUCUUCCUUGCUCCGGCACACAACAAACUAUGCGCACGACGCGCGAGAUCGCCGCGGGAGCUCAACCACCUGAACUGCGUGGCCGAUUUUGCCGGGGGAGGGUUCCGCAAAUAAGUAGCCGCCUGUCCUAGUGCGUUUCUUUCGCCUCCCAUCAUCCUCUACCAACGCCGUGCAAGUUGUUCGCCGCCGCCUAACACGAAGGGGGUCGCCGUGGUGGAAAUGACGGCGAGCGAACUAUUCAGGCGCGCCGCUUGCCGUGGGGGCAUCGCUUGUCUGCGGGGGAGUCGAACGGACCCUCUUCGGGUGGCGCUCAGGUCAGGGGCACCACCAAUUGCUCGCCAGCGUGCUGAAUCCGUCCCGGGCCGCACCGAGACGUAGACGGGAGUCCACGGGCCUACCUUCGUUUCGGUAAGACUUCCUGUGCAUACGCUUUCACCUUCCGUUCGAAAUGGUGUAGGUAUCGCGUAGGUUCGAGCAGUAGUCGACCGGUUUGGUAGAACGCCGACGAGGGGGCCGCCUUGGGCGUGUCUGCGCCGCCGCGCUCGGUUGCGGGAGGUGGAAGCUGAUCCACGGCUGUUGGAUCUCCAUCCCGCGCCCGUGAUUAAACCAGGGGGCGUACCGCUUCAGGAGUUAGCGAGCGCCGUUUGAUCUGGAUCGUUCGGUUGGCGAUAGGCGUAGGCUACUUUGAAUCGGGAGCCGUUGAUCGCGUAUCCUGCGGCUCGGAUUGCAUACCGGUUCAGCGAAUACAACUUCUAAUCUGGACCGUCCGGUGUGGAUCGGGUGGCCCAGCGUUAACCACACCCUUCGGCCUGGGCGUUUUGCGUAAGAACCCUCCUGGAAGUUAGAAUUUUAACCCGUAGUCCACUCUGGUGGAAACCUGUGUCUGUGGGGUUUUUGCAGGGAAGCCCCUGCACUUUCCAGAAAAUUGUGCCCAGUCCAGACAAUAGAAAAAACCAUAGAAAAUAAAACAGAAAUUGAUUUUUAAUGCAUAAAUAAAUGUUAGAACUUGUUAAAUUCCUAGAAAAUCCAUAUGAACUCCAAAUUAUUCCAUUCCAGUUUCUAAAUUUUUGUAAUAUUAUUGUCUAACCAUUUGUGCUACUGUUUUGACAUGAAAAACACAUUAAAAUUAUCUAGUACUUAAUCUUGUAUUAAAUACAUAAAACCUUGGAAAAUUUAUAACUUAAAAUCCAUAACUCCAAAUUUAAUGAUUUCAGUUCCUAUGAUCUUAUUUUAAUGUCUAGAUUAUUAUUGUGUAUUUUAAUUAUAUGUUUGGUGUGAUGUUAAUUUUUGCUAUACUAUGUAUGUAUUGUAUCGAUGCGAGUAGACGAGCAAACUGCAGAGGAUUCCGAGGUUCAGCUGGUAGAGACUGCUGAGCAGGAGCUCGUUGAAGGCAAGUUGUGCUCUUGAUCACUUCUUUUACCCAGUCAUGUUCUUAUUAAUCAUAAUGAUCUGCAUAGGUUAAUUUUGAUGGGACCCAAUAGGUUACCAUAGAUUUUGACUAUCUUUAUACCUUGUUUCACCACUGGUUUUACUACUAAAUUUUUGGGUAGUAUAUGCUAUUGCUUUAUGUGGCUUUGGGUAUAGAGAUAUUCAUCACUCAUUGUUAUACUCUUUAUUAUCUGUUUAUUAUUUACUGUCAUGAUAAGAUCAUUAUGUUAAUGGGAACAUGGAGAACCACCCGAGAAAACGAUGCUACCACAAGGGUUUAAUGGGACGCCCUUGGCUGAUUAACUAGGAAAGCUAGUGGAUGACUACCUUACCCGAAAGGGGCAAGGGCAGUUGGAGAGUGGUCAGUGUAGGGAGGUCCUUGGGUUGAUUUUGCUGCGAUGGCGGUCAGGCGAGGGAUUCCUGCACUGGAGCUUCCUAUAAACUGUAGCGGGUUUUCUAAAGCUAGUGGAACUUUGUAAAGGCCUCGUAGUGGUACCCUGCCUCGCUUCCUUGGUAGAGGUGUAUUGGGUCUGAUAAACUCCAUGGCAAAUGGGUAACACGACUUGUGGGUAAAGAUGCACAACCUCUGCAGAGUGUAAAACUGGUAUACUAGCCGUGCUCACAGUCAUGAGCGGCUCGGACACUCACAUGAUUAAUCUAUGGAACUUAAACUCAAUCUGUCAUUUCAUUACAUCUGGGAUUAUUUCAUUAUUACUUUUAUUUAUUAUUUCUAAGGUUUGGUAUUUACUUAUACUUAGUAAUUGCUAAUAAAAUUUUGACCAACUUAUAAAAGCAAUGCUCAGCUUCAGCCUUUAUUUCAUUGAUCAGCCUUACACUUCAUGAACUCCCACCUUUGGUGAGUUCAUGCCACAGUAUUCCCCACAACUUGUUGAGCGAUGAACAUGUGUGAGCUCACUCUUGCUAUCUCACACCCCCCACAGGAGAAGAACAGGUGGUCGAAGAGGAGCCGCCUAACUCUAAGGCUUUCGACUUGAUCUAGGUGGCGUCUCCCAGUCAGCUUUCUGGCGCCAAGGAUAGAUUUUAGUUCCUGCUAUCUUUAUCUUUUAUUUUGUAAGACUUCCGCUAUGUAAUAAGUACUCUGAUUAUAUUGUGACAUUUAUCUCUAUACACUCUGUUAUUAUAUAUGUUGUCUUCUUUGGCGCAUGUAUGAGAUGCACCCGACUUUGUUCCUUAAAACCGGGUGCGACAGAAGUGGUAUCAGAGGAAAUGUUGACUGUAGGGCGAAACCUAGAUAGAAAUGGACAAAACCCUAAUCUACUUACCUUACUCUGAUUCUUUCUAUACUUAUCUUAUCUUGAUCCUGUCUCACCUUUUGUUGUCAUACUCUGAUUACUCUUAUCUUUUCUGCUCUAAGACAAGAUGGAUUUCACACCUUAGAAUCCUACAUUUAUGAACUUUUUUUAGAGAUAGGAAACCCAAGACAAAAUUAAAAUUAUUUUCUCUAUUAAAAAUGUUGGUUGAUUGUUCUGAUGAUCAAUGCCUGAUUUGCUUCUUUGAUUGAUUGAAACAUUAUAGUUGGGCAUCUUAGCAUGUACCACCAUGAGGUAAUGUAUUAGCUUUAGUGGAUAACACACUAAUCUACUUAGCUAAUAAAUCCCCCUCAGUAACAUUCCUCGUAAUUACUCGCCUUGUUUACAAUUAUUCCUUUCCUACCCUGUGUUUCUAACCCAGAUGGGCUACCCCUAUACUGUUAGAAGAGAACAAUAUAGACUUGAUCCUUGGUAUGUCAUGGUUAAGAAAGGCAAAGAAAGUUUAUACACUAUGUUAAGGGAACCAUAGAACUAACCAGUUCCAAAGGAGAAAGAUUUGAAGUUGGAAUUGCAGUAACUACCGCCACCAGACUCGUGGCAUUCUUAGUAGAUGGGAAGUUUGUUGGUGUCAACAUCCGUGUGGUUAGAGAUUUUUCGGAUGUCUUCCCAGAAGAGUUACCAGGGAUGCCACCAUAUAAGGAAGUUGAGUUUGUCAUUGAUCCCUUACCUGGGACUGCUCUUACUUCCAAACGGUCGUACGAGAUGUCGGUAGAAGAGUUAAAAGAACUUAAGAAGCAGUUGACAAAGUUGCAAGAGGCUGGGUACAUUUGACCGAGUUCUUCACCUUCGGGAGCAACGAUUCUGUUUGUACAGAAGAAGAAUGGAUCACAGCGGAUGUGCGUGGAUUAUAGAUCACUUAACGAUGUCACUGUGAAGAACAAGUGUUCAUUACCCCACAUUGAGGAUUUAUUUAAUCGGAUGAGAGGUGCAAGGGUAUUCUCGAAGAUUGAUCUCCGAUCGGGUUAUCAUCAAAUGAAGAUUUGGCCAUUGGAUAUUCCCAAGACGAAUUUCUCGACCCGAUAUGGUUUAUAUGAGUUCACUGUUAUGUCAUUUGGACUAACCAAUGCACCAGCUUAUUUUAUGAAUUUGAUGAAUAAGGUGUUUAUGGAGUAUUUUGGACAGAUUCGUCGUAGUAUUCAUCGACGAUAUACUUAUCUAUUCCAAGAGUGAUAGUGAUCAUGAGGAACAUCUGAGAUUGGUGCUACAGAAGCUAUGAGAUAAUCAACUCUACGCCAAGUUUAGCAAGUGUGAGUUUUGGAUUAGCGAGGUGCCAUUUCUUGGACAUAUCAUUUCUAAUGGAGGAAUAUCAAUGGAUCCUGCUAAGGUUAAGGAGAUAAUGGAGUGGAGAGUACCCACUACAGUUACGGAGGUUUGGAGUCUCUUGGGACUUGUAGGAUAUUAUCGAAGAUUUAUUGAAAGAUUUUCUAAGAUUGCUAAGCCUAUGACCUCGCUUCUGGAGAAAGGAAGAGAGUUUAAGUGGGACGAGAAGUGCCAAGACAGCUUUGAUCAAUUAAAGAAGAGAUUGAUGUCACCACCAUUGUUGGUUAUGCCAGAUCUACAAAAGGGAUUUGAUAUCUAUUGUGAUGCAUGUGGCCAAGGCUUAGGAUGUGUGCUCAUGCAAAAAGUACAUGUGAUUGCCUAUGCGUCUCAUCAGUUGUGGAAACAUGAAUUGAACUACCCCACUCAUGACUUGGAACUGGCAGCCGCUGUGCAUGCACUUAAGAUAUGGAGGCAUUAUAUUAUGGGAAUCAAGUGCCAAGUGUACACGGAUCAUAAGAGAUUGAAGUACAUAUUCACUCAGAAGGAUCUCAACCUUAUGCAACGCCGUUGGUUGGAGCUUAUUAAGGAUUAUGAUUUGGAGAUUCACUAUCACCCGGGCAAGGCAAAUUUGGUUGCAGAUGCCUUGAGUCGAAAGGAGCAUGUUCAUUCAGCUGUUGUUGCCCAGCUACCCGAUGAGAUUGUUGAGGAUUUCAGGAGACUUAACCUGGGGAUAGUUGCUCACACUGAAGGAGUUACUAUUAAUGUGGAACCUACUUUGAAGCAAGAGAUCCACAAAGGUCAGAUUGGUGAUGCUAAAAUACAAGAGAUUAAGGAUCUGAUUACUGAAGGUCGAGGUCCAGAAUUCACGGAAGAUGAGCAAGGCACCGUAUGGUUCAAGGACAGGAUAUGUGUUCCUGAUAUUGAAAGCCUUCGUGAGACUAUUUUAAAGGAGGCCCAUGACUCGGAUUAUUCUAUUCAUCCUGGUAGUACCAAGAUGUAUCAGGAUUUGAAGCAGAAGUAUUGGUGGUAUGGACUGAAGAGAGAUGUGGUUGCACAUGUGGCUAUAUGCGAUGUGUGUCAAAGAGUCAAGGUCGGACAUCAAAGACCAGCUGGACUAUUGCACCCGCUUAAGAGACCCGAGUGGAAAUGGGAAGAAAUUGGUAUGGAUUUCAUUGUUGGACUAUCCUGCACCCCUGCUGGGUAUGACUCUAUUUGGGAGAUUGUGGAUAGAUUGACUAAAGUGGCUCACUUUAUUCCUGUCAAGACUACUUAUAAAGGUUCUCAACUGGCAGAGUUAUAUAUAGCUCGGAUUGUGUGUUUACAUGGAGUACUAAAGAAGAUCGUGUCUGAUCGAGGUUCACAGUUUACCUCAAGGUUUUGGAGAAGCUUUCAUGAGAAUAUGAGCACUAAAUUGAACUUUAGUACGGCUUAUCACCCUCAGACUGAUGGACAGACUGAAAGGACUAAUCAAGUAUUGGAAGACAUGUUGAGAGCUUGUGCCCUUCAACAUGGAGGAAGUUGGGAUAAAAGUCUACCUUAUGCUGAGUUCUCAUAUAAUAAUAGCUAUCAGGCCAGUCCGAAGAUGUCACCUUUUGAAGCUUUAUAUGGGAGGAAGUGCAUGACUCCUCUAUAUUGGGAUCAGACUGGAGAAAGACAGUUCUUUGGGCCUGAACUGAUUCAAGAAACAGAAGAACAAGUCCGUAUAAUUCGAGAAAUUUGAGGGUAGCUCAAACCAGGCAAAAGAGUUAUGCUGAUAAUAGAAGAAGACUACUGGAGUUUAAGGAGGGUGAUCACGUGUAUCUGAAGGUGUCACCGAUCCGGGGUAUGAGGAGAUUUAAAGUUAAAGGAAAGUUGUCCCCUCGCUUCAUUGGACCUUUCUUGAUCUUUAAGCGAGUGGAAGAAGUCGCAUAUCAACUUGAACUACCAAAUCAUCUGGCUGAUGUACAUGAUGUAUUCCAUGUAUCCCAACUAAAGAAGUGCCACAGGGUACCUGAGGAGCAGCUACCAAUGGAGAACCUUAGCGUUCAAGAUGACCUGACUUAUGCUGAGUACCCUAUCAAGAUUCUGGACACUUCGACUCGAGUUACAAGAAAUAAGGUGAUAAAAAUGUGCAAAGUACAAUGGAGUCACCAUGGAGAAGAUGAAGCUACUUGGGAAAGAGAAGAAGAGCUUCGCAUAGAUUUUCCCCAUCUUUUUCAUAGUCCUUCCUAAAUCUCGAGGACGAGAUUCUUGUUAAGGGGGUAGGAUUUGUAAUACCCAAAUUAUAAGGAAUAAUAAAAGUAGAAUUUGUCUCCUCUAUAUAUGUGUAUGUAUCUCUAUUUGUCAUCACAUGUGAACACCGUCUUUAAAAACAAUUAAUAAAAAUAUAUACCACUAAAAUAUUGCAUCAUGUUGAGUCUUAUGUUUGUGCAUCUAAUACUGGCUGGAUUAAUAAAAAUGUGCUAAUGUCUAAAUUAGAAUUUAAUCAAAGAAUUAUAAUUUAGAGCAUUGGAAUAAUAAAACUAGAAAUGGGAAGGAAAUAAGAAACAUGUUACAUAAAAUAAAAAUAAAAAUAAGAAUAAAAUUCUUACCUAACUGGUGCAUUCAAUUGUACAUUUAAAAGAAUACAAAUUCACCACAGAUUUAGGAUUCAGAUUUGGAUUCAAAAAUAUAAGAAAGAAAAGAGAAUAACAGCAAAAGAAAAGAAAAAGAAAUAAGAAAAACUCGCUUGGGCCAAAUUCAGUCCGUUCGGCCCACUAACCUGCGCGCGUCCGGUCCAGCUGCCAAUGUCUACCCGCGUGCACCCUGUGCCACUACGAGUGGGACCAACUCGUCAGCUAACGAUCCCGCGCGUGUCGUCCGGUGGAAAAGGUGGGGCCGCCCGGUCAGCUAGCCAUUAACUCUUUCCUGCGCACGCUGCGUCUGUGGCCAUCUCUAAGUGGUGGGCCCGCAUCGUCAGCCCGUCUUCCUUGCUCCGGCGCGCAACAAACUCUGUGCACGACACGCGAGAUCGCCACGGGAGCUCAACCACCUGAACUGCGUGGCCGAUUUCGCCGGGGGAGGGUUCCACAAAUAAUUAGCCGCCUGUCCUAGCGCGUUCCUUCGCCUCCCAUCAUCCUCUACCAACGCCGUGCAAGUUGUUCGCCGCUGCCUGACACGAAGGGGGUCGCCGUGGGGGAAAUCACGGCGAGCGAACUAUUCAGGCGCGCCGCUUGCUGUGGGGGCAUCGCUUGUCUGCGGGGGAGUCGAACGGACCCUCUUCGGGUGGCGCUCGGGUCAGGAGCACCACCAAUUGCUCGCCGGCGUGCUGAAUCCAUCCCGGGCCGCACCGAUACGUAGACGGGAGUCCACGGGCCUUCCUUCGUUUCGGUAAGACUUCCUGUGCAUACGCUUUCACCUUCCGUUCGAAACGGUGUAGGUCUCGCGUAGGUUCGAGCAGUAGUCGACCGGUUUGGUAGAACGCCUGUGAGGGGGCCGCCUUGGGCGUGUCUGCGCCGCCGCGCUCGGUUGCGGGAGGUGGAAGCUGAUCCACGGUCAUUGGAUCUCCAUCCCGCGCCCGUGAUUAAUCCAAGGGGGCGUACCGCUUCGGGAGUUAGCGAGCGCCGUUCGAUCUAGAUCGUUCGGUUGGCGAUCGGCGUAGGCUACUUUGAAUUGGGAGUCGUUGAUCGCGUAUCCUGCGGCUCGGAUUGCAUACCGGUUCAGCGAAUACAACUUCUAAUUUGGGCCGUCCGGUGUGGAUCGGGUGGCCGAGCGUUAACCACACCCUUCGGCCUAGGCGUUUUGCGUAAGAACCCUCCUGGAAGUUAGAAUUUUAACCCGUAGUCCACUCUGGUGGAAACCUGUGUCUGUGGGGUUUUUGCAGGGAAGCCCCUACACUUUCCAGAAAAUUGUGCCCAGUCCAGACAAUAGAAAAAAACAUAGAAAAUAAAACAGAAAUUGAUUUUUAAUGCAUAAAUAAAUGUUAGAACUUGUUAAAUUCCUAGAAAAUCCAUAUGAACUCCAAAUUAGUCCAUUCUAGUUUCUAAAUUUUUGUAAUAUUAUUGUCUAACCAUUAGUGCUACUGUUUUGAUAAGAAAAACACAUUAAAUUUAUCUAGUACUUAAUCUUGUAUUAAAUACAUAAAACCUUGGAAAAUUCAUAACUUAAAAUCCAUAACUCCAAAUUUAAUGAUUUCAGUUCCUAUGAUCUUAUUUUAAUGUCUAGAUUAUUAUUGUGUAUUUUAAUUACAUGUUUGGUGUGAUGUUAAUUUUUGCUAUACUAUGUAUGUAUUGUAUUGAUGCGAGUAGACGAGCAAGCUGUAGAGGUUUCCGAGGUUCAGCUGGUGGAGACUGCUGAGCAGGAGCUCGUUGAAGGCAAGUUGUGCCCUUGAUCACUUAUUUUACCCAGUCAUGUUCUUAUUAAUCAUAAUGAUCUGCAUAGGUUAAUUUUGAUGGGACCCAAUAGGUUACCAUAGAUUUUGACUAUCUUUAUACCUUGUUUCACCACUGGUUUUACUACUAAAUUUUUGGGUAGUAUAUGCUAUUGCUUUAUGUGGCUUUGGGUAUAGAGAUAUUCAUCACUCAUUGUUAUACUCUUUAUUAUCUGUUUAUUAUUUACUAUCAUGAUAAGAUCAUUAUGUUAAUGGGAACAUGGAGAACCACCCGAGAAAACGGUGCUACCACAAGGGUUUAAUGGGACACCCUUGGCUGAUUAACUAGAAAAGCUAUUGGAUAACUACCUUACCCGAAAGGGGCAAGGGCAGUAGGGGAGUGGUUAGUGUAGGGAGGUCCUUGGGUUGAUUUUGCUGCGAUGGCGGUCAGGCGAGGGAUUCCUGCACUAGAGCUUCCUAUAAACUGUAGCGGGUUUUCUGAAGCUAGUGGAAUUUGUAAAGGCCUCGUAGUGGUACCCUGCCUCGCUUCCUUGGUAGAGGUGUAUGGGGUCUAAUCAACUCCGUGGCAAAUGGGUAACACGACUUGUGGGUAAAGAUGCACAACCUCUGCAGAGUGUAAAACUGGUAUACUAGCCGUGCUCACGGUCAUGAGCGGCUCGGACACUCACAUGAUUAAUCUAUGGAACUUAAACUCAAUCUGUCAUUUCAUUGCAUCUGGGAUUAUUUCAUUAUUACUUUUAUUUAUUAUUUCUAAGGUUUGGUAUUUACUUAUACUUAGUAAUUGCUAAUAAAAUUUUGACCAACUUAUAAAAGCAAUGCUCAUCUUCAGCCUUUAUUUCAUUGAUCAGCCUUACACUUCAUGAACUCCCACCUUUGGUGAGUUCAUGCCACAUUAUUCCCCACAACUUGUUGAGCGAUGAACAUGUGUGAGCUCACUCUUGCUGUCUCACACCCCCCACAGGAGAAGAACAGGUGGUCGAAGAGGAGCCGCCUAACUCUAAGGCUUUCGACUUGAUCUAGGUGGCGUCUCCCAGUCAGCUUUCUGGUGCCAAGGAUAGAUUUUAGUUCCUGCUAUCUUCAUCUUUUAUUUUGUAAGACCUCCGCUAUGUAAUAAGUACUCUGAUUAUAUUGUGACAUUUAUCUCUAUACACUUUGUUAUUAUAUAUGUUGUCUUCUUUGGCGCAUGUAUGAGAUGCACCCGGCUUUGUUCCUUAAAACCGGGUGUGACACCGAAAUAUAUUAAAAAUGAACAAAGUUACAAGGAAGACAAAUAAGGGUGAAAAGAGAAAUCACUUGAGAAACAAAAAUAGAGAUAACAAAUAUGAGCUCAAUUACAAUCGGCAGUAUAGCCAUGGGACAAUACUUAGGAGGCAUUUUUCGUUCUUGUGUAGGAUAACUAAGAAAAAGACAUUCUUGAAGAUGAACUCACAUUGCUCUCUUAAGGUCUCUUCUCCUCCAAAGAUGAAUUGUUUCUUCGCUCCUGAAAAUUCCCUUUGACCGGGAACACAAAUCUAGAUGUUGCUUAGACUUCUAGAGGGUGUGGAUAGAUGAAUAAAAAUUACAACAAAAAACGUAGAAUUUCUUACUCUACUCGAAGCAGUGUACACAGCGGAAUGGUCGAGUUGAGUAGAUCAUAACGGAAUUAAAGUCCCUGACUCACAAUAGUCUGCACUUCAUCAUAAAUAACAUAUACCAAGAUGAGAGCAGAAGUGCAAUUAACAAAUCAAACAAGAACAGAAAGACAGAGACACAUAUAUUUCUUUCAUGCUUUGGCCAAGCAUGAAAUGCUUGCCGAUAUCCAUGUUGGAGUUAACCAACCUGGCUUGUAAUCUACUUCAACUCCUUCCUCUAUUUACUCAGAUCCACCGACAGGUGACAAACAAAAACUUCUCCUUAUAUCCGAUGGUGUAGCAGUAUAGCAGAACCGUGACUAUCACAACUUGAUAGCUCGACGGUGGAUGAACACAACGUCGUCUUAUCUCGCAACAGCACAUUCCCUCUCUCUUUUGGCUUAUAACUGUGCUAACACCUGAUCUAGAGAGAAAUACAUAAAGAGAGGGGUAGAAAAUCACUAAAAAAUAUUAUUGUGCUUGCUUGCUGCCCUGGUUAUUUAGGUUUUAGGCAUGGGAGGCUCCUUUAUAUGGCCCCAAGCAUCAAGUAGCCAUUAGAGAACUUCCUCAAAAACUGACUUCCGGGUGGCGCAUUGGACCUCCAACGGUCGCUAGCCCUCCGGGAACUUGAUUGGCCCUUUUCUCUUUUGGGUGGCAUUAGACCAGUGGACCCCCCUUGUAGAUAUUACGUGCCCGAAGUCAUCGUUGGCCUGCUGGUUCCUGUAGCAGGCCCGGUGCACAUGACCGGUUCCUAUAGCAGGUUUAGUGCACAUAGAACCGAGUCCUAUAGAAGGUCAUGUAGAGGGUCCGGUGCACCCAGACUACAAAUUUCAAGUCAUUUUCUUCCAUUCUUUCUCCAAUUUACUUCAACUCUUUGGAGGACUUUCCUGUGACUUAUACACACAUAAUUAGAGAGUAAUCCAGUUGACAAAGUCUCAUGAACUUACCUCUUUCUUAAUCUUUCUCCAGCUUUUCUGUUUCUCCUCAAACAGAGCCCUGAAUGACACUUUCUCUACAAACAAGAUUAGAGAGGAAACCAGAGUGUCAUAUACAUAGUAAAAGUUGUAUGUAACAUAUUCAAACAACCAAACCUUGCAUACUUAACCUUUUUCAAUGUUUUGCUUUUUUUGGCUUGUUUGAGGUUGGGGUUGGACUCCAAAGCCUCGAGUUGCCAUAGCCUGAGCUUAAUGGUCAUCUAUGAGCUCCAACACCCUGCAAUGGGUCACAUAGAACAUUUCCAAACACAAGAGUGAUCCAAACUAAAAGUCAAAAUGAACUCAGCUCUUUUGGAUCACUUCUAGGUUCUGACUUUGAUACUUCUCCUCUUUCUUGUGACCAUGUCCUUCUACUUGAGCUAGGAUCUUGAGCCUUAUGACUUGAACCAUAAACCAUAAUAAUUACCUCAAUGGUUCCAAGACAUGGCCUUAAGUUGUGAUCCUUGAUGCACCAUAGCCUUCCUCAACUCAAUCAACCUUGACUUUGCAAGCCAUCUUCUUCACCUCCAGCUUUAGGUACCUUGGUCUCCAUGACCUUCUCUCGUGCACUCGGUUCCUCGAAGUUCUUCUUGCCUCCAUCCUCUGUUCAACUUGUUGACUCCAAGUUAUGCACAUCAGUUCCACCUAAGCAUUGACAAUCCUUCAACUUGAAUUGUGAUGUCCACAAUCCAUAGCCACUUAGCCUUUUGGAACAUUACAUCUUUCUCCAUGUGUUGAGCCUCUUAGUCUUUUCACUCAGCAUCUUUUCAACACUUAACACCAUGUUAGACCUUUAGUUAUGUUGCCAUCCAAAACACCAAAACCCAUAAGGGAGCUUUCAACUCCAUAUAGUCCAGCAAAGAAUGAUGAUUAUUAAUUAAAAUGGAACAUUGAGGUGAGCUCCAAGAUAUGGAAUGGCCUUGGGAGGGGACUACAUGCCUAUGAAGUUCCAAUAAUUUUGCGAACUUGCGGUGCAUAUAAUUUUAAUCUUAGUCACAUUAAUUAGAAUCAACAUACGCUAAUGCACUUUCAUAUAUAAAAUUAUAUAGGACCAUGUAUAGCAAAAUUAUUCGGCUUUGCUUGGCAUUAGAUAAGAUGGUAAGCCUAAUGGGAUCUUCCAUUGAAAGUUUGAGAUGUUGAAAUAACUCUCUUUAACAUUGUCAAUAGAUAAUGAUGAAAAUUGAACAACUCAUUUUCCCCUUUGGUAUUGGGCCUUGUCUAAACUCUAGCAGAUGAUGCUUCACCCCUUUAUAUGGUGUGGUACAAUUCGGUCGAUUUGGAUAGUUUGAGUCCAUGAAAUAAUUUAUUAAACAUAAAAUAGGUACAAAUAAUUUGCAAAUAUGCACAUUAGAUGCUAAAUGAUAUGGAACACGAAAAUUUGGUUUUGUUGGGUUUAUCUCAUCCAUCUUGGUCAAGAAACCUAGUCAGACCACCUCAUGUGUCCUCAUUGGGGGCGCAACAACCUUAUGGUUAUGGCCUCAAGGUAUAUAAAUUAAGAAAGAAGGACGAUAUAUCUCCCAAACAUGUACACUUGAGAUUUGAUUUAUCGCUACACGGUUAGUGAAGGAAAGACCAUGCUCAUCAUCAUAGUCAUCCCCGACUAUGGCUGCCACCACUAUAAUUGUGUCUUUUACCAACACCAAAGGUAUAACCUUCAUGACCUAGUAUUUUGUGGCUAAGGUUUAUGAGCAAGGUGUCCAUAGUAUAACAGUGAUACAUAGCCAUGGUUGGGAUCAAACCCUAACCCUAGAUGAUACACAAUCUUUGAUUAAAAGAUGAAUCUGAGUAAAACCCCCUAAGGACUCGGAUUCAUUAAUUAGAAAAGCAUGCAUAAGAAUGGGGGAUUCAACCCGUACAUGGUUUUAUCAAAUCCUUGAAACUCUGACCCUAACUUCCAAUACCGAACACACAUAGAAGAUAAAGGGGGCAAUAAGACUUACCUAGUUGUCGGUAGGCCAUGGAAGAGGGUGGCACGACCGUCGGUCUCAUGCAUGAUGGAGUAUGCGGAUCAUAGGGCACCAUCGAGAGGCUCCUCGAUGGAGAUGUGUUCACCCUCAGGUGAGUGUGUGCACCGAUGGGGGCCCCAUGGGCGGUGCUAGCACUCCACCAUGCUCUCCCUGUCACACCCAGUUUUGGAAGGUAAACCGAAUGUGAACCAUGUACGUUCCAGGAUCAGAAAUUAUGUACACAGCGAUUAUAUAAUUGGACAUCGUCAUAAAUUGCUCAAAAUAAUAGCAGAAAUAAGUACUUAAUUACAUCAAGAUGUCUGAAACAUCCACAAAGUCAUUAAAUUUAACUAUCAUCAAAGUGUUGAACAAAAUGCAGUACGAUAAGGCAUUCACAGGCAGCUGACUGGGGGUUUGCCACUAAUCUAUUCUAGAACUCGUUGUAGUCCUGAAACUCCUGAAAGUCCUCCAUGUUGCCUUCAUCUUCUCCUGAGCACUGGUUGCAAUGGGGACAACCUGGGGUUUGGUGUUUUUAAGCAAGGGUGAGUACACAUCAACGUACUCAACAAAUGUCCCGUUUGGCUAAAGUGGACUAGCUAUAUGUGGGGUUAAGCUUAGACUAUUUGCUUUUAGUUGGUCAGGUAUUUAUUACUAGUAGAGAGCCAAGUUUUAGCAAUAACCUCAAGUUGUUACCCAAAUGGCACUCCCUCCAAGAGGAAAUACCAUAAACCAUCAUUUUAAAUAUCAUCAUUAAGCAUCAUCAUAAAGGUAUACAGAGUAACUUUAAUCAAAGGAGCUCCCAAGGCUGCUCAUAACCGUGAGCACAGCUGAUAUACCAGUUUCUAACCCUUUGUAGAGGCCGCACACUUUCCCCAUGAGUCAUGAUCCCUUUUUUCCUCGGGUCAAUCAAACCCUCAAACACUACCAAGGUGAGUCGGGAAGGUUUCACUAUGUAGCCUUUACAAAGAUUCCCUAGAGGUCAUAGCCGCUCGUUAGGUUUCUCCAGUUUGAUAAACACAAUACCUCUCCUCACAGGAAGGGUGACUAACAAAAGCAACAUGAAAGAACCUCAGCACCCAGCCUCAGUAGAGCAAAUACUGUGCCUGAACCCCAUUGACGGCACGACGACAAAGCUGACUACACCUCAAGUUCCUCUAAUUAAUCAGCUAAGGGCGUCCCAUACCAUCCUCAUGGUUGUACUAUUUUCCCGGGUGGUCAUCCAACGAACAGGUCCUUACAGAGAGGUACUCGAGAAAGAACCCGUGUCCCCUAAAGUAUCACAAGUUCAUCAUCAUAUCCAGAAUAACAUCAUCAUAUCAUAAAUAUUCUCAUCAUGUUCAUUGAUUAAAGUAAAGCAAUACCAUAAUACUAAUCAUAGUAACCAAUUCCCAAAGGAUAACCAAGGACACGAAAAAUAGAACACUAGUCAAUCCUUAGGUUGAUCAUGGUAUGCGAGACAGUGAAUGAUAAAGUAAGUAGGACAUAAUGGGUCAGUGGACACUAGCCUUCACCAGGUUGCUGCUCAGGGAAGUCUCCUGCAACAAACUCAAGAACCACGGACUGCUUGUUGUCUACACAAAGAAAUCACUCAUUCAACACGCUUGGGAAAUAACAUAAGAACAGUACACCAAACAUAUGCAACAGAGUGAACAUAGGUUUAGUAAAAGGGUAAAGACACACAUGUGAAUUCUAAGUUUCGGGGUAGAUCACUAUGCCAAGUGGUAUAUUGUUCUCUAACUUGGUCUAUCUUAGUAAAUUACUUAAAUAAACUUAUUCUAGGGAUGGGAUCAUACAUUAAAUGGGAUUAGGUCUACAAAGUUAGGCAUUUGAACAUUCAUUAGGGUUUUACCUUUAUUUUAUUUCUAAUGAAAUUCCCAUAUCCUUACUCUAACCUAGAGACCAACUAUAAAAUUGAGACAUAUAAAUAGUGGAUGAAUAUAAUUUAAACAGAUACAAAAUAACAUAAUGAACAUUUUGCAAUUUGAACCAUCCAAUUUGGAGAUCAUAUGACAAAGUUAUGAAUUUUGGAAGUUUUAGAAAUAAAAACCCCUAAUUUAUACCCAUUUUUCUAAUUAAAUAAAAACCUGGGGUUCUCUCUGCAUGAACCCUGGGACUCGGCUGUAAGGGCUAAGGACAACGGGUUCUAAUUCUAGGAAACCAAGGGGUUUAAAGCAAAACACCGCGGCGAAGGGGUAUUAGGCCACGUGGGCCAUCGGAUCGCCGACCGACGGUCACGAUUAGACCGGAGAGGGGGGAGAUCGCACCCGUGCUAGCGCGCAGGCCCACAUGCCAGCGUCUCAGGUGGGGUGGGGGACGAGCGGCGGGGCGCUAACGCGUGGGGUGGUCGACAGGAGGGGCCACGAUGCGUCUGGGCCUGCUGGUCAGCGGCACGGGGCAAGUGCGGGCGCGGACACAGACGUACGAUGACGGACGGGGCUCGCCGGGCAGCGACCCAGUGCGGAGGGGAGGGGGUCAGCGCGGCAUGCUGCGCUGAUGCGUGGGACUAGUGGGUCCGCCGGUCAGUGGCCACACGAGGGGGAAGAAAAGGGUGAGGAGGGCUGAGGCUGCUGGGUGGACCCUAGCUGUCAGGGUUGUCUUCAACCCCGAGCUAAGCGCACAGCCGACCGCACUCGACGACGAGGGUGCCCUCCUCGGGCACGUGGUAUCCGUCUAGAGCGGCAUAGCUGCUCGGCAUCACGGCCGCAACGAAGGGAGGAAGAGAGAGGGAGAAGAGAGGGGGUAAACGGCUCACCUUGGGUUAUGCCGGCGACCUCGGUGGCACGGAGCUCCGGUGGCGCUAGGCAGUCGGCGGCGCAGACGACGGCAAUGGCCAAGGUGACGGCGGCUCCGCGAGAAGUUAGGCAUGGGUGGUCACAUGUGGGGGAUGGAGGGAAUGGGGUUUAUGCUCCCAGGUGCCGGCCAUGGCGAGUGGGCGACGUGGGGAGGGGAAGGAGGCUGACAGGUGAGACCGAGGGGAUGUGCGAGCGCUCCGCGCGGGGGAACAUCUCGGGCCGAUUGCGGGGGAGGAAGGGAUGACAGGUGGGAUCGAGGCGUGAUGCGAGCCGCUGACGGGUGGGGCCCACCGAUCGGUGACCGUGGGCGCGAACAUGGACUGUGUGUUUAACGCGACUGGCAAGCGGGACCCGCACGCAGGGAGAGAGAAGCGGCACGCGUAGGUGUAGCAGUGGCGCCGACAUGCGAGGCCCGCCAGGCAGAGAGAGCGAGGGGGGAACGGGCGUGGGGCGAAGCGGGCCGGAUGGGCCAAAAGGCUGAGGGGGAAGGGGGUGACAGGCUUCUUUUGGUUUUAUUUUUAUUCUAAAUAUCUAUUCCCAUUUCUUUUUUAUUUUCUCUUUUGAAUUCAAAUCCAACCAAGCCACAAACUGAAAUUUGAAUCUUUCAAACAUAUGCAUCAAACAAAAAUCAAAUUCUAGGCUCAUCAUGAUGCAAUAAUUCAUAUCCCCUUAGGGUUUGAUCUACUAAAGUAUUAAUACAUCUCGAAAUAAAUAAUUAAACCUCUACUAAAAGGAAAAGAAAAGAAAACUAAAGAUAGGAGAAAAGAGGUAACACCUGAAUUUGGUAGAUAUUAGAGAAGAAAUUUUAUACCCCCAAAUUCAGGGUGUUACACUCCCAAACUUAUAUGAGACAAAAAGAAGGUGGAGGAAGAGGGAAGAGUCUCAAGAGUAGAAUGUGGAGAGAAGAGAGUGCUACGGGGAGAUGAAAAAUGAUUAGGAUUCUCACUCUAUGACUAAAAAAUUUGUCUUUUGUACUUAGCAUUUUUAUCCUAGUCGUUAGCUGAGAUCGAAUGUUGUAGAGUUGAUAAAGGUACUUUUGGUACCCCAAAUAUUGGGUACCCACUCCUGCUGGGUCUAGACAGGACCCCUAUGGCUAUCCGUAGCUGAUGAGGACAUCACUCCAAUACAUACAAUGAAUGGACUGAUAACACGCUUACAUGCACGACAGCUAAAUCUCCAGGUUUGUUCUAGCCUAGUCGAUUGUGUUGUCGAGCUUACACUUUGGGCCAUCGACGUUUUGUUGAUUAAGAACCUUGGAGAGGACCAGCAAGGACUUGGAAAAGGCCAAGGUGUCUAGGAGGAGAAGCAAUGACGUCCACAACAAGGAGGCGAUCAAGUCCGACUGAACUGCAAUUCCAUCUCGAGUUCCAGGACCAGUCUGCACUAAAAUGGACUCCUAGGACGCAUCUGAACUCCGAUUGGGUCGGCCUUGUUAUGGUUGGAAAGCUAAGGAGAUAAGUUAAUCAACCCAACUGGUCCUGACCUAGAGGUAAUCCAGAGUCAAUAAGAAUCAUCGAAACAAGUCAGUGUCCAGAUUCUGUUUUGGUGCUACGACACCGUCUGUUAGGAUGUUGGCCCGUGUAUCACGUUAGAGCCCAUUAGUUCACGUCCAGGGGAUUUGCACCCCCUAGACUCUUUAAUAGCAGCAGCGACCGCCGCCAUUAGGGUUUCAUUUUGAUUAGAUCAUAUUUGUCAUCGAACAGUAUCGUCGCUCAUCAGUUUGUGAGACUCCAACUCAUAAUCAACACAACUUUGGUUGUGUUCUUCCUGUUCUUGCUUGUGUUCUUGAUUGCGUUUGCAAGGAUAAGCCUUCUUGGCGAGGUCACUCAUGUGACAUGGGUGAUAACCAACAGAGCAGUGUGUAGUGAUUGUGAGCAUCCAUUCGCUCGGAGCCUUUGAUCAUCAAAGUUGAGAUCUCCACUCAAUCAAGUUAUCCUAUCUCAUGGAAGAUCACGCCUUUCCCUCUAUCAAGUGAUAUCAAGAUUCAGGUUGACCGUGAGGUAUAAUCCUACCUUUAGAUUUAUUUUGUUAUUCCUAUAACCCACAAAAAAGCCAAAGAGAAAAGAGUCCUAACAUUAUGUCAUAUCUUUAAAAACCAUUAGUAUAUUUUGACCUACAGACUUUGUCUUAGCCUUUGCACAAUUCAGUUUUGGAGUCCACGAUUCUGAAUCCGUGUCCUAGGUUGAGUCAAUUGCAGGUUUAGAUUUGUUUUAGGUCUGAUUGUUCAUUACCAUAUGCUGCCAUCCAACAAACUCAAUCUUGAUAAACUGAUUUCAUCCAUAAAACUGACCCUACCCAUAAACCGAACCCAUUCACCCUUCACUUGCCUCACCAAUGACCCUAAUUAUGUUGUUGGCUUAGAUUUGUGUUGGGUCAGUUUGGUUUUUAUCAUCCGCUGCCAUCCAAUAAAUUCAAUCUCGAUAAACCGAUCCCACAUACAGAACAAAUCAUACCUAAAAAACAGACCCGAUCCACAAAACUGAUCCCCACACUUCCAACGCCUCACCAUAAACCCUGAUUCGGAGUCCAAACUUAAGACGGCCAUAACUUUCGCCUCAGAACUCGAAUUGGGCCCAUUUUUCAAAGCGCACAGAAUUAAUUUUCGCAUUUUAUUCUCUCCCACUUUGCGAGAUUCAAUGUUUUUAAAAUCCCCAAAUUCGGCCUGGAAGUAUGAGUUAUCAUUUUCCAACCAUUUAAUCUGAAUUUAGGGCAAACUUGCAGAAAUUCCAGAGAACGCGUCUUUGCACCAAAAAAUUCUAAAUUUGGUGUGUUUCCUUCUUAUGUGCUGCUGCAAAAGGAAAAAAUGUUUGAAAAAAAUCACAAAAAACAACAACUAGAGCAAAAAUCAGGGAAAAAGAGAAAAAAGAGUAGCACAUAAGAAGAAAAACCAUUGUUCUAUGCACAUGUGUGAUUAUUUUGCUCCCACCUUGUUUCCUUGCUGCACCUAGAUACUUGUACCUCUUUCUUGUGCCUUGGUCCAACUGUUCUAAUACAUUUUCUAGACCAGCAACUAGGAUGAGUACUUGGAACACUUAUUUGGCACUUCUAUCUAUUUCUGACUUGUGUGCCACUAAUAUAUAUUUAGUGAGCCUUCCCAAAGCUCCACCUUUCUCUUAAACAGAAUAGGUACACCUUUGCAAUCACAUCCAUGCUCUUUGGUCAGUCACACCGGUCACUGUUUGCCACCUGCAGUGCUGGUAAGAAACUUGUAAGAGCGGGGUAAGACACUUUCAUAACUUGUGUUCCACCACCACCGCUGUUUGUUUGUUCCUUUUGUUUCUAUUUUGUACUAACAAUGGCAGGACCAAAGAACCAAACAGACAAUGAGAAGGGCCUUAAGCCAAACAAUGCUGAGUGCGUCUCCCAUUUGGAAUUGAAGAAGAUGAUACACGCAAUGAUGGACUCUUCCAAUAAUUACCAGGACUCUCUGGCUAUAUCCUAUGAGCAGCUUGAUCAAUGUGUUGCCGAACUUGUUAGACGCAUGCACAUGCUAGAGACUCGUCCCCCACCACAAGCUCUAGUAAUGGUAGACGUCAUCAUCAUAACCAUGAACCAGAGAAUGAUCCAUAUACUAUGAUUAAGUUCUCUAUUCCAACAUUCAUUGGUUCUUAUGAUGCUAAAGCUUAUUUAGACUAGGAGAUGACGGUAGAACAGAAAUUUAAUUCUCAUCAUGUUCUUGAGCAGCAUAGGAUUACAGAAGCCACUAGUGAGUUUAAAGAUUUUGAUAUCAUUUGGUGGAAUGAACUUGUUAACAUACGUGUUGCACCACAAACAUGGGAUGCACUGAAAGAGGAGAUGCGAGCUCAUUUUGUUCCACCUUCUAAUAGACAUGAUCUUCGAAAAAAAUUGCAACAUUUAGAUCAAGGAGACAUCUAUGUGCAGGAAUACUACCAAGAGCUUCAGAAAGGUAUGCUGCGUUGCAGGGUUGUUGAGGAUCCGGAGGACAAAAUGGUUAGGUUUUAUGGGGGUUGAGGUGGGAAAUUCAGGACAUUGUUGAUUAUAAAGAGUAUACUUAUAUACAACGUUUGUUCCACAUUUCUAUGUUGACAAAAAAAGAAUUACAGAGUCGCCAACAGUGGAGGAGAAGCAUCUUCAUGCCAUGAUAGCCUAGGGCGCCAGCAAAGGUGUCAUCCUCUUCGAGCGUAUGAACGUCGACAGCUUCCACCACCAACGGCACACGCAGCACCGCACCUUCGAUGUCAUAGGGACACGACAACAGCAGUCCUUGGUGCCUUUGGGUGUUGCAGCAAAACCUGCUGCACCCACCUCUUCCAUAGGUUGCUCCUCCGACAUCAAGUGUCACCACUUCUAGAGACUUGGCCAUAUGCACGAGUUUGCCCCAACAAACAGGCAUACAUUGCUACUGGUGACGGUGGGUAUGUUAGUGCUUCUGAUGUUGAAGAUGAAGAUACUAUUGGAGCUAACAUUGCAGGGACUGAUGAUGGUGAUGAAGAGGUCCUUGGCACAACAACGACCAAAGCAUAUAGGGCCUUGAUCGUGCAGCGUGCUUUGAGUGCCACAAUUGGCCAAGAUGACAACAUACAACGCCACAACCUUUUCAACAUGUUCCUCAUCGUCAAGGAUUGUCAUGUAGAUACCAUCAUUGACGGCGGUAGCUGCAAUAACUUGGUUAACAUUGAGGUGAUCAUGAAGCUUGUCUUGGCCACCCAAGAACAUUCCUAUCCUUAUCACAUUCAGUGGUUUAACAAUAGUGGUAGGGUCAAGGUAACACAAACAAUAAGGGUACAUUUUCCCAUUGGUUCUUAUCAUGACUUUGCUGAUUUUGAUGUGGUAACUAUGGAUGCUUGCUCUCUUUUAUUGGGGCAUCCUUCGGAGUUUGAUAUUGAUGUUAUUCACCAUGGUAGAUCUAAUAAGUAUACUUUGAUGCAUAAGGGAAAGAAAAUUAUGUUGCUUCCUAUGACCCCCACUGAAAUUGUCCACGUUGAGCAUGAGAAAAAGACUAAUGCUAAGCAAAAAGGUGUUUUGAACUAUGAAAAUCAGCAACUUAUUAAGUUAAAUACUCUCACUUUGUUGUCUAUUGAAUCUGAUCUUGAUGAGUUACAUGCCUCUGUUGGACUUCGCUAUGCCUUAGUGUGCAAAAAUGCUUUCUAUUCCAUUGAUGAUAUGUCCAUUGCUUUGCCACCGAUUACUGCCUAGCUUUUGCAGGAGUAUAUGAAUGUGUUUCCCUUUGAGAUACCCCCUGGAUUACCACCUAUGUGAGGCAUUGAGCAUAAGACUGAUUUGAUUCCACGGGUGAGCUUGCCCAACUGUGCUGCAUACAGGACCAACCCUGAGGAGACUAAGGCGAUUCAGCGCUAGGUCCAGGACCUUCUGAACUGUGGGUACAUUCGUGAGAGCCUUAGUCUUUGUUAUGUUCCUAUUCUUUUAGUUCCUAAGAAAGAUGCCACUUGGCGUAUUUGUGUUGAUUGUAGAGCCAUUAAUAACAUCACAAUUUGAUACCGAUAUCCUAUAUCUAGAUUGGAUGACAUGCUUGAUGAAUUAAGUGGUUCUAUUGUUUUCUCAAAAAUUGACUUGCGUAAUGGAUACCACUAGAUUCGUGUGGAUUUAGGUGAUGAAUGGAAAACUGUAUUUAAAACUAAGUUUGGUCUUUAUGAGUGGUUAGUCAUGCCUUUUGGGUUAACUAAUGCACCUAGUACUUUCAUUAAAUUGAUGAAUGAGGUUUUACGUGCUUUCAUUAGUAAAUUUGUUGUGGUUUAUUUUGAUGAUAUUCUUAUAUACAUCAAGUCUUAUGAUUAUCAUAUUGAACACAUAUGUGUUGUUUUUUAUGUCUUGUGUGAUGCACGUUUAUUAGGUAACCUUGAGAAGUGCACCUUUAUCACCGAUCAUGUCUUUUCUUGGAUACAUUGUGACACCAUAGGGCAUUAAGAUGGAUGAGGAAAAAUUGUUGCCAUUGCGAGCUAGCCACUUCUAACCACGGUCACGCAGGUUCAGAGUUUUCUUGGCCUUGCAGGAUUCUACAGGCGAUUUGUGCAUGAUUUCAACACCAUUGCAGCACCUCUCCACAAGUUGGCAAAGAAUGGAGUGUUGUUUCGUUGGGGACCAGCACAACAACAAGCUUUUGAUGCACUCAAGUCAAAGCAGACACAAGCACCGCUGCUGCAACUUCCUGAUUUUGACAAGACAUUCGAGCUUGAGUGCGAUGCGAGUAGCAUUGGGAUUGGAGGAGUGCUCAUCCAUGGAGGUAAACUUGUUGCCUUCUUGGCAACAUUAUGACAAAGAACUUUAUGCUUUAGUGCGAGUUCUACAAACUUGGCAACAUUAUCUAUGGUCUAAAGAAUUUGUCAUACAUUCGGAUCAUGAAACUUUGAUGUAUCUUAAGGGGCAAUCUAAUCUAAACAAACGUCAUUCUAAAUGGAUUGGAUUUAUAGUCAUUUACUUACAUUAUUAAGCAUAAAAAGGAAAGGAUAAUGUGAUUGUUGAUGCUUUGUCUAGCUGUUAUACUAUGUUGUCGCAACUUACUCAUAAAAUCUUUGAUUUGCAGACCAUAAAGGGUUUAUAUGCUACUAAUUUGGACUUCAAAGAUGCUUUUGAAAAUUGUAGAGAAGGGAGAUCAUGGCAAAAAUAUGUGUUGUGUGAAGGCCUUCUCUGUCGUGCUAACAAGAUGUGUGUUCAAGAUAGCUAUGUUCGUCUUCUACUCUUGCAGGAAGCACAUGGGGUGGCUUGAUGGGACAUUUUGGUGUUAAAAAGACUGAGGAUGUGCUAUCCACUCACUUCUAUUGGCCUCGAAUGCACCGUGAUGUUGAGCGCUACACCUCUUGUUGCACCAUGUGCAACAAAGCUAAGUCCUGACUUAACCCACAUGGUCUUUAUAUACCUCUUCCUGUUCCUUGUGCACCUUGGGAGGAUAUUUCUAUGAACUUCAUUUUGGUCUUGCCUAGAACAAAGAGGGGGAGUUAUAGCAUUUUUGUGGUUGUCGAUGUUUCUCCAAGAUGGCACAUUUUAUACCAUGUCACAAAACUGAUAAUGCUUCACAUAUUAUCGAUUUGUUCUUCACUGAGAUUGUGCAUUUACAUGGUGUGCCAAAUACUAUUGUUUCCGAUAGGGAUGCUAAGUUUUUGAUCCAUUUUGGGGAACCUUGUGGUUUAAAUUGGGGACACAAUUAUUAUUUUCUACUACUCAUCAUCCCAAACUGAUGGGUAAACAUAACUUGUUAAUAGCACUUUAUGUACUAUGUUGCGGACUGUUUUGAAAGAUAAUUUGAGGUUGUGGGAGGAGUGUUUGCCACAUAUUGAGUUUUCUUAUAACAGGUCCAUUCAUUCCACAACCAAGCUUAGUCCGUUUAUGGUAGGAUAUGGUUUUAAUCCUCGUGAUCCAAUUGAUUUGCUACCUUUACCAACCUCUGAAAUAGUGAACUUGGAUGCUACACAACAUUCUGAAUUCAUUCUUAAGUUACAUGAAACAACUAAGUUGCAAAUUGAAAAGAUGAAUGAAAAGUAUCGCAUUACUGCUAAUAAAGGUAGGAAAGAAGUAAAAUUGGAACCUAGUGACUUGGUGUGGGCUCAUCUGAGAAAGGAUAGGUUUCCUAAUUUGAGAAUGUGUAAACGCAUGCCACGUGUUGAUGGUCCUUAUAAAGUUAUCGCAAAGGUCAAUGGUAAUGCAUAUACACUUGAGUUGCCUCCAGAUUUUGGGAUUAGUCCCACCUUUAACAUUUCAUAUUUGAAGCCAUAUAUGGGUGAGGAAGAAGAGCUUGAGUCAAGGACGACUCCAACUCAAGAAGAGGAGGAUGAUGAGGACAUCACUCCAAUACAUACAAUGCAUGGACCGAUAACACGCUUACAUGCACGACAACUAAAUUUCCAGGUUCGUUCUAACCUAGUCAAUUGUGUUUUUGAGCUUACACUUGGAGCCAUGGAUGUUCUGUUGAUUAGGAACCUUAGAAAGGACCAGCAAGCACUUGGGAAAAGCCAAGGUGUCAAGGAGGACAAGCAAGGGCGUCCACAACAUGGAGGCGAUCAAGUUUGACUGAACUACAAUUCCAUCUAUAGUUCCAUCACCAGUCUACACUAAAACGAACGCCCAGGACCUAUCUGGAUUCCGAUUAGGUCUGGCUUGUAAUGGUUGGAAAGCUAAAAAGAUUAUCUGACCAACCCAACUGGUCCCGACCUAAAAUUCAUCCGGAGUCAAUGGUAAUCGUCGAAACAAAUAAGCGUCCAGAUUCUGUUUUGGUGCUGCGACACCGUCUGUUGGGCCAAUGGCCCGUAUAUCGCAUUGGAGCCCAUUAGGGAUGCGUCCAGGGGAUUUGCACGCCCCUAAAAUCUAUAUUAGCAGCAGCCACCACCACCAUUAGGGUUGGGUUUUGCUUAGAUCAUAUAUGUCAUCGAACAGUAUUGUCGUUCAUCAGUUUGUGAGACCCCAACUCGUAAUCAACACAGUUUUGGUUGUGUUCUUCUUGUUCUUGCUUAUGGUCUUGAUUGCGCUUGUAGGGAUAAGCCUUCUUGGUGAAGUCACUCAUGUGUCAUGGGUGAUAAACAAUGAAGCAGUGGUGUAGUGAUUGCGAUGAUCCAUUCGCUCAGAGCUUUGGAUCAUCAACGUCGAGAUCUCCAGCCAAUCAAGUUAUCCUACCUCACGGAAGAUCAGGCCUUGCCCUCUAUCAAUAGCUAUGGGAUAACGAGAAGUCUAACCCGACUUGGAGCCUAGACCCAUCCGGCAGGGCCUUUGGCCCUUGGGUCGAUGCCAUCACGCACCCCAUCGGUUGGAUUCCUCAGCAUUUACAGUCUAGUUUCGGACCCCCGUGGGCCGGUCCUAGACCCCUACGUGUGCUGUCUAGAUCUCUGGCCAUGGCAGGUUCGGUGCUGUCAUGUGUUCGAGCCAACAUAGUUGAGUCUCGGACCUCCACAAGUGCCAUCCGGACCCCAAACUAGGGGAGGUUCGGGGGCGCCACAUCUGCAUAUGCUACCAGCCCCUGCUCUCCGCUCAGGCAGAGAUACGGGCAGAGGGGAUAGGACGACACCAUCCACCUACUCCCCUACGCAAGUCGACAAAGCCAGUUUACGUUGUAGCCUACACUAGAGCCUUCAUCCACACAUCGACAAAACAUGACGAAGGUGACUCUAGAUAGAGGGCCUGCACGGUGACCAUGAGAAGAUACCUUCCCACUGUAGGAAGAAGACUUCGGUCCACUAGCUCUAUCCAACGCUUCGUGCUCCAUAUUUUAGUAUUCUUGAGCCCACAUGUCGGGGUCCAGCUCCUUUGUAUGUGCUCCCCUUAGGCUAUAAAAGGGAGAGCACAUGCGUUGCAAGGGACAAACUCGAGCCCAUCCAGGGACUCGAGGACUCACACUCACACAAGGCACUGGUCUCAAGCUCCCUAGGGUCUAGAACCUCAGGGGGACAUCUUUACUCGAACUCCCUUGGAGACAUAUCCAUCCAAGCCCAAGCUUUCUCAAGAUCUUAGCAACAUGACUCACAAUGGAGUACGAUAUUACACUCCGACAAUCUAAUCCACACGCUCGUGUGUUCCUGCCUUUUACCUCUUUUCAUAUGUGAUAUCCCAGCCCCUGCAUGGUGAUAUCCUCGCCCAAGGCUUAAUAGAAUUAAUAGAGUAUCCAUACCAACAAGGUGCAUCUUCUUUUUCGAAAGCCUAUCGCAAAAGAACCUCCAAGUUAAGCAUGCUUGUAUUGGAGCAAUUUGGGAUGGGUGACCGACUAGGAAGUUUUCUCGAGUGCGCAUGAGGACAAAGUGCGCACAAAGGACUCGUGUUGGUCUGUGGGGACGAUAUAUGAUCCUAGAGAGCUACCAGGAGUAAGUACCGCUGGUCUAGUGAUUGGACGGGGUGUUACAAGUGGUAUCAGAGCUGACCCUUGCGGUUUCACGGGAAUGUGUUGGUUAGGGGUUCGGGUAUAUGGUGCAUGGCGCAUGUGGGUCCGAAAUGGUCACAUGGCAUGGCAUAUGACGACACUAGACAAACAGACGUGGCUAAGAGGUGAGGUUCCUGGAUUAGGGUUGACCAGCGAGGACCUCGGUCUUCUAAGGGGCUGGAUUGUGAUAUCUCUGCCCCUAGGAUGGUGAUAUCCUAGCCCAAGGCUUAAUAGAAUUAAUAAAGUAUCCAUACCAACAAGGUGCAUCUUCUUUUUUGGAAGCCUAUCUUGAAAGAACCUCCAGGUUAAGCAUGCUUGUAUUGGAGCAAUUUGGGAUGGGUGACUGACCGGGAAGUUUUCUUGGGUGAGGACAAAGUGUGCACAAAAGACUCGUGUUGGUAUGUGGGGAUGAUAUAUGAUCCCAGAGAGCUGCUAGGAUUAAGUAUCGCUGGUCCAGGAAUUGGAUGGGGUGUUACAUCAUUCAAUCCCUAGGUCAUCGUCCUAUUAUCAAGAUCAGAGCCAACAUUUGGCGCACCGAGUAGGGGGAAUAUGGAAUAUGAUUUCCCCAGUCUGCCGAUGAAGUGGCUUCUCCGACAUCCAGUGGACAUUGGGUGAAUGCAUUCCGCCUUCUGGCCACAGGUGGUCCUCCUUCUCUGACAUUUCUUGGUAGGGGAAAGUCAUGAUAUGACUUCCUCUACCUACCAAUGGAUUUUAGGAAGGAAGCCAACAAGGGCUACGCCUUGGUCAACCUGACCUCACCGGAGGUCGCUUGCUGGUCGUGGGGGCCCUAUGGGGCCUACCACGCUCACUAGUGGGCUUUCAAGGGCAGCACCAGGACCAGAGUGGUCAUUGCAUCGACCUACUACUAGGCUCCAUGGCGUUCAAGGUUACCGACGUCGGCCACUGUCAAGCUUUGCCCUUGACCCUCAUGGAGGUAGUAGGGGUCGCUGCUUAACCUUCGAGUCUGAUGCUCGACGUCGCUUGAGUGAUUAUGUCGGCCCAUACCUUCCACCCCAUAAGGUAACAUGAGAAUUAACUCUUCCUUUGUAAUGGGAUAGCAUUUAUCUAUGGUCCAGCUUGCCGAGGUGUGCCCUCAUAAUCCCGGUGCGGCCCGGUUAGGUUUGCCCUCAAAAAUUUGGUCCGGACUGGUGAGGUCCACCCUCAUAAACCCAUCCUCUAGUGUCCUUCACACAGAUCUCAUGUAACUAGUUAUAAAGGAAGAAUUUUCACUAAAUAGUCACUUAGCUUGGCCCCGUAUCAUAAGCCUACGCCCUCCACCACCCUAGAAUCGCUAUCCUAGUACUUCGGACUGGAUUCCUGGAAGUCUAGACCUUGUCCAAACUUAAGUGUUGGUUCCCAAAACUAGGCUCAAUGGGAUCCAAUUACAUGAUUUGAUGGAUUGAAUACAACAAAGUAAGGGUCCCUUGGGUACGCUGUUGAGCGUCGGUCCUGAGCCAUAUUCAGGACAUGCCUCUGGUCUAAUAAUUGGCUUAGACAGUCGAGUACCUCCUAGAGAGCCAAGGUACCAAGGGGCCAGUAGAGGGAAAAUCUUGCCUUUGAGCCAGGCUGCAUGUACGCAAUGUCCAGUCUAGUGGGGUCUGGCCCCCAUAAAUGCCGCCUACUAGCGUAUGUUGCACUUCCAAGUUUUGUCUUUGCAGCAAUAGCGUAGCAUCGCCAAGCAAACCACUUGGCAUGGAGCCUACAUGCGCAGAGCUGUUGUAUAGGACCAGCAUGCCUGGAGCAAGGCGUAGGUAUGGCCCCACCUGCGAGUUUGUCACCUCACCUGUUGGGGGUCUUCUUCUCUGCCGAAGGUCCUCAAGGCAAAAACACCUUCGGCAAGACAGUACAAAGGCAGGUGCGACAUGAAGAUAUAAGCCGAAGAUGAUGCGGACAAAAGCCAAAGCUACAACUGAAAGAGCGUCAGCUUGGUAUUAUAAUAAAGGCGAAGGACGAUACCGACUUAAAGAGGAAUAUACUAUAUAGUCCUUAAUAGUUCGCAUUAUGAUUAUUAUUAGUUAUCAGGGACAUGGACGCAAUUUUGUCCGGGCUGCGUCCCAUGCCUAUAAAUAGAUGAACAAUACCCCUCUACUAUUCACGCUAGAUUGUAAUCUCUCUUGCGUCACUCGCAUUUGUGUCCUCUGGAAAACCGAAGGUAUCUAAGUCGUAUAAAAAUGAUGAGCAAUUAUUCAUAUUUAUGAAAGGAGAAUAUAAAUGAGUCAUUGAUUCAUUAUCAUUAUUUAUGCUCUUUUGUAUUUCAUAUACUGUCGUUUAUAACUGUUUAUUGAGAUGACGAAGGUACGUCCUUCAUGACCUUCAUCUAAGGUUCAUUAUACUCGAAAGGAGAUAAUGAAUAAAAGGACGAAGGUCUUUAAUCAUUAACAAUUGUGUUGCUUUGUUCUUGAUGUUUAGCAUUUGGGAACAAGGACCAACAUUGGCGCCCACCUCCAGUGAACUCACUUCCACAGUUGUUACAAUGGCUUCGCACAACAAUCAAGUUGUAGUACCUUCGGCCAUGAAGCUGGUACUCCCAAUUACAGGCGGCUCAAAUUCUGAACCAGCCAACAAGAAGCAGAAGAAAGAAGCACAGAGACGGGUACAUCAUGUUGGGGUACAAGGACCCUUCAUCAAGUCCAAGUGGUCUCAUAUUCCAAUUACCUUCUCUCAGGAAGACCUUCAGCUUAAGGAUUAUCCUCACAACGAUGCAAUGGUCAUAUCUUGUGUCAUCAAGGGAUUUCUGGUUCACAAUGUCCUGGUAGACACAGGCAGUGCAGCGGAUAUCAUCUUUGCAAAGGCUUUCAGGCAAAUGCAGGAGCCAGAAGAUAAGAUACAUGAUGCAACACACCCUCUUUGUGGCUUCGGAGGAAGGCAGAUUGUGGCAGUUGGCAAGAUAACAAUGCCCAUUACCUUCGGCUAUGUCCACAAUACAAGAACAGAACAUGUUGUCUUUGACAUCGUUGAUAUGGAAUAUCCAUACAAUGCAAUUAUUGGUCGAGGAACGCCAACGCCUUCGAAGCAAUACUUCAUCCAACAUAUCUAUGCAUGAAGAUACAUUCGGAACAAGGGCCCAUUACUGUACAUGGGAGUCAAGAAGCUGCUAGAAGGGCUGAAGGGAGUUGGACGGAUUCGAAGGCUAUUCAUAAUAUAGAUGAAGCCGAAGCUUAUUAGCAGUAUAAGCAUAAAAGAGAGAAGGCUGCUUCAGCAGAUCAACCGAAGCCUAUGCUUCUCUGUGAGGACAUAGCAGACCAAAAAGUAUUGUUUGGAUCUCAAUUGUCUGAUGAAUAGGAAAAAAACCUUGUUAAGAUUCCUGUUUAACAACAAAGAUGUUUUUGCUUGGACAACCAAUGACAUUUGUGGCGUCAAUAGAGAUAUUAUUGAGCACUCACUCAAUGUGGACCCAUCCUUCAGACCAAGAAAGCAGAGGCUUAGGAAAAUGUCCGAGGAUAAAGCCGAAGGUGCACGAAAUGAAGUAAAGAGACUUCUCAGUGCCGACGUUAUCAGAGAAGUAACAUAUUCAGAGUGGCUAGCUAACACCGUCAUGGUCAAAAAAGCUAAUGGGAAAUGGAGAAUGUGCAUUGAUUUCACAGAUCUCAACAAGGCAUGUCCGAAGGAUGAGUUCCCUUUACCAAGGAUAGAUUCCCUCAUAGAUGCAGCAGCUUCCUCAGAACUCAUGAGUCUGUUGGACUGUUACUCGGGUUAUCAUCAAAUUUGGAUGAGAAAGGAGGAUGAGCCAAAAACAAGUUUCAUAACUCCUAGUGGUACCUAUUGCUACCUUCGGAUGCCUGAGGGGAUCAAGAAUGCUGGAGGAAGCUUUAGCAGAAUGACUGCGAUUAUUCUUCACUCUCAAAUUGGCAGGAAUGUGCUGACUUAUGUCGAUGACAUCAUAGUAAAGAGCACAAAGCAAUAAAAUCAUGUAGCUGAUUUGCAAGAAACAUUUGCCAAUUUCAGGCAAGCUGGUCUCAAGUUAAAUCCAGAGAAAUGUGUUUUCGGAGUGAAGAAGGGCAAGUUUCUUGGUUGCCUGGUAUCAACAAAAGGCAUAGAAGCUAAUCCAAGCAAAAUCGAAGCUAUCCUUCGGAUUGAGCCACCAAAUUCAAAGAAGGGGGGGCUCAACGGUUAGCAGGAAGGCUGACAUCAUUGAAUAGAUUCAUAUCAAGAUCAGCAGAGAGGAAUUUACCAUUUUUUGAAAUACUGAAGUCAGCCGAAGUCUUCCAGUGGGGGCCGACUUAACUGAAAGCCUUCGAAGAGUUAAAGCAGUAUUUGAUAGAUUUGACAACACUAACCCCACCUUCAUCAGGAGUUCCGUUACUUCUAUAUGUGGCUGCUUCCCACGCUACGGUUAGUACGACACUUGUACAAGAGAAACAAGUUGGCCAGAUGAAAAAGCAAGCACCAAUAUACUUCGUCUCUGAAGUACUCAGCCCAUCAAAGAAGAAUUACACAGAAUUGGAGAAGGUACUCUAUGCUGUAUUGAUGGCCUCCAGAAAGCUUCGGCAUUACUUCCAAGCUUAUCAUAUAAUAGUACCAUCAUCACAACCCCUCAAGGAUAUAAUGAGGAACAGAGAAGCUACAGGAAGGGUUCGAAAAUGGGUCGCAGAACUCAAUGAAUUCACCAUUGAUUAUGUGCACAGGUCUUUGAUUCAAUCUCAGGCUCUAGCAGACUUUAUUGCCGAUUGGAUGCCAGGGGCUCAGGAUGAAGAUAGAAUAAGUGAUGCCAAAGCUUGGACGGUAUUUUGUGAUGGCUCCUGGGGAACCUUCGGUGCAGGAGCAGUUGCUGUCCUAGUAGCACCAUCUAAAGUCAGGACAUGUUUUGCAACAAAGUUAGACUUCAGCUGUACAAAUAACAUUGCCGAGUACGAAGCUCUCCUUUUGGGGCUUCGGAAGCUAAAGGCAAUGGGAAUAAGAAGGGCAAUCCUUAAAAUUGAUUCACAAGUUAUUUUGGGCCAUGUGGAUAAGAGCAGCAAGGCAAGAGAUCCGAAGCUUGAAAAAUAUUUGGAUGCAAUCCGAAGGUUGGAAGCUUCUUUUGAAGGCUUUUCUGUAAAAAAAUAUCCCAAGGGGAGAGAAUGAGCAUGCAGAUUUAUUAGCUAAAUCAGUGGCACAAGGGCUUCCUUUGUCUUUGUAAGUAUUUUUUGAAACAAUAAAAGCACCCUCAAUCGAGCUCAUGGAAAGGGCAGUGCUCACAAUCUCACCUGUACAUAGUGAAGACUGGAGGACCGAAAUAAUAUCCUUUCUCCAGGACAACCAUCUUUCAGAUGACAAAGCAUACAAUAAGAGAAUGGAAGCAAGAACAAGACCUUAUGUAAUAAUUGAAGGGGAGAUAUACAAGCAUGGAGUUUGCUCCCCAUUGCUCAAAUGCCUGUCCAGAAAUGAAGGACAAGAAUUAAUGAAGGAGAUACAUGCAGGACUGUGUGGAGCUCACAUUGGGUCUAGGCCUUUACUGGGAAAGGUUUUUAGGCAAGGGUUUUAUUGGCCGAAGGCAGCUUCGGAUGCAGCCGACUUGGUCCAGAAAUGUGAAAACUGUCAAAAGUGUGCUAGGGACUAGAAACAACCUUCGUCUUUGACACAAUUGAUCCAACCUACUUAGCCAUUGCAGAGAUGGGGCCUAGAUUUGUUAGGACCGCUCCCACCAGCACAAGGAAACUUGAAAUAUGUUGUGGUAGCGACGGAAUAUUUCUCAAAGUGGAUCGAAGCUAAGCCUCUAGCUACCAUAACCUCGGCCACAAUCCAAACGUUUUUCUAGCAGAAUAUUGUUUGUCGCUUUGGUAUGCCGAAGGCUAUUACAGUCGACAAUGGAACUAAAUUUGAUGCUGAAACGUUCAAGGUUUUUUGUGACCAGAUUGGUACAAAAAUAUAUUUUGCAUCGUUAAGGCACCCAGAAUCAAAUGGGUUGGUAGAGAGAGCAAAUGAAAAUAUAAUGACAGGGAUAAUGAAGUUAAUCUUCAAUCAGCCCAGAGGAAAGUAGCCAGCUGAAUUAAUAAAAGUGGUGUAGAGCCACAACACUGAUGUCUCAAGGUCAACAGGUUUUACUCCAUUCAAGCUCUUGUUCGGUGACGAAGCAAUAACACCGGAAGAAGCAAGAACAGGAUCAAUAAGAACCAAAGCUUCAGCGGAGGAUGAAGCUGAUUGUCAAAUAACAAAAGACACCAUAUAAGGGACCAGACUUCGGGCCAUAGAGCACAUCAAUAAAUAUCAGGCCGAAACAAUAAAAUGGUGUGAUAGAAAAGUUCGAUUGAAAAUAUCAAACCAGGCCAUUAGGUGCUUCGAAGGAUAGCCAACCCAGAAAUAAUAGGGAAACUUCAACUGAAAUGGGAAGGUCCUUUUCUGGUAGUAUCAUCAUCAAGUCCCAGUUCUUACAGAUUGAAGGAUAUGGACGACAAUGACAUACCCAGAUCUUGGAAUGCGGAUGAGCUUCAGCGAUAUUACGUGUAAUUGAUGUAAUCUUUUUUAUUUCUCCUAUGGCUCCCUUUUCCUUUCAGGAGGGGAUAAAUGUUUUUAAUGUGGCCAUAGUUUGUAAUUUUCAUUUUUGUUUAGCCCUAUGCAAUACAAGGGCCAAAUUCCUCCAAAAAUGUAACAUGUAAUAUCAGAAUCCGCACCAUCGAGUGCAAAGAGAACAGAUAAAAGCUCAAAAGACGUCCCUAAGGGGAUGCAGAGCUGUAAUCACUCCGAAGGUGACGAAGCUACGAAAGUCAUUCCUAAGGGAGCGCAAAGUAAGUUCCAAAGCUACAAAAGUCGUUCCUAAGAGAGCGCAGAGUAAGUCCCGAAGCUCAAAAGUCGUUCCUAAGGGAAUGAGAGCCGAAUACCACCGAAAUAGAAGGUGAAGAAGCUCCAAAGUGAUUCCUAAGGGAAUGCAGAGCUUAAAUGCCACCGAAAUAGAAGGUGAAGAAGCUCCAAAGUUGUUCCUAAGGGAAUGCAGAGCUUAAAUGCCAUCGAAAUAGAAGGUGAAGAGACUCCAAAGUCGUUCCUAAGGGAUGCAGAGUCUGGGUAUGAUUUCGUGUGCGUUCGGGUUAUACAUUUGCAUAUUUCAUCGCAUCAUUAUUUGCAUUCAUACAAACAUUCAUUAGACAUUCGUAGGAUCAUCAUUAUCAUGACAUGAAGCAUGAACGAUAAUAUGAACAGAAAGAGUUGUCCGGCUUCGGCGACAAAAUGCUUCGUUGAAUACGAAGAAGCUUCAUCUCAAACAUGAACACAUGCAUUUUAUGCAAUGAAAUGCUUCGAUGUGCAUGAAAAGAAGGGAAGGUGUUUUUUGCCUUCGGCUCAAAAGUUGUAUUUAUGGGUUUCGUCCACAGCAAAGCAAUUCACACAUGGAUGGAAAGGUAAAAUUAUAUUACAGGGUAUGGACAAAUAUAUACAAUAUUGAGUUCAACUCUCAAUUACAAUCUUUUGCAAAAAUAAUGCAAAUAGAUCCUAAGCUCUAUACAGGAAGUCAUAAAAGGAAGCUUCAGCCUAGCAACCUUCGGUAUACACUUUGGCUUACCGACCUUCGGCACCGCCAUCCUGUAGACAGGCAACAGUAUAAGGUAAAUGCGAUGGUAAUAAAGAAAAAUCAAGGCAAACAACAGGCAGAAGUUAUCGUACCGAAUUAAGAAAUUUCCGAGCUUCAUCUCCAGCUAACUCUCGCCCACCUUUAGCCCAAAUUUGAGUAAUAAAUCUAUUUCCAAUACUUCGAGCCUCUCCAAGAAUGUUCACCAAGUCUAAUGGUGACACGCUAAAGUUUGGCUUGUUUAUUGUCUUGGCAUGCGUACAUCCAAUUUUCAAAAAUGCAGCCGCCAUGCCACGAGAAGCUAAUAGAGCACAGAAAUCACCGUCCGAGUUAUUACUUCAUCGAGUGCAUCAACUUCAUUCUCGAUAUGUUCAAAGGUUUUAGAUAUAUCUUCAACCGAAGGAGCAAUUUCUUCAGACAUGGCCCCAACCGAUCUGAAGAUUCCCUUUAACCGAUGCACGCAGCGAGUAGUAAAUUCUGAGCAUUUAUUUCGAAGGUCCUUCAGUGAUUCCUGCAACAUCAUGUUCUUAUCAGCUUCGGCUUCAGAUUUCGCUUGCAGUUCUUUUUUCUCUUGCUAAAAGCGCAUUGACUUCUCCUUUAAAGUUGUUUGAGCUUUGAGAAGCUCUUCGUUUAAUCUAGCAUUUUCAGCAUGUAAUUCCGCAAGUGAACCUUCGGUUGCCUGAAGCAAAAAAUCCUUCUUUUCAAGAGAAGCUUCACAAUCUUUGAUCUUAUUUUCUAGGCCUUCAAUUAUUAUCUCGUUCUUCUUAUCUUCGAGAUCUUGCUGCAUUCUUAACGCUUUGCUUAGCAUCAUGCUCUGCGAAAGAUAAGCCAAGUUUAGAAUAUUUUAACCCAUCACAAAGAUAACAAGAAUCUAGGCAAAAGAUUUUACCUUGAAAUUGGAAUAGAAUAAGCUGCCAACGAUAUGUUGAUGUCGGUAACCACUAAUAUCAGAUUCUAGCUUCGGGAAACCAACACUCUUUGACAAAGUGCUGAUUAUUUUCGCCCCGACGCGGUCGUGGAUACAUCUCAGGGUUUGCUUGUCAACUCCGCCGAAGAGCAUGGAUCCUGGCUGGUAGCCACAAGAUUUGCCAUAUUCUUUUAGCUCCUCUCUCUGCCUCGGACAAUUCCUGACUUCCCAGGUGCCUAAGGUCAAAGUCUUUUUCUUUUGAUGAAGCAUCAACAAUUUCUUUCCCCUUGUCGGGCGUUGCGGCCAUGUUUUUCUCUACGGUCGCAGCUGUCUCUUUUGCGACCAUAUCUGAUAUGAGCUUGUCAAUUCCUGACAUUGUGCUCACAAGAUUAGCAUCUUCGGUAGCGGCUUCAACUUCGGCAGCGGUUUCACCUUUGGCACUUGUAUCAGGCACCAUUUUGGAUGCCGAGGCUAGAGGCGAUGUUCGCUCAAUAGCUUGCAUGACAUUGACAAUUCUUCGUCUUUUUUGACCUUCAGUCUUCUCCUUUGCGGCCGAAGGUUGAUCCUUUUUCUGUAAAAAUUUUGUCAGUUUCGGUCCCAGAGGACUUAGCAGCUUGACGGGCAGAGAAUCAGUCAUUACCUUUAAAAUUUCUACUAUUUCGGCAGCAGAGGGCGUUGAAGGAGCUUCUUCUCUUGCCUCAGCUACCUUUGGCUCAGUAGAGGGAGUCAUGUCAAGCUUCCGCUUUUUGGAGACUGCCGCUCUCGGCUCACGAGCUGAUCUUGCCUUUUUUGAAACGUUCUCAUCCUCCUUUACUAGUCUGACAGCUAGCCUACUUAAGAUGCUGACGACCCUUUUCCUUUUUAACCCUUCGGCACCUUUGUCAAAUCUUUCAUAAUCUGGAUACUCAAAAUUUAACGUGUCCAUCAUGCGAUUUAGCCUUCGUUUUGGCUGGGUGCCGAAGGUAGCAGUCAUUAACUGGUCCUCCUUCUUGGUGUAGUUGCCAAGGAUUUCGUUGCACAUAGUUUCAAUCAUUUCUAACCACUCUUGGCAUAGUUUCUUGAACUCUUUCUCAAACUUGAAACGGUAGGGAAGCCGAACAAGUUCGUGCUUUUUGCCUCCAUCCUUCUUCUUGGGCAUUCCCCAGCCACUAGAGGUCGAAAAUACUCUUUUCGCCAAGAAUUCUUGCACCAGAUCUCUACUGCUGACCUUGGCUGAUACUACUCUAAACUCUACUUCAGCUACUUAGCAUGGGGAGCCAAGCUGCAUACGGCACAAGGGUCUUGUCAUUCCGAAGCUCAAUACCAGUGGACUCAUGACCAUAGUCAUCAACUUCUCCCUCUUUUUCUCGUCUGCCUUCAUAUAAAACCAUUCACUUUUCCAACCAGUUGGCCACUUAGUGCGGUAGCUAAGAACCGGUGCCUUCGUAUCCUUUCGAUACGCAAAAUUAUAGCAACCAAAAUUCUCAUGAAGGCUGUCUGCCUGGCCUUCAUCUGGUAAUGCAGCUCGUGCACCCGACAGAAAGCUUCGGCAUUAGGACUCAUCCCCUGGCUUCAGAGAGCCCAGAUGUAGACACCAAGUCUAACGAUUGCAUUGGGUGUCAUUUGAUGAAGGUAUAUUUCAAAGUUCUUCAAAACCUCUCCUAUCAUAUCAUAUAGAGGGAACCGAAGCCCUGCUCUGAAGAAGCUUUUAAAGACAACAACUUCAUCAUCCUUUGGCUCCAGAAUCACUUCCUCGCCAGCAAAACAAACAAGUUUACUCUUAGCCUCUCCAAAGUAGCCCAAUUUCUUCAUUAUAGCCAUAUCAUCUGCCGUCACAGUAGAUCUACCAAAUUCAAGGUGGCUAGGUUUCGCUAGGCUCAAGAUACUGUAAUCCUCUUCAUCUUCGUUAUCGCUCCCUUCAACUAUGAUUUGUUCAGAUUCAACCGUCGAGGUACCUUUGGCAACAGGCUCUUCUAGCACAACAAGACCCGAUAGCCUCAUCACCUCUGAUAUUGGUGUCGUCUCAGUUGCUUUGGCCUCGUCCCCCUCACGAGACACCCUAGCAGUCGAUCGUACUCUAGUCAUUUCAAUAUUUUCACUUUUUUAAAUGAAGCUAGUCUCAAGUGCCGAAGCGUUUGCUCGAAAAUGCAAUACAGAGAGCUUCGACUAUGGUUAAAAUUUUUAACAGCACAAUAGUGCAAUGGCAAUGAAUGUUGUGGUAACUCCUCACCAACCCGUCUGUUUAUAUAGUGCUGCAGGGGAGAAGGCGAACCACCAUACUGCUCGCACUGGCUGAGCGGUGGACCGUCCGGCGUCCGGAAUAUUAUAAUCGUUUCUCGGCAACGAGCUCAGGGAAGGUGUUUUUCGGACCUUCGGCAUUCCGAAGCCUUCGUGUUUUUCGUGGAUCAAGCUCGUUACGAAAAAUGAUCUAGCACCGCGAAGGGACUACUGUUGGGGGUCUUCUUCUCCGCCGAAGAUCCUCAAGGCAAAAACACCUUCAGCAAGACAGUACAAAGGCAGGUGCGACAUGAAGAUAUAAGCCGAAGAUGAUGCGGACAAAAGCCGAAGCUACGACUGAAAGAGCUUCGGCUUGGUAUUAUAAUAAAGGCGAAGGACGAUACCGACUUAAAGAGGAAAAGACUAUAUAGUCCUUAAUAGUUCGCAUUAUGAUUAUAAUUAGUUAUCAGGGACAUGGACGUAAUUUUUUCUGGGCUGCGUCCCGUGCCUAUAAAUAGAUGAACAGUACCCCUAUACUGUUCAUGCUGGAUUGUAAUCUCUCUUGUGUCACUCGCAUUUGUGUCCUCUGGAAAACCGAAGGUAUCUAAGUCGUAUAAAAAUGAUGAGCAAUUAUUCAUAUUUAUGAAAGGAGAAUAUAAAUGAGUCAUUGAUUCAUUAUCAUUAUUUAUUCUCUUUUGUAUUUCAUAUACUGUCGUUUAUAACUGUUUAUUGAGAUGAUGAAGGUACGUCCUUCAUGACCUUUGUCUAAGGUUCAUUAUACCCGAAACAAGAUAAUGAAUAAAAGGACGAAGGUCUUUAAUCAUUAACAAUUGUGUUGCUUUGUUCUUGAUGUUUAGCAUUCGGGAACACCGACCAACAUCACGCAAGUGGGCCUGGGGGCCUCUGUUUGUACCCCAAAUAUGGAGUACCCACUCCUGCUAGGUCAAAGAGUGACCUCUAUGGCUAUCCGUAGCAAUUGGAUGGAGAGCGUUCUACCCUGACUCGGAGCCUGGGCCUAUCUAGCGAGGCCACUGGUCGUUGGACCGGUGCCGUCACGCGCCCCGUCGGUGGGAUUGUUCGGAAUCUACAGCCUACAGCCGGUCCCGGACCCCUAUGUGUGUCGUCUGUACCUCCGAUUAGGGGAGGUUCGAUGCUGCCACGUGUCCGAGCCAUCAUGGGUGAGUCUCAGACCUCCACAAGUGCCAUCUGGAUCCCCAACCAGGGGAGGUCUAGGGGUGCCACGUCUAUGUAUGCUCCCAUCCCCUAUUUUUCACUCAAGCAGAGAUACAGUGUUGCCACGUGGCCUAAGGCACGUUAAGGAAGUUACCAGGCAUUGUCUAAGUGGGCCUCUCACAUGGAGGGCCACCCACAUUAAUUGUAGGCAAGAUGCGCGCCUGUCCACAACAGUGGCAGGCGUCAUGUGUCCCAUAUAAAAUGCAGGUGGUGUGUGCAGUCCAUAAUGCCUGGGUCGCGCUAGUAACCUACGCGUUACUCUUAGGUAAAGACCAUUGACCGACUACGCCACAUGUGGGCAACUCUCAUCACGAUUUCUACUAUUCCCGCUUUAGAGGCAGGCAAAGAGACAGGCGCAUGGGUCAGGACAACACCGACCACCUACUCACCUACACAAGUCGACAAGCCAAUCUACGUCGCAGCCUAACCAUAGCCUUCACACACAUGCUGACAAGACAGGACAAAGGCGAGUCUAGAUAGAGGGCCCGCACGGUGACCAAGAGAAGAUACAUGCCCAUCGUAGGAAGAAGACUUUGGUCCACCAUCUCUAUCCGAUGCUCCACGCUUCAUAUUUUAGUAUUCCUAGGCCCAUAUGUCGGGGCCUAGCUUCCUUGUAUGUGCUCCCCUUAGGAUAUAAAAGGGAGGGCACAUGCGUUGCAAGGGAUGGACUUGAGCCCAUCCAUAGACUCGAGGACACACACUAACACGAGGUUCUUGUCUCAAGCUCCCUUGGGACUAGAACCUCCGGGGUACAUCUUCACUUGAACUCCCCGGAGACUUCUCCAUCCAAGCCCAAGGUUUCUCAAGCUCUCAGCAACACGACUCACAUUGGAGUAGGGCGUUACUCUCUGGUAGCCUGAACCACUAUAAAUCCUUGUGUGCUCCUGUGUUCGUCCGCCUGAUCAGGCAAACCCUAGGCUGCCCCUAUUCUUAGGAUUAGACGGGUGCAUUCCGCUACCCAGCUGGAGUUUACUCUUCGACAACUUCUUUUGGCUUAAGCAAGUGUAAGAAUUCCCAACCUAGGCCCAAGUUGUGGCCUAGGAUGUGAGUUCACGUGGGGAGCAGGCUAGCAGGUCGAUGAUAUUGGCAGACAUAGGCUAUGUCAUUGACAAUAUGAAGCCUAUAAGCCCUAUAUUGGUAACGAUAGGAACACCUGAGGUAGCUAAUAAUGCAUCCUUGACAUUGAUACGAUUCCCAACGCAUUAAGUGAGAGCGAUCAAACAAGAAGUGUAUGAUGGUUAUUAGAAGCUCUAUUAUAGAGUCUAUCCAUGGAGCAAUCUAGAAUGUCCAAGUGUCACAAAGUACCUUGAUAAAUUUAAGCAACAAUUCACUGGUUCUUCCAAUACAUAUGCUAGAACCAUAAUAAAAUUAUUACUAAAAAGUAUGAUGGCUCUAUCAUAGGGGAGCACAUACUAAAGAUGACUAUCUUUCCCAAUAAACUUAAGUCCUUUGGUAUGAAAUUAAAGAAUGAAUUUGUUGUUCACCUGAUAUAAUUGUGUUUGUCUAAAGAAUUUGAGAAUUUUGUUGUGAACUACAAUAUGAGUCCUAAAAAGCAGGCAAUAUAGAAGUUGAUUGCCAUGUGUGUCCAAAAAUCAAAGAGGGUCCCCAAUAAUUCUAGUGGGUACCGCCCGAGGGUUCCUUUACCCCCAAAACUUGUAUUGCCUAGAUUUGUUUAGGCAUAAGAAAACUAAAUGGUAAGCACUAGAAAAUUUGCAGGACCACCAUUAAAUGUGACAAAAAAAAUGUGUAGCUUGUAGCCUAAGUAGCCACUAAAAAACUUUGGUGCCACUGAAAAUCUUUGAUGCCAUUGAAGAAGUCAACACCAAGCAAAAGGGCAGUUAAUGGAUAGUUUGGAAAAGACAUUGAACUAGCCAUUAAAGCCUCCCAUGUCUUUCUUUGGUGACCCCAUUGAAAGGUUUUGAUGGUAUACUACUAUAGAUUACUCAUCAUUGUUGAUUCAUAACUGCCCUUCACCUCUGGUUUUCAUCCUCAUUUUUAGAAGUGGAUAGUGUCGGGUACCGUAAUUAGGGGUACCCCCAAUACUCCUUAAUCCGGCUGGAAAACAUCUUCAGAAAAAGCCAUACACGGCUGAUAAAGCGCGGUUCAAGUCAGGGCCACGUCUGCCGAGGGACGCGACCUCAUCCGAGCCCAGCCUCGGGCGGGAACAGUAGUCCCGAACGGAUUCACGCCUCACCCGAGGGUCCCCUCAGCCAGCAGACGCACCCUCGGCUCGCCCGAAGCCUAGCUUGGGCAGACUUUGUCGUGCAGCAACCUUGGCCAAAUCGCCUUACCAGCCGACCGUAUCGCAUGAGCAUUUAAUGCGGGGAUCGCCUGACACCUUAUCCUGACAUGCGUGCCUCAGUCGGCAAGGUCGAAGUGACCGCAGUCACUUCGCCCCUUUACUGACCGAUCUGACAGGAAAACAACGUUGUUCGCCCCGCUCCAGCUACCGUGCCAACCACCAGGAUAAAACCGAGUCACGAUCUCCCACGAGUUUGGCCUCGGGCGCAACAAGGAGCUCCGCCUCGCCCGACCUCAGGCCUCAGCCUCAGCCUUGGCCCUGGAAGAAGAUCUCCGCCUCGCCCGACCCCAGGCCUCGGCCUCGGGAGGAGUCACAACCUCGCCCGAGCCCAUCCUCGGCCUCAGGAGAAGUCUCCGCCUCGCCCGACCUGGGCCUCGGACCGACUGCGCUACAGGGGAUACAUCAUUACCCUACUCCUAGCUAGCUGCCUCAGGCUACGAAGGAACAAGACCGGUGUCCCAUCUAAGGCUACUCUGGCAACAGGUAAUGAUGGUCCCCCGCGUGCACCCAUGACGUCGGAUCGCUCUCAACCCCCUAUGGAAGCAAGACAACGUCAGCAGGAUCCAUGUCGCGCCGACAGCUGUGCUUCUACUGGGCUCAAGGCACUUCUCCGACGGCCACGCUAGCUCGUGUACACGGCUCAAGGCGCUUCUCCGCCAGCCACGAUAGCACAUAGCUACACCCCCUUGUACAUCUGGGCAUCUCCUUGUAUCUAUAAAAGGGGAUGUCCAGGGCCUUCCUAAGGAACGACGCCGCGCACACACGUUGGAUGUCGUGGACACACGUUGGACGUCGUGGGCAGACACGGCAACUCUGACAACGUUGGUCGCUCUCGCCCUCGCUCCCUCGCGCGACGCUUGUAACCCCUACUACAAGCACCCCGGUGCGAGAUAACAUAAGCCACAUUUCCCUCUUGUGUUCCAUCUUGAAUCAACCCAUCUGGGCAGGGACACGCAACAACAAAUUUACUGGUUGGUUGACGGUCCUCGCGCGUCCGAAACGCCGACAGUUGGCGCGCCAGGUAGGCGCUCGCUGCGUGUUAACGAACACUUUCCCGUUGAGUUCCAGAUGGGUAGCCUCCAGCAGCCUCUUCAGCCGGGGACGCUGCUCCGCUUUGGGAGUCUCGAGUUCAUGUCCCUUGACGGCAGCUAUGACAUGGUACUCCUCCCCCCACAGCGCGACAGCAACAACAGUCGUCGGCUCGCCCGGCGGUGGCGAACCCGACGACGACUUCCCACCGUGGCAGAAGAGGAACACCCGGGUUUGCCCCGCCACCCUCCUCGUCGGAGGAGGAGGAGACGGGGUAACCAUGGCCAUGCAGGAGGCGGCACCUCGUCGGUUGUUGGGGACCUUCGGCUUCCGAAGGUCCUCAAAAACAAGAUUUAACAAUAUUUCUGGAGUAUGAUGUGUGAACAGGUAUCUUCGGACUCAAGUCGGCAUCACAGUAGACCAGAAUAAUACGAAGGUUGGUACAGCGCCGAAGGUGUGAGCAGGAAAGCUUUGGCGCGGCAGCAGAAAGUGAAACCGACUUAAAGAUGAAAAGGCUAUUUAGACCUCGACAUAUUACUAUAGAAUUAUUAUCAAGUGUAAAGGGCAUGAAUGUAAUUUUGUAUGGGUUGUGUCCCGUGCCUAUCAAUAGGUGAACAAUAUCCCCGUACUGUUCACGCUGACUUGGCAUUCGCUUUUUGCGUCACGCUUGUACUAUCAUCUCCUUCCAGUUGAAGGUACACUUGUAAUUCAAUAAUAUCUCUGUUUAUGCCUGAUAAUAAUAGAUAAUUGUUUAUGUUGUCUUUUAUAUUCCUUACAUUUCAUCCUUCGUCAUUGUAUGAUGAAUUUAUGGAAAUACGUCCUUCAUAACCUUCGUCCGGAAACCAUUAUAUCCUAAGGGAAUAAUGCUUCGAAGGACGAAGGACUUUAACGAUUAACAUUUUCUAUGUUGCCUUGUUCUUAACUCAUAGCAUUUGAGAGCAAGUCCCCAACAUUGGCGCCCACCUCCGGUGAACUCACUUCCACUCUUCGAGUUUUUUGAACACCUUCGGCGAUCAUAAACCUUCAUUAUGGCGCCGAAGAAAGCUUCAGCGACUGGGGCUGCAGCUCUGCAACCACUGGAUCACAAUCAGGAGAUAGUCUCCCUUCGGGAGGCCCGAAGCCAGAAAAGGAAGGCUGUCAGCCCGACACCACCAGAGGACGAGAUAGAUCAAGAAAUCAGAGAUAUGGAAAUGCUUCAUCAACAAGUACAGAGGAAGAAAGAAAAGAUGGCCAGGCUAGCUGAACUGCAGAGGCAGAUAGACGAAGCCUCUGAAGAAGUUCGUCAUCUUGCUCAGGAUGAACAACACCGAAGGCCUCAGCACCAAGACCUUCAUCAGGAGGGUUUUCCCAAUGAAGAUGACUGGUAUGACAAUUUCCAUCAUGGGAAUUUUGUUUUUGAUGAUGCUUCUCCUCUGUCCGCUGAGCUGCAGGCUACACCUUGGCCUCCGUCCUACAAGCCGCCUCAGCUUCCCGUAUUUGAUGGCCACUCAGACCCGAAGCAGUUUUUGAUGAGCUACGAAGCAACAGUAUCUUCGUAUGGUGGCAAUGCUGCAGUCAUGGCCAAAUCUUUCGUUAUGGCUGUCAGGAGUGUUGCUCAAACCUGGUAUUCCUCCCUUCGACCAGGAACGAUCACUUCAUGGCAGAAGCUGAAGGACUUGUUGUUAACUAGCUUUCAAGGGUUUCAGACGAAGCCGGUCACUGCUCAAGCUCUGUUCCAAUGCACCCAGGAUCACGAAGAAUACCUUCAGGCGUAUGUCCGAAGGUUCUUGCGUUUAAGGGCACAAGCACCAACGGUGCCCAACAAAAUUGUCAUUGAGGCCAUGAUCAAAGGGCUUCGGCCAGGACCGUCAGCUCAGUACUUCGCUAGGAAGCCCCCUCAAACUUUGGAGAAGCUGCUCCAGAAGAUGGACGAGUACAUUCGGGCCGAUAAUGAUUUUCGCCAAAGAAGGGAGGAGGCUUUCAGGUUUUCUGAAAUGACCAGGGGCUUCGGAGGGAGGUUCUACCCGAGGCACGUUAGAUCAAUUCAUAACUCUACACAAAAUGAUGAUAGAGGGAGCCAACAGCAAAGGCCACAAUGUUCCUCACAGGCUUCGGGGCAACAGCAAGGCUCCUUCCGACCACCAGCUCCAAGAGGCAGAGGCGCCAGGGGCUUUGGAGGAAGAUUUGGCGAUCAACCGAGGAGAAUCUUUUGCUUGUUCUGUGGUGAGAACAAAGGUCAUACCACCAGGAUGUGCCAUGUUACCAUCCAGAAGCAAAAAGAAAUAGCCGAAGCGGCAGCACAACAGGCUCAGCCGAAGCAGGUCAUGCACACUGCUUCGUAUCAUUCGCCUUACAUCCCAGAGUAUGUAGGCAAUCACCCUGCAGUUUCUGUUGCUUCGGCGAGUCAACCUCAGGCUUCCUGGCAACAACCUCCGCCUCCACCACCGCUGCAACAAGGCCAGCAGCCAGAAGGGAGCCAAUACGCUCCACACCAAAGGGACUUCAGAGAGCAGUCCGAAGCUCGCACAGUCAACAGCACUGUGCCAGAGUCAAAGCACAUCUAUUGACAAAUAUCCUACCUUAAUAGCAAUCUUUUUCAUUCAGUUUUAUUUUCUGUAAUAAAGGACAUUGUUCAAGUUUCAUGUAAAUAGUUUCACUGAUUCCCACAAGGAAAAUAUAUUUUCUUCACAGGUUUAAAUUGUUGAAAGACUUGUGAUAACAAAGAGGACCUUCGAACUAUCGAAAAUUCUUCGAAGUAACAAAAAGUCGUUCUAAGGAACGCAGAGUAAGUUUGCCGAAGUCACAAAAAGUCGCUCCAGAGGGAGCGCAGUGUAAGUUUUCUGCUCCAAAGUCGUUCCAAAGGGAAUGCAGAGCAUACAGCGAAAAGUCAACGCUGAUACCGCCUAAGUAAAAGGCGAAGCGCAAAAAGUCAACGCGAAUACCGCUGAAAGUAAAAGGCGAAGAAGCUCCUAAGGGAGGCUUACAGCGAAAAAUAAACGCUGAUUCCGCUGAAGUAAAAGGCGAAGAAGCUCCUAAGGGAGGCUUGUAAAAGAUUAUGUAUUUUAUUGCAGGGAUGCGUGUGCACCUUCGGAAUAAGCAUCGUCUCAUAUAACAUAACAUCAUCGCAUCAUUUCGCAUAGCAUAAGCAUCAUACAUCAUGUUGCAUAUGGCACAAGAGGUGGACACAAUAUUAAUCUACAGAAGAGCGUUUUGAAAAAAGGGAAAAAUCAUAAGGAGAUACAUUAUUGAUCUUCGGAGGUGUAGCUUCGGAAAAUAUUUUCACGAAGCCUGGAUAUUAUUCAUCAGAACACUGGAUAUUGUUGAAAAAUUCUUCUUCACGAAGCAUGAAAAGAAGGGAAGGUGUUUUUUCGUCAAAGACUCAAAAGUGGUACGUGUAAAUUUCAUGCAUCGUAAAGAAUUAAGCAAGAAAAACAGGUAUAUUACAUUCAGGGUUACAAAAUGUUACAAUAUAUUACAUUUCAGAAGUUUUUACAAUAGUACUUAAUCCUCUCUCAAAACGACUUCUGCAGCUUCGUUUAGGAGUCGAUUGACGACUUCGUCCAUAAUAUCUUCAGCCAUCUUUUUUAUUUCGUCGUCUCCUUUCGGCUGAGGGUCCGAAGGGGCUUUAGCAAAAUCUGAAGUAGAACAGGAUACGGCUACAUUGCUAUGACAAAUUGCAAACGAAUCUUAAAACCUAAAAUUAUAGCACAAUAAAAACUAUUAGAUAAUACCUAAUUGACCUUCGGGCUCUGCGCUCUUUUCAGCAGCCUCAGCUACUUCUCUAGCAUCGUGAAUGCCCUUUUUGCUUCUUUGAAUAAUCUCUCGAGCCAUUUCUCGGCCACCAUUAUCCCAGAUAUCGGUGAAAAAUUUUCCACCAAUCAUGCUAGCUUCGGCCGAUGGAUCCCUUGCAUCUUCGAAGGACAAAGCACCUUCGGAUUGCGCUAGAAUCUUUACGUGUUCGCAGCCUUUUUUCUCUAAAAUGGUGGCAAUUCCUCUGGCACCCGAGAAGGCACAUAUAUCUCCACGGCUAUUUAAAAUUUCUUCGAAGGCUUCAGCUUCGUGGUCGAUCCAUUCGAUGGGACCUUCAGGAUUGCCUCUCGUAAAGUUUUCCUCACUUGAGAAUGCGCCGACCCUAGCGAAGCUAGCCUUUAGCUUCUUAACACAUUCUAUAGAUUUGUUAUAGCAUCUCUUCUUGGACGACCGAAGCUCUUCAACAGUUCCUUCUAGGUGAUCUGCCCAUUGGUCGCUGAGUUCUCGCUUUGUUUCUUCAAGUAUACGUUCUUCUUUGGCUCUGGCCAGUUGUUUCCGAAGAUCUUCAAGUUCUCGUUUAUGAGCUUCAGCUUGGCUUUUAAAAGCAGCUUCGUCUUCUUUUAUUUUAUUUAUCAAUGAGUGUAAUAUUUUAUCUUUCUCAAGACCUUCGUUCCUCAGUUCAAUUACUUCGGAACGAAGGUUGCUCAGGGCUAUAGUACACCCUUCGUCUUCAGCAUCUUUCUGUGCCCUGAGGGCAUUGCUAAGUAUCAGGCCCUGCAAAGAGAAAUAUGUGUGUGUCAAUAGGUUUAAACAAACGAAAAAAAUUUUGGUCUCAACAAAAAAUGCAAAGAUUCCAUUUGUUGCACCUUCAAGCUAUUAUAUGCCAGACUGUCGGCCAAAUCAUUUUUCGAUAGUACUGAGAGUCCGUCUUCCAGUGUUGGGAAUCCGAAGCUCUUGCUCAUCUCCCGACAGAUAGAAAUCUCUUUGCUGUCAGGGAGACAAUAGAAAAAGUCUUCUUCUCCACUGCCAUUGAAUAUUAAUGCCCCCUUUGGAUACUUCAGUUUUUGGGCGUAAAGUUGGGCCUCUUGUUUUUCUUUUUCUGAUAGUUGUUUCCCCGAAGCAUGGCGAAUAAUGUAAUCAAGGACUUUGGGGGAUGCUUCGGGGGCAGCAGCACUAAUUUCUUCAGCAAAAGUUGGCUCUGUAAUUUUUUCUUCCUCGGAUUCCAGGGAUUUUAUUUCUGUGGGUUCUGAGGAUCCAGCUUCGGCUUCAGUUUCUUGCUCUGGAGCUUUAGUAUCAGAGACUUUAGUUUUUUUUUCGGGGAUGACAACAGUCUCCUUCGGAGGUGUGCUUGAAGAUUUAAUUGUCUCCAGAACAUCUAGCACAUUGACCAUUCUCUUCCUUUUCGGAGUCACUGCUGGCACCUUUUGGUUUUUUACUGUCUCAAUAUUUGCCGCAGGACUCAAAACUUCUGAUGUUUUUUAUCCCUCAGUUGCUUCUUUUUCUUCCAUUUUUUCCGUGGACGGCGCUUCAGCCUUCUUCGUUUCUGAUAACAAAAUCUUUGAUUGUUCCAAUUCUAUCUUUGUUGACACUUCGGCCGUUUCUGCGACUUCUGGUAGCAAGGUUGGCUCGGUUGGUUUUUCAGCUUCGGUGGCCGAAGAGGUUUCUCCGGUAAACUCGGGCACCGAAGCUGGUUCAAUAUAGCGCGGCCGAUGUGUGAGGACCUUUAUCUUCUUUCUUUUCGGUUCUGGCUCGCUAGGAGCAGUUGCAGCUUCUUCUUUUGCAGAGGUUGUGUUUUUUCUCUUCUGCCUUCGAAUGGGAUAGCAAUAGUCAGGGUAGACAAACCCGAUUGCAUCAAAUACCCGAUUCAGCCUCUUCUUUUUUCGGCCUCCGAAGGCUGCUGACAUUGCACUGUCUUCGGCCUUCGAAUAAGCCCCAAGCAGUUCAUCACUUAAAUUUUCAAUGCUUUUUAACCAGUCGUCAUCUGGAUCAACGAAUUUAUCUCCAAAUUUAAAAGUCUACAACCUGAUAAGUCCACCUUCGUCGGCCUCUUUUAUGGUUUCUUGUGGCAUUUCCCAUUUCUCCGCGAGCGGCCAUACCCUGAAGGCAAUAUGCUCUUGUACUAAGUCUCUCGUUCCAAUAAAAGAACAGAUGACGCCGAAGGCCCUCUGGCAUUCUUCGGCAGCUUCAUUCAUUUCAACCUUCGGCCUCCGAAGGCCGAAGCUUUGCCAAAUAGGGCGCAUAAUUAUACCUUUGAUAUCUUCUCGUACUGUCAGAUCAUUCUUCACAUAAAACCAUUCUGUCAUCCAGUCGCCGGGCCAUCUCUUCCGAAAGGUUGGCACGGGGCAGCUUGACCCGGACCGAGAAACGAAACUAUAGCAGCCAAAAUUAUUGUGAUACUGUUCCUUACCCCAAGGUUUUGUUUCGUAUGAUAAUUCAUGUAUAUUGCAGAAGCUUUUUGCAUCAGGCUUCAGACCUUGGCUUCUCGCGGCCCACACGAAGAUAUUCAGCCUUAUGAUUGCUUCGGGGGUAAGUUGGUGAAGAUAGACUUCGAAGAUUUUCAACACCUCCACGACGAAGCUGCUCAAGGGAAAUCGCAGUCCAGCUUUCAAAAAGCUUCGGUACACUACGACUUCAUUCUCUUCAGGGUGUGGGCAAGUUUUUUCCCCUUCGUCGGCCCUCACAAUGGAUAAAUCCCGGAAAUACCUUCCUCUCAUGUUGACAAGAUGAUUCUCUUUGAUAGUUGAUUUACCAUAAACUGAAUGGCUUGGUCGCCAGGGACGAUCUUCGGAGUCUUCACCACCACUAUCCACAUCAUAGCUGUCACUAUCACCAGUAUCUUCAGACAAACCUUCCAGAAUCUCCUUGGUGAUUUUUUCUGUAUUGGUCUUUGACAUCGCUAUAAGAAACCCCAAGUUUUUCUCUUCGUCCAGGCUCAGCUUCAUCUCAGCACCAGUCUUCUUAUCCUCAGACAUCUUCGGAGACACUAAAAACUAUUUUCAAAGCCGAAGCUUCAAAACUAAAGGCUUAACAAAUCUUAGUACACAAGAGCUAAAAAUUGAGUGAGCGGGAGCAGUUGGCCAGAGAGCGUGUCAAAUGAGUUUGCGGUAUGACUGUAUUUAUACGCCAAGUGCGUUGAAAAUUGAAAGACCCCGCUUGUCAGUGAAUGUUGCUAUUCUAGCAAAGGGAAGGUGUUUUUUCGGACCUUCGGCGUAAAGCCUUCGUCCAUGUCGCAAUCUAAAUUUAUUAUUUUAAACAAAUUAAUAUUGUGAGGGGCUACUGUUGGGGACCUUCGGCUUCCGAAGGUCCUCAAAAACAAGAUUUAACAAUAUUUCUGGAGUAUGAUGUGUGAACAGGUAUCUUCGGACUCAAGUCGGCAUCACAGUAGACCAGAAUAAUAUGAAGGUUGGUACAGCGCCGAAGGUGUGAGCAGGAAAGCUUCGGCGCGGCAGCAGAAAGUGAAACCGACUUAAAGAUGAAAAGGCUAUUUAGACCUCGACAAAUUACUAUAGAAUUAUUAUCAAGUGUAAAGGGCAUGAAUGUAAUUUUGUAUGGGUUGUGUCCCGUGCCUAUAAAUAGGUGAACAGUAUCCCCCGUACUGUUCACGCUGACUUGGCAUUCGCUUUUUGCGUCACGCUUGUACUAUCAUCUCCUUCCAGUUGAAGGUACACUUGUAAUUCAAUAAUAUCUCUGUUUAUGCCUGAUAAUAAUAGAUAAUUGUUUAUGUUGUCUUUUAUAUUCCUUACAUUUCAUCCUUCGUCACUGUAUGAUGAAUUUAUGGAAAUACGUCCUUCGUAACCUUCGUCCGGAAACCAUUAUAUCCUAAGGGAAUAAUGCUUCGAAGGACGAAGGACUUUAACGAUUAACAUUUUCUAUGUUGCCUUGUUCUUAACUCAUAGCAUUUGAGAGCAAGUCCCCAACAUCGGUUGUCAGGCCAGAGCGAGUCGACGACGCCGGCACCCCUGCGGGGGCCAUGUCUGGUGUUGUCCUCGCACCAGAGACAACGAUGGGUGUCGCUUCCUCGCAAUGCGCCAACCCCGAGCGUGCUGAUGACGCCAGCACCCUCGCAAAGGACUUGCUGGGCGUUAGCCUCGUACCUGAGAUAAUGGUGCAAUCCGUCCCCGACGCGACUUCGCCACCGUCCAUCGACCAAGAGGUACCAUCCGUUUUUCAUCCUAUCCCUUUUAGAUUCAGCCUCGAUCCACCAAGCGACCCCGCUUCGGUGAGCGCUUCCGCCAGGGCAUACCCUGACCUUCCGGGGUAUCCUAUGCAGUCAUCUUGGGACCGACUGACGGCCAUCUCAACCUCCGGACCCACGGGUUCCGAGGAAGACGACGACUCCGACUUCGGUUGGGAUUUCUCCGGACUCAGUGAUCCCAGUGCCAUGCGAGACUUCAUGUCCGCAUGUGACUACUGCCUCUCCGGUUGCUCUGACGAUGGCCAUAGCCUCGGCGACGAGGGUUGUGACCCAAGCCACGAGUGUUUCCACAUCGAUCAGCGGGAUCACGGCGAGGACAACCACCUCGGCAUGCCGCAAGAUGACAACGCCCCUGUGCCUGCGUCUUGCGUUGACAUCCCACAGGAGCUAGCUGUGGUCCCAGUCCGUGUGGGGGGUCAGGACACAUAGCUCGAGCAAUUCUACGAGAUGCAGGCCAAGCUCGACGAAGAAGCCGGGCGGCUUGUGCAGCUCCGAGAAAACAUCGAGCAGGAGUGGGCAGGCCGAGCACUCGCAGGAGGAGCGCCUCAUCGGGCCCGAGACGUCCAGCGCCGUAUCGUUGACGAUGCCAGGGCAGGGCUGCCCCCGGCCUUCAGUGGGGCCGGCCAGAAUCUAGCUGCAGCGGCGAUGCUACUCUGAGCAAUGCCGGAGCCAUCCACCACCGAGGGGCGGCGUAUCUAGGGCGAACUCAAGGGUCUCCUAGAAAACGCAGCGGUCCAACGAGCCGAGAGCUCUGCCUCCCAAAGGCAAGGGUGCCCCUCGAAGCAUCGCACAACGUCCUCCCGACUCAUCUGGGAGGACUCGGUCCGCAGCGGGCGCACGCGAGACGGGAUGCCUGCAGCCCCGGAUCGCCUCAGCGACGAGCCCCACCGUCGCGACCGUCGAGCCCGCCUCGAAGAGAAGGUGCGCCGAGGCUACCACCCCAGGCGCGGAGGACGCUACGACGGUGAGGAGGACCGGAGCCCCUCGCCCGAACCGCCAGGUCCAAGGGUCUUCAGCCGGGCCAUACGACGGGCACUGUUCCCAGCCCGGUUCCGAGCCCCGACUACCAUCACCAAGUACUCAGGGGAGACAAGGCCGGAGUUGUGGCUUGCGGAUUACCGACUGGCAUGCUAGUUGGGAGGGACGAAUGACAACAACCUCAUCAUCCACAACCUCCCCCUUUUCCUCUCCGAUGCUGCCCGGGCAUGGCUGGAGCAUCUGCCUCCUGCUCACAUCUCCGACUGGGACGACCUGGUCAAGGCCUUCACGGGAAACUUCCAAGGUACGUACGUGCGCCCUGGGAACUCAUGGGAUCUCCGAAGCUGCCACCAGCAGUCAGGGGAAUCCCUGCGAGAGUACAUCCGAUGGUUUUCAAAGCAGCGCACCGAGCUGCCUAACAUUACCGACUCAGACGUCAUCAGGGCAUUCCUCGCCAGCACCACGUGCCGGGACCUGGUGAGCAAACUGGGCGCAAGACUCCUACCAAGGCGAGCGAAUUGAUGGACAUCGCCACCAAGUUCGCCUCUGGUCAGGAGGCGGUCGAAGCCAUCUUCCGGAAGGACAAGCAUCCUCAAGGAAGACAGAAGGAAGACGCCCCCGAGGCGUCCGUCCAGCGUGGCUCGAAAAAGAAGGCCAAGAAGAAGGCGCAAGCAAAGCGCGACGCCAUUGACGCGGAUCUCGUCGCUGCUGCCGAGCACAGGAAUCCUCGGAAGCCUCCUGGAGGAGUCAACAUUUUUGACAAUAUGCUCAAGGAGUCAUGCCCCUAUCACAGGGGUCCCGUCAAGCACACCCUUGAGGAGUGCGACAUGCUCCGGCGUUACUUCAUAAGGCGGGACCCUCGGCAGAAGGGGGCAAGGACCUAGGCAACAACAAGAAGGGGGGCGACAAGGAUGAGGAGUUCCCAGAGGUCCGCGACUGCUUCAUGAUCUACGACACACAGGUGGCAAACUCCUCGGCUCAGCACCGCAAGCAGGAGCGCCGGGAGGUCUGCUCGGUGAAGGUAGCGGUGCCGGUCUACCUUGACUGGUCCGACAAGCCCAUCACCUUCGACCAAGGCGACCACCCCGACUAUGUGCCGAGCCCAAGAAGGUACCCGCUCGUCAUCGACCCCAUCAUCGGCAACGCUAGGCUCACCAAGGUCCUCAUGGAUGGAGGCAGCAGCCUCAACAUCAUCUACGCCGAGACCCUAGGGCUCUUGGGGAUAGAUCUGUCCACGAUCCGGGCCGGUGCCGCACCCUUUCACGGGAUCGUCCCCGGUAAGCGCGUCUUGCCCCUUGGGCAACUUGAUUUGCCCAUCUGCUUCGGAACUCCCUCCAACUUCCGCAGGGAAACCCUCAUGUUCGAGGUGGUCGGGUUCCGAGGAACCUAUCAUGCGGUGCUGGGGAGACCGUGCUACGCCAAGUUCAUGGCCGUCCCCAACUACACGUACCUCAAUCUCAAGAUGUCGGGCCCCAAGGGAAUCAUCACCGUCGGAUCCACGUACCGCCACGCUUACGAGUGCGACGUGGAAUGCGUGGAGUACGUUGAGGCCAUCGCCGAAUCCGAGGCCCUCAUCGCCGACCUGGAAUGCCUCUCCAAGGAGGUGCCUGAUGCGAAGCGCCACGCCGGCAACUUCGAACCGGCUGAGGCGGUUAAAUCCGUCUCUCUCGACCCCAGCAACGACGCCGGCAAGCAAGUCAGGAUCGGCUUCGAGCUCGACCCCAAAUAGGAAGCAGUGCUCGUCGACUUUCUCCACGCAAAUGCCAAAAUUUUUGCGUGGAGUCCCUCGGACAUGCUAGGCAUACCGACGGAUGUCGCCGAGCACUCGCUUGAUAUCUGAGCUGGAGCCCGACCCAUGAAGCAGCACCUGCGCCGCUUUGAUGAAGAGAAGCGCAGGGCCAUAGGCGAGGAGGUCCACAAGCUGAUGGCUGCAGGGUUCAUCAAAGAGGUAUUCCAUCCGGAAUGGUUAGCUAACCCUAUGCUUGUGAAGAAAAAAGGUGGGAAAUGGAGGAUGUGCGUAGACUACACUGGUCUAAACAAAGCAUGUCCGAAGGUUCCCUACCCUCUGCCUCGCAUCGAUCAAAUUGUGGACUCCACUGCUGGGUGCGAAACCCUAUCAUUCCUCAACACCUAUUCAGGUUAUCACCAAAUCAAGAUGAAAGAAUCCGACCAGCUCGCGACUUCUUUCAUCACACCCUUUGGCAUGUAUUGUUAUAUUACUACGCCAUUUGGCUUGAGGAAUGCAGGUGCAACCUACCAAAGGUGCAUGAACCAUGUGUUCGGGGAGCACAUCGGCAGAACGGUUGAGGGUUACGUCGAUGACAUCGUUGUCAAGACAAGAAAAGCCUCCGACCUCCUCUCUGACCUCGAAGUGACUUUCGGGUGCCUGCGUGCAAAAGGUGUAAAACUCAAUCCCGAGAAGUGUGUCUUCGGAGUCCCCCGAGGCAUGCUCCUGGGGUUCAUCGUCUCCGAAAGAGGCAUUGAGGCCAACCCGGAGAAAAUCGUAGCCAUCACCAACAUGGGACCCAUCAAGGAUCUAAAAGGAGUACAAAGGGUCAUGGGAUGCCUUGCGGCUCUGAGCCGCUUCAUCUCGCGCCUCGGCGAGAGAGGAUUGCCCUUGUACCGCCUCUUAAGGAAGGCCGAGCGCUUCACUUGGACCCCCGAGACCGAGGAAGCCCUCGGGAACUUAAAGGCACUCCUUACUAACGCGCCCAUCUUGGUGCCCCCCGCUGCGGGAGAAGCCCUCUUGAUCUACGUAGCCGCAACCACUCAGGUGGUCAGCGCCGCGAUCGUAGUCGAGAGACGGGAGGAAGGGCAUGCACUGCUCGUCCAGAGGCCGGUCUACUUCAUUAGUGAAGUGCUAUCCGAGACCAAUAUUCGCUACCCACAAAUUCAGAAGCUACUGUACGCAGUAAUUCUGACACGACGAAAAUUGAGACACUACUUCGAGUCUCAUUCGGUGACUGUGGUGUCAUCCUUCCCCCUGGGAGAGAUCAUCAAGUGCCGAGAGGCCUCGGGUAGGAUAGCAAAAUGGGCAAUGGAACUCAUGGGCGAAACAAUUUCAUUUGCCCUUCGGAAGGCCAUAAAGUCCCAAGUCUUGGCUGACUUCCUGGCUGAAUAAGUCGACACCCAAUUGCCGACAGCUCCAAUCCAGCCCGAACUUUGGACCAUGUACUUCGAUAGGUCGCUGAUGAAAACAGGGGCAGGUGCUGGCCUGCUCUUCAUCUCACCCCUCGAGAAACAUGUGCGCUACGUGCUGCGCCUCCAUUUUCGAGCGUCAAACAACGUGGCCAAGAACGAGGCUUUGGUUAAUGGGUUGCGCAUCGCCAUCGAGCUAGGGGUUCGGUGCCUCGAUGCUCGGGGCGACUCGUAGCUUGUCAUUGACCAAGUCAUGAAGAACUCCCACUGCCGCGAUCAAAAAAUGGAGGCCUACUGCGACAAAGUUUGGCGCUUGGAGGAUAAGUUCCACGGGCUGGAACUCAACCAUGUUGCUCGACGGUACAACGAGACCGCGGAUGAGCUGGCUAAAAUAGCCUCGGGGCGAACGAUGGUUCCCCCGGACGUCUUCUCUAGGGACAUAUAUCAACCAUCCGUGAAACUCAACGACGCGCCCGAGCCCGACGAGACCUCGGCCCAGCCCGAGGUACCCUCGGCCGCCGAGGGUGAGGCCUUGCGCAUCGAGGAACAACAGAAUGGGGUUGCGCCAAACCAAAACUAGCAGACCCCGUACCUGCAAUAUCUCUUCCAAGGAGAGCUGCCCCUUGACAAGGCCGAAGCUCGGCAACUGGCUCGGCGCUCCAAGUCGUUCAUUUUACUGGGUAAUGAAAAAGAGUUGUACCACCGCAGCCCCUCAGGCAUUCUCCAACGAUGCAUAUCCGUCGCCCAAGGACAAGAGCUGCUACAAGAAAUACACUUGGGGGCUUGCGGUCACCAUGUAGCACCUCGGACCCUCGUCGGAAACGCUUUCUGACAAGGUUUCUACUGGCCGACCGCAGUGGCCGACGCCACUAGGAUUGUACGCUCCUGCAGAGGGUGUCAAUUCUACGCGAGACAGACGCACCUGCCCGCUCAAACCCUGCAAACAAUACCCAUCACUUGGUCGUUUGCCGUAUGGGGUCUAGACCUCGUCGGUCCCUUGCAGAAGGCACCCAGGGGCUUUAAGCACCUGCUGGUCACCAUCGACAAAUUCUCCAAGUGGAUCGAGGUCCGACCCUUAACCAGCAUCGGGUCCGAGCAGGCGUGGCGUUCUUCACAAAUAUUUAUCCAUCGCUUUGGAGUCCCGAACUCCAUCAUCACCGACAAUGGCACGCAGUUCACUGGGAAGAAGUUCCUGGACUUCUACGAAGACCACCACAUCCGUGUGGACUGGGCCGUCGUAGCUCACCCAAUGACAAAUGGGCAGGUGGAGCGCGCCAACGGUAUGAUUUUGCAGGGACUAAAGCCGAGGAUCUACAACGACCUCAAUAAGUUCGGCAAGCGGUGGAUAAAGGAACUACCCUCGGUGGUUUGGAGUCUGAGGACGACGCCGAGCCGAGCCACGGGUUUCUCGCCGUUCUUUCUAGUCUAUGGGGCUGAGGACAUCCUACCCACGGACUUAGAAUACGGUUCCCCGAGGACAAAGGCUUACGACAACCAAAGCAACCAGACCAACCGAGAAGAUUCGAUGGACCAGCUGGAAGAAGCUCGGGACGUGGCCUUACUACACUCGGCGCGGUAUCAGCAGUCCCUGCGACGCUACCACGCCCGAAGGGUUCGGCCCCAAGGCUUCCAAGUGGGAGACUUGGUACUUCGGCUGCAACAAGACGCCCGAGGGCGCCACAAGCUUACUCCUCCCUAGGAAGGGCCCUUCAUCAUUGCCAAGAUUUUGAAGCCUGGGACAUACAAGCUGGCCAACGAUCAAGGCGAGGUCUACAGCAACGCUUGGAACAUCCAACAGCUACAUCGCUUUUACCCUUAAAAAAUUUCAAGUCGUUUAUGUACCUCGUUUUCUUUACAUAAGUAAAGUCUAACCAUCAAGGAAGGAUCAGCCUUGCCUCGGCAAAGCCCGACCCUCCCUCGGGGGCUAGAAGGGGGGAACCCCCUCUGCGUCAAAAAAUUUCCUCGGAAAAGUCUUUUGCCAGAAUGUCUUUUCGCGCUUUUCAACUAUGUCGAUAACAGAAUCUUGAAAACGAGCGAGAGAGACCUUGAGCGGCAAGGCCGAUCAAGCCGAGGGACUCCUACACCUCCGGGAUAUGGAUACCUCACUCAUCACCUUCCGCGAAAAGUAGCUCACGCUCGGAUAAGCGAUUCUGCUACCGAACAAGUCCUAACACUCGGAAACUUUUCUGCCAAAACGACUUUCGUGCCGUUUCGACUGCGUCGAUAACAGAAUCCUAAAACCGACGAGGGACCACGUAAGCAGCAAGGCCGACCGAGCCGAGGGACUCCUUUGCCUCCGGGAUACAGAUACCUCACUCAUCACCUUCUGCGAAAAGUGACUCACGCUCGGACAAGGGAUUCUGCUACCGAACAAGUCUUAACACACGAAACGAGAGGAAAGAAAAAGCAGCUUUAUAAUAUGAUGUUAAAAUGUUUAGGCCUCGGCGGCCGCAAAAAACAUACGCAUACUUCAAGCAAACUGUUCUUGCAGGCUCAGACAUCGGCUGGGGGAGGAGCGGCACCCUCGGCGUCGUUUCCACCUUCGGCAAGAUCUGGCACGGCCCCAGGCGGCGACACGGGCGGAAGGACCUCCACCUCGAAGGAGGAAGCCAGCGCCGCAGUUGGACCCUUGACAGCCGCGUCAAGCCUCUGGACCUCGGCUUAGGCAGCCUCCUCAUCGUUGGGUAAGCAGUACCCCUCGCUAACCCGCUCCAGAUCCACGUCGUAGUGGGAAGCGAGCACGGCGAAGGCCCGCCUAACGCCGUGGUGCAGCACCCCGCGGAGUCUGUUGCGCACAUGGCCGCCCAAGGCCCGCAGAUGACUCUGGGGGGAGCUACCCGAGGGGACACUGUCGAGGCCAAAAGCCUCGCAGAAAGCCGAGAUGGCCUCGGAUAUGGCCACACGCUCGGCCUCCUUCUGCUCAGCUGCCUCGGCAAGCGCCUUGCAGUUCUUGACGGCCUCGUUAAGAGCCGUCUCGAACCCUGCAGAUGGCAGGACAACUUUCUUCAGACGCAAGGUGAAGAAUGGCGACAAAAACAAAGUCACAGAGCGGGCAAAACAUACCCUCGGCCCGGGCACGCUGCUAUGAGGCCAUGCCUCGGGCAGCCCGGACAGACCCGACGACCACGGCUAGACCCUCCGCAAGGGUCCCGGCCCGAGCGGUCGCCUCGGGUCUAGAGAGGGGGAAGCCCCCUCUGCGCCAAAAUUUUCCUCGGAAAAGUUUUUCGCCAAAACCACUUUCGUGCCUUUCGACUGCGUCGAUAGCGGAAUCCUAAUGACGAGCAAGAGAGACCUUGAGCGGCAAGGCCGACCGAGCCGAGGGACUCCUACGCCUCCGGGAUAUGGAUACCUCACUCGUCACCUUCCGCGAAAGGUAGCUCGCGCUCGGAUAAGUGAUUCUGCUACCGACGAACAAGUCCUAAUGCUCGAAACAAGAGGAAAGAAACACGGCUUUAUACCCAAAUGUUCAGGCCUCAGCAGCCACAAAGAACAAACACACGUACUUGGGGGAACAAUGGUACCUAGACUCAGACGUCGGCAGCACCCUCGGCGGCUGUCCCGACCUACGACAAAUGUCUUAGUACUUAAAGCUAUUACAUCUCGCUCUCAAGAGGGUACCAUUGCAAACAGGACUCCAGGUCCAUUCCCGCAGGAAUGAACAACCUCCACACAAGGAGGCCUGCGGGAUAACAAACUCCAGGUGGCUCGCCGGCGACCACUACACUAGCAGAGCGACAACGACCUCCACCUCGGACGGCUAGACAGCAGCAGCGAUGGCCUCAGGGCAAACGCUACUGCUGGAAGGCCCUCGUUCAUGUCCCCUCACGGGGGACGAGAACCAGCCAUUAAAGCCAAAGAGCCGGAGGCCCCGAGCGCAGGUGGCACUGACGGUCUCGUCGGCGGAAGCAACCACCGCUGCGGUGGGAAGCCUCACCAGCGGCGGCCGCCGCUUCAGCACCGGCGACAGCAGCCGCCUGCGCACGGCACGACCGUCGUCCGGAUGGAGGACGGACAGCUGCACCCUGGCCAGGCAGCAGCAGUUCACCUUCCCCCGCAUGGCUGGAGGACGCCUCCUCCGCAGAGCUGGAGGAUGUCCUUCUCCCCUGAAUGCUCGAGGAAGAAGUGGGUCGCCGGCCCACGCGGAGGCAGGCCCCACCUCGGUGCGCCCUCCUCCCCAGCCCGGAUGAUGAACAUCCUUGAUGCUGAGGGCGGGGCAGAGGCCACAGCCCGGCUUGCUUCUCCCCACCACAAGGCUGGUGGUCAUCCCUACGGAUGACCAUUGGUGAGGGACUGCAGCCGGGCUGCAUGAUGAAAAUCCUUGAAGCCGAGCGGUGACUGGGGAGCGCCAACUCCCAUCGGGUCGUGCUCCUGAAACAACAGCAAAAAGAAGGCAACACAGGUGCACCCCAUAUGGGGGCUCCGAAGGUGGAAGGGCACGGAGGCGAGAAGUGUGAAGGCAUGGCUACUGCCCGGGGGAUCGGUCCCUUUUUAAAGGCAGAUCUCCUCACUCGCACCCUCAAGCGUCACAGGCAAAGACUCCACCGACGCGCUUCAAGGUUCUCGCCCUCCGACGCGGGGGCUGACCCGAAACGGAAGAAGCCAAAUCGCCGCACACAAAGCAUGUAACCGCCCCGCGGUUAUAAGCGUUCCCCCAUCCUCGCCGAAACCAGCGGUCGAAAGGGCGGACCGCCACGCAGGAAGCAUGCAACCGCACCACAGUUGUGCGCCCUUUCGGCCCCGUCGCGUCCAGCGGACCAGCAUGGAGGCCCGGGCCCACAUGUCAUGUAACCGGUGCAACGGUUACUGCAUGCAAGGAAACCGCACCGCCACUCGCGCCAAUGCCGCGUCUUCUCGACUGAGGAACCAGUACCGCGACUCGAGGCAGCACUACGCAUGACCCAACAAUGCCAAUUGAGUGCAACGAUCACAGGUCAGUCAGCCAUGGGGAGAGGCGCGAUGGUCGAUAUGACCAGAGGCAGGCUGGCAGUAAUUGCAGCAACAGACGGGCGGAAGCAGCGGUCCGAUCACCUACAGGCUCACACCCUCUCCUGAAACGGCAGGGGAGCCCUCUCCCACGGAGUAAAGACGACACGCCCGUGUUCUGUUCCUCCAACGGCUCGCGCACACGCCAUAGACGCCCCGCGAAUCGCCCGUCCCGUCGCAUUAACUCCUUGGCAGGGCAAGCGACAUCUCCAGCAGGCGAAGCGAGCGCCGUUUCACCUCCGUCAUGAUGACCGCGUCAAAAAGGUGUGCCGCCUUAUUUAAAUUCAUGUCCUUUUUCUUUCCCUCUCUCUCUCUCUCUCUCUUGCCACAGGGACCGGGAAAGGGGGUAUUUCGAAAAAGGACCCUUCCCAGCGAAGGAAACGGGCCCCGAGCCCUCCUACUAAUCAGGGGUUCGAAGGUUGCGCCCUCCGGGGUUCGGCAACCGCCCCAGAGCACUCGGGCUCCAUGCCCUUUACUGAUCAGGGGUUCGUAGGCUGGCCCCUCGGAAGGGUUCGACAGCCGCCCCCGAGCACGCAGAGUCAGGGAUGACCCUGGGUACGUCUAUUACAUGGUCGAGGCUCGGGCUACGCUCCCGAGGUACCCUAGGACAUUUCUGAGACCAGCGGGAACGAUUUUGUAAUGGAAUCCCACCGGAGGGAGGCAUCGAGCCCUCGGACCCUAUCGAAUGGGUCCGGGUCCGGCAAAUCACCUGCAGGUACUUUUGGAGCACGCCUGUGGGCCACUAGCCGACCCUUAUCGAAUGGGGCUCGGGCGUCCACUCGGAUCACCCGCUAGCAACUCACUGGAAACACCAUGUUCGGUGCCCUCCGAGGUAACAUGGCGCUUUCCCCCCCCCCCUUCCUCCUUGCGGAAAGGCGACGAAGGGGCGUACAAUAAAAGUCGAAACGGUCCUUGAUCGUCCUCUCGCUCCGUGCAGAGGCUCGGGGGCUGCUCUCACACCAGGCUACGGCCGAACCAUUGACCACGUCAACAAACCAGCGUGAAAACUCGAAGCCUGACCGUGCACCCGGGCUACGGCUAGGCCGCAUGAGGGAACGACAAGGCCAUCCGAGGCAUCGCAAAAAGAAUUAAGACCUCAGAGGAGUCAAAACCACUCCUCCAAGGCCUCGGGGGCUACACCCGGCAGGUGUGCUCAUGCGCACCCACCGGAACAAAAUAUAACCAAGAAGGGUCGGUCCCCUUGCAAAAAUCUGGCAGAACCUCCAAGCGAGUGCCCGCACUCCCUUUGAGGCUCGGGGGCUACUGUCGGGUACCGUAAUUAGGGGUACCCCCAAUGCUCCUUAAUCUGGCUGGAAAACAUCUUCAGAACAAGCCAUACACGGCUGAUAAACGCGGUUCAAGUCAGGGUCACGUCUGCCGAGGGACGCGACCUCAUCCGAGCCCAGCCUCGGGCGGGAACAGUAGUCCCAGACGGAUUCACGCCUCGCUCGAGGGUCCCCUCAACCAGUAGACGCACCCUCAGCUCGCCCGAAGCCCAGCUUGGGCAGACUUUGUCGUGCAGCAACCUUGGCCAAAUCGCCUUACCAGCCAACCGAAUCGCAUGCGCAUUUACUGCGGGGAUCGCCUGACACCUUAUCCUGACACGCGUGCCUCAGUCGGCAAGGUCGAAGUGACCGCAGUCACUUCGCCCCUUUACUAGCCGAUCUGACUGGAAAACAACGCGGUUCACCCCGCUCCGGCUACCGUGCCAACCACCAGGAUAAAACCGAGUCACGAUCUCCCACGAGUUUGGCCUCGGGCGCAACAGGGAGCUCCGCCUCGCCCGACCUCAGGCCUCAGCCUCAGCCUCGGCCUCGGAAGAAGAUCUCCGCCUCGCCUGACCCCAGGCCUCGGCCUCAGCCUUGGCCUCGGGAGGAGUCACAACCUCGCCCGAGCCCAGCCUCGGCCUCAGGAGAAGUCUCUGUCUCGCCCGACCUGGGCCUCGGACCGACUGUGCUACAGGGGAUACAUUAUUACCCUACUCCUAGCUAGCUGCCUCAGGCUACGAAGGAACAAGACCGGUGUCCCAUCUAAGGCUACUCCGGCAAUAGGUAAUGAUGGUCCCCCUCGUGCGCCCAUGACGUCGGAUCGCUCUCAACCCCCUACGGAAGCAAGACAACGUCAGCAGGAUCCAUGCCGCGCCGACAGCUGUGCUUCUACUAGGCUCAAGGCACUUCUCCGAUGGCCACGCUAGCUCGUGUACAGGGCUCAAGGCGCUUCUCCGCCAGCCACGAUAGCACAUAGCUACACCCCCUUGUAUAGCUGGGCAUCUCCUUGUAUCUAUAAAAGGGGAUGUCCAGGGCCUUCCUAAGGCACGACGCCGCGCACACACGUUGGACACCGCGCACACACGUUGGACGUCGUGGACACACGUUGGACGUCGUGGGCAGACGCGGCAACUCUGACAACGUUGGUCGCUCUCGCCCUCGCUCCCUCGCGCGACGCUUGUAACCCCUACUACAAGCACCCCGGUGUGAGAUAACAUAAGCCACAUUUCCCUCUUGUGUUCCAUCUUGCAUCAACCCAUCUGGGCAGGGACACGCAACAACAAAUUUACUGGUCGGUUGACGGUCCUCGCGGGUCCGAAACGCCGACAGAUAGUGAUACAAAACUUAUUACCAAUACUUUGAACCCGUUGGAGACAAACUUCAUCACCAUUGACUUAGAUAAUAGUAUGAUUUUAAAGGUCAUUUUUUGAUAGGCUUAUCUCCAAAUUGAUUACUACGAAUGCUCAAGGUGUGGCCAUUAGGUCCUCAAGGUUGUUACUUAAAUACGAAUGCUCCCUUGAACCAUCUCUAAAACAUAUAAUCUCUAAAUAUAGAUACUUUUGUACUACCCUAAGCAGCUGAAACUUAAGGAUAAUAUAAGCUAGUUAUAAUAUGUUGGCUUAGUACCCUAGAAUCACUAUUUUUAUUUUCAAUUUUACAAAUAGGGGGGACCUAUGCAUUAUAUUACUUAAUACCAAAACUUUCUAUGACCAAGCAUAUUUGAAGGCUUGCCCUGCUUAUGUGAAAACUUUGCCUAUGCCAAUGAGAGAUAAUAAAAAAAGAGAAGGUAAUAUGCGAACCUAUACAACUAUUUUUUUAUUCAACCACUUGAGUGAUGUUCAUUAUAUUAAUUUAGCAAUAACAAUUGGCAAAAAUAAAUUAUAUUAGGCCUUACCACUACUGGAAAUUUUCUCUAUGAAGUUAACAUAAUAAAAAUGAGAGAAGGAACAUAUUUUCAUGCAAUAAGAGAUUGACUCAACAAAUAUCCAAGCCAACACACCAUGUCUAACUCGAUAUAUAGGAUGAAGGGACAAAUGGAUAAAACAUCUCUAGUAUUCUCAUUUGCCCAUUCUUCUUUGAUCAAGUCCUGCAAUCCUUGGAGUUAGGAUAAAGGAACCAUAUGAUAAAAUUAUGUUGGCAUUCAUGACAAAUGUUUUGUUCAUUGUUGUGAUAAUUGCAACAAGGUUUCUUUAUCUAUUUUUUUGGUAUACACUAUGUUUUAAUCACACAUAUCAAAAUUAUGUUGUCAUUCAUGACAAAUGUUUUGUUCAUUGUUGUGAUAGAUGCAACAAGGUUUCUUUAUCUAUUUGUUUUUGGUAAAAACUAUGUUUUAAUCACACAUAACAACUCUUGAUGAUCAUUGAUACCCUUUUAAACAUAAAUAAACAGAACCACAUGUUUUUAGAUCUAUUUUCUGACUUUGAGCAAAAAAAUAGGUGGUAUCACAACCUGCCUUGAUUUGUUCCACAUCCAUAAUACCAAUAUAAUGUAUUAGUUGUAACCCCUAAGGUGUCACUCUCCAUAGCUUCCACCCAAACAUCAUUGUCUACUAGAUGCUUGGUGAUCACUAAUCCAUCAAACUUCGUUGUUUUUCAAAUCAAAUAGGGCCAACAUUGCCCUUUGUAGAACUGUUGGCUAAAUCUUACGAGGGAUCACCCAACUAUACUUCAUAUUACUUGGUGGCUUAGUUGGGUGCGCAAUGAAAACCAAUUAUCAUUUUUACUUCCAAAAUAUGAAACUAAUACUAACACAAAACACACAUACACAAUUAAAUCAUAGUGUAUGCCCAAAAAUUGUUAUAGAAACAUCAUUGCAAUUCUUAGAACAAUGAACAAAAAAUUGUCAUGAACAACCAUGUAAUUUUAUCAUAUGGUUCCUUAUCCCUACUCUAAGAAUUUCAGGAUCUUGUCAAAAAAGAGUGGGCAUUGGACAAUCCAGAGAUGUUAGUACAUUACUCCCUCCCUCAUAUAUAAUGAGUUGGACAAUUUUUGGUGUAAAAGUGCCCAUCCCUAACCACCAUUUCACCACUACUAAAUUUUGCCAAAUAGGUCCAAUGCAAAAUUCUUCCUCCAAGACAUUCUCUGUCCUAUAUAGAACCUACAUGAAUAUUUUUCUCUAUCACAACUCAAAACUAAGUGUGACAUCUUCACCCACAUGUACAAUAGCUCGUUCCUCUCCUUCUCAUUCCCUAGUGUAUAUUGUUGACCUAAUGCACCUUAGCCUCAUUGAUUUUGUUCAUGUUUCUCAAUCUCAUUGUUCCAUCAUAUUUAUUCUUCUCAUGUCUCCUCCUCCAUAAUGUUUGCAUUCUCAAUGUCCUUGUUGCAUCCUUGGACAUUGUGCCAUACCACUUGUUCUUAGUUUAUGCUCUUCUAUUAGUUGAAAUUGAUUGAUAUCCACAAAUUUUGUUAAAAAGAUUGAGAUCCACAUUAGGUGGUCAGAACUUCACAAACUAACCUCCAUCAAGCGGAUCAUAUAUUAUGUGGAUAAGGGUCGCGCAUGUGUAAAGGUAAAUGUGUCAUGCCAUUAUCACCCAUAUAUUCAGAAAAUACCAUGGGAAGAAAAGCAACUUUUUCUUGUAUUUUGUGCAAAUUGUUUUGUCGACAUAUAAAGUGUAAGAUAAGAAAGUGGCCACUAAAUAUCAAAAUAGACUAGGUACCAUGUCAUCUCUAGUUUAUCUUCUAAUGGUUUUGUUGGGUAAAGAAGAAAUAUUGUUGAUAUACAUGGCCUAUCAUGUGUAUAAAUAGCCAUCAAAUUAGUAGUUAAUCCAUCACCCAUAUUAUUGAUACGAACUAGCAACAUACAUAGUGAAGUACACUAGCAACAUCUUAGCACCAAUGGCAGCCAAGAUUUUUGCCAUCCUUGCCCUCCUUGCUCUUUCAGCAAGCGUUGCUACCGCGACUAUUAUUCCACAAUGCUCACAACAAUACCUCUCUCCGGUGACAGCCGCGAGAUUUGAAUACCCAACUAUACAAUCCUACAGGCUACAAGAGGCCAUCGCAGCAAGCAUCUUACGGUCGUUAGCAUUGACCGUCCAACAACCAUAUGCCCUAUUGCAACAACCAUCCUUAAUGAAUCUAUAUCUCCAAAGAAUCGCAGCACAACAACUACAACAACAGUUGCUUCCAAUAAUCAAUCAAGUAGUUGCAGCGAACCUUGCUGCUUACCUCCAGCAACAACAAUUUCUUCCAUUCAAUCAACUAGCUGGGGUGAACCCUGCUGCUUACUUGCAGGCACAACAGCUACUACCAUUCAACCAACUUGUCAGGAGCCCUGCUGCCUUCUUACUGCAGCAACAGUUGCUUCCAUUCCAUCUACAAGUUGUGGCAAACAUUGCUGCUUUCUUGCAACAACAACAACAAUUGCUGCCAUUUUACCCACAGGUUGUGGGAAACAUUAACGCCUUCUUGCAACAGCAACAGUUGCUACCAUUCUACCCACAGGAUGUGGCAAACAAUGUCGCCUUCUUACAACAACAACAAUUGCUGCCAUUUAACCAACUUGCUUUGACGAAUCCUACCACCUUAUUGCAGCAGCCCACCAUUGGUGGUGCCAUCUUCUAGAUUUUUUUAUGCUUUAUACUGUAAUAAUAAAGUUCUCAUACUGAUAUGUGCAACUUCUCAGUAAUAAAAGAUUAGAGAUCUAUAUUUUAAGUUCAAAUGCACCCAAGUGUGUUCCACCAUUUUUUGUUUCGCUAAGACCAAAUACCAAAACCUUUCAAUCAUAUUAUUGUAUGAACUCUGCAUAACUCCACACUACCACUUACAAACAUUAUGAAGGGGUUGGUGGCUAGAUGGAGGUUGCAACCUAGAGGAUGAGAAGGAUGAUGUGUAAAGGUUGCAUAGAUGGGCUUAGGAUGAAAUCUGUUGUUGGCCUAGAAUGUUGGUAUCUCGAUUAUUUGAGGAUACAAUAUCGAAAGUCCAUGAUAUCGAACAUAUGAUCAAUUUGUUUGUUUUUGUUAGUUUAGUUUUGAUUUCGGAUAUAUUGGUUUGGUUUUUGGUCAAUUAUGUUCACGUCUAAGCAUAAUAUAUGUCCAUGUUUAGAUUCUUAGGCCUAAUAUUUAGUCUGUUAAAUUUAGACUAGACUUUAGACAACUAAAACUUUAAUCACUAAAUUUAGAUUAUAGGACCAUUUGGGUCAGGAAAGUUUAGUUCUAAUUCAAUAUAAAGGCUUACCCCUUGCCGCUUUUGUUGCUAUUCGCACUCCACAUGGCUAUGAGCCAUGUUCUCACUUCUCUGUGUUCGUGUUCAAUUUUUUGUCCUUCUAUUGUUUGCCUAAAAACAAUCACUAAUGGAUAAAUAAAUAUUUAAAAUUUGGUACAAAAGAUAGUUCAACAAAAUGAAGUUUAUCCACAUGUGGAUCAAAAAUACUGCAAAGAAAAUAUAGUUCAAAUAAUAUAUAAAAUUUUGGAGACAUGAUUCUAUACUGGCUUGUGAUUUACAUUACUCUCGCUUAGCAAACAACACGUUAAGGAUGUUGUCAUGGGAGGUGUUUAGGUUAUAUGAUCCUCGAUGCCUCCAUGACAAUUGCCAUCGCUUCGCUCAAAAGAAGACUCCUCAUGCUUUUUUAUGCAUUUUUAAGAGAAUAGGAGGGGCCUUAGGCAGGCCCUGCAAACAAUGGCGUUGCCACGCCCCAUGUGUCUAGCGUAUAAACUAUAUAUAUAUAUAUAUAGUUUAUGUAUUAGGAGCCCUGGGCUCUCUCUAACUAGAGAAAGCCCUGACCCUCACCCGACCAGCCCACAAGAUGUUUUAGAUGCACCGUCUGAUCCAUUCAAUAUGACGUCAACAGACUUUUAUGCUUUGUUGCACACAAGUUUACACUUAUUUUGUCAUACUAUCUGAAAUCGCCUCCUGUACUAUCAUAUAAAACCGACCGCGAUGACUGCUUUGCACGAGAGGACUAGGGUUUCAGCGGCGACGGUUGCACGAGAUGUGAGCGAGUGCGGGGAAGCAGGCACGACGACGCCGGAUGGGCGUGCUAUGAAUCUCUGACCACUGGCUUGGUUGCGGACGCCACCCCACAAGGACGCGGGCAUGGUGGUAUGGGACCUUCCCAUCGGCCAUCUCCUUAGGCUUCACCUCCACUGUCGCCGCUGCCACUACCGAGCCCCAUUCCCCGAUCCAAAGCACCUCAAACCACGGCUCUGCCCAGAUCCAGAUCCACCCAGCGCAACGCGGCCGUGGAAACCAAAUCUCACCGCAGAAUAAUGGCCUCUGUGGUUGCCGCAUGGCCAUCGCACUAGCCAGAGUUCACGAUCGCCGCGCCUCCACCUCCUCGCCGCAGUCGCACUGUCUGUUUGCAGCAGCCACACAACCUGACUGUCUAUUUGCAGCAGUCGCACCUGUGUCCCGUCCGUCUCUACGAUGGUCGUCGCCACUAACGCUCCAGCGUCGGUGGCGCUGUCCCCUACACCCAAGGCCAGCGACAGCAGGAAGGCGGUGGUGCCCGUGGACGCGUCGGAGCUGGAGAAGCACGUGCUGGCGGUGGACGACAGCUUCAUGGACCGUGUCGUGAUCGCCAGGAGAAUCUCAUAAAAAUGCCUCGUGGCGCAACAAGGCGUACUCCAAGCUCUUCUUGCAUGCUACUUAAUUUUGAUUUAGGAGAUAACAUUCAGGUAUGUGUUUUCUUUUCCCUCACUAAUAAGUACAGAGUUAGAGAAACCAUUUAAGUUUGUCCAUCGCUCGAAAGUCCCUACAAAUGGUGCAUUUCUAUUCACUUGAUUUCAUGGCUGAAUAGUAUUUCUUUAUAAUGAAGUACUAGAUAAAAAUUUAGAAAGGUGAUAUGUUGAAUACUCCCUCUAUUUUUUGUUAGAUAAAAAUUACCAGUUUUGACUCAAUCAAUGCCACCAAAGCUGUCAGCGGUAACCAAUUGUUUAAGUUGUGCUUUGUUAAGCAAACCCUGGUGGAGCAUACGAAUGUAAUGACUAAUGAGAGUUUCUUUCUCUGAAUAAUUGAGUUUUGUAAUAAUAUUUAUUUUUACUUUGAAUACAGGUUGUGUUGCAUUUGCAAACCAAAAGCUUCUUAGGAUUCAUUUAGUAACUGCCACCAAUAUUGAGCUUUCAUUUCUUGUUUGUGUAUUUAAAAAGGCUAAAAUUGCCACCAAUAAUGAGCUUUCAUUUCUUGUUUGUGUAUUUAAAAAGGCUAAAAUGUCAUUCUCAGAAGGAAUAAUUCAUAAAUGUUUUUCCAAGUGUGUGUUUUUCUUGUAUAUAUGUUUCCUUGUGACAGGUUGUUGGAGAGGAGCUUGAAGUUUUAACUUGAAUGGAGUCAAUCUGUUUAUCUUAGCUCUUCAGGAACUCCUAAACAUUUCUCAACUGGAAGGAUUAAUUCAUAUAUAGAAUUUGUUUAUGGUCGUGUAUGAUCUACUUUAUGUUUUGGCAUACUAUGAACAAAAAACAAGUGCCUUCUAUGACCAUCGUGAUUUAUACAUUUUCAAACAAAAUUUUACAAUACCUCUUGUUGCAUUUUACGCUUCCACUAAAAAGCAAGUGGCUCAUUCGUCGUUACAAAAUAGAUCGUUGAUUUACGCUAAAAUUCGUAUUCAUUUACGCUGUUUCGGAUCACGUUUUACGCUUAAAUCCACCUAAGCUAGAACCCGAGCACGAUCGGAGCGCACGAUUUUCACGCUGUAAUUUAGGCCCCAUUCGUCGUUACAAUAUAGAUUGAUGAUGUAUGCUAAAAUUUGUACCCAUUUACGAUAUUUUGGUUCACAUUUUACGCUGAAAUCUGACCGAGCCAGAAUCCGUGCACGAUCGAACGUGCUCAAUUUUCGGGCCCCAUUUGCUGCUACGAAACAGGUCUAUAAUUUACAUAAAUUUUGUAUUCAUUUACUCUAUUUUGGUUCACGUUUUAUGCUUAAAUCCACCCGAGCCAGAACCCUAGCAUGAUCGGAGCGCGUGUUUUUUGCGCCGUAAUUUGGGCCUCAUUCGUCAUUACGAAACAGAUCGACGAUUUACGCGGUAACCGUCCCACAUUUAUCGCGAAUUUACAGCAAUACUUGACUAAUUUCAAACCAAUCCAGAUCUACGCACACACUGGUCACGUAUAUACAAUAGCAUAAAUGGUCUGACGUCGCGAUAUUGCAUGGUUUGUGCUGUUACGUUUCAUGUUCUUAUGCAGUCGUAAACACUAAACAAACUUGUAAAGUCGUUCCACGUGAUUUGUGCGUCAGCAGAUUUUUUUGCAUGGUUUAUGCACAUAAUUCAAUCUAUUUAUCCCGGUAUAAAUACUGACGCAUGCAUAGGUGAACUGCCUUCCCAGAUUCGUUGCAUGGUAUAUGCAAAUUCAAUAAUUCGGUUAUACCAGCAUAAAUGCUGACGCAAUCACGCGGUGGUGGCCUAUCCCCGUCCUGGCUGGGGCUUUCCUUACUAAUCGAAGCCCAGGGAUUCCAUUACCUCGAUUCUAUAUAUAUAUAUAUAUAUAUAUAUAUAUAUAUAUAUAUAUAUAUAUAUAUAUAUAUAUAUAUGAUGAGGCUAUUGAGAGCCCUGGGCUUCCAUAGGAUACAAGAAGCCCCAGCUAGCCAUGCAGUACCGCAGCCUGGCUGCGAGCUCACCUCCCACAUGUGUCCAUUCUUUGCAUGCGCACAAUUUGUUUCCAUUUACAUGCGCGAGAAAUUAGCAUGUGUAUCUGUUAACUGCUGCAUGCAUGAAAACAAAAAAAAUCAGAUUUGAAUGCUCUAUUUCAUUUCAUAAAUAUAGAAUCUCUAUAACACUCAUGCAGCUAGAAUCGUUAGAAACAUUUUAUAAAAUAUACUACUACUAACUAUGCUACACAGUUUAGGUAUUUAAGCAAUACGGUAUGUUGCGUAAAAACAGUUUCCUGCUGCAUGUGCAUAAAUUUAGGAUGGCAAUAAUGUGCGUUGAGAAGAAAAUGGAUUGACAUGCAUGGAAACAAAAAAAAAUCUGAUUUUAAUGCUUUAUUUCGUCCAUAAAAUAGGAUCUCUACAACAGCAAUGCAGCAAGGCUUGUUGGAACCAAUUUAUGACAUAUACUGAUACUAAUUAUGCUAUACUGUGUAGAUAUUUAUGCAGUAUGGUACACCACGUAAAAAAUCUGUUUCAUGCUGCAUGCGCACAAAUUUAGGAUGACAAUAAUGUGCAUUGAAAGAAAAUGGAUUAGCGAGCAUGGAAACAAAAAAUCUGAUUUAAAUGCUUUAUUUUGUUCAUAAAAGUAGGAUCUUGACAACAGCCAUGGAGGUAGGAUCGUUGGAACUAGUUUAUGACAUAUACUGAUACUAACUAGACUAAUACUCGUGCGUUGCGAUGGUAUCCAACCAUAUUCGAUGAUAUUGAUUGGAUGACUAGAGUUUUAAUGGACCCUUCACAUAAAAAUACCCAUGAUAAAUGAAUUUAAUAUCAAAGUGAACUUAUUGUUCAUAUACCAGAUAUUGAACUAGUAAAACAAAUAUUACACUUGAUCUUAGCCAAAAGACUGAAAAAUGAGUUGAAAAGGAGCUCCUAUGCUUGAAUUAAAUUAUAGCCAACAUUUUGACUUAGGACUUGGGAGCAAGAAGAUGGUGUAGAUCCGUGCCCUAACCAAAAUCAUCAUUGAGAUUUCAUAGGUAACACAUGGAAAUUCAUUUAUGGUGAUGGCUUAACAAUUUUGUCCAAGUUUAGCAAGACAUAGAAAAGCACAAGUACUCCAACAAGAUCAUUCCUGAAAUACCAUAUACAACAAGUUUAUCAUCUAAUGAUUAACAUGCUUACUGAAAUACAUACUUGCUCUUUCUUUUAGAGUAUCAUAUCAAACAAUAAAACAUUUUCCGCUUUUACAGAGCCUUGUACUCAUUUAUAAUUGCAUUGUUGGUUAGAAGUGGGUGAAGGUUGUUGCGAAAUGGACGGGGUUUGUUGCUAGAGCGACAACUGCGAGAACACUGUUGUGCGAACAAAUAGGAUAUGGAUGGAAUAUGAUCUGUAACCGCGGGUUGAUUUUGAAGAAAUAUAAAGGGUUCUUUGUAAAAAGAUGACGUGGGACGACCGUUGAUACUCGUGCUUUAAUAUAGUAAAGAUUAUGCUACACGGUUUAGAUAUUUAUGCACUGUGGUACACCACGUAAAAAAUAUGUUUCCUGUUGCAUACGCACAAAUUUAGGAUGUCAAUAAUGUGAGUUGAAAGGAAAUGGAUUGAUAUGCUUGGAACCAAAAAAAUCUGAUUUAAAUGCUUAAUUUCCUCCACAAAUAUAGGAUCUCUCCAACAACCAUGCAUAUAGUCUCAUUAGAAUCAGUUUAUGAUAUACACUGAGACUAAUUAUGCUACAUGUCAAAAGUAUUUAUGCACUGUGGUACAAUGUGUACAAAAUAUGUUUCCUAUUGCAUGUACACAAAUUUAGGACGACAAGAAUGUGAGUUAAAAGGAAAUGGAUUGGCAUGUAUGGAAAUAAAAUCUGAUUUUUCAAUCCUUUAUUUCGUCCAUAAAAAUAUAAUCUCUCCAGCAGUCAUGCAGUUAGGCUCGUUAGAACCAGUUUAUGAUAUAUACUGAUACUAAUUAUGCUACAUGUAGAAUGUAUUUAUGCAUUGCGGUACACUACGUAAAAAUCAACAUAUGUUUACAUAAAAUGUGAAUACAAAUAUCAUAAACAUACAAAAGAUGGAAGUAGAUCCAUGAAUUAACAAUGUAUCAUAAAAACCUAUUGAUGUUGGCAUAAAUAUGUAUACAAAAUAGCAUAAAAACAGGGUCGUCAAUUGCCACCGCUCGCCGCCUAGGGAAGUCCGUCGUCGUCGCUCGCGCCUAGGGAAGGUCGGCGUCGUCGCGGGAGGUGGGACGCUAGCGGCCGCCACUCCAGGGCGUGCGCCUCCAAGGAGCUGACAUCAUGCACGUGCCUCUGGGAUCCACCGUUGUGUGCGCUUCUCCAAGAUCUGCCGCCACUGCGCUCCCUCAGGGCCACCACUAGUGCUGCCAAAGCCUACCGAGCCUUGCACAACCACCGUCACCACCAGGCCCAGGCUGCGCUGCCGCCGCUCGUCCGGUUCGGGAGUGCCGUCGGUGCUUGCCUGUCUGCAUCAGGAGCGUCGCCAUCGCUCGAUCCUGGGGAGCGUCACCGCCGAUCGCCCGCCUCGACGCUCCACCGCCGCUGACCCCUUGGAUCACCGCCGCUCGCACGUCCGAGAAAACCGUCGUCGUCGCUCGCUCACUCGAGGGAACCGCCACCCCCGCUGAAACCUAAUCCCUGGCGACCUAGGGAUGUUUUUAUAGCCGCCCGAACCUGGUGCGGCUGAACCAGAUGGCACCGUUGAGCCAGGGCUUCCUCUAGUUAUUGGAUGUCCAGGGCUCCAAAUAUACAAACUAUAUAUAUAAUAAGAAAUAUCUAAAAAUAUUGUCUUAUAGUUUAUGAUUUUAUGUGUUUAGGCCUAUUGCCUCAAGAACUAUCUAACAAUGUUUUGGGAUGGCAUGCUAAAUAGACAAUUCAAUAAUAAAAUUGACAAUCUGACAUUCGAUCGCUCAAAUUCUUCGAUGGAUGUGGCUCGUGAGAUGCCACUGGAUGCUAGACUACCGGGUAUAGUAUUAAGACAUCAAUUAGUCCUUCCGUCUCAUAAUAUAAGGUGUAACUACUUUUUAGUCUUGUCCCAUGAUAUAAGGCACGUUCUCUCUAGAAACACGUACAUUGAUGCAGUAGUACUAGUGUUGAUAGAGAGAGUUGAAUACAUUUCUUGGUCUUUGAACGAGAGAUGAUUACGCCUUAUAUCAUGAAACAGAGGGAGUAUAUCUCUUAGAAGGUCUCAGCUAAAAGUUAGAUAAAUCUUGUUUUCAUGCCUACACUAUAUUUUAUAAACUAUUAAUAGAACUUUUCAUCUAUUUUAUAUUACAGUUUAUGAAUAUUUUUAACUUAAUUUUAAAAUUUAAGAUUUAUUAUUGUUUUAAUGUAAUCUUUAAAUAUAGGAUUUAUUGUGUAAUUUAGUGUAUGCAUACCAAAUAAUGUUCAAAUUUUAAAACUACCACUGAAUUAUCAAAUGGUUUGACCAAAAUAGUUUGAUCGAAUGUAUAUAUAAAUUGUCGGCACACUCUAUAGUAAAUUCCUGGAUACGCCACUGCCUGCAAAGAUGUAUUAAAAAGGACCAAAGUUACAAGGAAGACAAAGAAGAGGGGAAGGGAAAAUCACUCGAGACAAAAUACCAUAAUACCAUAAAGAUAGUCAUCAUCAUCAAGCAUCAUCAUAAAAGUAUCCACAGAAACUCUAAUCAAAGGAGCUCCCAAGGCUGCUCAUAACCGCGAGCACGGCUGAUAUACCAGUUUCACUCUGCAGAGGUUGCACACUUUACCCACGAGCGUGAUUCCUUUUCUGCCCGGAGAGCGCUACUCCCCAUUGACCACUACCUAGGUGGUCUGGCAGGGUAUCACUACGUAGCCUUUACAAAGAUUCCCCUGGUGUGUAGUUGCUCGUUAGGUUUCGCCAGACAUACAAACAUAGUACUCCUCCCUAAGGUGGAUGACUAACAAAACCAAAUUGAAUGAACUUCGGCACCCACCCUUAGUACAGCAAGCACUAUGCCCUGGCCCCCAUUGACUGCACAACGGCGAAGCCAACUACACCCCCAAGUUCCUCCAAUUAAUUAGCUAAGGGCUACUCAUUCCACUCUCAUGGUUGUACUGUUUUCCCGGGUGGUCAUCCAGUGAACAGGUCCUUAAGAAGAGGUACUCGGGAGACAGCCGAGCCCCCUAAAAUAUCACAUGUUCACCAUCAAUCAAGAUAGCAUCAUCGUAUCAUAAAUGUUGUCAUCAUGUUAUUGAUUAAAGUAAAGAAAUAGCAUAAUAGUAAUCAUAGUAACCAAUUCCCAAAGGGUAAACAAGGACAGGAAAACAAAAUACUAGUCAAUCCUUAAGUUGAUCAUGGUAUGUGGGUGUAACGCCCUGAAUUUGGGGUAUAAAUUUUUUUUCUCCAAUAUUCACCAAAUUCAGGCAUUACUCUCUUUUUCUCUUCCUGUUUCGCUCCUUCCUCCUAUUUUCAAAGCAAUAUAGAGACUGGUGUCCGUAUCGCGUGUAACCAAAACCUAAGUUGAUAUUGUUAUUGCAUCAUGCUAGAGCAUAUUUAUUUUGUCUGAUGUUGUGCCUAGGCGUGCGUUCGUCUAGUUUUGGUGUUCGAUUCGCGGAUUGAUCUUGAUUAGAAGUAUGCGAGAUCGAGUUGAGGGAAGUCGGCCCAGCCCUGGCGCGUGGCCCGGGCGCCCCCGCCCUUUCCCCCAUGCGCGCCCCUCCCCCAUUCUAUCUUUCCCGCGCAAAGUAACCUCCCUCCCUCUCUUCCACCUCUCUCCCUACCCUAGGGUGGAUUCCGGUGAGCGGUUGCUGCCGUCCGUCGAGCCCGUGGUGAGUUUCCCCUCUCCUCCCUCCCUCUCCCACGCGGCCGCUGGCCGGCCUUACCCCUGGCACGUGUGGCCCUGCUCACCGGCCGCUGCCCCCAUGCGGCCCUGCCCGCCGGCGUGCCCCCUGUCCGCCCCCUCCCCACCGGUGUAGGCCCCCCACCCGACCCCGACCGCCCCUGUCCGGCCCGCAGUGGCGUGCCGCUGUCCGGCCACUUCCCGCCGGCACACGGUCCCACCUGCCCGGCCGCCCUCGUCUAGCCCCCGGCGGCGCCCCCCGCUCGGCCGGUCCGGCCCGGCGGCGCCCCCUAGCACGCGGCCCUCGGCGCCCCCCAUCCGGUUUCGCUCGGCCCCCUCGCCGGCCGCCGCCGCUUGGCCCUCGGUCCCGACGCGGCCUGCGUAGCCCCCUCCACGGCUCCCAACGCGGCCCCAGCGUGGGCGGCUUUGACCCCGGCGCGGCCUUGGUGCGCGGACCGGUCUCCGUGCACGCAUCGCCGCAUUUUAAACCCCGUUGUAAUCACGCGUUGUGUCGCGCGCUUCCCCACGUGACAACUCUUUUUAAUUCCGUUUAAGUAGCGUGUUGUGUCACGCGUUGAGCCGCGCGACAAUCCUUUUAAUUCCAUUCGAGUAGUGUGUUGUGUCGCGCGCUUCGCCGCGCGAUGAUCCUUUUAAUUUUACCUAGAAUUUUGUAUAUUAAUUAAAAGUGUGUAGUGUAACGACGAUUAAUCAAAUAUCAAACUAAUUAGGAUCUUGUGCCAAUUUUAUUUAAUGAUUGCACAAUUAUCGAUUAAUGUUAUUAUGUUGAGAUAAGUAUUUUAAUCCAUAGCUACUGAACGUAAUUACUAUGUCUCUCGGUCGUAGCCUCGAUCGUUGUAGUUUCUUUUCUCGCAUAGUCGUAGAUGCGAGUCCUGCGCCACACGUCUGUUUAGUCGCAAUAUUAUAUUGUGUGGUGUAUUGUUUCUUUCUAUGUUAAGAAUGUGAAAUGUAUGUUUGAACUCGUAUAGAUAACGAUCCAUUGGUGGAGUCCGAAGGAGUUGCGGGCGAAGACCUUGAGCAGCAGCUGGUUGGUGAAGGCAAGUGUCCUCUGGCCUAUCUAUGUCCUACUCAUUUUAUAAUUUAUCUUCCCGCAUUUACAUAAUUUAUACCUAAGGAUUUACUUGUCUUUGUUUAUCCUGUCCUUGUUCACCUAUUUGGGUUGGAUCAUUUUUGGAUUAGCUCUGUGCUAGCGCUUUACAUUAAUCAAUGAACAUGAUGAGAUUAUUUAUGAUACGGUGUUUACUUUUGAUUAUGAUUAUGGCAUUGUGACAUUUAAAGGGGCUCGAGCGGUUUCUCGAGUGCCUCUCCGUAUGGACUGGUUCGUUGGAUGACCACCCGGGAAAAAAAGUACAACCAUAAGGGUGGUAUGGGACGCCCUUAGCUAACUAAUUAGAGGAACUGAGGUGUAGUUUGCUUCGACGUCGUGCCAACAAUGGGGCUCGGUGUAUGCGGCUCGUUCAGCCGAGGGUGGUUUGCCCCUUGGGGAGGAGUGCGGUACAUUUAGGAAACCUGACGGGCGGCUACAGCCUGAGGGAAUCUUUGUAAAGGCUUUGUAGUCAAUCCCUAGCCAUUCACCUCGGAAGUAAAUAAGGGUCUUGCAAGCUCGGGCUAAAGAGGGAAUCACGGCUCGUGGAUAAAGUGUGCAACCUCUGCAGAGUGUUAUGAAACUGAUAUAUCAGUCGUGCUCACGGUUAUGAGCGGCCUUGGGAGCUCCAUUGAUUAGAGAUACUAUGAUUACAAAUGAUGAGGAGGAUAAUUAUGGUUUUAAUGGUUAUGAUUAUGAUUAUAGUUUUUGGUAUUCUUUCCGUUUGGAAGGAGUACUUUUGGGCUAAUAACUUGGGUUUAAUGCUAAAAUUUGGCUCUCUACUAGUAAUAAUUACCUAACAAACUAAAAGCAACUGCUUUGAUCCUAGCCCCACAUAAAGCUAGUCCACCUUAGCCAAAUGGGACAAUUGCUGAGUACGUUGAUGUGUACUCACCCUUGCUUUACAACACCAAUGUCACACCCGGAUUUAAGGGAUAAAGCUGUCUGCAUCUCACAUGUGCGCCAAAGAAGAACAUCACAUAAAUUAACAAAGUGUAUAGAGAUAAAUGUCACAAUCAUUAUUACAUAGCGGAAGAGUCUUACAAAAAUAAAUGAUAACAAUAAAACGAAUUAAAUAAUUAUUCCUUGGCACCAUCAAGCUGACUCGGAGACGCCACCUAGAUAAGCUCAUACUCCUCGUUGUAGGUCUCCUCUUGGACCAACUAUUCUUCUCUUGUGGGGGGAUUUAUAUAUCACAAGGGUGAGCUCACAAAAGAUCAUAGCUCAGCAAGUUGUGGGGAAUAAUGUGCAUGAACUCACCAAAGGUGGGAGCCCAUAUGAAGUGUAAGGCUGAGCAAUAAAUAGUGGUUGAAGCUGAGCAUUGCUUUUAAUAAGUUGGUCAAAUUUUAUUAGCAGUUACUAAAUGUAAGUGUAUACCAACCCAAAGUAAUAGUAGAUCAAAAUUAAUAACAAACAACAAUGCGAUGCAAAUGACAAAUUAAAUUUACUUCCAUAAAUUAAUCAUGUGAGUGUCUGAGCCGCUCCUAUCCGUGAGCACGACUGAUAUACCAGUUUUACACUCUGCAGAGGUUGCACAUCUUUACCCACAAGUCGUGUUAUCCAUUUGCCAAGGGAUCGUGACUUCCCAUUCAUCUCUAUCGAGGAGACGAGGGAGGGUAGUACUAUAAGGCCUUUCCAAAGUUCCACUAGUUUCAGAAAACUCGCUACGGAUUCAGGAAGAAGGAAGCAUAGGAAUCCCCCGUCCGAAAAGCCAGGCAGUCCGACCCGAGAACCCCCAUAUACUCUACAGCGACGCCUCCCCGCUUGCCCCUUUCAGGUAAGGUAAUCUCUCCCUAGUUUUCCUAAUUACUUGGCCAAGGAUGUCCCAUUGCACCCUUGUGGUAGCACUGUUUUUCCCGGGUGGUUCUCCAUGUUCCAAUUAACACAGUAAUCUUAUCAUGAACAAUAAAUAAUCAACAAUAAUAAUAAAGAAAAUGAUCAUGUGUCAAAUUUUUCUCCACCCAAAACCACAUAUAGCAAUAGCAAGACUACCCAAAAAGUUCAGUGGUGAUCAAGGCACAAGAUAAAUCAGACUAGGGUGACCUAUUGGGUCCCAUUAGAAUUAAGCCUAAACAUGCCAUAGUGAUUAUAAAGAACAUUAUUGGGUAAAUAAAGGUGGUCAAGGGCACAACUUGCCUUCAACGAGCUCCUGCUCAGAAUUAUCCACCUGCUGAACACAUGUGUCCUCAGUGGUUUGCUCGUCUACUCGCAAUAAUACAAACAAACAUGGUAUAGGAGAAAUUAACAUCACACCAAACAUGAGAUCAUACUGCAUAUUAAUAUUCUACGCAUCGCAACGAGAUCGUAGGUUCGAGAAUCACUAAAUUCGGAGUUACGGUUAUCGAGUUCUGAUUUACCGAAGUUAUUAAGUGUUUGGUACAGAAUAUACUAGGCGAGUAAUUCUAAUCUAUGUUUCAUGAUAAAACAGAGUUACAAGGUGAUAAAUAAUAUUAAUGCCAAAUUAAUGCAACUGGAAUAUAUCAAAAAGGAAUUAAAAUGGAUUUAUUAUGAUUUAAACAAUUUUCUAGAAUUACUUUAAUACAAAAACUCAUUUUCUAUAUUUUUUAUUCCAUUUAACUGCUCUCUGGACUGCGCUCAACAAUACUGGAAAGUACGGGGGCUAACUUAUAAAAUUCUGAGGACUUAGAUUAAAUGCUCCUCAACACGUAAUGGACUGCGGGUUGAUUCCUACCUAUUCUAGGGGGUUCUUUUGCAAAAUGACAAACUGCCCGAAAACUCAGUCGUCCAAUCUAAAACCGAGCGUCAGGAUUAUACCUACGCCCCGCGAACCGGUACAUGGAGGUGGCCGUCGGAUCACAAAUCGACAGCCCAGAUUCAAUUUACUUCGAUUGAUUCUCACAUGCACGAUCUAGAAUGAACGGUUGAGAUUUAAAACCCAAAAGAUCUAUCCUUGAGCGCCCGAUGUUUGAUCAACAGUGCAGAUCCGACCAAUACUCAGCAUUACAAUGAUAUGAUCUCGACUGUUUGAUUGGAUCUAACAGUCCACUGGAUCUCUUCCCCACCCGACACCGGCCACGCCAAACACACCGUCGAUGAACGGUGGCGGUCCUGCCAGCGAAGGACUGUCAGACGACCCAGGCCCCCAGACCAUACCCGAAAAUGGUCUACGCGCACCGCAUGGCCUAGCGAACUAGGUGAGGUGGAGAUUACCGGCUAUUAUCUGGUGGUGAUGUCCGGCCACGGCAAAGGGCAGUCUGUGGCGGCGCUACACUUCUGACGACGAAUUUCCGAGGCCUCGGCUGGACUUCCUCCGAUUAACCUUUCACACAGCAACCACGAAGCUAGACCAACCCCCCCCUCGCUAUCACUUCCAGGGCCUGAAUCCUGCCACUACCGUGAUUCCGUGCAGGGCCGGCCCUAAGCCCAUGCAACAGAGGCGACCGCCGGAGGCCCAAAAGUAAUAGGGCCCAAUAUUUAGUAUCUAUAUCACAAUAUAAUACACUAGUUUACACUUUACAAAACUCAUCCAACCAAAUAAUCCACGCACCCAUAAUCUUUACUAAAUCCACCAAACAAAUUGCACUCAUACUUACACAACAUCAAAAUCAAUGGUUGAGAUCGUUGAAUAACAUCAUCUCUAUUGCACACUCAAACCUAAUGGAAAAAAAUUAUUUGGAUCAUCCUUCAGCCCUCCCCUCCUCACGUCCACACCACCGUCAACACCUCCCCUCGUGCCACCACCGUCGUCGUUCACCGCACUCUUCCCCUUCUUAGGAACGUAGCAUUAGCACAAACUAUAUACUAGUAGUAAACUAGUAUAGGUAGCUAAAAAGCCGGUAGGAGUGGGCACACGGACGCCCGACACACACUGACCACGCGACACAUGUUGCCCACUGCCCAGUCAUCACGUUCACAUCGUCGCGCGUCUGUGCGACCAUACCCUCCACGUGAUUGUCGUUCGUCAUCUUGCCAAUCCAACCCUCCAGGAUUCCAAGGCGCUGGGCGCCACUGCUCCAUCCUCCAGGCACGGAUGGUCGAGCAAUCAGGAUGCAUGUUAUUUUGUGGCCGUCGUUCUUAUUUAUCAACUUACAAAGUGCUAAUCUGCACUGAUGUAUAUUAUCUAGUGUUGGGGACUUGUUCUCAAAUGCUAUGAGUUAAGAACAAGGCAACACAGAAAAUGUCAAAUGAUAAAGUCCUUCGUCCUUCGAAGCAUUAUUUCCCUUAGGAUAUAAUGAUUUUCGGACGAAGGUUAUGAAGGACGCACCUUCAUAAGCACAACAUACGAUGAUGAAGAAUGAAUCAUAUAAGAUAUAAAGAAUAAUAUAAAUAAUUAUAUGUUAUUAUCAACUUAACUCUGCAUUAUUAUUAUGAAAAAACAGAAAUGACAUCAAAUUACAAAUGUACCUUCGGCUUGGAAAGAGAUGAAAGUACAAGUAUGACGCAAAAGCAAAAAUGCCCAGUCCGCGUGAACAGUACGGAGGUACUGUUCACCUAUUUAUAGGCACGGGACGCAGCCCAUACAAAAUUACAUUCAUGUCCUUUACAUUUGAUAAUAAUUCUAUAGUAAUCCACUGAGGUCUGAAUGGCCUUUUCAUCUUUAAGUCGGUUUCAUUUUCUGCUACCACGCCGAAGCUUUCCCGCUCACAUCUUCGGCGCUGUAUCAACCUUCGUAUUAUUUUGGGCUUCUCCUACUGUGAUAUCGACUCGAGUCCGAAGAUACCUGUUCACACAUUAUACUCCAGAAAUACUGUUAAAUCCUGUUUUUGAGGACCUUCAUAAGUCGAAGGCCCCCAACAGUAGCCCCUCGCAAUAUUAAUUUGUUUAAAAUAAUAAAUUUAGAUUGCGACAUGGACGAAGGCUUUAAGCCGAAGGUCUGAAAAAACACCUUCCCUUUGCUAGAAUAGCAACAUUCACUGACAGGCGGGGUCUUUCAAUUUUCAACGCACUGGGCGUAUAAAUAAGAUCAUACCGCAAGCUCAUUUGGCACGCUCUCUUGCCAUCUGCUCCCGCUCACUCAAUUUUUAGCUCUUGCGCAACAAGAUUUGCUUAGCUUUUUAAGUUUUGAAGCUUCGGCAUUGAAAACAGUUUUUUAGUGUUUCCGAAGAUGUCUGAAGAUAAGAAGGCUGCUGCUGAGAUGAAGCUAAGUCUCGAUGAAGAGAAGAAUCUGGGGUUUCUUAUAGCAAUGUCGAAGACCAAUACAGAAAAAAUCACCAAAGAGAUUUUAGAAGGUUUGUCUGAAGAUACUGGUGACAGCGACAAUUAUGAUGUGGAUAGUGGUGGUGAAGACUCCGAAGAUCGCCCUUGGCGACCAAGCCAUGCGGUUUUCGGCAAAUCAAGUAUCAAAGAAAAUCAUCUUGUCAACAUGAGAGGAAGGUAUUUUCGGGACUUGUCCGUUGUGAGGGCCGACGAAGGAGAAAAGACUUGUCCGAAUCCUGAAGAAAAUGAAGUCGUAGUGUACCGAAGCUUUUUGAAAGCUGGACUACGAUUUCCCCUGAGCAACUUUGUCGUAGAGGUGCUGAAAAUAUUCGAAGUCUAUCUUCACCAACUUACCCCCAAAGCAAUCAUAAGGCUGAAUAUCUUCGUGUGGGCCGUGAGAAGCCAAGGUCUGGAACCUGAUGCGAAAAGUUUCUGCAAUAUACACGAAUUAUCAUACGAGACAAAACCUUGAGGUAAGGAGCAGUAUCACAAUAAUUUUGGCUGCUACAAUUUUGUUUCUCGGUCUGGGUCAAGCUGUCCCGUGCCAACCUUUCGGAAGAGAUGGCCCGGCGACUGGAUGACAGAAUGGUUUUAUAUGAAGAAUGACCUGAAAGCACGAGAAGAUAUUAAAGGUAUAAUUAUGCGCCCUAUUUGGCAAAGCUUCGGCCUGCGGAGACCGAAGGUUGAUAUGAAUGAAGCUGCCGAAGAAUGCCAGAGAGCCUUCGGAGUUAUUUGUUCUUUUAUUGGAACGAGAGAUUUGGUCCAAGAGCAUAUUGCCUUCAGAGUAUGGCCGCUCGCGGAAAAAUGGGAAAUGCCGCAAGAGACCAUAAAGGAGGCUGACGAAGGUGGUCUUAUCAGAUUGAAGUAUACUUUCAAGUUUGGAGAUAAAUUCGUUGAGCCAGAUGAUGACUGGCUAAAAAGUAAUGAAAAUUUAAGUGAUGAGCUGCUUGGGGCUUACUCGAAGGCCGAAGAUACUGCAUUGUCAGCAGCCUUCGGAGGCCGGAAAAAGAAAAGAUUGAACCGAGUAUUUGACGCAAUUGGGUUCGUCUACCCUGACUAUCGUUAUCCCAUUCGAAGGCAAAAAAGAAAAGGCACAACUUCUGCGAAAGAAGAAGCUGCAGCUGCUCCUAGUGAGCCAGCACCGAAAAGAAAAAGGAUAAAGGUCCUCACACAUCGGCCACGCUAUAUUGAACCAGCCUCGGUGCCUGAAUUCACCGGAGAAACCUCUUCGGCCUCCGAGACUGAACAACCAACCUUGCUGUUGCCGGAAAUCGCAGAAAUGGCCGAAGCGCCAACAAGGAUAGAAUUGGAAGAACCAAAGAUUUUGUUACCAGAAACCGAAGAGAUGGCCGAAGCGCCAUCGAUAGAAAAAAUGGAAGAAGUAAAAGGACCAACUGAGGGAUCAAAAACAUCAGAAGUUUUAAGUCCUUCAGCAAAUGUUGAGACAAUAAAAAAUCAAAAGGUGCCAGCAGUGACUCCAAAAAGAAAGAGAAUGGUCAAUGUGCUAGAUGUUCUGGAAACAAUUAAAUCCUCAAGCACACCUCCGAAGAAGACUGUUGCCAUUCCCGAAGCUAAAACUGAAAUUUCUGAUAUUAAGGCUCCAGAGCAAGAAACUGAGGCUGAAGCUGGGCCCUCAGAGCCCACGAAGGCAAAAUCCUUGGAAACCGAGGAAGAAAAAAUGACAGAGCCAAUUCUUGUUGAAGAAAUCAGUGCUGUUGCCCCCGAAGCAUCCCCCAAAGUUUUUGAUUAUAUUGUUCGUCAUGCUUCGGGGAAAAAAUUAUCAGAAAAAGAAAAGCAAGAGGCCCAGCUUUACGCCCAAAAACUGAAGUAUCCAAAGGGGGCGUUAAUAUUCAACGGUAGUGGAGAAGAAGACUUUUUGUAUUGUCUCCCUGACAGCAAGGAGAUUUCUGUCUGUCGGGAGAUGAGCAAGAGCUUCGGAUUCCCAACACUAGAAGACGGGCUCUCGGUGCUGUCGAAAAACGAUCUGGCCGACAGCCUGGCCUAUAAUAGCUUAAAGGUGCAACAAAUGGGAUCUUUGUAUUUUUUGUUGAGACCAAAAUUUUUCGUUUGCUUAAGUCUAUUGACGCACGCACAUUUUUCUUUGCAGGGCCUGAUACUUAGCAAUGCCCUCAGGGCCCAAAAAGAUGCUGAAGACGAAGGGUGCGCUAUAGCCCUGAGCAACCUUCGUUCUGAAGUAAUUGAACUGAGGAACGAAGGUCUCGAAAAAGAUAAAAUAUUACAUUCAUUGAUAAAUAGAAUAAAAGAAGACGAAGCUACUUUUAAAGGUCAAGCUGAGGCUCAGAAGCGUGAAAUUGAAGAUCUUCGAAAACAACUGGCCAGAGCCAAAGAGGAACGCAUACUUGAAGAAACGAAGCGAGAACUCAGCGACCAAUGGGCAAAUCAUUUAGAGGGAACUGUUGAAGAGCUUCGUUCGUCCAAGAAAAGAUACUAUAACAAAUCUAUGGAGUGUGUUAAGAAGUUGAAAGCUAGCUUCGCCAGCGUCGGCGCAUUCUCGAGCGAGGAAAACUUUACAAGAGGCAACCCCGAAGGUCCCAUUGAAUGGAUUAAUCACGAGGCUGAGGCCUUCGAGGAAAUUUUAAAUAGCCGCGGAGACAUAUGUGCUUUCUCGGGUGCCAGGGGGAUUGCCUCCAUUUUGGAGAAAAAGGGCUGCGAGCAUGUAAAGAUUUUAGCGCAAUCCGAAGCUACCUUGUCCUUCGAAGAUGCAAGAGAUCCUUCAGCCGAAGCUAGUAUGGUUGGUGGAAGAUUUUUCACCGAUGUCUGGGAUAAUGGUGGCCCAGAAAUGGCCCGAAAAAUUAUCUGAAAAAGUGAAAAGGGAAUUCACGAUGCUAGAGAAGUAGCUGAGGCUGCUGAAAAAAGCGCAGAGCCCGAAGGGCAAAUAGGUAUUAACUAAUGGUUUUUAUUGCGUUGUAAUUUUGGUUUUAAACUUCGGUCGCAAUUUGUAAUAGCAAUGUAGCCGUAUCCUGUCCUCCUUCAGAUCCUACUAAAGCGUCUCCGGGCCCUCACCCGAAAGGAGAUGAUGAAAUUAAAAAGAUGGCUGAAGCUAUCAUGGAUGAAGUUGUUAAUCGGCUCCUAAACGAAGCUGCGGAAGUUGUUCUGAGAGAAGAUUGAGUACUAUUGUAAAAACUUCUGAAAUGUAACAUGUGUAACAUCUUGUAGCCCUGAAUAUAAUAUACUUGUUUUUAUUGUUCAAUUCUUUACGAUGCAUGAAAUUUUACAUACGUACCGUUUGAGUCUUUGACGAAAAAACACCUUCCCUUCUUUUCAUGCUUCAUGAAGAAGAAUUUUGAUUUAUCACAACAAUAUCCGUAGUGUUCUGAUGAAUAAUAUCCAAGCUUCGUGAAGAUAUUUUCCGAAGCUACACUUCCGAAGAUCGAUAGUGUAUCUCCUUACGACUUAGCAUGAUUUUCUCCUUUUUCAAAACCUUCUUCUGAAGAUCAAUAUUGUGUCCCCUUCUUUGUGCCAUAUGCAGCAUGAUGUAUGAUGCUUAUGCUAUGCGAGAUGAUGUGAUGAUGUUAUGCUAUGUAAGAUGGUAUUUAUUCCGAAGACAGACGCACAUCCCUGCGAUAAAACACAUAAUCUUUUUGAAUCAGCGUUGACUUUUUGCUAUAAGCCUCCCUUAGGAGCUUCUUCGCCUUUUACUUCAGCGGAAUCAGCGUUUAUUUUUCGCUGUAAGCCUCCCUUAGGAGCUUCUUCGCCUUUUACUUUCAGCGGUAUUCGCGUUGACUUUUCGCGCUUCGCCUUUUACUUUAGGCGGUACCAGCGUUGACUUUUCGCUGUAAGCUCUGCAUUCCCUUUGGAACGACUUUGGAGCAGAAAACUUACACUGCGCUCCCUUUGGAACGGCUUUUUGUGACUUCAGCAAGCUUACUCUGCGUUCCUUAGAACGACUUUUUGAUGCUUCGAAGAAUUUUUGAUAAUUCAAAGGUCCUCGCAAAUCUUUAAGCUUCAACAACUUAAGCCUGUGGAGAAAAUACAUUUUCCUUGUGGCAAACAACAAAACUAUUACAUGAAAUCUAAAAAAUGUCCUUUAUUACACAGAAAAUAAAACUGAAUGAAAAAGACUGCUAUCAAAGUAGGAUAUUUGUCAAUAGAUGUGCUUCGACUCUGGCACAGUGUUGUUGACUGUGCGAGCUUCGGACUGUUCUCUGAAGUCCCUUUGAUGUGGAGCAUAUUGGCUCCCUUCUGGCUGUUGGCCUUGCUGCAGCGGUGGUGGAGGCGGAGGCUGUUGCCAGGAAGCUUGAGGUUGACUCGCCGAAGCAACAGAAACUGCAGGGUGGUUGCCUACAUAUUCUGGGAUGUAAGGCGAAUGAUACGAAGCAGUGUGCAUGACCUGCUUCGGCUGAGCCUGUUGUGCUGCAGCUUCGGGUAUUUCCUUUUGCUUCUGGAUGGUAACAUGGCACAUCCUGGUGGUAUGGCCUUUGUUCUCACCACAGAACAAGCAAAAGAUUCUUCUUGGUUGAUCUCCAAAUCUUCCGCCGAAGCCCCUGGCGCCUCUGCCUCUUGGAGCUGGUGGUCGGAAAGAGCCUUGCUGUUGCCCCGAAGCUAGUGAGGAGCACUGUGGCCUUUGCUGCUGGCUCCCCCUAUCAUCACUUUGGGUAGAGUUGUGAAUUGACCUAACGUGCCUCGGAUAGAACCUCCCUCCGAAGCCCCUGGUCAUUUCAGAAAACCUGAAAGCCUCCUCCCUUUUUUGACGAAAAUCAUUAUCGGCCCGAAUAUACUCGUCCAUCUUCUGGAGCAGCUUCUCCAAAGUUUGAGGAGGCUUCCUAGCAAAGUACUGAGCUGAAGGUCCUGGCCGAAGCCCCUUGAUCAUGGCCUCAAUGACAAUUUCGUUGGGCACUGUUGGUGCCUAUGCCCUCAAGCGCAAGAACCUCCGGACAUACGUCUGAAGGUAUUCUUCGUGAUCCUGGGUGCACUGGAAUAGAGCUUGAGCAGUGACUGGUUUCGUCUAAAACCCUUGGAAGCUGGUUAACAACAAGUCCUUCAGCUUCUGCCAUGAAGUGAUCGUUCCUGGUCGAAGGGAGGAAUACCAGGUUUGAGCAACACUCCUGACAGCCAUAACAAAAGAUUUGGCCAUGACUGCAGCAUUGCCACCAUACGAAGAUACUGUUGCUUCAUAGCUCAUCAAAAACUGCUUCGGGUCUGAGUGGCCGUCGAAUAUGGGAAGCUGAGGCGGCUUGUAGGACGGAGGCCAAGGUGUAGCCUGCAGCUCAGCGGACAGAGGAGAAGCAUCAUCAAAAACAAAAUUCCCAUGAUGGAAAUUGUCAUACCAGUCAUCUUCGUUGGGGAAACCCUCCUGAUGAAGGUCUUGGUGCUGAGGCCUUCGGUGUUGCUCAUCCUGAGUAAGAUGACGAACUUCUUCAGAGGCUUCGUCUAUCUGCCUUUGCAGUUCAGCUAGCCUGGCUAUCUUUUCCUUCUUUCUCUGCACCUGUUGAUGAAGCAUCUCCAUGUCUCUGAUUUCUUGGUCUAUCUCAUCCUCUGGCGGUGUCGGGCUGACAGCCUUCCUUUUCUGGCUUCGGGCCUCCCGAAGGGAGACAGUCUCCUGAUUGUGGUCCAGCGGUUGCAGAGCUGCUAAAGCUUUCUUCGGCGCCAUAGCGAAGGUUUAUGAUCGCCGAAGGUGUUCAAAAACUCAAAGAGUGGAAGUGAGUUCACCGGAGGUGGGCGCCAAUGUUGGGGACUUGUUCUCAAAUGCUAUGAGUUAAGAACAAGGCAACACAGAAAAUGUCAAAUUAUAAAGUCCUUCGUCCUUCGAAGCAUUAUUUCCCUUAGGAUAUAAUGAUUUUCGGACGAAGGUUAUGAAGGACGCACCUUCAUAAGCACAACAUACGAUGAUGAAGAAUGAAUCAUAUAAGAUAUAAAGAAUAAUAUAAAUAAUUAUAUGUUAUUAUCAACUUAACUCUGCAUUAUUAUUAUGAAAAAACAGAAAUGACAUCAAAUUACAAAUGUACCUUCGGCUUGGAAAGAGAUGAAAGUACAAGUAUGACGCAAAAGCAAAAAUGCCCAGUCCGCGUGAACAGUACGGAGGUACUGUUCACCUAUUUAUAGGCACGGGACGCAGCCCAUACAAAAUUACAUUCAUGCCCUUUACAUUUGAUAAUAACUCUAUAGUAAUCCACUGAGGUCUGAAUGGCCUUUUCAUCUUUAAGUCGGUUUCAUUUUCUGCUACCACGCCGAAGCUUUCCCGCUCACAUCUUCGGCGUUGUAUCAACCUUCGUAUUAUUUUGGGCUUCUCCUACUGUGAUAUCGACUCGAGUCCGAAGAUACCUGUUCACACAUUAUACUCCAGAAAUACUGUUAAAUCCUGUUUUUGAGGACCUUCGUAAGCCGAAGGCCCCCAACAUCUAGCAUCUUAGAUAUUUUAAAAACCAAUUUCAAUGCACAUCAUCAUUUACAUAUGAAGUACUAAUUUGUUCUACUGCAUAUCAUAGAAUUUUUUAUAUAGUUUAGAGGGACCAUCAUUAUCAGUUCACAUGGGGGCCCUCAAAAUCAUAGGACCGGGGCUGAUUCCAUGGUGGUGAAUCCCACGGCACGUGAAAGGUCUCAGUGGCGGCGCACGAGGUGUGGUGGCUGCUUGGUGGUUCUCGUGCGAGUCAGCAGAAGGGGCUGCAAGCACCCGAGGCAAGUCCGAGCUCAAUGCCACGCAAUCCGCGCGUGGUGGUUGAAGCUCCGCAGAGCCGGGCACGCAUGGGGGAGGAUAGCGCUGACAGCGUGGGGCCACAAGUCAACGAGUGGAGAAAGUGGUGCGGGCGAGGAGUGGUUGUCGUGCGGGCCCCGGACGUCAGGGCAACCGCACGAGCGAGUCAUGGGCCGUCCAGCACGAAGUGCAGGAUGGGGCCGAAGUAGGAUUUCGGCCCAUGCAUAGUUUUCUCUUUUCUUUUUCUUUUUUCUCUUCUUUUCUAUUUUCCUUUCUUUUAAUUUUUGAAUCUCAAAUUUGAAUCCAAACAUUGUUGUGAAUUUUGUACCCAGAUUUAAAUGUACAAAUUAAAAAUAUGAGUAUGAAAAGGUAUAUUUAUUUACAUAUUUUUCUUCACAUUGCAUAUAGGGUUUUCCUUUUCUCCUAUUUUCUUUUCUAAUUCAUUUUUAAUUUCUAGAUUGCAAAUUAGGUUUAAUACUAACUUCAAUAUUAACACAUUUUAUUACUAUUAUUAUUAAAUGCACAAACAAAUGAACUCCAACAUGAUGCACUAUUCCCUUUAUUUAAUAUGGUUGUUAGUGGUCAAGGUGACCCCAUGAUUUGAAUAUGCAAAGAUGAGAAAACAAGUAGUCAAAUAAACCUAUUAUGUUUCCCAAUUCUUGUACAUCCUAUAAAUUCCAUUAUUUGGGUAUUACAAAUCCUACCCCCUUAAAAAUAAUCUCGACCUCGAGAUUAAGAUGAACUAGGGAAGAGGUGGGGAAAUUCUAUUCGUAGCUCUUCUUCUAUCUCCCAAGUAGCUUCUUCUUCACCAUGUUGACUCCAUUGCACUUUGCACAUUUUUAUCACCUUAUUUCUUGUAACACGAGUCAAAAUGUCAAGGAUUUUGAUAGGAUGCUCAGUGUAGGUUAGAUCUCCUUGCACACUAAGUUCUUCCAUUGGCAACAGUUCUUCCGGGACACGGAAACACUUCUUGAGUUGAGAUACGUGGAAUACAUCAUCUACAUCAGACAGAUGAUUUGGUAGCUCAAGAUGGUAGGCCAUCUUCCUAACUCACUUAAGGAUUUUGAAGGGUUCAAUAAAGCGAGGGGAUAACUUUCCUUUAACUUUAAACCUCCUCAUUCCACGAAUUGGUGACACCUUGAGGUACACAUGAUCACCCUCUUCGAAUUCCAGUGGUCUUCUCCGGUUAUCAGCAUAUCUCAUCUACCGAGUCUGUGCUACCCUCAAGUUCUCCCGAAUCAUAUGAACUUGUUCUUCUGCCUCUUGAAUAAUUUUAGGCCCAAAGAACUAUCUUUCACUAGUCUGAUCCUAAUACAGAGGGGUUCUACACUUUCUGCCAUAUAAAGCUUCAAAUGGAGACAUCUUGAGACUGGCUUGAUAACUGUUAUUGUAGGAGAACUCUGCAUAUGGUAGACUCUUUCUCCAACUGCCACCAUGCUUAAGAGCACAAGCUAUCAACAUAUCUUCUAACACUUGAUUAGUUCUCUCAGUCUGGCCAUCAGUUUGAGGGUGAUAGGCCGAGCUAAAAUUCAACUUUGUGUCUAGGCUCUCAUGCAGCUUCUGCCAGAAUCGAGACGUGAACUGGGAUCCUCGGUCAAACAUGAUCUUCUCAGAUACUCCGUGCAAACAAACUAUUUGUGCCCUAUACAACUCAGCUAGCUUGGCACGCGUGUAAGUAGUUCUCACAGGGAUGAAGUGUGCUACCUUGGUUAGUAUGUCCACGAUUACCCAAAUAGAGUCGUACCCUGCAGAAGUGCGGGGUAGACCAAUGAUGAAGUCCAUACCAAUUUAUUCCAACUUCCACUCGGGUAUCUUUUGCGGGUGAAGUAAUCCAACUAGUCUCUGAUGUUCAGCUUUCACCCUCUGUAGACAUCACAAACUGCCACAUGUGAGGCAACAUUCCUUUUCAGCCCAUGCCACCAAUACUUUUGCCUCAGAUCCUGAUACAUCUUGGUGCUACCAGGAUUAAUAGAGUAAUCAGAGUCAUGGGCUUCUUUCAGAAUGGUUUCAUGGAGGAUGUCAAUCUCUGGAACACAUAUCCUGUUCUUGAACCAUCUUGUGCCUUGUUCAUCCUCCAUGAAGUCUGGACCUGUACCUUCUGCCAUCAAAUCUUUGAUUUCUUGAGUCUUAGCAUCUCCGAUCUGACCCUUGCGCAUUUCAUGCUCUAAGGUAGGUUCCACUUUUAUAGUGAUCCCUUCAGCAUGUGCAACUAUCCCCAAGUUGAGCCUUUCAAAGUCUUCUACCAACUCAUCGGGUAAUCGGGUGACUACAGCUACAUGAACAUGUUCUUUCUGACUCAAGGCAUCCACAACCAGAUUUGCCUUGCCCGAAUGAUAAUGGAUCUCCAAGUCAUAAUCUUUGAUUAGCUCCAACCAACGGCGUUGCCUAAGGUUGAGAUCUUUCUGAGUGAAGAUAUACUUUAAGCUCUUAUGAUCAGUAUAGUCUUGGCAUUUGGUCCCCAUAAUGUAAUGCCUCAAAAUCUUGAGAGCGUGCACUACGGCUGCCAGUUCUAAGUCAUGAGUGGGGUAGUUCAGCUCAUGUUUUCGCAACUGGCGAGAUGCGUAGGCAAUGACAUGUCCUUCUUGCAUAAGAACACAUCCCAAGCCCUAGCGGCAUGCAUCACAAUAUAUGUCAAAUCCCUUCUACAGAUCUAGCAUAAUCAACACUAGGGGUGACAUCAAUUUAAACCUCAGUUGAUUGAAACUCUCUUGGCAUUCAUGAGUCCACUUAAACUCCUUCCCCUUCUCCAAUAGUGAGGUCAUAGGCUUCACUAUCCUGGAGAAUCCUUCAAUGAAACGCUGGUAAUAACCUAUGAGUCCCAGGAAACUCCGGACCUCUAUGACUGAACUCGGUAUCUUCCAACCUACUAUCUCCCUUACUUUAACCGGAUCCACUGAGAUUCCACCAUUGGAGAUGAUAUGCCCAAGGAAUGGUACUUCAUCAAGCCAUAACUCACACUUGCUAAACUUGGCAUAGAGUUGAUUAUCCCUCAGCAUCUGUAGUACCAAUCUCAGAUUGUUGGGGACCUUCGGCAUCCGAAGGUCCUCAAAAACAGGAUUUAACAGUAUUUCUGGAAGUAUAAUGUGUGAACAGGUACCUUCGAACUCAAGUCGGUAUCACGACAGGAGAAGACCAGGAUAAUACGAAGGUCUUGGUACAACGCCGAAGAUGUUAGCAGGAAAGCUUCGGCGUGGUUGCAGAAAAUGAAACCGACUUAAAGAUGAAAAGGCUAUUCAGACCUCGAUAGAUUACCAUAGAAUUAUUAUCAAAUGUAAAGGGCAUGAAUGUAAUUUUGUAUGGGCUGUGUCCCGUGCCUAUAAAUAGGUGAACAGUAUCCCCGUACUGGGGACGCUGACUUAGCAUUCGCUUUUUGCGUCACGCUUGUACUGUUAUCUCCUUCCGAUUGAAGGUACACUUGUAAUUCAACAAUGUUUUUGUUUAUGCUCGAUAAUAAUAUAUGAUUGUUCAUGUUAUCUUUUAUAUUCUUUAUAUUUUAUCCUUCGCCAUUGUUUAAUGAAUAUAUGAAGGUAUGUCCUUCAUAACCUUCGUCCGCAAGCCAUUACAUCCUAAGGGAAAUAAUGCUUCGGAGGACGAAGGACUUUAACGAUUAACAUUUUCUAUGUUGCCUUGUUCUUAAUUCAUAGCACUUGAGAACAAGUCCCCAACAUUGGCGCCCACCUCCGGUGAACUCACUUCCACUCUGAGUUUUUUGAACACCUUAGGCGAUCAUAAACCUUCGUUAUGGCGCCGAAGAAGGCUUCAGCGACUGGGGCUGCAGCUCUGCAACCACUGGACCACAAUCAGGAAACAGUCUCCUUGCGGGAGGCCCGAAGCCAGAAAAGGAAGGCUGUCAGUCCGACAUCACCAGAGGACGAGAUAGAUCAAGAAAUCAGAGAUAUGGAGAUGCUUCAUCAACAAGUACAGAGGAAGAAAGAAAAGAUGGCCAGGCUAGCUGAACUGCAGAGGCAAAUAGACGAAGCCUCUGAAGAAGUUCGUCAUCUUGCUCAGGAUGAGCAACACCGAAUGCCUCAGCAUCAAGACCUUCAUCAGGAGGGUUUUCCCAACGAAGAUGACUGGUAUGACAAUUUCCAUCAUGGGAAUUUUGUUUUUGAUGAUGCUUCUCCUCUGUCCGCUGAGCUGCAGGCUACACCUUGGCCUCCGUCCUACAAGCCGCCUCAGCUCCCCGUAUUCGAUGGCCACUCAGACCCGAAGCAGUUUUUGAUGAGUUACGAAGCAACAGUGUCUUCGUAUGGUGGCAAUGCUUCAGUCAUGGCCAAAUCUUUCGUUAUGGCUGUCAGAAGUGUUGCUCAAACCUGGUAUUCCUCCCUUCGACCAGGAACGAUCACUUCAUGGCAGAAGCUGAAGGACUUGUUGUUAACUAGCUUUCAAGGAUUUCAGACGAAGCCGGUCACUGCUCAGGCUCUGUUCCAGUGCACUCAGGAUCAUGAAGAAUACCUUCAGGCGUAUGUCCGAAGGUUCUUGCGUUUGAGGGCACAGGCACCAACGGUGCCCAAUGAAAUUGUCAUCGAGGCCAUGAUCAAGGGGCUUCGGCCAGGUCCGUCAGCUCAGUACUUCGCCAGGAAGCCUCCUCAAACUUUGGAGAAGCUUCUCCAGAAGAUGGACGAGUACAUUCGGGCCGAUAAUGAUUUUCGCCAAAGAAGGGAGGAGGCUUUCAGGUUUUCUGAAAUGACCAGGGGCUUCGGAGGGAGGUUCUACCCGAGGCACGUGAGAUCAAUUCAUAACUCUACACAAAAUGAUGACAGAGGAAGCCAACAGCAAAGGCCACAAUGCUCCUCACAGGCUUCGGGGCAACAGCAAAGCUCCUUCCGACCACCAGCUCCAAGAGGCAGAGGCGCCAGGGGCUUUGGAGGAAGAUUUGGAGAUCAACCGAGAAGAAUCUUUUGCUUAUUCUGCGGUGAGAACAAAGGCCAUACUACCAGGAUGUGCCAUGUUACUAUUCAGAAGCAAAAGGAAAUAGCUGAAGCCGCAGCACAACAAGCUCAGCCGAAGCAGGUCAUGCAUACAGCUUCGUAUCAUUCGCCCUACAUCCCAGAAUAUGUGGGCAACCAUCCUGCAGUUUCUGUUGCUUCGGCGAGUCAGCCUCAAGCUUCCUGGCAACAGCCUCCGCCUCCACCUCCGUUGCAACAAGGCCAGCAGCCAGAAGGGAGCCAGUAUGCUCCACACCAGAGGGAUUUCAGAGAGCAGUCCGAAGCUCGUACAGUCAAUAGCACUGUGCCAGAGUCAAAGCACAUCUAUUGACGAAUAUCCUACCUUAAUAACAACCUUUUUCAUUCAGUUUUAUUUUCUGUAAUAAAGGGCAUUGUUUAGGUUUCAUGUAAUCAGUUUCGUGGAUUCCUACAAGAAAAAUAUGUUUUCUUCACAGGCUUGUGAUAAUAAAAAGGACCUUCGAACUAUCGAAAAUUCUUCGAAGCAACAAAAAGUCGUUCUAAGGAACGCAGAGUAAGUUUGCCGAAGUCACAAAAGGUCGUUCCAAAGGGAGCGCAGUGUAAGUUUUCUGCUCCAAAGUCGUUCCAAAGGGAAUGCAGAGCAUACAACGAAAAGUCAACGCUGAUACCGCCUAAGUAAAAGGCGAAGCGCGAAAAGUCAACGCGAAUACCGCUGAAAGUAAAAGGCGAAGAAGCUCCUAAGGGAGGCUUACAGCGAAAAAUAAACGCUGAUUCCGCUGAAGUAAAAGGCGAAGAAGCUCCUAAGGGAGGCUUAUAAAAGAUUGUGUUUUAUUGCAGGGAUGCGUAUGUAUCUUCGGAAUAAACAUCAUCUCACAUAACAUAACAUCAUCACAUCAUUUCGCAUAGCAUAAGCAUCAUACAUCAUUUUGCACAUGGCACAAGAGGUGGAUACAUUAUUAAUCUACAGAAGAACGCUUUGAAAGGGAGAAAUCAUAGUCACAAAAAGAUAUAUCAUUGAUCUUCGGAAAUGUAGCUUCGGAAGAUAUUUUCACGAAGCCUGGAUAUUAUUCAUCAGAACAUUGGAUAUUGUUGUGACAAAGAAAAAUUCUUCUUCACGAAGCAUGAAAAGAAGGGAAGGUGUUUUUUCGUCAAAAGACUCAAAAGCGGUACGUGUAAAGUUUCAUGCAUCGUAAAGAAUUGACUAACAAAAAUAGGUAUAUUACAUUUGGGGUUACAAAAUGUUACACUAUAUUACAUUUCAGAAGUUUUUACAAAAAUACUUAAUCUUCUCUCAAAACGACUUCUGCAGCCUCGUUCAGGAGCCGGUUGACGACUUCGUCCAUAAUAUCUUCAGCCAUCUUUUUAAUUUCGUCGUCUCCCUUCGGCUGAGGGCCCGAAGACGCUUUAGUCGGAUCUGAAGCAAGAUAGGAUACGGCUACAUUGCUAUUACAAAUCGCAAACAAAUCUUAAAACCUAAGAUUACAACACGAUAAAAACUAUUAGUUAAUACCUAAUUGACCUUCGGCCUCUGCGCUCUUUUCAGCAGCCUCAGCUACUUCUCUAGCAUCGUGAAUGCCCUUUUCACUUCUUCGAAUAAUCUCUCCGGCCAUUUCUCGGCCACCAUUAUCCCAGAUAUCAGUAAAAAAUUUUCCACCAAUUAUACUAGCUUCAGCCGAAGGAUCUCUUGCAUCUUCAAAGGGCAAAGCAGCUUCGGAUUGAGCUAAAAUUUUUACAUGUUCGCAGCCCUUCUUCUCUAAGAUGGUGGCAAUCCCUCUGGCGCCAGAGAAGGCACAUAUAUCUCCUCGGCUAUUUAAAAUUUCUUCGAAGGCUUCAGCUUCGUGGUCAAUCCAUUCGAUGACACCUUCGGGAUUGCCUCUCGAAAAGUUUUCCUCACUUGAGAAUGCGCCGACCUUGGCGAAGCUAGCCUUUAACUUCUUAACACAAUCUAUAGACUUGUUAUAGCAUCUCUUUUUGGACGAACGAAGCUCUUCAACAGUCACUUCUAGGUGAUCUGCCCAUUGAUCGCUGAGUUCACGCUUUGUUUCUUCAAGUAUGCGUUCUUCCUUGGCUCUGGCCAGUUGUUUCUGAAGGUCUUCAAUUUCGCGCUUCUGAGCUUCAGUUUGACUUUUAAAAGCAGCUUCGUCUUCCUUUAUUUUAUUUAUCAAUGAGUAUAAUAUUUUAUAUUUUUCAAGACCUUCGUUCCUCAGUUCAAUUACUUCGGAACGAAGGUUGCUCAGGGCUAUAGUACACCCUUCGUCUUCAGCAUCUUUCUGUGCCCUGAGGGCAUUGCUAAGUAUCAGGCCCUGCAAAAAGAAAUAUGUGUGCGUCAAUAGGUUUUAACAAACGAAAAAUUUUGGACUCAACUAAAAAAAAUAAUAAUACAAGAAUUUCAUUUGUCGCACCUUUAAGCUAUUGUAAGCCAGGCUGUCCGCCAGAUCGUUCUUCGACAGCACCGAGAGCCCGUCUUCUAAAGUUGGGAAGCCGAAGCUCUUGCUUAUCUCCCGACAGACAGAAAUUUCCUUGCUAUCGGGGAGACAAUACAAGAAGUCUUCUUCUCCACUGCCAUUGAAUAUUAACGCCCCCUUUGGAUAUUUCAAUUUUUGAGCGUAGUGCUGGGCCUCUUGCUCUUCUUUCUCUGAUAGUUUUUUCCCCGAAGCAUGACGGACAAUAUAAUCACGAACUUUGGGGGAUGCUUCGGGGGUAAGAACACCGGUGUCUUCAACAAAAGUUGGCUUUGAUAUUUUUUCUGCCUCACUUUCCAAGGGUUUUAUCUUUGCGGGCUCUGAGGGCCCAGCUUCGGCUUCAAUCUCUUGCUCUGGAGCUUUAGAACCAGAAAUUUCAGUUGUUGUUUCAGGAAUAACAGCAGCCUUCUUCGGAGGUGUGCUUGAAGAUUUGAUUGUUUCCAGUACAUCUAGCACGUUAGCCAUUCUCUUUCUUUUCGGAGUCACUACUGGCACUUUUUGAUUUUUCACUGUCUCAAUGUUUGCCGCAGGACUCAAAACUUCUGAUAUUUUGGAUCCCUCAGUUGCUUCUUUUACCUUUUCUAUUUUUUCUGUGGACGGCACUUCGGUUUUCUCUUUCGUUUCUGAUAACAAAAUUUUUGAUUGUUCCAAUUCUAUCUUUGUUGGCACUUCGGACGUUUCUGCGACAUCUGGCAGCAAGGUUGGCUCGUUUGGCUUUUCAGCUUCGAUGGCCGAAGAAGUUUCUCCGGUAAACUCAGGCACCGAAGCUGGUUCAAUAUAGCGCGGCCGAUGUGUAAGGACCUUUAUCUUUUUUCUUUUCGGUUCUGGCUCGCUAGGAGCAGCUGCAGCUUCUUCUUUUGCAGAGGUUGUGUUUUUUCUCUUCUGCCUUCGAAUGGGAUAGCAAUAGUCAGGGUAGACAAACCCGAUUGCAUCAAAUACCCGAUUCAGCCUCUUCUUUUUCCGGCCUCCGAAGGCUGCUGACAUUGCAGUGUCUUCGGCCUUCGAAUAGGUCCCAAGCAGCUCAUCACUUAAAUUUUCAAUGCUUUUUAACCAGUCAUCAUCUGGCUCAACGAAUUUAUCUCCAAACUUAAAGGUGUACUUCAACCUGAUAAGUCCACCUUCGUCGGCCUCUUUUAUGGUUUCUUGUGGCAUUUCCCAUUGCUCCGCAAGCGGCCAUACCCUGAAGGAGAUAUGCUCUUGUACUAAGUCCCUCGUUCCAAUAAAAGAACAGAUAACACCGAAGGCCCUCUGGCAUUCUUCGGCAGCCUCGCUCAUUUCAACCUUCGGCCUCCGAAGGCCGAAGCUUUGCCAAAUAGGGCGCAUAAUUAUACCUUUGAUAUCUUCUCGCGCUGUCAGAUCAUUCUUCACAUAAAACCAUUCUGUCAUCCAGUCGCCGGGCCAUCUCUUCCGAAAGGUCGGCACGGGACAGCUUGACCCGGACCGAGAAACGAAAUUGUAGCAGCCAAAAUUAUUGUGAUACUGUUCCUUACCCCAAGGUUUUGUUUCGUAUGAUAAUUCGUGUAUAUUGCAGAAACUUUUUGCAUCAGGCUUCAGACCCUGGCUUCUCACGGCCCACACGAAGAUAUUUAGCCUUAUAAUUGCCUCGGGGGUAAGUUGAUGGAGAUAGACUUCGAAUAUUUUCAGUACCUCCACAACGAAGCUACUCAAGGGAAAUCGCAGUCCAGCUUUCAAAAAGCUUCGGUACACUACGACUUCAUUCUCUUCAGGGUGUGGGCAAGUUUUUUCCCCUUCGUCGGCCCUCACAAUGGACAAAUCCCGGAAAUACCUUCCUCUCAUGUUGACAAGAUGAUUCUCUUUAAUAGUUGAUUUACCAUAAACUGAAUGGCUUGGUCGCCAGGGACGAUCUUCGGAGUCCUCACCACCACUGUCCACAUCAUAGCUAUCACUGUCACCAGUAUCUUCAGACAAACCUUCCAGAAUCUCCUUGGUAAUUUUUUCUGUAUUGGUCUUUGACAUCGCUAUAAGAAACCCCAAGUUUUUCUCUUCGUCAAGGCUCAGCUUCAUCUCAGCAACAGUCUUCUUAUCUUCAGACAUCUUCGGAAACGCUAAAAAACUAUUUUCAAAGCCGAAGCUUCAAAACCAAAAGCCUAGCAAAUCGCAGUGCACAAGAGCUAAAAAUUGAGUAAGCGAGAGCAGUUGGCCAGAAAGCGUGUCAAAUGAGUUUGCGGUAUGCCCGUAUUUAUACGCCAAGCGCGUUGAAAAUUCAAAGACCCCGCUUGUCAGUGAUUGUUGCUAUUCUAGCAAAGGGAAGGUGUUUUUUCGGACCUUCGGCGUAAAGCCUUCGUUCACGUCGCAAUCUAAAUUCGUUAUUUUGAACAAAUUAAUAUUGCGAGGGGCUACUGUUGGGGACCUUCGGCAUCCGAAGGUCCUCAAAAACAGGAUUUAACAGUAUUUCUGGAAGUAUAAUGUGUGAACAGGUACCUUCGAACUCAAGUCGGUAUCACGACAGGAGAAGACCAGGAUAAUACGAAGGUCUUGGUACAACGCCGAAGAUGUUAGCAGGAAAGCUUCGGCGUGGUUGCAGAAAAUGAAACCGACUUAAAGAUGAAAAGGCUAUUCAGACCUCGAUAGAUUACCAUAGAAUUAUUAUCAAAUGUAAAGGGCAUGAAUGUAAUUUUGUAUGGGCUGUGUCCCGUGCCUAUAAAUAGGUGAACAGUAUCCCCGUACUGGGGACGCUGACUUAGCAUUCACUUUUUGCGUCACGCUUGUACUGUUAUCUCCUUCCGAUUGAAGGUACACUUGUAAUUCAACAAUGUUUUUGUUUAUGCUCGAUAAUAAUAUAUGAUUGUUCAUGUUAUCUUUUAUAUUCUUUAUAUUUUAUCCUUCGCCAUUGUUUAAUGAAUAUAUGAAGGUAUGUCCUUCAUAACCUUCGUCCGCAAGCCAUUACAUCCUAAGGGAAAUAAUGCUUCGGAGGACGAAGGACUUUAACGAUUAACAUUUUCUAUGUUGCCUUGUUCUUAAUUCAUAGCACUUGAGAACAAGUCCCCAACACAGAUGUUCCUCAUUGUGGCAGAACCGCCCGAAUUAUUCCAGCUUAAGUGCCUAAGUCACGCCUCAGGGGCAGCAACACACUUAAAUCAGAAUAACCCGUUAGUCCCUCAGAUCUAGUCUGAUAAAGCCACUUAACCAGGAUCAAAUACCACAAACCCACUCGAAGGCGAGUCACAGAAGAAAUACAAUAAAACAGGAAAACCUCAAAUUAAAGUACUGAAUUAUUACAUAAAUCGGAGUUUUCCAAGUAGCUGGUAAAAGUUCACAAAAUAAAAUGCAGCGGAUAAUCGAUAUCGUCGGUAGCGAGGAAUUGGGCAAGGCCUAGCCCACUACUUCUCCUACUCCUCUCCUGCCGGAGCAGCAUCUCACUCGACCGUCCAACCUGGUGGCAGGGUUGUAGGCCAAGUCACACCAUCAACCAUAUCCUGAAGCGUACCUGCAAAAAUUAUGCCACAAGCAAGGCUGAGUAUACUAAUACUCAGCUAGACUUACCCGGUGUAAGGAGUCUACUCCUCUACCUCUAGACCAUGCAGCUGUUUGGCUGAGGGGUUUGGUUUGCCAAAAGCAUUAGCUGAGUCUAAAAUCAAAUUUUAGCUUUUCAAUUUCUAGCAUCAUUAUCUUAGCUAAGUUUGCUCCUUCUAAGCAUAUAUGGUAACAAGCAUUUAGUACAAUCAACAAGUUAUCUCAAGUAAACCACAUUUCACUUCUUACUCAAUGUAGUACAAGGGGUCAAGCAGUCUCAUUAGCUGCGAGAAGCAGACGAUUCGAAUCGAGUUUUUAUCCUUACAAGGUAAACCUAAACACAAGACAUGUAAGGGCACUCUGUCCCCACACACGUCAACCGUCCCAAUCGAUUCCCCGUUCGCGGCUAGGGCUCACCGCCUUGGCAUACAAUGCUCCACUGACCCCGGCUGUCGCCGUGCAGUGACCGCACUUUUACCCACCAUAGCUAGCAUGGGAGACCCAGUCUCAGGACAAGUGAGGGGAAAAGUCCGCGCCCGGCUUCACUCAGGUACUAGGUUUACCGGUUACCAUAUUUCCCGACAUGUGUUUAGUACGUUCAAACGCUUAACUCAGGUAUCCACACAUUAAUACUUAAUUCCUUUUCUCAUCUCAUGGACAAGGCAUCCUCCCUAGAUCCAAGUCCAUAGACCAUCAUAGAUCCUAUUAUCAAGAUGAGUACAAUCAAUUCCUGGCCUCUCGUGAGUGCUAGAAAAAUCACUCGACUUCUACCGAGUUCCUGAUUAGCAUAGCAGCUACUCGACCUAGCAUACUAGUAUCGAUCUCAAAAAGGAAUCCUGAGUUCAUGCAAGUAAAGGUUUCAAGCAACUCCUAUACUUAAGUGCAUAUUACAAGCCUACAAACAUUAAGUGUAGUAAAGUAGCAUAUAUAAACGGUUAUGCAUAAAACAGGGGUUUGCCUUCAAUAGCUGGGGCUGCGGGGAGAUCCUCGAUGGCAGUCUCGGGAGCUUGCUCCUGGUCUUCCUUGUGGACAGCUCCUUGCUCGGGGAUGAGCACGUACUCCCCGUCAGCGAGAUUGCAAUCUAAUGAAUGCAAUGAGUAAGAUACAUGUAUGGUAUGAUAUGCAAUUUAGCAAUUAAACUUUGAUGGUGAAUGAUCAAAUUAAUAAGGUAGAGCUUAAUAUUGCUACUGAAGAUUCUUGUGGUAUACUUAGCAAAUUAGGGUCAAGCUUGGUUAAGCUAAUUGGUAAGUUUAUUUUGGUGUUCUACUGAUUUCCCUUUAAUGUCUUAGUGAGAGUUUAUUUAAGGUUUCUAGCUAAAUCAUUAGAGUGAGAUUUAUUAUUUCCCUCUCUUCUUCUUAUUUCUUUUAUGCUUUUAAGGUGGGUUUGAACUAUAAGAUAGCUUAAUGAAUUUCCAAAAAUUCUGCAAAAAUUACAGUGGCUUCUUAGUGGUGUAUAAGUCUCUGUCUCAAAAUUUAGGGCUUAAACAGUGAGUGGUUCUCGCUGUAUAAAAUUAUCAAAUAUUAGGGCAGAGGGGGUGUUUUGAACUACAACCUUCUUUUAACAGGGGUUUAUUUUCCAAGACUUAUUUUUGCUAGCAUCUAGAUGUUAUAACAUGACUCUGUACAAAUUAUUAGCCACUAAUACUUAUUAGUUAAUUUAUUAUGAUUUUCCAAAGUUUCUAGACAAAGGGGUGCUUUCUACUACCACUAUAUUUGAAAAAUAUCAAACAACAGAUUUCUAAUUUUCCUAUCUUAUUCUUUGUGCAAGAGCAAUCAUUCUGAAAUUUGGUAACUUUUUGCUUAAAGCAAGGGUGGUAGGAAUUUCUUGAACUAAAUGGUUCUUUUCAUGAAGUAUUGACAAUGGGUAUUUUUUGUAGCUUUAAAUUGGCUUUUACAUUUUUUUCUGGUAGUCUACUUUAUUACUAAUCUAUUAAAAAUUUAUUUGCUCACUGUUGCACACUUUUUGGCUUGCUUAGGAUUUAAUUGAAAUAUGGCUUAAUAUCAAGUUCUAUUUGUUUACCCUACUUAAAAUGAUAGGCUGGGGUGUUUAUCAUUUUUGUUGUGCGGUCCUAGUAGUUACAAGUCCACUGAAGUUUUAUUAAAAAAUUUGAAAUUGUUUUCAUAAUUUUAAUAAUUGUCUUUCUAGUUUGAUUAGUGCUUAAUAAAAUAUUUCACCUUGAAUCUAUUAUGGACUAGGUGUCCCUUUAUUUUUCCUAGGUUCUCUAUUACCUUAGUAAACUAGGAAAAAUAAUUGCAUUCAUUGUUCAUUAUUUUCUAAUCCCUUUCUGAUUUUCAUAAGUUUUGGGCAAAAAUGGCUUUUAAUAGAUAACCCUACUUAAAUCUUCAAUACUGGGGUGUUCAAUAUUUUUAAACAGUGUCUAAAUGGGGUUUGAACUUCUACAAAUUUUCUUAAGUCCAACACAGAAGCAUAACUAAUUUUCUUCCUUUUAAAAAGGUUUGGUUAGUUUCUUUAAUUAAUCUCAAACUCUAAAAUUUAAAACAGAAAGCAUAGAGUUCAGUAUUUUUAUGUGAUAGCUCAUAUUAUUUUGAAUCCAGCAAAAUUGGUUUGGCUAAAUUUGAUGGAAUAUUUCUCAAGAUAUGAAAUUUCUAAGUCUUCUACUGAAUUUAAAAAGAUUAAUUAGAAAUGGAUAAAGAAAAAGGGGUUUUGCACUGGGGUCCCUGGCGAAAGGUUUUGAAUGAAUUACAUACAGGUCCUCGGUGCACUAUUCACAUGAGUCUAAGGCUCUGCAAAAACCCCUAGGGUUUCCCGAAAUCGAACCAGCGAUCCUUCCCCUAAUGGAACACUGACCGUGGUGGAAGAAUAGGGCGGAGGGGCUUACCGGCGGCGAGUUGCUCCGGUGAAGGGUCGAGUGAGGUCCGGGAGUCUCUGGCGAUCACGUCGAGGUGCGGAUUGCCGGCGAUGGUGGUCGGAGGAGGUCGGUCCACGUGCGCAGGCAGGGGAGCUCGUCGGCGGCGAGUAGUCCGGCCUAACUAGGGCACGAUAGAUCAAUCAACUGGGUCGGGGAGUUUCACCAGAUGUCAAGGAAGAUGUGCGCGCGAGGAAUUGGAGAAUGGCUCAUCGGAUUGCUCGGUCUAGCGCUGCCGCGGGCGACCGAAGUCCGGCGAAGGCGAUCUCGGGUCUCCGGUGAAGUUCUGUCGGGUCCGAAAGCUUGGAAAGCUUUACGGGCUAUUUGCGAAGCUAACCGAGCGGCUGGCGUGGCUUGGUAGUGACUGGAGGGAGCUGGCCACGGUGGCCGAGGCUUGGGCAGCGAUGGCGGGCGGUGGCGCGGCGUGCUCGAGGCGAAGUCCGGUGAACUUCGGCUUAGGCAAUGCCUGAGAGCGCGUGGGGAGGUAUGGCCAAGGCCUUGGGGCUGCUUUAUAGGCACGGCGCGGGUGAGGGCAUGCGGCGGACUUGACCGGACGCUGAAGCGAGCGCGCGUGCGGGUUGGGCAAACGCCGGCGUGCCGACCAGGGUCGAACACGUGUGUGUGUUCAUUCUGCCCGAGUUCUGGCGCGUGUGGUCAUUCAUCCGAGCCUGCUCUUGCCUUGGUCAGUGCAUAAAACCUCUUCUCCUCCCUAUAAGCUACCGAUCUUGUGUGGGGGUCAUAGGAUUUGUCCUACUGGUUUCAAAGAUAUGGAGCUCUCAAGUUUGGUCUGUCUCUGAGCCCGAGCCCAAGGCAAAUCUUCGGUUUUGUCGUGUCUAGGGCUCGCGUCCCGAUGCCAUCUUCAGACAUGUGGUAGAGGGGUUAGUUAGACACAUUUUUGUUAAUGGGAGCUUUAGGAUUAGAGCUAAGGAUCAAGGUGAACGUGCUCAGUUUUGGUUCAAAGGCUGAAAAUUCAGAAAUCUGAAUUUCAGAUGUCCCAUUAAACCUCCACUUGAAUGGCUUGUUUGGAGUUUUUAACAAACUAUUUUGGCCAAAAUUUUAUAAUCUUUAUUGUAUAUAGCUUAGUUAGUGUAUUUCAAUUUUUAUAAUUGGCCCAAGCCAUGAUUUCAAGUUUUUCAUGGUCUUUCAUCCCUUUUCUUCAUUUCUACUUAAAUGGCUUAUUUAGGGUUGGAAUUAGGGUUUCAACAUUUUCCCCUUUUUUAAAACCUCAUUUGUUUUGGAUAUGAUUCUUUAGAUGCAAACUUAGUGUAUCUUUUAUUCUUAAGUUGAUUUGGUGCUUCUUGCUCAAUUUGGCUUACAUGAAAUGAUGGUACUUGAGCUAGUACUGAGAAGAACCCUAAGUGACACUGGGGUGUCACACUCAUGAUCACUAUCAUUCUUGGAAUGGAUCAGAAUAUCGUCGAUGAAUACCACGACCAACCUAUCAAGAUACUCUAUGAAUACCUUGUUCAUCAGAUUCAUGAAGUAGGCUGGUGCAUUAGCUAAGCCAAACAACAUGACUGUGCACUCGUAUAAACCAUAUCGGGUAGAGAAAGCCAUCUUGGUAAUAUUAGAUGACCUAAUCUUCAUGUGAUGGUAUCCCGAUCUGAGAUCAAUUUUAGAGAAUACCCUAGCACCUCUUAUCUGAUCGAAUAAAUCUUCAAUACGAGGUAAAGGAUACUUAUUCUUGAUUGUUACAUCAUUAAGUGAUCUAUAAUCAACACACAUCCUUUGUGAGCCAUCCUUCUUCUGUACAAACAGUAUCGGUGCUCCCCAAGGUGAGGGACUCGGUCGAAUGUGCCCCGCUUCCUAUAAUUCUGUUAGUUGUUUCUUAAGUUCUUUUAAUUCUUCCACUGACAUCAUGUAUGGUAUUUUAGAAAUAGGAGUGGUUCUAGGUAAGAGAUCAAUAACAAACUCAACCUCCCUAUCCGGUGGCAUUCCGGGUAACUCCUCUAGAAAGACGUCUGGAAAUUCUCUAAGGGCUCGUUUGUUUGAUUGGAAUUGGGCUGAAUUGGAAUUUAAUUCUUGGACUGAUUUGUUUGGCAAGCUAUAGAAUUGGAAAGUAACUUUCCAUCCAUUUCUUGGGCCUGAAUUAGAAGCCUCUAAAACUUUCUUACCCUAAAAUGAGGAAACAGAUUCCUGACUUAUCCUGAGCGUCGCCGCACCGCCUCACUCGUCUCCUCCCCGAGCGCCACGUCGUUGCCUCCUCUGAUCCGUCUCUCCCCGAGAUCUGCUGCGGUAAUGCCGCUUGCUCCCCACCCCUUCUCCUCUUCUCUGACUGGUACACGUUCCGCUUCAGCCGCUCAAGGUCUCGGUCGAGCCGUCCGCCUCGCCCUGCAGCUGCUGGUCAAGCCAGUCGCUCGUCACCUUGAUCUCCUUCUGCAUUUGUGUCCCCCUGCUCAUGUUGCUAGCCAAGCACACCUACCGGCCUUCCUCGUAGCUCCACAUGAUACUGCUAAUUUUAAGACUUUUUUAAUAGAAGAUGAACCUACGGAGAGCUUAGCUUAGCAUCAGGCCGUCAGCUUGAUAUUUCUGAGAUCGUGCGCACGAGAAGCUAAGCCAUCCAAGCAGCUUCAUGCACCAUCGUCUGUGUCUUUCGGGCAGGUGCUGUGCCUCGGCUUGUCGCCCCAUUCCCUCACCGCCAGCGCCCAGCAGUGAGCACCUCGUUUGGGUUUGGAUCCAGCACUGCACGAUUCCCUGACAGCUCAGAAAGGGUACAGAGCCUGCGGUUGGGGAUAAAAAUAGUGGUGAACCAAAAGGUUGGGUAGCUCGUUCAACCAGCGGAACUAGUAUUUUUUAUAUUAGUUCAUAUUGUUAGUUAACGAGCCUAUCAAGUUAAAUUUAUAUUAAUCUCAUAUUGUACUAUGUCUCGGUUGAUUAUUAGACCUAGUCCUAUAAAAAACAUUAUCAUGACAAUCAAUCUAUUUUAUUUAAGCUGGUAAGAAGAUAACUCCUUAUGUUAGAACAAGCCAAGCCCUCGUUAUGAAGCCCUAGAUAAUUGUUUACUUCAAGAAGGUUUUGCCUUUUGUUACUAGUAAUUUUUUUCAUAUUCCACAUUUCUUUGCCAGUACAUUAUUGAGCCUUUAGUUUCUCCAUGUUUCUUUUUUUCAAACAGUUGUGCAUUCAAUCUUACAAACUGUAUAUGCAUGUUUGCUCAAGUGUGCUUAUGAUGUAUGGUUUAUCUACUGUAGAUGCCUCACAACAACUUAGAAUUGGUUAGAACAAAUUUGGGGGAAAUGAGAGAGAGGCGUAGGAAGAAGAGGCCAAGAGUAGCAUCAUUAUUUGUUGCAACUGUCAUGGGUAUGAUUGCGGACUAUUAUUAUCGAAAAAGACCUAGACAUCUUAUGGAUUCCUCUGAGAUGAUAGAGAGAAAUGUAGCUGGUCGGAAACAAAUGCUAAGGAAUCUAUAUCAAGGAUCAAAUGUUUAUUGUUAUGACAGUUUGCGUCUAACUAAGAAAUCCUUUUCGGACCUAUGCACCAUCUUACGUGAGAGGUGCGGUAUGUGUGACACCUUGAAUGUGUCGGUAGAAGAAAAGGUUGCUAUCUUUUUGCUUGUAGUGGGUCAUGGCACUAAGAUGAGGAUGAUUCGUAGCUCAUACGGGUGGUCGCUUGAACCAAUUAGCUGCUAUUUCAAUGAGGUGUUGAGAGGUGUUCUAUCAUUAUGUCAUGAUUUUAUCAAUCUUCCUAACCCUUUAGCUUUAAACCUAAAGAUUCUAAGUGGAGGUGGUUUGAAGAUUGCCUUGGAGCGCUAGAUGGUACACACGUUGAUGUUUUUGUACCUUUGGCUGAUCAAGGGAGGUAUAGGAAUAGGAAGCAACAAAUCACCACCAAUGUUUUGGGUAUUUGUGAUCGACACAUGAAGUUUGUUUAUGUUCUAGCUAGAUGGGAAGGGUCAGCUUCAGAUUCACGUGUGCUACGUGAUGCCAUGUCUCGGGACGAUGCAUUUGCUAUUCCAAGUGGAAAAUAUUACCUAGUAGAUGCUGGAUACACUAAUGGACCAGGCUUUCUUGCUCCAUAUCGAUCCACUCGCUACCACUUGAAUGAGUGGGCUGCCCAAGGGAAUAACCCAUCCAAUGCCAAGGAAUUGUUCAAUUUGCGCCAUUCAACAGCUAGAAAUGUGAUAGAGAGAACGUUUGGCUAUUGAAAAUGAGGUGGACAAUAUUAAGGAAAAACUCAUAUUUUGACUUACAAAAUCAGAUUAGGGUCAUCAAUGCUUGUUGCAUAUUGCACAACUUUGUAAGGGAUAGGCAAAGAGAUAUGGAUGAUUUACUUUUAGGCCAAGUUGAUCAAGUAAUAUCUAUUGAAUCUCAUGAUGUUCAAAGUGAAGUGAGUAUGAUUACCAAUGUGCAAUCAUCAAAUCAAUGGAGUAACUUCAGGGACACCAAAGCUAACCAAAUGUUUGAUGAUUACCAAGUGAGACGUGGACAAUGUAUGAUAAUUUUUUAAAUAUUUCUUUUUUGCAAAUAUUGUGUUGCUCCUCAAUAACUCUACUAACCUUUGUAAUUUUUUUAUUUGUAGGAUAUGGAGAAGGGUAAGAAGUCAGGCUCGGGCAGGGGCUACAUUUCUUGGAAUGAUGAUAUGGACAAGGCACUUCUUGACACAUUCGUGGAGUACUACAACAAGGGUGACAGAUGCCAAAAUGGGUGGAAGUCUCAUGUCUACACAGCUGCUAACAAGAAUGUCCGAGAAAAGUGCAAUGUGGAAAUCACAAAAGACAACAUCAUGUCAAGGAACAAGACAUUUGACAAGCACCACACUAUCAUCAAUGGUAUGCUAGAAACAAGUGGCUUUGUUUGGGAUUGGAACAAGAACAAGAUAUCCAUCGAUAGUGAUUCUGUAUGGGAGGCUUAUGUGGCGGUAAGUUUUAGUUUUUAUGUUUUUCUGUUGUUACACUAUCAUUAAUGGUUUUCUAUUUUUAGCUACAUGGUCAAAUCUGAAAUUUGCAUGUGCCCUUUAAUAAGUUUGUUGACCUGAUACUAUACUUCGAGCAGCUAGAUUUUUUAUCUCCGACAAAGAGAACUGUGGCUUUGUUGUACUACUACUACAGUAAAAAUGGGUGCUUGCUGCUAUUCUAAAUUUUGUAUGGUAUCAUCUAGGGCUGACCUCAAAUUGUUUUCUGCAGAAAAAUAAAGAAGCUUAUGGGUACACACACAAGACAGUCUUAUAUUGGGACUCGUCAACUUGGUGUUUGGGAAAGAUCAUGCAACCAGUGAAGCGGCAAAGACCACAGCUGAUGGUGCGAGAGAUAUGAGUAAGGAAGAGGGAACCGGUGAAGAGCUUACUUCAUCAACAACCUCAGGAAGCUUGAAGAGGCAAUGGUCCAGUGAUUCCUUCACCUCAAUGAUGGCGGAGAAAUGAGACAAGUUCACUGAAGCUAUUAGGGAUGAAGCACCAAAAGGGCCAACAUCAAAAGAAUUUUUUAGCACAUUGGAGGAGAUAGAUGGGUUAGAUGAAGACACAUUUUUAGACUUGUUUGAUAUCUUAACAGGUGAUGCGCGCAAGUACGAGUCCUUAUUGGCACUUCCAGUGAUCCUGAGGAAGAGAUGGCUGUUGAAGCAACAUAAAAAGUGAUCCGAGUUGUGGUUGGGUGAAUUGAACUGUUCUUGGGUGUGUUGAUGUAGAUGUCUUAGUUUAUGUUGGGUGAAUUGAACAUCACAUUAAGUAGCAAGUAAUGUGUUCCAAUGAUAUGUAGACAUUUGAGACAAAUCUGCAUUAUUAUGACUAUUCUCGUGAUGCAUGUUGCUUGAUAAAUUGUAGGGUGAAAACUUGUCUCUAAUCUAUUGCACAUGUAUAUGACUCAUCAAGGCACAUGUGCACACAAGAAACAUGUGUAUUUUUUCGUGUACAAGUUGAUGUGGUUACUUCCCUCCAAAUAUGUAAAUUCCAUAUAUAACUAUCCAAACAGGAUAUUGAAUUUGAUUCAUGGAAAAAAUUCCAUCAACAUCCAAACAAAAAAUUGAAUUGAAUCAAAUUCUAAGGAAUUACUUUCUUUAGGAAUCUAAUAUCUAGAAUGUUAUUCAUGGAAUGAGUUUCAUUUCCAAGGAAACAAACAUGCCCUAACAGUUUUGAUGCGAUCUCCCACAAAUUUACCAUUGAUCAUGUAUACAGCAGGUGUGUUAGAUGUGGGUGGUGCAACUGUGACUUCAAAUCUUUCCCCAUCAGGACUAGAAAGCUGUAUUGUCCCUCUAACACAAUGUAUUACUGCAUUCCACUGUUUUAACCAGUUCAGGAUUAAGUCUAUUGUACUCUCUUCUAGCACUAUAGGCAUAGUGAAAGGGAAAUGUGCCCUUGGGCCAUUUCUAAGUAUUUUGGUGAUUAAGUGUCCAACACAAAUGGUUGUGUUAAACUAUGCCAAAUGGUGGACAAAGUGCAAAUCAAUACAAAGGUAUGAUUAUAGACUUAGUACAUUGGUUUUUGUGUACUAACAUAUUUGUCUAAGUGCUAGAAUCAAAGAAAAGACAAAUGGAAAUGACUUGGCUCGAGCAGCCAAGUCUCUGCUCAGUCUGGGUGCACCGGACUGUCCAGUGGUGCACCGGACUGUGUUCGGUGUGCCAGGCUGGCGUCUGGUGAACAGCCUGCUCUCGGGUCUCGAUGGCGGCAUACAGCUAUAAAUCACCGGACUGUCCGGUGGUGCACCGGACUGUCCGGUGACCCAACGGUCGGCUGGGCCAACGGUCGGCCGCGCAAUCCACGCGUGACGCGUGGCCGGGCCAACAGUCUAAUGGGGGCACCGGACAGUCCGGUGUGCACCGGACAGUGUCCGGUGCGCCAACGGCUCCAAAUAUUCAACGGUCGGCUGCGCUAGAAUAGGAAAGAAAUCUGCACCGGACAGUGUCCGGUGGUGCACCGGACUGUCUGGUGCACCAGUCGACAGAAGGCAAGAUUUGCCUUCCUGGAUUGCUCUCAAUGGCUCCUAGCUGCCUUUGGGCUAUAAAAGGGACCCCUAGGCGCAUGAAGGAGGACACCAAGCAUACUUUGAGCAUUCUUGAUCAUUCUCACUCCGACUUUGCGCACUCGUUUGACAUUCUUAGUGAUUUGAGCUUCGUUCUAGUGGUGAACUUUGUGAUACUCAUUUGAGCUCAAUUCUUGGAUGUGUGUGUGCGUAUUUGCUAUGGAUUUGAGUGUGUUGCUUCCCUCCUUACUCUAGUGCUUUCACCUUGAUUCUUAUUGUAAGGGCGAGAGACUCCAAGUUGUGGAGAUUCUUCGCAAACGGGAAAGAGUAAAAAAAGAAGAACAAUGUGGUAUUCAAGUUGAUCAUUGGAUCACUUGAAAGGAGUUGAGUGCAACUCUCGUCCAUUGGGACGCCACAACGUGGACUAGGCAAGUGUUGUACUUGGCCGAACCACGGGAUAAAUCUCUGUGUCUCUUGUGCUUGUUCUCACUGUGUCAAUUGUGAUUCACAAGAGCUCUCCUUAGCCACUUGAUUUUAUUGUACUAACACUUAAUCAAGUUUGUGGCUUUAAGUUUUAAAUUUUUAUAGGAUCACCUAUUCACCCCCCCCUCUAGGUGCUCUCAAUUGGUAUCAGAGUCGUCCUCUUCAAGAAAGGGACUAAUCGCCCGAAGAGAUGGAUCCUAAGGGAAAGGGGAUGGUGGUCAACGACAAUGAGAAGGAGUCCAUCUUCAGCGAGCCAAGGUAUGACAAAGUAAAUGACUUCGGCUCGAGUCAAAAGAAGAAGGAUGGAAAGAAGAAGAGGCGCAUCAGAAAGGUUGUGUACUACGACAGCGACAAAUCUUCCUCGUCUCAAAAGGACGACGAACACGAGGAGAAAAAGAAAACGGUUAACUCAAACUUUUCUUUUGAUUAUUCUCGUAUUCCGCAUAAUUCCAAUGCUCAUUUGCUUUCUAUUCCACUUGGUAAACCUCCACACUUUGAUGGAGAGGACUACGGAUUUUGGAGUCACAAAAUGCGUAGCCACUUGUUCUCUCUUCAUCCAAGUAUAUGGGAGAUAGUAGAAAAUGGAAUGCAAUUUGAUAGUUCGGAUAACUCCAUGUUUAUAAAUGAACAAAUCCAUAAAAAUGCACAAGCUACUACUGUUCUUUUAGCAUCCUUGUGCAGGGAAGAAUAUAAUAAGGUGAGCGGCUUGGACAACGCCAAGCAGAUUUGGGACACCCUCAAGAUCUCGUAUGAGGGGAACGACGUCACCAUGCUCACCAAGAUGGAGUUGGUGGAAGGCGAACUAGGAAGGUUCGCAAUGAUCAGGGGAGAGGAGCCAACUCAAACGUACAAUAGGCUCAAGACCCUGGUCAACAAGAUAAGAAGCUAUGGAAGCACGAGAUGGACGGACCACGACGUCGUCUGACUUAUGCUAAGGUCCUUCACUGUCCUUGAUCCUCAUCUUGUAAACUCUAUUCGUGAGAAUCCUAGGUACAUCAAGAUGACGCCCGAGGAAAUACUCGGAAAGUUUGUAAGCGGGCGAAUGAUGAUCAAGGAGGCGAGAUACGUCGAUGAGGCGUUGAAUGGCCCAAUCUACGAGCCUCAAAUCGUUGCUCUUAAAGCAACAAGUAGCAGGGAGGCGCUACCUAGCAUGGUGGCGCAAGUUGAGGCGGCCGGGCUAAAUGAAGAUGAAAUGGCCCUCAUCAUCAAGCGCUUCAAGACGGCGCUCAAAGGUCGCAAGGAGCAUCCCAACAAGAGCAAGACGAAGGGGAAGCGCUCCUGCUUCAAGUGUGGUAAGGUUGGUCACUUUAUUGCUAACUGUCCCGAUAAUGAUAGUGACCAGGAUCAAGAAAAGAAGAGAGAAAAGAAGAAGACUUACAAGAAAGCGAAGGGCGAGGCACACCUUGGCAAAGAGUGGGACUCAGAUUGCUCUUCAUCCGACGACGAAGGACUUGCUGCCUCAGCCUUCAACAAAUCAUCCCUCUUCCCCAACGAGCAUCACACCUGCCUCAUGGCAAAGGAAAAGAAGGUAUGCACUAGGAAUACUAUUACAUAUGCUUCUUCAAGUGAUGAUGAAUCUAGCGAUGAUGAAAUAGACUAUGCUAGUUUAUUCAAAGGUUUAGAUAGAACUAAAAUUGAUAAAAUCAAAGAAUUAAUUGAUGCUUUGAAUGACAAGAAUAGAUUGUUAGAAAAGCAAGAGGAUCUUUUGUAUGAAGAGCAUGAUAAAUUUGUAGAUGUCCAAAAAUCUCUUGCUUUAGAAGUUAAAAGGAAUGAAAUGCUUUCUUGUGAAUUAUCUACUCGCAAUGAGACUAUUUCUAGUUUAAAAAGUGUUAAUGAUGAUUUAAAUGCUAAGCUAGAAGUAGCAAAUAUAUCGAAUUCUUGUGUAGAACAUGUAGUGAUUUGCAAUAGGUGUAAGGACUUUAAUGUUGAUGCAUGUGUUGAGCACCUUACCUCUAUUGCAAAACUAAAUGGUGAAGUGGCUAGUCUUAAUGCCCAACUUAAGACUAGCAAAAGUGAAUUUGAUAAACUAAAAUUUGCAAGGGAUGCCUACACUAUUAGUAGACACCCCUCAAUUAAGGAUGGGCUUGGCUUUGAGAGAGAAGCCAAGAACUUAACAAGCCAAAGGACUCUCUCCCACUUUCACAAAGGAGAAAGGGAAGGCCCCUAUGGCUAAUAGUGCUCAAAAGAAUCAUGCAUUUAUUUAUGAUAGGAAAUUUUCUAGAAAUAUUCAUCAUGAUAGGAAUUGUAAUGCUUAUGAUUCAAAUGCAAUGUUUGCUUCAAGUUCUUCCUAUGAGCAUGGUAGAGAUAUGCCUAGGAAAAAUGUCAUUCAUCAUAUGCCUAGGAGAAAUGUUGCUCGUGUUCCUAGGAAAAUAGUUAAUGAACCUUCUACAAUUUAUCAUGCUUGCGAUGCUUCCUUUGCAAUUUGUAGAAAGGAUAAGAAAGUGGUUGCUAGGAAAUUAGGGGCAAAAUGCAAGGGAGAUAAAACUUGCAUUUGGGUCCCUAAGGCUAUUGUCACUAACCUUGCAGGACCCAACAAGAGUUGGGUACCUAAGACCCAAACCUAAAUUUGCCUUGCAGGUUUAUGCAUCCGGGGGCUCAAGCUGGAUUAUCGACAGCGGAUGCACAAACCACAUGACGGGGGAGAAGAAGAUGUUCACCUCCUACGUCAAGAACAAGGAUUCCCAAGAUUCAAUCAUAUUCGGUGAUGGGAACCAAGGCAAGGUUAAAGGACUAGGAAAGAUUGCUAUUUCAUCCGAGCACUCCAUUUCUAAUGUGUUUUUAGUUGAGUCGCUCGGAUAUAGCUUGUUGUCCAUUAGUCAAUUAUGUAAUAUGGGGGUAUAAUUUCUUAUUUACAAAUGUAGAUGUGUCUGUCUUUAGAAGGAGUGAUGGUUCAUUAGCUUUUAAGGGUGUACUAGACGGCAAACUUUAUUUAGUUGAUUUUGCAAAAGAGGAGGUCGGUCUAGAUGCAUGCUUAAUUGCUAAGACUAGCAUGGGUUGGUUGUGGCAUCGCCGUUUAGCACAUGUGGGGAUGAAGAACCUUCACAAACUUCUAAAGGGAGAACAUGUAUUAGGUCUAACAAAUGUAACUUUCGAAAAAGAUAGACCUUGUGCAGCUUGUCAAGCAGGUAAACAGGUGGGAAGUGCUCAUCACAGCAAGAAUGUAAUGACCACAUCAAGACCUCUGGAGUUACUUCAUAUGGACCUCUUCGGACCCGUCGCCUACCUAAGCAUAGGAGGAAGUAAGUAUGGUCUUGUUAUAGUUGAUGAUUUUUCCCGCUUCACUUGGGUAUUCUUUUUGCAGGAUAAAACAGAAACCCAAGGAACUCUCAAGCGCUUCCUAAGGAGAGCUCAAAAUGAGUUUGAACUCAAAGUGAAGAAGAUAAGGAGCGGCAACGGGUCCGAGUUCAAGAACCUUCAAGUGGAGGAGUUCCUUGAGGAGGAAGGAAUCAAGCACGAGUUCUCCGCUCCCUACACACCACAGCAAAAUGGUGUGGUAGAGAGGAAGAACAGGACGCUCAUUGACAUGGCAAGGACGAUGCUUGGAGAGUUCAAGACCCCCGAGCGGUUUUGGUCGGAAGCCGUGAACACGGCUUGCCACGCCAUAAACCGGGUCUACCUUCAUCGCCUCCUCAAGAAGACGUCGUACGAACUCCUAACCGGUAACAAACCCAAUGUGUCAUACUUUCGUGUUUUUGGGAGCAAAUGUUAUAUUCUAGUGAAGAAAGGUAGAAAUUCUAAGUUUGCUCCCAAAGCUGUAGAAGGGUUUUUGUUAGGUUAUGACACAAAUACAAAUGCGUAUAGGGUCUUCAACAAAUCAUCGGGUUUAGGUUAAGUCUCUAGCGACGUUGUAUUUGAUGAGACUAAUGGCUCUCCAAGAGAGCAAGUUGAUCUUGAUGAUGUAGAUGAAGAAGAUGUUCCAACGGCAGCAAUACGCACCAUGGCGAUUGGAGAUGUGCGACCACAGGAACAAAAGGAGCAAGAUCAACCUUCUUCCUCAACAAUGGUGCAUCCCCCAACUCAAGACGAUGAACAGGUUCAUCAAGAAGAGGCGUGUGAUCAAGGGGGAGCACAAGAUGAUCAUGUUAUGGAGGAAGAAGCACAUCAUCCCCCUCCAACUCAAGUUCGAGCAACGAUUCAAAGGAAUCAUCCCGUCGACCAGAUAUUGGGUGAUAUUAGCAAGGGAGUAACUACUCGCUCUAGAUUAGUUAAUUUUUGUGAGCAUUACUCUUUUGUCUCUUUUAUUGAGCCUUUCAGGGUAGAAGAGGCCUUGCUAGAUCCGGACUGGGUGUUGGCCAUGCAGGAGGAGCUCAACAAUUUCAAAAGAAAUGAAGUUUGGACACUGGUGCCAUGUCCCAAGCAAAACGUUGUGGGAACCAAGUGGGUGUUUCGCAACAAACAGGACGAGCACGGGGUGGUGACAAGGAACAAGGCACGACUUGUGGCAAAAGGUUAUGCCCAAGUCGCAGGUUUGGACUUUGAGGAAACUUUUGCUCCUGUGGCUAGGCUAUAGUCAAUUCGCAUACUGUCAGUGUAUGUCGCUCACCAUUCUUUCAGGUUGUUCCAAAUGGAUGUGAAGAGCGCUUUCCUCAACGGGCCAAUCAAGGAGGAGGUGUACGUAGAGCAACCCCCUGGCUUUGAGGAUGAACGUUACCCCGACCACGUGUGUAAGCUCUCUAAGGCGCUCUAUGGACUUAAGCAAGCCCCAAGAGCAUGGUAUGAAUGCCUUAGAGACUUUUUAAUUGCUAAUGCUUUCAAGGUUUGGAAAGCUGAUCCAACUUUAUUCACGAAGACUUGUGAUGGUGACUUAUUUGUGUGCCAAAAUUAUGUCGAUGACAUAAUAUUUGGUUCUACUAACCAAAAGUUUUGUGAAGAGUUUAGCAGGGUGAUGACUCAAAAGUUUGAAAUGUCGAUGAUGGGCGAGUUGAACUACUUCCUUGGGUUCCAAGUGAAGCAACUCAAGGACGGCACUUUCAUCUCCCAAACAAAGUACACGCAAGACUUGAUCAAGCGGUUUGGGAUGAAGGACGCCAAGCCCGCAAAGACUCCAAUGGGAACUGACGGACACGUCGACCUCAACAAAGGAGGUAAGUCCGUUGAUCAAAAAGCAUACCGGUCUAUGAUAGGUUCCUUGCUUUACUUAUGUGCUAGUAGACCGGAUAUUAUGCUUAGUGUAUGCAUGUGUGCUAGAUUUCAAUCCGAUCCAAGGGAGUGUCACUUAGUGGUGAGAGCACCUAGAGGGGGGGGGUGAAUAGGUGAUCCUGUGAAACUUGAAAACUUAAGCCCCAAAAACUUGGUUAAUCGUUAGCACAAUAAUUGCCAAGUGGCUAGAGAGGAGUCAAAACACAGUAACCACAAGAAAUCAAUCACAGAGAUGGCACAGUGGUUAUCCCGUGGUUCGGCCAAGUACAAAACUUGCCUACUCCACGUUGUGGCGUCCCAACGGACGAGAGUUGCACUCAACUCCUCUCAAGUGAUCCAAUGAUCAACUUGAAUACCACUGUGUUCUUCUUUACUUUAAUCUUUUCCCGUUUGCGAGGAAUCUCCACAACUUGGAGUCUCUCGCCCUUACACUUGAAGUUCACAAAGAAGUACGGAGUAAGGGAGGGAAGCAACACACACAAAUCCACAGCAAAAUGCGCACACACACGGCCAAGAAUCGAGCUCAAAAAACUAUCUCAAAGUUCUCACUAGAACGGAGCUCGAAUCACUGAGAAUGACAAACGAAUGCGCAAAGACUGAGUGUGGAUGAUCAAGAAUGCUCUAAGGUUGCUUGGGUGUCUUCUUAGGGGUCCCUUUUAUAGCCCCAAGGCAGCUAGGAGCCGUUGAGAGCAAAUCUGGAAGGCCAAUCUUGCCUUCUGUCGUCGGGUGCACCGGACAGUCCGGUGCACACCGGACACUGUCCGGUGCCCGAUCUCCUUCCUAAAAUGGCGCAGCCGACCGUUGCAGAUCUGGGAGCCGUUGGCGCACCGGACAUGUCCGGUGCACACCGGACAGUCCGGUGCCCCCUUCCGACCGUUGGCCCGGCCACGUGUCGCGCGCAGAUUCCGCUGCCGACCAUUGGCUCGGCCGACCGUUGGCUCACCGGACAGCCCGGUGCACACCGGACAGUCCGGUGAAUUUUAGCCGUACGCCGUCGGCGAAUUCCCGAGAGCGGCCACUUCACGCCGAGUCAGCCUGGCGCACCGGACACUGUCCGGUGCACCACCGGACAGUCCGGUGUGCCAGACUGAGCUGAGUCUUGGCUGUACACAGCCAAGCCUUUUGCACCUCUUAUGUUUUCUUCUUCUUUCUGUUUCUAACACUUAGACAAGUAUAUUAGUACACAAAACCAAUGUACUAAGGCUUAGAAACAUACAUUUACCCUUGAUUUGCACUUUGUCCAUCCAUGAGCAUAAAUUCACAUUUAAGCACUUGUGUUGGCACUCAAUCACCAAAAUACUUAGAAAUGGCCCAAGGGCACAUUUCCCUUUCAAUCUCCCCCUUUUUGGUGAUUUAUGCCAACACAACAUAAAGCAACUAGAACAAGUGCAAUAUCACUUCAAAUAAAACUCAAAUUUAUUUUGAUUCAUUUUUGGCAUAUAUGGAUCAUCCUUUGCCACCACUUGGUUUGUUUUUGCAAAUCAAAUUCAAAUCUCUAUCUCUAAGUCAAACACACAUGUUGAAGCAUAAAGAGAGUCAUUCCAAAAGAGAUUGAUCAAAGAUUUCAAAAACUCUCCCUUUUUCCCAUAAUCAUUACUUCUCCCCACAAGAAGCCAACUUUUGACAAAAGAGACAAUAAAAGAGUUUUGACAAACCAAAAGCUCUACUCUACUAUUUUCAAAUCUCUCAAGUGGUAGCUGAUCCAUUUAUUGCUUUGGCCUUUAUUUUCUCCCCCUUUGGCAUCAAACACCAAAACGGGAUCAAUCUUGGCCCGAUAACCCCAUUGCCUCACCAAAAUCUUCAAUUAAGAGCAAAUGGCAAUAAGAGUUCAUGAGAUGGACUUGGAAUAAGUUACCCUCUCAUCGAAGUGCAGUGGAAGUCUUUCAUGGUCCAAGUCCACCUUUUCCCUUUCAGUUCUCCUUCGAGACUAAAUCAAGCAAACUCAAGCAUAUGGUUAGUAUCAAAGGGUCAAGUUGUAGCACAUCUCCCCCCUAAACAUGUGCAUCACUUUGCAACGGACUUGUGAGGUCCAGGGAGUGUUUGUACAACUUGAGCACCACAAUAAGCAACAAAAUGCAGAAUGAACAUGAUCAAAGGCAUAAACACAUGUAUGCUACAAUUCAAUCCAAGUUCCGCGAAUCUAAGACAUUUAGCUCACUACGCAGCCUGCAAAAGGUCUUCUCAUCUAGAGGCUUGGUAAAGAUAUCGGCUAGCUGGUUCUCGGUGCUAACAUGAAACACUUCGAUAUCUCCCUUUUGCUGGUGGUCUCUCAAAAAGUGAUGCCGGAUGUCUAUGUGCUUUGUGCGGCUGUGUUCAACAGGAUUUUCCGCCAUGCGGAUAGCACUCUCAUUAUCACAUAGGAGUGGGACUUUGCUCAGAUUGUAGCCAAAGUCCCUGAGGGUUUGCCUCAUCCAAAGUAGUUGCGCGCAACACUGUCCUGCGGCAACAUACUCGGCCUCAGCGGUGGAUAGGGCAACGGAGGUUUGUUUCUUAGAGUUCCAUGACACCAGGGACCUUCCUAAGAAUUGGCACGUCCCCGAUGUACUCUUCCUAUCGACCUUACAUCCAGCAUAGUCGGAAUCUGAAUAUCCAAUCAAUUCAAAGGUAGACCCCUUUGGAUACCAGAGCCCGAAGCAAGGCGUAGCAGCUAAAUAUCUAAGGAUUCGCUUCACUGCCACUAAGUGACAUUCCUUAGGAUCGGAUUGAAAUCUAGCACACAUGCAUACGCUAAGCAUAAUAUCCGGUCUACUAGCACAUAAGUAAAGUAACGACCCUAUCAUUGACCGGUAUGCCUUUUGAUCAACGGACUUACCUCCUUUGUUGAGGUCGGUGUGUCCGUCGGUUCCCAUCGGAGUCUUUGCGGGCUUGGCGUCCUUCAUCCCAAACCGCUUCAGCAGAUCUUGCGUGUACUUCGUUUGAGAGAUGAAGGUGCCGUCCUUGAGUUGCUUCACUUGGAACCCAAGGAAGUAGUUCAACUCGCCCAUCAUUGACAUCUUGAAUUUCUACGUCAUCACCCUGCUAAACUCUUCACAAGACUUUUUAUUAGUAGAACCAAAUAUUAUGUCAUCGACAUAAAUUUGGCACACAAACAAAUCACCAUCACAUGUCUUAGUGAAAAGAGUUGGAUCGGCUUUCCCAACCUUGAAAGCAUUAGCAAUUAAGAAAUCUCUAAGGCAUUCAUACCAUGCUCUUGGGGCUUGCUUAAGUCCAUAGAGCGCCUUAGAGAGCUUACACACGUGGUCGGGGUACCGUUCAUCCUCGAAGCCAGGGGGUUGCUCCACGUACACCUCCUCCUUGAUUGGCCCGUUGAGGAAAGCGCUCUUCACAUCCAUUUGGAACAACCUGAAAGAAUGGUGAGCGGCAUAUGCUAGCAAGAUACGAAUCGAUUCUAGCCUAGCCACAGGAGCAAAAGUUUCCUCAAAGUCCAAACCUGCGACUUGGGCAUAACCUUUUGCCACAAGUCGAGCCUUGUUCCUAGUCACCACCCCGUGCUCGUCCUGUUUGUUGCGGAACACCCACUUGGUUCCCACAAUAUUUUGCUUGGGACGAGGCACCAGUGUCCAAACUUCAUUCCUCUUGAAGUUGUUGAGCUCCUCUUGCAUGGCCAACACCCAGUCCGGAUCUAGCAAGGCCUCUUCUACCCUGAAAGGCUCAAUAGAAGAGACAAAAGAGUAAUGUUCACAAAAAUUAACUAAUCGAGACCGAGUAGUUACUCCCUUGCUAAUGUCACCCAGAAUUUGGUCGACGGGAUGAUCCCUUUGAAUCAUCGCUCGAACUUGGGUUGGAGGUGCCUGUUCCGCUUCUUCCUCCAUCGCAUGAUCAUCUUGUGCUCCCCCUUGAUCACACGCCUCCUGUUGAUGAACCUGUUCAUCGUCUUGAGUUGGGGGAUGCACCAUAGUUGAGGAAGAAGGUUGAUCUCGUUCAUCUUGUUCCUGUGGCCGAACGUCUCCAAUCGCCAUGGUUCGUAUAGCGGCCGUUGGAACAUCUUCUUCAUCUACAUCAUCAAGAUCAACAACUUGCUCUCUUGGAGAGCCAUUAGUCUCAUCAAAUACAACGUCGCUAGAGACUUCAACCAAACCAGAUGAUUUGUUGAAGACCCUAUACGCCUUUGUAUUUGAAUCAUAACCUAACAAAAACCCUUCUACAACUUUGGGAGCAAACUUAGAAUUUCUACCCUUCUUCACUAGAAUGUAGCACUUGCUCCCAAAUACACGAAAGUAAGAUACAUUGGGUUUGUUACCGGUUAGUAGCUCAUACGACGUCUUCUUGAGGAGGCGAUGAAGGUAGACCCUGUUGAUGGCGUGGCAAGCCGUGUUCACGGCUUCUGUCCAAAAGCACUCGGGGGUCUUGAACUCUCCUAGCAUCGUCCUUGCCAUAUCGAUGAGCGUCCUGUUCUUCCUCUCUACCACACCAUUUUGUUGUGGUGUGUAGGGAGCGGAGAACUCGUGCUUGAUUCCUUCUUCCUCAAGGAACUCCUCCACUUGAAGGUUCUUGAAUUCGGACCCGUUGUCGCUCCUUAUCUUCUUCACCUUGAGCUCAAACUCGUUUUGAGCUCUCCUUAGGAAGCGCUUGAGGGUUCCUUGGGUCUCAGACUUAUCCUGCAAAAAGAAUACCCAAGUGAAGCGGGAAAAGUCAUCAACAAUAACUAGACCAUACUUACUUCCUCCUAUGCUUAGAUAAGCAACGGGUCCGAAGAGGUCCAUAUGCAGCAGCUCCAGCGGUCUUGAGGUGGUCAUCACAUUCUUGCUGUGAUGUGCUCCUCCCACUUGUUUACCUGCUUGACAAGCUGCACAAGGUCUAUCUUUUUCGAAUUGCACGUUAGUCAGACCUAUCACGUGUUCUCCCUUUAGAAGCUUGUGAAGGUUCUUCAUCCCCACAUGUGCUAAGCGGCGAUGCCACAGCCAGCCCAUGCUAGUCUUAGCUAUUAAGCAUGCAUCUAGACCGGCUUCUUCUUUUGCAAAAUCAACUAAAUAAAGUUUGCCGUCUAAUACACCCUUAAAAGCUAGUGAACCAUCACUUCUUCUAAAGACAGACACAUCUACAUUUGUAUAUAGACAGUUAUAUCCCAUAUUGCAUAAUUGACUAACCGAUAGCAAAUUAUAUCCAAGAGACUCUACUAAAAACACAUUAGAGAUAGAGUGCUCAUUAGAAAUUGCAAUUUUACCUAACCCUUUUACCUUGCCUUGAUUCCCAUCACCGAAUAUAAUUGAAUCUUGGGAAUCCUUAUUCUUGACGUAGGAGGUGAACAUCUUCUUCUCCCCCGUCAUAUGGUUUGUGCAUCCGCUGUCGAUAAUCCAGCUUGAACCCCCGGAUGCAUAAACCUGCAAGGCAAAUUUAGGCUUGGGUUUUAGGUACCCAACUCAUGUUGGGUCCUACAAGGUUAGCACAAAUAUCCUUAGGGACCCAAAUGCAAGUUUUGUCUCCCUUGCAUCUUGCCCCUAAUUUUCUAGCAACUAUCUUCCUAUCCUUUCUACAAAUAGCAAAGGAAGCAUUUAAAGCAUGAUAUAUUGUGGAAGGUUCAUUAACUUUCCUAGGAACAUCAACAACAUUUCUCCUAGGCAUAUUAUGAACAACAUUUCUCCUACUAACAUUUCUAUCAUGCACAUAGGAAGAACUAGAAGCAAACAUGGCAUGAGAAUCAAAAGCAUCAUAUGCAUUAUAACUCCGAUAAGCAUUUCUGGAUUGUCUCUUAUCAUGAUACAAAAAGGCAUAGUUCUUUUUAGCACUACUAGCCAUAGGGGCCUUCCCUUUCUCCUUGGCGGGAAUGGGAGCCUUAUGGCUUGUUAAGUUCUUGGCUUCUCUCUUGAAGCCAAGUCCAUCCUUAAUUGAGGGGUGUCUACCAACUGUGUAGGCAUCCCUAGCAAAUUUUAGUUUCUCAAAAUCACUUUUGCUAGUCUUAAGUUGGGCAUUAAGACUAGCUACCUCUUCAUUUAAUUUAGAAAUGCAAGCUAGGUGUUCACUAUAAGCAUCAAGGUUAAUAUCUUUACACCUAGUGCACGUUACAACAUUUUCUACACAAGAGGUAGAUUUACUAGCAAUCUCUAACUUAGCAUUCAAAUCAUCAUUAAUGCUCCUUAAUUUAGAAAUUGUCUCAUGACAAGAAGAUAAUUCACAAGAAAGCAUUUCAUUUCUGUUAACUUCUAGAGCAUGAGAUUUUUGUGCUUCUACAAAUUUAUCAUGCUCUUCAUACAACAAAUCCUCUUGCUUUUCUAAAAGCAUAUUCUUAUCAUUCAAGGCAUCAAUCAAUUCAUUAAUUUUUUCUACCUUGGUUCUAUCUAGGCCCUUAAACAAACAUGAGUAAUCUACUUCAUCCUCAUCACUAGAUUCGUCCUCACUUGAAGAAGCAUAGGUAGAGCUUCGAGUACAUACCUUCUUCUCCCUUGCCAUAAGGCAUGUGUGACGCUCGUUUGGGAAGAGGGCUGAUUUGUUGAAGGCGGUGGCGGCGAGUCCCUCGUUGUCGGAGUCGGAAGAGGAGCAAUCCGAAUCCCAUUCCUUUCCAAGAUGUGCCUCGCCCUUGGUCUUCUUGUAAUUCUUCUUCUUUUCCCUCUUGUUUCCCUGUUCCUGGUCACUAUCAUUAUCGGGGCAGUUAGCGAUAAAAUGACCAAUCUUACCGCACUUGAAGCAUGAGCGCUUCCCCUUUGUCUUGGUCUUGCUUGGCUGCCCCUUGUGACCCUUUAGCACCGUCUUGAAGCGUUUGAUGAUGAGAGCCAUCUCUUCAUCAUGGGCCGCCUCAAUUUGUGCCACCUUGCUAGGUAGCGCCUCCUUGCUUCUUGUUGCUUUGAGAGCAAGAGGUUGCGGCUCGUUGAUCGGUCCAUUCAAGGCGUCGUCCACGUACCUUGCUUCCUUAAUCAUCAUUCGCCCGCUGACGAAUUUUCCUAGGACUUCUUCGGGCGACAUUUUGGUGUACCUGGGAUUCUCACGAAUAUUAUUCACCAAAUGAGGAUCAAGAAUGGUAAAGGACCUUAGUAAUAGUCGGACGACGUCAUGGUCCGUCCAUCGCGUGCUUCCAUAGCUCCUUAUUUUGUUGAUAAGGGUCUUGAGCCGGUUGUAUGUUUGGGUUGGCUCCUCGCCCCUUAUCAUCGCAAACCUUCCAAGCUCGCCCUCCACCAACUCCAUUUUAGUAAGCAUGGUGAUGUCGUUCCCCUCGUGAGAGAUCUUGAGGGUGUCCCAUAUCUGCUUGGCAUUGUCCAAGCCGCUCACCUUAUUGUACUCUUCCCUGCACAAGGAUGCUAAUAGAACAGUAGUAGCUUGUGCAUUUCUAUGGAUUUGUUCAUUUAUAAGCAUAGGGCUAUCCGAGCUAUCAAAUUUCAUUCCAUUCUCUACAAUCUCCCAUAUGCUUGGAUGGAGAGAGAAUAAAUGACUACGCAUUUUGUGACUCCAAAAUCCGUAGUCCUCCCCAUCGAAGUGUGGAGGUUUGCCAAGAGGAAUGGAAAGCAAAUGCGAAUUCGAACUAUGUGGAAUACGAGAAUAAUCAAAUGAAAAGUUUGAAUUGACCGUCUUCCUGUAGUCGUUGUCGUCGUCCUUUUGGGAAGAAGUAGACUCAUCGCUGUCGUCGUAGUAGACGAUCUCCUUGAUGCGCCUUGUCUUCUUCUUUUUCCCAUCUUUGCGUCUGCGGCCCGAGCCCGAGUCGUUGGACUUGUCAUCCCUUGGCUCGUUGACGAAGGACUCCUUCUCCCUGUCGUUGAUCACAAUUCCCUUCCCUUUAGGAUCCAUCUCUUCGGGCGGUUAGUCCCUUUGUGAAGAGAACGGUUCUGAUACCAAUUGAGAGCACCUAGAGGGGGGUGAAUAGGUGAUCCUGUGAAACUUGAAAACUUAAGCCCCAAAAACUUGGUUAAUCGUUAGCACAAUAAUUGCCAAGUGGCUAGAGAGGAGUCAAAACACAGUAACCACAAGAAAUCAAUCACAGAGAUGGCACAAUGGUUAUCCCGUGGUUCGGCCAAGUACAAAACUUGCCUACUCCACGUUGUGGCGUCCCAACGGACGAGAGUUGCACUCAACUCCUCUCAAGUGAUCCAAUGAUCAACUUGAAUACCACGGUGUUCUUCUUUACUUUAAUCUUUUCCCGUUUGCGAGGAAUCUCCACAACUUGGAGUCUCUCGCCCUUACACUUGAAGUUCACAAAGAAGUACGGAGUAAGGGAGGGAAGCAACACACACAAAUCCACAGCAAAAUGCGCACACACACGGCCAAGAAUCGAGCUCAAAAGACUAUCUCAAAGUUCUCACUAGAACGGAGCUCGAAUCACUGAGAAUGACAAACGAAUGCGCAAAGACUGAGUGUGGAUGAUCAAGAAUGCUCUAAGGUUGCUUGGGUGUCUUCUCCAUGCGCCUAGGGGUCCCUUUUAUAGCCCCAAGGCAGCUAGGAGCCGUUGAGAGCAAAUCUGGAAGGCCAAUCUUGCCUUCUGUCGUCGGGUGCACCGGACAGUCCGGUGCACACCGGACACUGUCCGGUGCCCGAUCUCCUUCCUAAAAUGGCGCAGCCGACCGUUGCAGAUCUGGGAGCCGUUGGCGCACCGGACAUGUCCGGUGCACACCGGACAGUCCGGUGCCCCCUUCCGACCGUUGGCCCGGCCACGUGUCGCGCGCAGAUUCCGCUGCCGACCGUUGGCUUGGCCGACCGUUGGCUCACCGGACAGUCCGGUGCACACCGGACAGUCCGGUGAAUUUUAGCCGUACGCCGUCGGCGAAUUCCCGAGAGCGGCCACUUCACGCCGAGUCAGCCUGGCGCACCGGACACUGUCCGGUGCACCAUCGGACAGUCCGGUGUGCCAGACUGAGCUGAGUCUUGGCUGUACACAGCCAAGCCUUUUGCACCUCUUAUCUUUUCUUCUUCUUUCUGUUUCUAACACUUAGACAAGUAUAUUAGUACACAAAACCAAUGUACUAAGGCUUAGAAACAUACCUUUACCCUUGAUUUGCACUUUGUCCAUCCAUGAGCAUAAAUUCACAUUUAAGCACUUGUGUUGGCACUCAAUCACCAAAAUACUUAGAAAUGGCCCAAGGGCACAUUUCCCUUUCAAGUGGCCAUGAAGCAAAUUCUUAGAUAUUUAGUCGCUACGCCUUGCUUUGGGAUCUGGUAUCCAAAGGGGCCUACCUUUGACUUGAUUGGAUAUUCAGACUCCGAUUAUGCUGGUUGUAAGGUUGAUAGGAAGAGUACAUCAGGGACGUGCCAAUUCUUAGGAAGGUCCCUGGUGUCUUGGAGUUCUAAGAAACAAACUUUCGUUGCCCUAUCCACCGCUGAGGCCGAGUACGUUGCCGCAGGACAGUGUUGCGCGCAACUACUUUGGAUGAGGCAAACCCUCAGGGACUUUGGCUACAAUCUGAGCAAAGUCCCACUCCUAUGUGAUAAUGAGAGUGCUAUCCGCAUGGCAGAUAAUCGUGUUGAACACAGCCGCACAAAGCACAUAGACAUCCGGCAUCACUUUUUGAGAGACCACCAGCAAAAGGGAGAUAUCGAAGUGUUUUAUGUUAGCACCGAGAACCAGCUAGCCGAUAUCUUUACCAAGCCUCUAGAUGAGUCAACCUUUUGCAGGCUGCGUAGUGAGCUAAAUGUCUUAGAUUCGCGGAACUUGGAUUGAUUUAUAGCAUACAUGUGUUUUAUGCUUUGAUCAUGUUCCUUCUAUGCAUUUUGUUGUUUAUUUAUGAUGCUCAAGUUGUACAAGCACUCCCCGGACCUCAAAAGUCCAUGUGUGAGUGAUGCACAUAUUUAGGGGGAGAUGUGCUACAACUUGACCCUUUGAGACUAAUAGUGUGCUUGAGUUUACUUGAUUUAGUCUCAAAGGUGUAUUGAAAGGGAAAGGUGGACUUGGACCAUGAAAGACUUCCACUGCACUCCGAUGAAAGGGUAACUAACUCCAAGUUCAUCUCCAUGCUCUUUUUUCCUUUUUACUCUUAAUUGAAGAUCUUCGGUGAGGAAAUGGGGUUAAAGAGCCAAGAUUGAUCUCGUUUUUGGUGCUUGAUGCCAAAGGGGGAGAAAAUAAGGCCAAAGCAAGAAAUGGAUCAGCUACCACUUGAGAAUUUUGAAAAUAGUAGAGUUAGAAUUUUUUGUUUUGUCAAAAUCCUCUUAAUGUCUAUUCUUGUCAAAAGUUGGUCUCUUGUGGGGAGAAUGUUUGAUUAUGGGAAAAGGGGGAGUUUUUGAAUCUUUGAUAAAUUUCUCUUGGAAUCUCUCUCUAUGCUUCAACAGGUGAAUUUGACUUAGAGAUAGGAAAUUGAGUUUGAUUUGCAAAAACAAACCAAGUGGUGGCAAAGAACGAUCCAAAUAUGCCAAAUUUGAAUCAAAACAAAUUCUUGUUCUCAUUUGCAUUGAUGUUGCACUUCUAUAUGUUGCUUUUUGUUGUGUUGGCAUAAAUCACCAAAAAGGGGGAGAUUGAAAGGGAAAUGUGCCCUUGGGCCAUUUCUAUGUAUUUUGGUGAUUAAGUGUCCAACACAAAUGGUUGUGUUAAACUAUGCCAAAUGGUGGACAAAGUGCAAAUCAAUACAAAGGUAUGAUUCUAGACUUAGUACAUUGGUUUUUGUGUACUAACAUAUUUGUCUAAGUGCUAGAAUCAGAGAAAAGACAAAUGGCAAUGACUUGGCUCGAGCAGCCAAGUCUCUGCUUAGUCUGAGUGCACCGGACAGUGUCCGGUGUGCCAGGCUGGCGUCUGGUGAACAGCCUACUCUCGGGUCUCGACGGCGACGUAAGGCUAUAAAUCACCGGACUGUCUGGUGGUGCACCAGACUGUCCGAUGAGCGAACGGUCGGCCACGCAAUCCGCGUGUGACGCGUGGCCGGGCCAACGGCCUGAUGGGGGCACCGGACUGUCCGGUGUGCACCGGACAGUGUCCGGUGUGACAACGGCUCCAAAUCUUCAACGGUCGGCUGCGCCAGAAUAGGAAAGAAAUCUGCACCGGACAGUGUCCGGUGGUGCACCGGACUGUCCGGUGCACCAGUCGACAAAAGGCAAGAUUUGCCUUCCUGGAUUGCUCUCAACGGCUCCUAGCUGCCUUGGGGCUAUAAAAGGGACCCCUAGGCGCAUGAAGGUGGACACCAAGCAUACUUUGAGCAUUCUUGAUCAUUCUCACUCCGACUUUGCGCACUCGUUUGACAUUCUUAGUGAUUUGAGCUCCGUUCUAGUGGUGAACUUUGUGAUACUCAUUUGAGCUCAAUUCUUGGCUGUGUGUGUGCGUAUUUGCUGUGGAUUUGAGUGUGUUGCUUCCCUCCCUUACUCUAGUGCUUUCACCUUGAUUCUUAUUGUAAGGGCGAGAGACUCCAAGUUGUGGAGAUUCCUCGCAAACGGGAAAGAGUAAAGAAAGAAGAACACUGUGGUAUUCAAGUUGAUCAUUGGAUCACUUGAAAGGAGUUGAGUGCGACUCUUGUCCAUUGGGACGCCACAACGUGGACUAGGCAAGUGUUGUACUUGGCCGAACCACGGGAUAAAUCUCUGUGUCUCUUGUGCUUGUUCUCACUGUGUUAAUUGUGAUUCACAAGAGCUCUCCUUAGCCACUUGAUUUUAUUGUACUAACACUUAAUCAAGUUUGUGGCUUUAAGUUUUAAGUUUUUACAAGAUCACCUAUUCACCCCCCCCCUCUAGGUGCUCUCACAUAGCCCAAAAUUGUUACUUCUAUUCUAUGACUCAUAUAUGUUGCUUCAUAAGCCCCAUUACGUGUAAUGACUAUCAUAGGUCUACGCAGUGCAAGGUAAUGUAGACUAUUUGCAUGAACAUAACGAGCAGAUAUGAAUGAAUGCGAAGCUCCAGAAUCAAAAAGUAUAGUAGCUGGCACAAAAUUAAUGAAGAACAUACCAAUGACGAUGUUAGGACCAUCCUCAGUAGCUUCAACAUUGAUUUGAUUAACCCUGGCGAUGCUAUAACCACGGUUGCUGCCUGGAGUCUAUGUCUGCUUGCCCUGAGAAUUACCACGAGCCGAUGUUUUGGGUUCCUCUUCAGACAAACAUUAGCAUAGUGACCAGCCUCACCACACUUGAAGCAUGUGGUGCCUGUAGCAGUGCCCUGUCCUGUAGGUCACGCCGGGGUGCCAGUGGGGGUAGCCUGACGAGUAUGCGGAGUCUGUGGUGUCGCUUGUGGCAUCUACUAAGCAGGUCAUUGGUAGGACUGUGGCCCACCUCCAGGAUGAGCUGGUGUACCUAGGGUGGAACAUAGCGAGGGCGAACGCUACUGCUCCCCUGUCCCUGGGUAAUAGCCUUCCUUUUCAUCUCACCCAGGUGAACACGUUUGUGUUCAACAGCUAUAGCCUUGUCAAGAAGCCUCUGGAAAGAUGGGAAGGUGUGAGAUACUAGCUGGUACUGGAGCAGCCCAAUUAGUCCCUCCAUGAAAUGCUCCUGCUUCCUUUCAUCAUCAGCAACCUCAUUUGGAGCAUACCUUGACAGCUGAAUAAACUUAUCACAGUAUUCACUGACUAACAUGUUGCCUUGCUUGAGUGACAAGAAUUCUUUCUUUUUUGUUUUCAUCAGGCCAGCAGGAAUAUGGUAGUUUCUGAAUUGUGUAGAAAAUUCUGCCCAGGUAAUAGUGUUGGCGGCAGCAUGGGCAACACUGUAGGAGUCUCACCAAUCAGCAACGGGGCCAGUGAGAUGACCCGACGCAUAGAGCACCUUCUCCUGAUCAGUACAUUGAGCAUCUUCUCCACUGAUUUCAGCCAAUCAUCAGCAUGUAGAGGAUCUGGAGAGCUCGAGAACGUGGGUGGCUUGUGACUCAUGAAUUCCCGGUGCUUGUCUCGAGGAGGAACUGGUGGUGGUGGUGGAGGUAGUGGUGGUUGUUGCUGCCUUUCCAGUCACUCUUGUCUCAUCUCCUGUCGCAUUUCCUGCCGUUCCUGAUGCAUCUCCUGGCGUUCUUGCCGCAUCUGAGCUUGCAUUUCAGUCAUUGUGUUCGCCAUCUGCUGCAGCUGCUGCGUCUGAGCGUGUCACACCCAGGUUUUAGGGGUACAAAACCCGGGCGCGAAAUAAUCACCAAGUGUGCUGGGACCAAGUCUCACACAUAUGAUGAAUAGUGGUACAGAAACGAAAGUCACAUCUUUCUUAUAUAAUAGGAGUUCUGUACAAAAUAAAUAAUUACACCAUAAGGAGACAACGAUCCAGCAACCCAAAGUUGACUGGGAGACGAUGGCCUAGACCUCUCACGAACUCAUCACAGCAUCCUCCAUGCGCCUCAUCUUGCGGUACCUGUUCUUGACCUGUGGGGGGUGUGAGACAGCAAGGGUGAGCUCACAUACGUUCAUCGCUCAACAAGUUGUGGGGAAUAAUGUGCAUGAACUCACCAAAGGUGGGAGCUCACGUGAAGUGUAAGGCUUACCAAAGAGGAUGGUUAGAGCUGAGCAUUGCUUUUAAAGUUAGUGAAAAUUUUAUUAGCAAUUACUAAGUAUAAGUAAAUACAAACCCAAUUAAGUGGUAGAACAAAAGUAAUAACAACACAUGUGAUGCAAUGCAUAUGACAAAUUGAAUUUAGUUCCAUAAAUUAAUCAUGUGAGUGUCCGAGCUGCUCAUGACCGUGAGCACGGCUAGUAUACCAGUUUUUACACUCUGCAGAGUGUGCACAUCUUUACCCACAAGUCAUGUUACCCAUAUGCUAAGAGAAGGUCACUCCCAUACACCUCUACCGAGGAGGCGAGGCAGGGUAACACUACAAGGCCUUUACAAAGUUCCACUAGCUUCAGAAAACCCGCUACAGUUUAUAGGAAGCUCCAAUGCACGGAUCCCUCGCCUGACCGCCAUCCCAGCAAAAUCAACCCAAGGACCUCCCUACACUGACCACUCCCCUACUGCCCUUGCCCCUUUUGGGUAAGGUAGUCCUCCACUAGCUUUCCUAAUUAGUUAGCCAAGGGCAUCCCAUUCUACCCUUGUGGUAGCACUGUUUUCCCUGGUGGUUCUCCAUGUUCCCAUUAACAUAAUAAUCUUAUCAUGAACAGUAAAUAACAACUGAUAAUAAAAGUGUAAUCAUGAAUAAUAAUGUGUAUCUCUAUACCCAAAACCACAUAAAGUAAUAGCAGGUACUACCCAAAAAUUCAGUGGUAAACAAGGUAUAAAGAUAGUCAAACUAGGGUAACCUAUUGGAUCCCAUCAAAAUUAACCUAUACAGAUCAUUAUGAUUAAUAAGAACAUGAUUGGGUAAAAAUAAGUGAACAAGGGCACAACUUGCCUGGAACUUGAGAUUCCAGGUACCAACUUGCUUUUCAGAUGACUUGUAACCUCGCGCUAGUCGUAGCAAUACAAACAGACAUGGUAUAGGAAAAAUUAACAUCACACCAAACAUAAGAAUAAACUACGUAAUAAUAAUCUACGCGUCGCUACGAGAUCGUGGAUUCAAGAACCACUAAAAUCGGAGUUAUAGUUACAGAGUUUUGAUUUAUGGAAGAUCUAUAUGAUUUAAUUAUUAAACUAUAUUAUAAAUUGGUUAGUACAUAUCAUAUGAGAUAAUAUACUCCAAAUAGUUAAGUAAACUUUAAUCCCGAUUAUAACUUGUUUAGAAAUCAUAUUAUAGUAAAAUUAUAAUUAUAGAUAUGUCAACCUUGGAUUAGACGAGUUAGUCUACUAACCAUAAGUUAAAUAAAUAUCUAAGUAUAAAAGUACUUGAUAUGCUACAAAUAAUAUUUUUACUGCUUAGAAAAUAUUUUUAUGCAACCAACGCAAUUUGAAUGGACUAAAACGGAGUUAAAAUGAAUGAGUUAUGGAAUAAACAAGUUUCUAUGUAUUUUUAACAUUUAUUUUAUGAAUUUCUAGGAUUUAUGGACUGCGAGCCCAAAAUUGUGGAAGUCCAGGGUUUAUCUUGUAAAUAUCAGGGCCCGACUGUAAUUACUUUUCACUGGGAAAGGACCGUGGGUUUAUUAUAAUAAAUCUGAGGUGCUCUUAUGCAAAGUGUUAUGGCCAAAGGAGUAUGGAUAACUACUGGCCAUGAGAUCGUGAAUCAGGGGCUCAGAUUAGAAGUUCACCCAUCUGAACCGGUAUGUAAUAUCAACUGCGGGAUCAGAGAUCAACGGUCAAGGUUUUACGCGACCAUGAUCUAAUCCCAUACGCCCGAUCUGGAAUUAACGGCUACGGUUGCAUCAUCCUGAACCGGUAUACGGAUGAGAUCUCGAUCGUCUAUCCCAGGAUGGAUGGUGCAGGGGGCUUCAUCUUCCUCUGUGACGCAACAACUGAGCACGGCGGGGCACAUGCCCGUGAUGGCGGUGCCCCCCAGUGAGUACCCCAUUACAGCACUCUGGUGCCCAAUUCUAAGUGACGAAAGUAGCUACACGAGAAGGGGAAACAAGCGAACCUGUUAGGGUCGAUCAAUGGGCGAGUCGCGACGAGCGGACGGUUAUCCAUGUCGAAGGGUGGAUCCAUGGCGGGUCAUGAAGUUCAGCGAGCAACUGCGCCAACCUCAAAGCUUCCCCAUGGAUGCUGAUGCAUUGAAUAUCUUAUACUCCACCAAGCGAUUCCCCAGAGCCCCAAGCUGAGGCCCGAAUGGUGCCCUUCCACGAGAAUGGUGGCAGUGCGGUGUGUGCUCCCUUUUAUCCCACACGCGAGUUCUGCAAACACAGCGUCGAUUUAGGUCUGCAGCUCAAGUUGGCAGGACGAGGGAGGGGGGCUAUUACUUGGAUUAUAUAGGGCCGGCUUAAUCGAAUCCUAGCACCCGCGUUCAAUUGAUGAACCCGGAUUCCCUCUUCCCGGAUUCGGCACGGAAGACGCACUUGUCUGAGUUGAGAAGGAUUUCUAGAACGCAGCAGCAACAUGUGAGCCGCGAGCCCGCGAAUCGAAGGCAGUCGAGAGGACUCUGUUUGCAGGAGCGAACGCGGUGGUAUAAUAGCCACACAGAGAUUGCGGUGGGUUUGUGAAAGUUGCCUAGAGGGGGGUGAAUAGGCGAAAACUGAAAUUUACAAACUUUAAGCACAACUACAAGCCGGAGUUAGUGUUAGAAAUAAAACCGAGUCUGAAAGAGAGGGUGAAAACAAAUCAACCAAAGAAAAUAGAGCGGAUGACACGGUGAUUUGUUUUAACGAAGUUCGGUUCCAAUGAACCUAGUCCCCGUUGAGGUGGUCACAAGACCAGGUCUCUUUCCACCCUUUUCCUCUCUCAAACGGUCACUUAGACCGAGUGAGCUUUCUCCUUAAUCAAACGGGUCACUUAGACCCCUUACAAGGACCACCACAACUUGGUGUCUCUUUCUUUGAUUACAAGUGUCUUGAGAACAAGAAUGGGGAAGGAAAAAGCGAUCCAAGAACAAGAGCUCAAAGAACACGAGCAAAAACUCUCUCUCUAGUCACUAUUUGUUUGGAGUGGAUUUGGGACUUGGAGAGGCUUUGAUUCUUUUGAAUUGUGUCUUGUAUUGAUUGCACUAGCUCUUGUAUUGAAUGUGAAGUCUGAAAAACUUGGAUGCUUGAAGUGGUGGUGGUUGGGGGGUAUUUAUAGCCCCAACCACCAAACCAACCGUUGGGGAAGGCUGUUGUCGAUGGGCGCACUGGACAGUCUGGUGCGCCACCGAACACUGUCUGGUGCGCCAGCCACGUCACCCAACCGUUAGGGUUCUGACGGUUUCGAUCGUUGGAGCUCUGACAACUUGGUGCACUGGACAGUCCGGUGCCGCACCGGACAGGCACUGUUCACUGUCUGGUGCGCCUUCUGGCGCUGCUCUAACUCUGCGCAAACUGUCUGCACACUGUUCACACUACAGGCGACCGUUGGAGUCGACCGUUGCGCUUCUUAGCCGUUGUUCCACUGGCACACCGGACAGUCCGGUGACCCACCGGACAGUCCGGUGAAUUAUAGCGGUGCGGCUCUCCAGAAACCCGAAGGUGAAGAGUUGAGCCUGUACGGUCCCUGGUGCACCGGACACUGUCCGGACCGAACAGUCCGGUGUGCCAAACCAGGGUUCUCUUCGAUUUCUUUUGCUCUUUUCUUUUGAACCCUAACUUUGAUCUUUUUAUUGGUUUGUGUUGAACCUUUAGCACCUAUAGAGCAUAUAAUCUAGAGAAAACUAGUUAGUCCAAUUAUUUGUGUUGGGCAUUUCAACCACCAAAAUCAUUUAGGAAAAGGUUUGACCCUGUUUCCCUUUCAAUCUCCCCCUUUUUGGUGAUUGAUGCCAACACAAACCAAAGCAAAUAUAUAAGUGCAGUAUUGAACUAGUUUGCAUAAGUUAAGUGAAAAGGUUGCUUCGAAUUAAACCAAUUUAUACUUUCACUAGAUAUGAAUGGAUUGCUUUCUUUCUUUUAACAUUUUGGACCACAUUUGCAACACUAGUUUUGUUUUUGCAAAUUAUUUUGGAAAAUCUUUUCAAAGUCCUUUUGCAAAUAGUCAAAGGUAUAUGAAUAAAAUUGUGAGAAGCAUUUUUUAGAUUUGAAAUUUUCUCCUCAUGUUUCAAAUGCUUUUCCUUUGACUUAAACAAAACUCCCCCUGGAUGAAAUUAUCCUUUUAGUGUUCAAGAGGGUUUUACCAAUUGAAAGAAUAUCAAAUAUUUGAGAUACCAAUUUGAAAUAUGUCUAUAAAAUAUUUCCAUCAUAAGAUGCCAAUUGAAAACUUCUUUUAAAAUUUUUUGAAAUUGGUGGUGGUGCGGUCCUUUUGCUUUGGCCUACAUUUCUCCCCCUUUGGCAUUAAUCGCCAAAAACGGAAUCUUUUGAGAGCCCUUUUUACUUUCUCCUCGUUGGUACUAAUAAUAAGAGUGAAGAUUAUACCAAAGUGGAGAGCGGUGCAGAGUGACGGCGAAGGGGUAAAUAAUUCUGAUAGAGUGGAGUGGAAGCCUUGUCUUCGCCGAAGAUUCCAUUUCCCUUUCAAUCUACGACUUAGCAUAGGAAUACACUUGAAAACACAUUAGUCAUAGACAUAAAGAAGAUAUGAUCAAAGGUACAUAUUUGAGCUAUGUGUGCAAAGUAUCAAUCAAUGUUUCGAGAAUCAAGAAUGUUUAGCUCAUUCCUAAGUUUGGUAAAGGUUUUCUCAUCUAAUGGUUUGGUAAAGAUAUCGGCUAGUUGUUAUUUGGUGCUAACAUAAGCAAUCUCGAUAUCCCCCCUUUGUUGGUGAUCUCUCAAAAAGUGAUAUCAAAUGGCUAUGUGCUUAGUGUGGCUAUGUUCAAUGGGAUUAUCUGCCAUGCGGAUUGCACUCUCAUUAUCACAUAGGAGAGGGACUUUGCUCAAUUUGUAGCCAUAGUCCCUAAGGGUUUGCCUCAUCCAAAGCAAUUGCGUGCAACAAUGGCCUGCGACAAUGUACUCGGCUUCGGCGGUAGAAAGAGCUACUGAGUUUUGUUUCUUUGAAGCCCAAGACACCAGGGAUCUUCCUAGAAACUGACAAGUCCCUGAUGUGCUCUUCCUAUCAAUUUUAUACCCUGCCUAAUCAGCAUCUGAAUAACCUAUUAAAUCAAAGGUGGAUCCCUUGGGGUACCAAAUACCAAACUUAGGUGUAUGAACUAAAUAUCUCAUGAUUCUUUUCAUGGCCCUAAGGUGAACUUCCUUAGGAUCGGCUUGGAAUCUUGCACACAUGCAUACAGAAAGCAUAAUAUCUGGUCGAGAUGCACAUAAAUAGAGUAAAGAUCCUAUCAUCGACCGGUAUACCUUUUGAUCUACGGAUUUACCUCUCGUGUCGAGGUCGAGAUGUCCAUUAGUUCACAUGGGUGUCUUGAUGGGCUUGGCAUCCUUCAUUCCAAAUUUGGUUAGUAUAUCUUGAAUGUACUUUGUUUGGCUAAUGAAGGUGCCCUCUUGGAGUUGCUUAACUUGAAAUCCUAGGAAAUACUUCAACUCCCCCAUCAUAGACAUCUCGAAUUUUUGAAUCAUUAUCCUACUAAACUCUUCACAAGUAAAUUUGUUAGUAGACCCAAAUAUGAUAUCAUCAACGUAAAUUUGGCAUACAAACAAAUCAUUUGCAAUGGUUUUAGUAAAGAGUGUAGGAUCGGCUUUGCUGACUUUGAAGACAUUAGUGAUAAGGAAAUCUCUUAGGCAUUAAUAUCAUGCUCUUGGGGCUUGCUUGAGCCCAUAAAGCGCCUUAGAGAGUUUAUACACAUGAUUAGGGUACUCACUAUCUUCAAAGCCGGGAGGUUGCUCAACAUAGACCUCUUCCUUGAUUGGUCCAUUGAGGAAGGCACUUUUCACGUCCAUUUGGUAAAGCUUAAAGCCAUGGUAAGUAGCAUAGGCAAGUAAUAUGUGAAUUGACUCAAGCCUAGCUACGGGUGCAUAGGUUUCACCGAAAUCCAAACCUUUGACUUGUGAAUAUCCUUUGGCUACAAGUCGGGCUUUGUUCCUUGUCACCACACCAUGCUCAUCUUGCUUGUUGCGGAAUACCCACUUGGUUCCUACAACAUUUUGGUUAGGACAUGGAACAAGAUGUCAUACCUCAUUUCUCAUGAAGUUGUUGAGCUCCUCUUGCAUUGCCAACACCCAAUCUGAAUCUCUUAAUGCAUCCUCUACCUUGUAUGGCUCAAUAGAGGAAACAAAAGAGUAAUGUUCACAAAAAUGGGCGACACGAGAUCGAGUGGUUACCCCCUUAUGAAUAUCGCCGAGGAUGGAGUUCACGGGGUGAUCUCUUUGUAUCACUUGGUGGACUCUUGGGUGUGGCGGUCUUUGACCCUGUUCUUCUUGAUCAUCUUCCUUGUCUUUGUCAUGGUCAUCUCCCCCUUGAUCAUUGCCCUCCUCUUGAGGUGGCUCAUUUUCUUGAUCUUCUUCUUCAUUGUCUUGAGCCUGAUCCUCAUCUUGAGUUGGUGGAGAUGCUUGAUUUGAAGAUGAUGGUUGAUCUUGUGCUUGUGGAGGCUCUUCAGAUUCCUUAGGACACACAUCCCCAAUGGACAUGUUCCUUAGCACGACGCACAGAGCCUCUUCAAUAUCUAGCUCAUCAAGAUCAACUUGCUCCACUUGGGAGCCAUUAGUCUCAUCAAACACAAUGUCACAAGAAACAUCAACUAGUCUAGUGGAUUUGUUGAAGACUCUAUAUGCCCUUGUGUUUGAGUCAUAACCAAGUAAAAAGCCUUCUACAACCUUAGGAGCAAACUUAAAUUUUCUACCUAUUUUAACAAGAAUAAAGCAUUUGCUACCAAAGACUCUAAAAUAUGAAACAUUGGGCUUUUUAUCGGUGAGGAGUUCAUAUGAUGUCUUUUUGAGGAUUCAGUGAAGGUAGAGCGGGUUGAUGGAGUAGCAAGCAGUGUUGAUUGCUUCUGCCCAAAACCGGUCCGGAGUCUUGUACUCAUCAAGCAUGGUCCUCGCCAUGUCAAGUAGAGUUCUAUUCUUCCUCUCCACUACACCAUUUUGUUGUGGUGUGUAGGGAGAAGAGAACUCAUGCUUGAUGCCCUCAUCCUCAAGAAAGCCUUCUAUUUGAGAGUUCUUGAACUCCGUCCCGUUGUCGCUUCUUAUCUUCUUGAUCCUUAAUCCAAACUCGUUUUGAGCUCGUCUCAAGAAUCCCUUUAAAGUCUCUUGGGUUUGAGAUUUUCCUGCAAAAAGAAUACCCAAGUGAAGCAAGAAUAAUCAUCCACAAUUACAAGACAAUACUUACUCCCGCCGAUGCUUAUGUAAGAUAUCGGGCCGAAUAGAUCCAUGUGGAGUAGCUCAAGCGGCUUGUCGGUCGUCAUGAUGUUCUUGUGUGGAUGGUGAGCACCAACUUGCUUUCCUGCUUGACAUGCACUACAAACCCUGUCUUUCUCAAAAUGAACAUUUGUUAGUCCCAAAAUGUGUUCUCCCUUUAGAAGCUUGUGAAGAUUCUUCAUCCCAACAUGGGCUAGUCGGCGAUGCUAGAGCCAACCCAUAUUAGUCUUAGCAAUUAAGCAAGUAUCGAGUUCAGCUCUAUUGAAGUCAACUAAGUAUAGCUGACCCUCUAAUACUCCCUUAAAUGCUACUGAAUCAUCACUUCUUCUAAGAACAGCAACACCUAUAUCCGUAAAAAGACAGUUGUAACCCAUUUUGCAUAAUUGAGAAACAUAAAGCAAAUUGUAAUCUAAAGAAUCUACAAGAAAAACAUUGGAAAUAGAAUGGUCAGGUGAUAUAGCAAUUUUACCAAGUCCUUUGACCAAACCUUGAUUUCCAUCCCCGAAUGUGAUGGCUCUUUGGGGAUCAUCAUUUUUCUCGUAGGAGGAGAACAUCCUUUUCUCCCCUGUCAUGUGGUUUGUGCAUCCGCUAUCAAUGAUCCAACUUGAGCCCCCGGAUGUAUAAACCUACAAAACAAGUUUAGGCCUUGUUCUUAGGUACCCAAACACAGGUCUUUGAGCCCUUGUGUUUGGCCCCAACAUAUUUGGCAAUUACUUUGCUUGAUUUGUUAGUUAAAACAUAAGAAGCAUCAAAAGUCUUAAAUGAAACAUUGGGCUCAUUUGAUGCAAUAGGAGAUUUCUUUUUAGGCAUUUUAAUAUGAGUGGUAUGCCUAGAGCGAGAUGUCUCAUUCUUAUACAUAAAAGCAUGAUGAGAACCAGAAUGAGACUUCCUAGAAUGAAUUCUCCUAAUCUUGUACUCUGGAUAACCAGCAGGAUAUAAAAUGUAACCCUCGUUAUCCUGAGCCAUGGGAGCCUUACCCUUAACAAAAUUAGACAAUUUCUUGGGGGCAUUAAGCUUGAUAUUGUCUCCCCGUUGGAAGCCAAUGCCAUCCUUAAUGCCAGGGCGUCUCCCAUUAUAGAGCAUGCUCCUAGCAAAUUUAAAAUUUUCAUUUUCUAUCUCAUGCUCAUUGAUUUUACUAGUUAGUUGUGUUAUGUGAUCAUGUUGUUGUUUAAUUAAAGCUAGGUGAUCAUGGAUAGCAUCAACAUUAAUAUCUCUACAUCUAGUGCAAAUAGAAAUAUGUUCAACAGUAGAAGUAGAGGAUUUGCAAGAUCUUAAUUCCUCUAUCUUAGCAUAUAAAGUAGCAUUCUCAUUUCUAAGACAGGAAAUGGAAUCAUUGCAAACAUUUAAAUCCUUAGCCUUAGCAAUUAAUUUAUCAUUCUCAAUCUUAAGGCUAGAAAUUGAUUCAUUUAUUUUGUCAAUCUUAGCAAUUAAACUAGCAUUAUCAUUCUUAAGAUUGGCAAUUGAAUCAUCACAAACAUUUCUCUUUUCAACCUUAUCAAUUAAGUUAGCAUUUUCAAUUCUAAGGUUGGAGAUAGUGUCAUGGCAAAUGCUAAGCUCACUAGUCAAUUUUUCACAUUUCUCUAUUUCCUGAGCAUAAGCAUUUUUUACUUUAACAUGCUUUUUGUUUUCCUUAAUAAGGAAUUCCUCUUGGCUAUCCAAGAGUUCAUCCUUCUUAUGAAUAGCACCUAUCAAUUCAUUCCAUUUUUCUUUUUGUUGCAUGGUUAAGUUGGCAAAAAGAGCAAGCAAAUCAUCUUCAUCAUCACUAGAGCUACCCUUAUCACUAGAUGUUGUAUAUUUAGUGGAGGCUCUAGAUUUUACCUUCUUCUUUUUGCCAUCCUUUGCCAUGAGGCACUUGUGGCCAACGAUGGGGAAGAGGAGGCCUUUGGUGAUGGCAAUGUUGGUGGCGUCCUCAUCGGAGGAGGAGUCGGUGGAGCUCUCAUCGGAGUCCCAUUCCCGUCAUACAUGGGCAUCGCCGCCCUUCUUCUUGUAGUAUCUUUUCUUUUCCUUCCUCUUUCCCUUCUUGUCGUCGCCCCUGUCACUAUCACUAGAUAAUGGACAUUUAGCAAUAAAAUGACCGGGCUUACCACAUUUGUAGCACACUUUCUUGAAGUAGGGUUUGUAAUCCUUCCCCCUCCAUUGUUUGAGGAUUUGGCGGAAGCUCUUGAUGAUGAGCGCCAUUUCCUCGUUGUCGAGCUUGGAGGCAUGGGGAGCCUACUUGAUGUAGACUCUUCUUUCUUUUCUUCCGUCGCUUUGAAUGCGAUGGGUUGCACCUCGGGUGUUUUGGUGUCGCCUUGCUCGACGAUUUGUUUGGAGCCUUUGAUCAUCAACUCAAAGCUCACAAACUUUCCUAUCACUUCCUCGGGAGACAUUAGCUUAUAUCUAGGAUCACCAUGAAUUAAUUGAACUUGCAUAGGAUUACGAAAAACGAGUGAUCUUAGAAUAACCUUGACCAUUUCAUGGUCAUCCCAUUUGGUGCUCCCAAGGUUGUGCACUUGGUUCACCAAGGUCUUGAGCCGGUUGUACAUGGCUUGUGGCUCCUCUCCUUGGUUGAGGAUGAAUCGACCGAGCUCCCCCUCGAUCGUCUCCCGCUUGGUGAUUUUGGUCACCUCAUCCCCUUCAUGCGCGGUCUUUAGUACGUCCCAAAUCUCUUUGGCACUCUUGAGCCCUUGCACCUUAUUAUACUCCUCUCGACAUAGAGAGGCGAGGAGUAUAGUGGUGGCUUGGGAGUCAAAAUGCCGGAUUUGGGCGACCUCGUCCGAAUCAUAUCCUUCAUCCCCCACGGAUGGUACCUGCGCUCCAAACUCAACAAUGUCCCAAAUGCUAACGUGGAGUGAGGUUAGAUGAUGCCUCAUUUUAUCACUCCACAUACAAUAAUCUUCACCGUCAAAAACCGGUGGUUUGCCUAAUGGGACAGAAAGUAAAGGAGUGCUUUUAAAAAUGCGGGGAUAGCGUAGGGGAAUCUUACUAAACUUCUUGCGCUCAUGGCGCUUAGAAGUGAUGGACGGAGGGUCAGAGCCGGAGGUGGAUGGCGACAAAGAGUCGAUCUCGUAGUAGACCACUUUCUUCAUCUUUUUCUUCAUGUCGCGACUCUGGUGUGACUUGACACGGGGAAGUGACUCAUCCCUUCCUUUGGCGCCAGAUUCCUUUGAUGGAGCCUUCCCGUGGCUUGUGGCUAUUUCCAUCUCCCUCUUGGCGGAUCCUCCUGACAUCACUUCGAGUUGUUAGACUUUAAUGAAGUACUGGGCUUUGAUACCAAUUGACAGUCGCCUAGAGGGGCGGUGAAUAGGUGGAAACUGAAAUUUACAAACUUUAAGCACAACUACAAGCCGGGGUUAGCGUUAGAAAUAAAACUGAGUCCGAAAGAGAGGGUGAAAACAAAUCAACCAAAGAAAAUAGAGUGGAUGACACGGUGAUUUGUUUUACUGAGGUUCGGUUCCAAUGAACCUAGUCCCCAUUGAGGUGGUCACAAAGACCGGGUCUCUUUCAACUCUUUCCCUCUCUCAAAUAGUCACUUAGACCGAGUGAGCUUUCUCCUUAAUCAAACGGGUCACUUAGACCCCUUACAAGGACCACCACAACUUGGUGUCUCUUGCUUUGAUUACAAGUGUCUUGAGAACAAGAAUGGGGAAGGAAAAAGCGAUCUAAGAACAAGAGCUCAAACAACACGAGCAAAAACUCUCUCUCUAGUCACUAUUUGUUUGGAGUGGAUUUGGGACUUGGAGAGGCUUUGAUUCUUUUGAAUUGUAUCUUGUAUGGAUUGCACUAGCUCUUGUAUUGAAUGUGAAGUCUGAAAAACUUGGAUGCUUGAAGUGGUGGUGGUUGGGGGGUAUUUAUAGCCCCAACCACCAAACCAACCGUUGGGGAAGGCUGAUGUCGAUGGGCGCACCGGACAGUCCGGUGCGCCACCAGACACUGUCCGUUGUGCCAGCCACGUCACCCAACCGUUAGGGUUCUGACGGUUUCGACCGUUGGAGCUCUGACAACUUGGUGCACCGGACAGGCACUAUUCACUGUCCGGUGCGCCUUCUGGCGCUGCUCUGACUCUGCGCGAACUGUCUGCGCACUGUUCACGCUGGAGUCGAUUGUUGGAGUCGACUGUUGCGCUUCUUAGCCGUUGCUCCGUUGGCACACCAGAUAGUACGGUGACCCACCGGACAGUCCGGUGAAUUAUAGCGGAGCGGCUCUCUAGAAACUCGAAGGUGAAGAGUUCAGCCUGUACGGUCCCUAGUGCACCAGACACUGUCCGGUGGCACACCAGACAGUUCAGUGCGCCAGACCAUGGUUCUCUUCGGUUUCUUUUGCUCCUUUCUUUUGAACCCUAACUUUGAUCUUUUUAUUGGUUUGUGUUGAACCUUUAGCACCUGUAGAACAUAUAAUCUAGAGCAAACUAGUUAGUCCAAUUAUUUGUGUUGGACAUUUCAACCACCAAAAUCAUUUAGGAAAAGGUUUGACCCUAUUUCCCUUUCAGUUUGUUCCCGGGGAGAAGGGUCUGACACAGUGGACCCAUACGGCGGUGAGAGCGGAGAGGGGUGCGCGUAGUGAGAGCAGCUGACUGCGUGGGCUCCACCCGUCGGUGCCCAAGGUUAGUGCAGGCGCAAAGGGUUAUGAGCUGGCGGGGUGUAGAGGAGGUGGGCUACAGAGGAGCCGGCCCAGACAGUCCCCCAUUUCCCUUAUCUUUUAUUUCCUGCUUUAGAUUUCCAUUUUAUUCUCCUAUUUUAAAUUUUCAAGUUUAGUUAAGGUUUAUAUUUCAAUUUUAGUACAAAUGCACAAGCACAAAACUCCAAGCAUGAGUGCAAAGUUUUUAUUUUUUUUAUAUAUUCAUUGCAUUACUAAUUUUAAGCAACUACUUCCAAGUGCAUAUUUUAUACCCACCCGUUUUAAUGAAAUAAUUUCUAUUGCACAAUUUUAUUAAGAGUCAUUUAAGAUAAUAUCUCUAAACAUUUUAUCUAAAGAGAAUAACUUAAUUUAUAUAGGAUCCUUAAAUCCUUUAUUAUUAGCUAUAUUUAUUUUAGAAGAUGUGACUUAAAAGGUAAGAUAAUUUGUAUAAAAAUAUCAUGGUUCAAAUCUUCAUUUUAUUCUAUCAGAAAUCCAUAACAAUAUUUUUGGGUGUUACAGAGCGGCAGCCACUGGACCUGUCCCAGCCAGUGGAUGGUUCGAAGGAUUCAUCUCUGAUUGGGGUUGGUUAACAAGCCUCCUGCUAUGGUGGUUGGUAGGUAGAUCGAUUCCGCCUCCCUUCCUGGUAUUGACCAUCUGGGUUAGAAACACAUGGUAAGAUAGAAUUGUAGAUAAGACAAGUAAUUACGAGACAUGAUCUUUUGGGGGUUUUAUUAGCUCAGUAGAUUAGUGUGUCACCUACUAAUACUAAUACAUUACCUUAUGGUGGAACAUACUAAAAUGCCCCGCUAUACUCUUUCAGUCAAUCAAAGAAGAAAAUCAAGCAUUUACCAUCAGGACAAACAUCCAAACAAUUUAGAUAGAGAAAAUAUCUAUAUAAUUUUUUUAUCUUAGGUCUCCUAUCUCUUUAGGAAGUUUGUAGUUGUAGGAUUCCAAGGUGUGAAAUCCUUCUAGUCUUUCUAGAGUAGAAAAGGUAAGAGUAGUCAGAGUAGAACAGUAAAAGGUGAGACAGGAUCAAGACAAGUAUAGAAAGAAUCAGAGUAAAGGUAAGUAGGUAAGGGUUUUGUCCAGUUCUAUCUAGGUUUAGUCCUACAGUCAACAUUUCCUCUCAUACCACUUUUGUCACACCCGGAUUUAAGGGAUAAAGUCGGGUGUGUCUCAUAUGUGCGCCAAAGAAGAACAUCACAUAUAGUGACAAAGUGUAUAGAGAUAAAUGUCACAAUUAUUAUUACAUAGCGGAAGAGUCUUACAAAAAUAAAUGAUAACAAUAAAAUGAACUAAAUACUUAUUCCAUGGCGCCAUCAAGCUGACUAGGAGACGCCACCUAGAUAAGCUCAUACUCCUCGUUGUAGGUCUCCUCCUGGACCACAUGUUCUUCUCCUGUGGGGGGUUUAUAUAUCGCAAGGGUGAGCUCACAAAAGAUUAUAGCUCAACAAGUUGUGGGAAAUAAUAUGCAUGAACUCACCAAAGGUGGGAGCCCAUGUGAAGUGUAAGGCUGGGCAAUAAAUAGUGGUUGAAGCUGAGCAUUGCUUUUAAUAAGUUGCUCAAAUUUUAUUAGCAGUUACUAAAUGUAAGUGUAUACCAACCCAAAGUAAUAGUAGAUCAAAAUUAAUAAUAAACCACAAUGCGAUGCAAAUGAAAAAAUAAAUUUACUUCCAUAAAUUAAUCAUGUGAAUGUCCGAGCCGCUCCUGACCGUGAGAAUGGCUGAUAUACCAGUUUUAUACUCAGCAGAGGUUGCACAUCUUUACCCACAAGUCGUGUUACCCAUUUGCCAAGGGAUCGCGACUUCCCAUUCAUCUCUACCGAGGAGAUGAGGAAGGGUAGCACUACGAGGCUUUUCCAAAGUUCCACUAGUUUGAGAAAACUCUCUACGGAUUCAGGAAGAAGGAAACACAGGAAUCCCCCGUCCGGAAAGCCAGGCAGUCCGACCCGAGAACCUCCUUAUACUCUACAACGACGCCUCCCCUCUUGUCGCUUUCAGGUAAGGUAAUCUCUCCCUAGUUUUCCUAAUUACUUGGCCAAGGAUGUCUCAUUCCACCCUUGUGGUUGCACUAUUUUCCAAAUUGGUUCUCCAUGUUCCAAUUAACAUAGUAAUCUUAUCAUGAACAAUAAAUAAUCAACAGUAAUAAUAAAGAAUGAUCAUGUGUCAAAUUUAUCUCCACCCAUAACCACAUAUAGCAAUAGCAAGACUACCCAAAAAGUUCAGUGCUAAUCACAUCACAAGAUAAAGCAGACUAGGGUGACCUAUUGGUCCCAUCAAAAUUAAGCCUAAGCAUGCCAUAGUGAUUAUAAAGAACAUUAUUGGGUAAAUAAAGGUGGUCAAGGGCACAACUUGCCUUCAACGAGCUCUUGCUCAAAAUUAUCCGCCUGCUGAACACCAGGGUCCUCAGUGGCUUGCUCGUCUACUCGCAAUAAUACAAAUAAACAUGGUACAAGAGAAAUUAACAUCACACCAAACAUGAGAUCAUACUGCAUAAUAAUAUUCUACGCAUCACAACGAGGUCGUAGGUUCGAGAAUCACUAAAUUCAGAGUUACGGUUAUCGAGUUAUGAUUUUCCGAAGUUAUUAAGUGUUUGGUACAGAAUAUACUAGGUGAGUAAUUCUAAUUUAUGUUUCAUUAUAAAACAUAGUUACCAGGUGAUAAACAAUAUUAAUACCAAAUUAAUGCAACUUGAAUAGAUCAAAAAGGAAUUAAAACGAAUUUAUUAUGAUUUAAAGAAUUUUCUAGAAUUAUUUUAAUACAAAAACUCAUUUUUUAUAUUUUUUAUUCCAUUUAACAGCUCUCUCGACUGCGCUCAACAAUACUAAAAGUAUGGGGGCUAACUUAUAAAAUUCUCAGGACUCAGAUUAAAUGCUCCUCAACACGUGAUGGACUACGGGUUGAUUCCUACAUAUUCUAGGGGUUUUUUUGCAAAAUGACAAACUGCCCAAAAACUCAGUCGUCCGAUCUAAAACCGAGCGUCAGGAUUAGACCUGCGCCCCAUGAACCAGUAUGCGGAGGUGGCCGUCGGAUCACAGAUCGACAGCCCAGAUUCAAUUUACUUCGAUUGAUUCUCACAUGCACGAUCUAGAAUGAACAAUUGAGAUUUAAAACCCUACAGAUCUAUCCUCGAUCGCCUGAUGUUUGAUCAACGGCGCAGAUCCGACCAAUACUCAGCAUUAUGAUGAUCUGAUCUCGACCGUUUGAUUGGAUCUAACGGUGCAAUGGAUCUCUUCCCCUCCCGACACCGGUCGUGCCAACACACUGCUGAUGAACAGUGGCGGUCCCACCGGCAAAGGACUACCCGACGACCCAGGCCCCCAGACCAUACCCGAAAAUGCUCUACACGCACCACAUGGCCUAGCGAACUAGGUGAGGUGGAGAUUACCGGCUAUUAUCUGGUGGUGUUGUCCGGCCACGACAAAGGGCGGUCCGCGGCAGCGCUGCACUUUCGACGACGAAUUUCCCAGGCCUCGGCUGAACUUCCUCCGAUUAACCUUUCACACAGCAACCACAGAGCUAGAUCGACCCCCCCCCCCCCCCCCCCCCCCCGCUGUCACUGUCGGGGCCCGAAUCCCGCCACUGUCGUGUUUCCACGGCGGCGAACCCCAUGGCACGUGAAAGGUCUCGGUGGCGGCCCACAGGGUGUGGUGGCUGAUUGAUGGUUCUCGCGCGAGUCAGCAGGAGGGGCCGCAAGCACCCGUGGGUUCUAUUUGUACGGUCGAGGCAAGUCCGAGCUCGAUGCCCCGCAAUCCUCGCUGUGGUUGAAGCUCUACAGAGCCGAGCGCGCGUGGGAGAGGAUAGCGCUGACAGCGCGGGGCCACAAGUCAGCGAGCGGAGAAAGUGGCGCGGGCGGGGAGUGGCUGUCGUGCGGGCCCCAGAUGUCAGGGCGGCCACACGCGCGAGUCGUUGGCCAUCUAGCGCGAAGUGCAGGAUGGGCCCGAUGUAGGAUUUCGGCCCAUGCAUAGUUUUCUCUUUUCUUUUUGUUUUUCUCUUCUUUUCUGUUUUCCUUUCUUUUUAUUUUUGAAUCUCGAAUUUGAAUUCAAUCUUUGCUGUGAAUUUUGUACAGAGAUUUAAAUGUACAAAUUAAAAAUGCCAGUAUGAAAAGGUAUAAUUAUUUACAUAUUUUUCUUCACAUUGCAUAUAGGGUUUUCCUUUUCUCUCCCUUUCUUUUCUAAUUCAUUUUUAAUUUCUAGAUUGCAAAUUAGGUUUAAUCCUAACUUCAAUAUUAACAUAUUUUUAUUACUAUUAUUAUUAUUAAAUGAACAAACAAAUAAACUCCAACAUGAUGCACUAUUCCCUUUAUUUAAUAUGGUUGUUAGUGGUCAAGGUGACCCCAUGAUUUGAAUAUGCAAAGAUGAGAAAAACAAGUAGUCAAAUAAACCUUUUAUGUUUCCCAAUUCUUGUACAUCCUAUAAAUUCCAUUAUUUGGGUAUUACAACCAAACCCCCCAGGUUGUCCACAUUGCAACCACUGCUCAGGAGAAGAUGAAGUCCCAGUGGAGGAUUUUCAGGAGUUCCAAGACUAUGAUGAGUUCUAGGCACGGGUUAGCGGCAAACCCCCAGUUAGCUGCCUGUGAAGGCCGUGUGUUGCUACGUUUCGUUUUUGCACUUUUAUCUAUGUUAAUGACUAUGUGGAUGUCUUGGACAUCAUGAUGUAAUCAAAUUAAUACUAUGUUAUGUUAUUAUUUGAGCAUUGUGUGAUGAUGUCCAACUAUGUAACUGCUAUGUACGUGAAUUGCUUAUCCUGGCACGUACAUGGUUCGCAUUCGGUUUGCCUUCCAAAACUGGGUGUGACAGUGGGACAGUGAAUUAUAAAGUAAAUAGGACAUAAUGGGUCAUAGGACACUUGCCUUCACUAGGUUGUUGCUCAGGGAAGUCUCCUACAACACACUCCGAAACCUCGGACUGCUCGUUGUCUAUGCAAAGCAAUCAUUCAUUCAACAAAUUUGGGAAAUGACAAAGGAACAGUACACCAAUCAUAUGCAACAGAGUAAACACAAGUUCAGUGGAAAAGUACAAACACACAAGAGAACUCUAGGUUCUAGGGUAGGUUAAUAUACCUAGAGGUAUGUUGUUCUCUGAGUAUUGCCUAUCUCAGUAGAUUAACUAUUUAACUAUGUCUAUCUUAGUGAACUACUGAUUUAGAUAAAGUUAUUCGAGAGAUGGGAUCAUACAUUAAUUGAAAUUAAAUCUACAAGGUUAAGCACUUGCACAUUCAUUAGGGUGUUACUUUUAUUUUACCCUUAUUAAUUAUUCUAUCACUUUAAAUUAAAUUAGAGACUAGCCACAAAAUUAAGUCAUGCAAACAGUGGAUGAACAUAAUUUAAACAGAUAGAUUAUAACAUUAUGAACAUUUUGCAAUUUAAACCACCCAAUUUGGAGUUCAUAUGCAAAAGAUAUGAAAUAUACAAGUUUUAAAAUCAAAAACACUAAAUUUAACCUAUAUUUGUGAUUAAAAUAAAGCCCAGGGGCUUCUCUGCAAGAAACCAGGGGCCUAGGCGCAAGAAAACAGGAUUGCGGGUUAUAUUUCUAGGAAACCGAGGGGCUCUUUAACAAAAUAACCAAGCGAAGGGGUACAGGGUUUCCUUGGUUGUUAGAUCUCGGAUCAACGACCGAGAUUAGAUUGGCGAGCGAGCGUGCGCGCGUGAGCGCGGGCGAGCGCUGACAAGCGGACAGGGCGGUCAGCGGUUCGAGGCAAAGGCGGGCUGACCGGUCGGGCCUAGCGCCAGGGGGCGCAAGCAACCGACGGGUGGGACCCAGGGGGCAGGGGUGCGCGCUCCAAGUGGUAUCUGGAGAUCUAGACCGUUGGAUCGGGGCGGACGGUUCAAAUCUGGCGCACGGGUCUAACAGCACGGUACCGGCUCUGCUUCGCCCGUGGCGAUGAAGCUGUCGAAGAUGAGGCAGGCGUGGCCUUCGGGGGGUUUGGGGUCGCCGAAGUUGGCUGGGGCUCGGCGAACUUAAUGGCGGGAUUCCGGUCACAAGAACAAGGCUGGAGACGAGAGAAUGGUGGAGGGGUGAUCCGGGCGGGUCGGGGUUACUCCGACGAGCAAUCCCGGCCGCGGGGAGAGGGAAUCGGGUGUGCCGAGGCCAGAACUAGCUCCGGCGAGGGAGGGGGAACACUACGGACCAAAGCAUGGGCGCAGGGCGAGGCUGAAUCUAUCGGGCGUCGUGCGGGUGUGGCGAACCGGCGCGGCAGAGCUUCGGCGAGCGCUAAUUCGCUAAGGCAGGGGAAAAUCAGGGUAACUAGAGCACGGGAACAGGUUUCUCACCUCGAGACGGUGCUCAGGGAGGCUCAAUGCGGCGUCUAGUGCUCUGGAUGGCCGGCACGGCGGGCGUUUUCCUCCGACGAGCUCUGGCGACGGCAGCUGAGCGCGAGAGUGGGCGAAAUGGGGCAGGGGAGGGAAAGCGGGUGCGGGUGGGGCUCAAAAGGGAUCUAGGGGCGUGGGCAGGCGACAUGGUCAGGGUUCUCGGCAUGCGUGCACACUGGUCAGCGGUGGUUCGCGAAGAGGGCGGAGCUGACAGGAGGGUCUCACGACGCAUCGAGAGAGAGAGGGGACGUGGAGUGAACGGGUAAUGGCGCUGACGGGCCGGGCCCGAGGCGCAGAGAGAGGGAGCACGCGCGAGGCUGAGGGGAGUGGUGCCGACAAGUCGGCUUCACCGGGCAGAGGGAGAGAGGAGGUGCGGCCGCGCGAGCGCUAGUUGGCUCUGACAUGCGGGGCCUGCCUGUCAAAGGGAGGGCGCGGGCGCGCGCAGGAGCGCAAGCUAGAUCGAGCUGGGCCGAAAGGCUGAGGCUGGGCUAGUUUAGCUUUUCCUUUUCUUUUUUCUUUUGAAUUUCGAAUUUCUUUCCUUUUUAUUUUCUCUUUUGAAUUCAAAUCAAGACAAACCACAAAUUUAAAUUCAAGUAUUUCAAACAUGUGCAUCAACCAAAAACAAAGUUUAAGAUCAGCAUGAUGCAACAUUUCAUGUCUCCCCUAGGUUUUAGUAUUCUAAAGAAAAUAAUACACCUCUCAAAUAAAUACCCAAAACUCUAUUAAAAGAAGAGAGGAGAAAUCUAUAGAGGUGAGAAAAGGAGUAACACCUGAAUUUGGUAAAUAUUAGAGAAGUAAUUUUAUACCCCCAAAUUCAGUGUGUUACAAACUCGUGCCUCGUAUCCAUAACAACUACAUCAAUCAUGCCACCGCCCCCCCCACACAUUCUGCUGGCUGCAUCAUCCUCCCAAGAUGAUAAGAAACUUGACCAAUCUGUUGUGGAGCAUCACCAAGCAAAGUUCACUUGGCUUUAAUCUAAAACAGUUUCUGUUGUUUCUAUAGUGUUUUGUCUCUAUAGAUUAUAGAUGUAGCAGUUCGAACUGCUGGCUUUAAUCCGAAACGAACAGCAUGCAUAGCACCAUUGUAUUUAAACCCUAACCACCAUUUCACCACUACUAAAUUUUUUCCAAUAGGUCCAAUGCAAAACUCUUCCUCCAAGACAUUCUCUGUCCUAUAUAGAACCUAUAUGACUAUUUUUCUCUAUCAUAACUAAAAACUAAGUGUGACAUCUUCACCCACAUGUACAAUAGCUCAUUCCUCUCCUUCUCGUUCCCUAGUGGAUGUUGUUGACCUAAUGCACCUUAGCCUCAUUGAUUUUGUUCAUGUUUCUCAAUCUCAUUGUUCUAUCAUAUUUAUUCUUCUCAUGUCUCCUCCUCCAUAAUGUUUGCAUUCUCAAUGUCCUUUCUGCACCCUUGGACAUUGUGUCAUACCACUUGCCCUUAGUUUAUGCUCUUCUAUUAGUUGAAAUUGAUUGAUAACCAUAAUUUUUAUUUAAAAUGAUUGAGAUCCACAUCAGCUAGUCACAACUUCACAAACUUACCUCAAUCAAGUGGAUCAUAUAUUAUGUGGCUAAGGGUUGCGCAUGUGUAAAGGUAAAUAGGUCAUGCCAUUGUCACCAUAUAUUCAUAAAUACCAUGAGAAGAAAAGCACAUUUUGCUUGUAUUUUGUGCAAAUUGUUUUGCCAACAUAUAAAGUGUAAGAGAAGAAAGUGGCCACUAAAUAUCAAAAUAGAAUAGGUACCAUGUCAUCUCUAGUUUUUCUUCUAAUAUUUGUGUUAGCUAAAGAAGAAAUAUUGUUGAUAUACAUGGCCUAUAAUGUGUAUAAAUAGCCAUCAAAUUAGUAGUUAAUCCAUCACCAUAUUAUUGGUACCAACUAGCAACAUACAUAGUGAAGUACACUAGCAACAUCUUAGCACCAAUGGCAGCCAAGAUUUGCCCUCCUUGCUCUUUUAGCAAGCGCUGCUGUUGGGGACUUGUUCUCAAAUGCUAUGAGUUAAGAACAAGGCAACAUAGAAAAUGUUAAUCGGUAAAGUCCUUCGUCCUUCGAAGCAUUAUUCCCCUCAGGAUAUAAUGGUUUUCGGACGAAGGUUAUGAAGAUCAUGCCUUCACAAAUACACUUUACAGUGACGAAGGAUGAAUUAUAAAGAAUAUAAAGGAUAGCAUAAACAAUUGUAUACUAUUAUUAUUUAGAAAUAGAAAUAACGUCGAAUUACAAAUGUACCUUCAACUUGAAGGAGAUGAAAGUACAAGCGUGACGCAAAAGUGAAUGCCAAAUCCGCGUGAACAGUACGGGGGUACUGUUCACCUAUUUAUAGGCACAGGACACAGCCUAUGCAAAAUUACAUUUAUGCCCUUUACAUUUGAUAAUAAUUCUAUAGUAAUCUAUCGAGGUCUGAAUAGCCUUUUCAUCUUUAAGUCGGUUGCAUUAUGUUGCUUCCACGCCGAAGCUUUCCUGCUCACACCUUCGGCGCUGUAUCAAACCUUCGUAUUAUUCUGGUCUGCUAUGAUACCGACUUGAGUCCGAAGAUACCUGUUCACACAUUAAACUCCAGAAAUACUGUUAAAUCCAGUUUUUGAGGACCUUCGUAAGCCGAAGGCCCCCAACAGUAGCCCCUCGCAAUAUAAAUUUGUUUAAAAUAAUAAAUUUAAAUUGCGACAUGGACGAAGGCUUUACGCCGAAGGUCCGAAAAAACACCUUCCCUUUGCUAGAAUAGCAACAUUCACUGACAAGCGAGGUCUUUCAAUUUUCAACGCACUGGGCGUAUAAAUACGGUCAUACCGCAAACUCAUUUGGCACGCACUCUUGCCAUCUGCUCCCGCUCACUCAAUUUUUAGCUCUUGUGUACUAAGAUUUGCUGAGCUCUUAGUUUUGAAGCUUCGGCUUUGAAAACAGUUUUUUAGUGUCUCCGAAGAUGUCUGAAGAUAAGAAGGCUGCUGCCGAGAUGAAGCUGAGUCUCGAUGAAGAGAAAAAUCUGGGGUUUCUUAUAGCAAUGUCGAAGACCAACACAGAAAAAAUCACCAAGGAGAUUCUAGAAGGUUUGUCUGAGGAUACUGGUAACAGCGACAGUUAUGAUGUGGACAGCGGUGGUGAAGACUCCGAAGAUCGUCCCUGGCGACCAAGCCACUCAGUUUAUGGUAAAUCAACUAUCAAAGAGAAUCAUCUUGUCAACAUGAGAGGAAGGUAUUUCCGGGAUUUGUCCGUUGUGAGGGCCGACGAAGGGGAGAAGACUUUUCCACACCCUGAAGAGAAUGAAGUCGUAGUGUACCGAAGCUUUUUGAAAGCUGGGCUGCGAUUUCCCUUGAGCAGCUUCGUCGUGGAGGUGCUGAAAAUGUUUGAAGUCUAUCUUCAUCAACUUACCCCCGAAGCAAUUAUAAGGCUAAACAUCUUUGUAUGGGCCGUGAGAAGCCAAGGUCUGGAACCUGAUGCGAAAAGCUUCUGCAACAUACACGAAUUAUCAUACGAGACAAAACCUUGGGGUAAGGAACAGUAUCACAAUAACUUUGGCUGCUACAAUUUUGUUUCUCGGUCUGGGUCAAGAUGUCCCGUGCCAACCUUUCGGAAGAGAUGGCCCGGCGACUGGAUGACAGAAUGGUUUUAUGUGAAAAAUGAUCUGAAAGCACGAGAAGAUAUCAAAGGUAUAAUUAUGCGCCCUAUUUGGCAAAGCUUCGGCCUUCGGAGGCCGAAGGUUGAAAUGAAUGAAGCUGCCGAAGAAUGCCAGAGAGCCUUCGGCGCUGUCUGUUCUUUUAUUGGAACGAGAGAUUUAGUACAAGAGCAUAUUGCCUUCAGGGUGUGGCCGCUCGCGGAGAAAUGGGAAAUGCCGCAGGAAACCAUAAAAGAGGCCGACGAAGGUGGACUUAUCAGGCUGAAGUACACUUUUAAGUUCAGAGAUAAAUUCGUUGAGCCAGAUAAUGACUGGUUAAGAAGCAUUGAAAAUUUAAGUGACGAACUGCUUGGGGCUUAUUCGAAGGCUGAAGAUACUGCACUGUCAGCAGCCUUCGGAGGCCGAAAAAAGAAGAGGCUGAAUCGGGUGUUUGAUGCAAUCGGGUUUGUCUACCCUGAUUAUCGUUAUCCCAUUCGAGGGCAGAAAAGAAAAAACACAACCUCUGCGAAAGAAGAAGCUGCAAUUGCUCCCAGCGAGCCAGAACCGAAAAGAAAGAGGAUAAAGGUCCUCACACAUCGGCCGCGCUAUAUUGAACCAGCUUCGGUGCCUGAGUUUACCGGAGGAACUUCUUCGGCCAUCGAGGCUGAAAAGCCAACCAAACCAACCUUGCUGCCAGAAGUUGCAGAAAUGGCCGAAGCGCCAAAGAGGAUAGAAUUGGAAGAACCGAAGAUUUUGCUACCAGAAACCAAAGAGAUGGCCGAAGCGCCAUCCACAGAAAAAAUGGAAGAAGUGAAAAAACCAACUGAAGAAAAAAAAUCAGAAGUUUUGAGUCCUGCAGCAAAUGUUGAGACAGUAAAAAAUCAAAAAGUGCCAGCAGUGACUCCGAAAAGAAAGAGAAUGGCUAAUGUGCUAGAUGUACUGGAAACAAUUAAAUUUUCAAGCACACCUCCGAAGAAGACUGCUGCCAUUCCUGAAGCAACAACUGAAAUUUCUGAUACUAAAGCUCCAGAGCAAGACACUGAAGCCGAAGCUGGGUCCUUAGAGCCCGCGAAGAUAAAGUCCUUGGAAACUGAGGAAGAAAAAAUAACAGAGCCAACUUUUGUUGAAGAAAUCGGUGUCAUUGCCCCCGAAGCAUCCUCCAAAGUCCGUGAUUAUAUUGUUCGUCAUGCUUCGGGGAAAAAACUAUCAGAAAAAGAAGAGCAAGAGGCCCAGCGCUACGCCCAAAAACUGAAGUAUCCAAAGGGGGCGUUAAUAUUCAAUGGCAGUGGAGAAGAAGACUUUUUGUAUUGUCUCCCUGAUAGCAAGGAGAUUUCUGUCUGUCGGGAGAUGAGCAAGAGCUUCGGAUUCCCAACAUUAGAAGACGGGCUCUCAGUGCUGUCGAAGAAUGAUCUGGCCGACAGUCUGGCCUAUAAUAGCUUAAAUGUGCAACAAAUGGGAUCUUUGUAUUUUUUGUUGAGACCAAAAUUUUUCGUUUGUUUAAAUCUAUUGACGCACACAUAUUUCUCUUUGCAGGGCCUAAUACUUAGCAAUGCCCUCAGGGCACAGAAUGAUGCUGAAGACGAAGGGUGUGCUAUAGCCCUGAGCAACCUUCGUUCCGAAGUAAUUGAACUGAGGAACGAAGGUCUCGAAAAAGAUAAAAUAUUACACUCAUUGAUAAAUAAAAUAAAGGAAGACGAAGCUGCUUUUAAAGGUCAAGCUGAAGCUCAGAAGCGCGAAAUUGAAGAUCUUCGGAAACAACUGGCCAGAGCCAAGGAAGAACGCAUACUUGAAGAAACAAAGCGAGAACUCAGCGACCAAUGGGCAGAUCACUUAGAAGGAAUUGUUGAAGAGCUUCGUUCGUCCAAGAAGAGAUGUUAUAACAAAUCUAUAGAGUGUGUUAAGAAGUUAAAAGCUAGCUUCGCCAGGGUCGGCGCAUUCUCAAGCGAAGAAAACUUUACAAGAGGCAAUCCCGAAGGUCCCAUCGAAUGGAUCGAUCACGAAGCUGAAGCCUUCGAGGAAAUUUUAAAUAGCCGUGGAGAUAUAUGUGCUUUCUCGGGUGCCAGAGGAAUUGCCACCAUUUUAGAGAAAAAGGGCUGCGAACAUGUUAAGAUUCUAGCGCAAUCCGAAGCUGCUUUGUCCUUCGAAGAUGCAAGAGAUCCUUCGGCCGAAGCUAGCAUGGUUGGUGGAAAAUUUUUUACCGAUAUAUGGGAUAAUGGUGGCCGAGAAAUGGCCCGAGAAAUUAUUCGAAAAAGUGAAAAGGGCAUUCACGAUGCUAGAGAAGUGGCUGAAGCUGCUGAAAAAAGCGCAGAGCCCGAAGGGCAAAUAGGUAUCAACUAAUGGUUUUAUUAUGUUGUAAUUUUCGAUUUUAAAUUUUGUUCGCAAUUUGUAAUAGCAAUGUAGCCGUAUCCUGUCCUCCUUCAGAUCCUACUAAAGCGUCUUCGGGACCUCCCCCGAAAGGAGACGACGAAAUUAAAAAGAUGGCUGAAGCUAUCAUGGAUGAAGUUGUUAAUCGGCUCCUGAACGAGGCUGCGGAAGUCGUUUUGAGAGAAGAUUAAGUAUUAUUGUAAAAACUUCUGAAAUCUAAUAUACUGUAACAUUUUGUAACCCUGAAUGUAAUAUACCUGUUUUUAUUGUUCAACUCUUUACGAUGCAUGAAAUUUUACACGUACCAUUUUUGAGUCUUUGACGAAAAAACACCUUCCCUUCUUUUCAUGCUUCGUGAAGAGGAAUUUUUCUUUGUCACAACAAUAUCUAGUGUUCUGAUGAAUAAUAUCCAGGCUUCGUGAAGAUAUUUUCCGAAGCUACACUUCCGGCGAUCAAUUAUGAUUUUUCCCUUUUUUCAAAACAUUCUUCUGUAGAUCGAUAUUGGAUCCACCUCUUGUGCCAUAUGCAACAUGAUGUAUGAUGCUUAUGCUAUGCGAAAUGAUGCGAUGAUGUUAUGUUGUGUGAGGUGAUGUUUAUUCCGAAGAUACAUACGCAUCCCUGCAAUAAAACACACAAUCUUUUAUAAGCCUCCCUUAGGAGCUUCUUCGCCUUUUACUUCAGCGGAAUCAGCGUUUAUUUUUCGCUGUAAGCCUCCCUUAGGAGCUUCUUCGCCUUUUACUUUCAGCGGUAUUCGCGUUGACUUUUCGCGCUUCGCCUUUUACUUAGGCGGUAUCAGCGUUGACUUUUCGCUGUAUGCUCUGCAUUCCCUUUGGAACGACUUUGGAGCAGAAAACUUACACUGCACUCCUUCUGGAGCGGCUUUUUGUGACUUCGGCAAACUUACUCUGCGUUCCUUAGAACGACUUUUUGUUGCUUCGAAGAAUUUUUGAUAAUUUGAAGGUCCUCUUUGUUAUCACAAAUCUUUAAACUUCAACAACUUAGGCCUGUGAAGAAAAUAUAUUUUCCUUGUGGCAAACAACGAAACUAUUUACAUGAAAUCUAAACAAUGUCCUUUAUUACACAGAAAAUAAGACUGAAUAAGAAAGACUGCUAUUAAGGUAGGAUAUUUGUCAAUAGAUGUGCUUUGACUCUGGCACAGUGCUGUUGACUGUACGAGCUUCGGACUGCUCUCUGAAGUCCCUUUGGUGUGGAGCAUACUGGCUCCCUUCUGGCUGUUGGCCUUGUUGCAGCGGAGGUGGAGGCGGAGGCUGUUGCCAGGAAGCUUGAGGUUGACUCGCCGAAGCAACAGAAACUGCAGGGUGGUUGCCCACAUAUUCUGGGAUGUAAGGCGAAUGAUACGAAGCAGUAUGCAUGACCUGCUUCGGCUGAGCUUGUUGUGCUGCGGCUUCGGCUAUUUCCUUUUGCUUCUGGAUGGUAACAUGGCACAUCCUGGUGGUAUGGCCUUUGUUUUCACCAUAGAAUAAGCAAAAGAUUCUUCUCGAUUGAUCGCCAAAUCUUCCGCCGAAGCCCCUGGCGCCUCUGCCUCUCGGAGCUGGUGGUCGGAAGGAGCCUUGCUGUUGCCCCGAAGCCUGUGAGGAACAUUGUGGCCUUUGCUGUUGGCUCCCUCUAUCAUCAUUUUGUGUAGAGUUGUGAAUUGAUCUAACGUGCCUCGGAUAGAACCUUCCUCCGAAGCCCCUGGUCAUUUCAGAAAACCUGAAAGCCUCCUCCCUUCUUUGACGAAAAUCAUUAUCGGCCCGAAUGUACUCGUCCAUCUUCUGGAGCAGCUUCUCCAAAGUUUGAGGAGGCUUCCUAGCAAAGUACUGAGCUGACGGUCCUGGCCGAAGCCCCUUGAUCAUGGCCUCAAUGACAAUUUCAUUGGGCACCGUUGGUGCCUGUGCCCUCAAACGCAAGAACCUUCGGACGUACGCCUGAAGGUAUUCUUCGUGAUCCUGGGUGCACUAGAAUAGAGCUUGAGCAGUGACUGGCUUCGUCUGAAACCCUUGGAAGCUAGUUAACAACAAGUCCUUCAGCUUCUGCCAUGAAGUGAUCGUUCCUGGUCGAAGGGAGGAAUACCAGGUUUGAGCAACACUCCUGACAGUCAUAACAAAAGAUUUGGCCAUGACUGCAGCAUUGCCACCAUACGAAGACACUGUUGCUUCGUAGCUCAUCAAAAACUGCUUCGGGUCUGAGUGGCCAUCGAAUACGGGAAGCUGAGGCGGCUUGUAGGACGGGGGCCAAGGUGUAGCCUGCAGCUCAGCGGACAGAGGAGAAGCAUCAUCGAAAACAAAAUUCCCAUGAUGGAAAUUAUCAUACCAGUCAUCUUCAUUGAGGAAACCCUCCUGAUGAAGGUUUUGGUGCUGAGGCCUUCGGUGCUGCUCAUCCUGAGCAAGAUGACGAACUUCUUCAGAGGCUUCGUCUAUCUGCCUUUGCAGUUCAGCUAGCCUGGCCAUCUUUUCUUUCUUCCUCUGCACCUGUUGAUGAAGCAUCUCCAUGUCUCUGAUUUCUUGAUCUAUCUCGUCCUCUGGUGGUGUCGGGCUGACAGCCUUCCUUUUUUGGCUUCGGGCCUCCCGAAGAGAGACAGUCUCCUGAUUGUGGUCCAGCGGUUGAAGAGCUGCAGUGCCAGUUGCUGAAGCUUUCUUCGGCGCCAUAACGAAGGUUUAUGAUCGCCGAAGGUGUUCAGAAAACUCAGAGUGUGGAAGUGAGUUCACCGGAGGUGGGCGCCAAUGUUGGGGACUUGUUCUCAAAUGCUAUGAGUUAAGAACAAGGCAACAUAGAAAAUGUUAAUCGGUAAAGUCCUUCGUCCUUCGAAGCAUUAUUCCCCUCAGGAUAUAAUGGUUUUCGGGCGAAGGUUAUGAAGAUCAUGCCUUCACAAAUACACUUUACAGUGACGAAGGAUGAAUUAUAAAGAAUAUAAAGGAUAGCAUAAACAAUUGUAUACUAUUAUUAUUUAGAAAUAGAAAUAACGUCGAAUUACAAAUGUACCUUCAACUUGAAGGAGAUGAAAGUACAAGCGUGACGCAAAAGUGAAUGCCAAAUCCGCGUGAACAGUACGGGGGUACUGUUCACCUAUUUAUAGGCACAGGACACAGCCUAUGCAAAAUUACAUUUAUGCCCUUUACAUUUGAUAAUAAUUCUAUAGUAAUCUAUCGAGGUCUGAAUAGCCUUUUCAUCUUUAAGUCGGUUGCAUUAUGUUGCUUCCACCCCGAAGCUUUCCUGCUCACACCUUCGGCGCUGUAUCAAACCUUCGUAUUAUUCUGGUCUGCUAUGAUACCGACUUGAGUCCGAAGAUACCUGUUCACACAUUAAACUCCAGAAAUACUGUUAAAUCCAGUUUUUGAGGACCUUCGUAAGCCGAAGGCCCCCAACAGCUGCUACCGCGACUAUUAUUCCACAAUGUUCACAACAAUAGCUAUCUCCGGUGAUAGCUGCGAGAUUUGAAUACCCAACUAUAUAAUCCUACAGGCUACAAGAGGCCAUGACAACAAGCAUCUUACGGUCGUUAGCAUUGACCCUCCAACAACCAUAUGCCUAUUGCAACAGCCAUCCUUAGUGCAUUUGUAUCUCCAAAGAAUCGCAGCACAACAACUACUACAACAAUAGUUGCUACCAACAAUCAAUCAAGUAGUUGCAGCGAACCUUGCUGCUUACCUCCAGCAACAAUAGUUUCUUCCAUUCAAUCAACUAGCUCAGGUGAACCCUGCUGCCUACUUGCAGGCACAACAACUACUACCAUUCGACCAACUUCUCAGGAUCCCUACUGCCUUCUUACUGCAAUAACAGUUGCGGCCAUUCCAUAUGCAAGCUGUGGCAAACAUUGCUGCUUUCUUGCAACAACAACAAUUGCUGCCAUUUUACCCACAGGUUGUGGGAAACAUUAACGCCUUCUUGCAACAGCAACAAUUGCUGCCAUUCUACCCACAUGAUGUGGAAAACAUUGUCACCUUCUUACAACAACAACAAUGGUUGCCAUUUAGCCAACUUGCUUUGACGAAUCCUACCACCUUAUUGCAGUAGCCCACCAUUGGUGGUGCCAUCUUCUAGAUUUUUUAUGCUUUAUACUGUAAUAAUAAAGUU